rnacentral:lncRNA from 1 species
CUCCCAUGACAACAAAUUAGCUAGGAGAUUUAACCCCCAUAUAUAGUUGAUAGGAUCCACUAGGGACUACUAAUACUCAAGCAUUACAUGAUACACCGGGUACGGCGGAUCCAUUAGAAUGCCGCAUAACCCUCCAUCUUUUGCAUAUCCACGCUUGAGGCGAAUGUAACCCCCGUCCCUCCACCAGCUGCCCCAGGAGUUCUUGAUUAACCAGUAGUUAAUGCUACCGGUCAGCCUUCCAUCACUAUACCNNNNNNNNNNGUGCUACUAUCUUAGGAUCCUUCUUCAAGAGAGCAUAGAGACCCGGAGUAAUGUUGUUGGUUGGGUUCAGGAUCUCCCUCUAUUUGUUUUGAGGAUCUCCCUAGGCCAGAGACGCCCAGUGGAGAAUGUCACUGAGUUGGUUAUGUGCUAGUUGGUGAAUCCCGCUGGCUUACAUUUUGGUUUCCUCCAACUUCUUACAUCAACUUAGGGAAUGUAGGUACAAACAAAUAAAAAUAUGGAAUAUAACAACUAAGCAGANNNNNNNNNNNNNNNNNNNNNNNNNNNNNNNNNNNNNNNNNNNNNNNNNNNNNNNNNNNNNNNNNNNNNNNNNNNNNNNNNNNNNNNNNNNNNNNNNNNNGCCAUAGUUUUCCUUAGUGGCAUCUCUAAUGUAAUAGGCAUACGGUGAUAAAUAAAUUGUUGUUGGGCAAUUGGUAGAAAAACGCAUAGUUAGGUGAUAUCCAUGGCAAUGAUCAUGUGUAUAUAGGCAUUGUUUGGAAACGUCGCAUGGGAAACAAAAAAAUUUCUACGCGCACGAAGACCUAUCAUGGUGAUGUCCAUCUACGAGGGGGAUUUCAGAUCUACGUACCCUUGUAGAUCGCACAACAGAAGCAUUAAUAAACGUGGUUGAUGUAGUGGAACGUCCUCACGUCCCUCGAUCCGCCCCGCGAACCGUCACACGAACCGUCCCGCGAUCCGUCCCACAAUACGCUCCGAUCUAGUGCCGAACGGACGGCACCUCCGCGUUCAGCACACGUACAGCUCGACGAUGAUCUCGGCCUUCUUGAUCCAGCAAGAGAGACAGAGAGGUAGAUGAGUUCUCCGGCAGCGUGACGGCGCUCCGGAGGUUGGUGGUGAUCUAAUCUCAGGAGGGCUCCGCCCGAGCUCCGCAGAAACGCGAUCUAGAGGAAAAAUCGUGGAGGUAUGUGGUCGGGCUGCCGUGGAAAACUUGUCCCAAAUCAGCCCUAAAACCUCCGUAUAUAUAGGUGGGAGGGGAGGGGCCUUUCCUUGGGGCUCAAGGAGCCCCAAGGGGUUCGGCCAAAGGGGGGGAGGAGGAGUCCUCCUCCAAUCCUAGUCCAACUAGGAUUGGAAGGUGGAGUCCUUCCCUUCCUUCCCACUUCCCUUUUUUUCUCUUUGAUUUUCUUAUCUCCCUGCGUAGGGGCCUCUUUGGGCUUGCCCACCAGCCCACUAAGGGCUGGUGCGGCACCCCUAAGGCCUAUGGGCUUCCCCGGGAUGGGCUGCCCCCCGGUGAACAUCCGGAACCCAUUCGUCAUUCCCGGUACAUUCCCGGUAACUCCGAAAACCUUCUGGUAAUCAAAUGAGGUCAUCCGAUAUAUCAAUCUUCGUCUCCGGACCAUUCCGGAAACCCUCGUGAUAUCCGUGAUCUCAUCCGGGACUCCGAACAACAUUCGGUAACCAACCAUAUAACUUAAAUACGCAUAAAACAACGUCGAACCUUAAGUGUGCAGACCCUGCGGGUUCGAGAACUAUGUAGACAUGACCCGAGGGACUCCUCGGUCAAUAUCCAAUAGCGGGACCUGGAUGCCCACAUUAGAUCCUACAUAUUCUACGAAGAUCUUAUCGUUUGAACCUCAGUGCCAAGGAUUCAUAUAAUCCCGUAUGUCAUUCCCUUUGUCCUUCGGUAUGUUACUUGCCCGAGAUUCGAUCGUCACUAUCCGCAUACCUAUUUCAAUCUCGUUUACAGGCAAGUCUCUUUACUCGUUCCGUAAUACAAGAUCCCGCAACUUACACUAAGUCACAUUGCUUGCAAGGCUUGUGUGUGAUGUUGUAUUAUCGAGUGGGCCCCGAGAUACCUCUCCGUCACACGGAGUGACAAAUCCCAGUCUUGAUCCAUACUAAUCAACGAANNNNNNNNNNNNNNNNNNNNNNNNNNNNNNNNNNNNNNNNNNNNNNNNNNNNNNNNNNNNNNNNNNNNNNNNNNNNNNNNNNNNNNNNNNNNNNNNNNNNGAAAAACGAGAAAAGCAAUAAACACUAGUAGAAAACAAGGCAUUGAGCCAACCACAUUUGACCCGGAUUGGAUAUAAACCCGUUCUAAAGGGUCUGUCCGCUGGGCCCCCUCCCUGCAGCAAAUGGCCGGAAGGCCUUUAGGACCGGUUUGUAACACAAACCGGUCCUAAAGGUUUUUGGACCGUUUGCUGCAGGGAGGGGGGCCCAGUGGACAGACCCUUUAGAACCGGCUUGUAUCACAAACCGGUUCUAAAGGUUUUCUCAUUUUUGCAGCAACUGCGGGGCCCCGCUGUCAGACCCUUUAGCACCGGUUUUUAACACAAACCGGUCCUAAAGCCCUCCCCUAUAUUCCACUCCGAGCUCAGCUCCAUUUUUUCCAGCUCAAACUCAACUCCAUUUUUGCUCUCUCCUUCCUCUUGGGAGCUCUAAUCCAUCCCCAUUUUUCUCCAUCAUUUGUCAAGAUUGUUGGCACCCAUCGGUCCUGCGGUUAGCAUCAACAUUCCCUCUUCCGGCAUUGCAAGUUUUGCUCGUUUUCUUGCUCAUUUCAUUUUUGUUGUGCUAGCUAGGUGUUUGAUGAAAUGCCUAAGCUAGAGAGAGUUCAUCAUUUGUUAUGUAUACAUAUGCAAUUUGAGCUCAAAUUUAAUUAUGAUUUGUGGUUUUUUUUAGUGUCGCGCGCCUUGUCCCCUUCCUCACCGCCGUCGAUCGCCCCGUCACCGACACAACCUUGGUGAGCCUGUUGUUUUUAUUUACCAAAACAAAUUUUGAUUUGUAUGAUUUACAUAUUNNNNNNNNNNAGUGUCGCGCGCCUUGUCCCCUUCCUCACCGCCGUCUAUCGCCCCGUCACCGACACAACCUUGGUGAGCCUAUUGUUUUUAUUUACCAAAACAAAUUUUGAUUUGUAUGAUUUACAUAUUUACUUGUAUAUAAUUUUCUUAUUGUGUAAGAUUUUUUUUAUAUGUAUAGCGCCAUGGUUUUGAUAUCCGUCCACGUUGGUCCUCGUCCAGUCUAUGAUUCGGAUGUGGUAUAUUAUCUUUUAUAACUACAUAUUUUCAUUUCCUGAUUAUAUGACAAUUAAUUACGCCGACCAACUUGACAUAGAUAUUUUUAUCUAGGAGGUAGUGGAACCGGAAAUGCCAAUCGACCCUAUUGUUGAGAAGUUACACUUAGUUGAACAAGAAAAUGUUGGCCUGAAAGAAAGAUUGAAAAAAACUGAAGAAAGGUUGGAAAAAACUGAAAGAGAGAAGAUGACCUUGGAAAAGGUUUUUGCCGGUGUCGUCGAUGGUCACAAGAGCGAGAUGGACGCAAUGCGUCUGAAGAUUAGAAAGAUUAGAAAAUAUGCAAUUAGUAAAGAGGCUUGGUAUCAUUAUGUCGUCGGGUCAAUUGUUACCUUUGUUGCGAUUUUGAUCGCAUUUGUUGUUGUUUUUAAAUGUAUUAAUUAGAGAGAGUUUUUAUGGUUGGUUUUAGUAUGUGUUUUUAUGAGAACUAUAUAUGUAUGGUCACUACGCUACUUUGGUUUUAACGUGUGAUGAACUUUUUGUAUUAAUUAAUUAAUUUAGUCAUGAUGAUUUAGCAUAAUGGUUUUUGAUAAAUUUAUAUAAUGCAGAUGAACCGGCAAUGGAUGUAUAGUGAUCGACGUCGUCCCGAAUUCCUUAAUGGCAUGCAUAGUUUUCUCAAUGUGGCUGAGAAAAACAGGCAGAAUGGAUUUAUUUUUUGUUCAUGUAAAAAAUGCCAGAAUAAGAGGAACUUCCCUAACUCAAGAACCAUACACACCCACCUGUUGCAAGAAGGCUUCAUGCCCAGUUAUUUUUGUUGGACCAAGCACGGAGAAAGAGGGGUUGUAAUGGAUGACAACGAAGAAGAAGAGGAUAAUGAUAACUAUCCUAUGUUCGGUGAACACGGUGAUACUGAAAUGGGGGAAGACGAGCCUGAACUUGAGGACAUUGUUGAUGAGUCUGAUGAUGAUCUUCGUCAGGUCAUUCGUGAAGAACAGAUAAACUGCGAAAGUGAAAACGAGAGGUUGAAGUUGGAGCGCAUGUUAGAAGAUCACAAAAAAAUGUUGUACCCAAAUUGCGAAGAUGGCCAGAAAAAGCUGGGCACCACCCUGGAAUUGCUGCAAUGGAAGGCAGAGAAUGGAAUAUCUGACAAGGGAUUUGAAAAGCUGCUGAAAAUAUCUGACAAGGGACAAGAAGAUGCUUCCAAGAGAUAACGUGCUGCCCUGCAGUACGUACGAAGCAAAGAAGGUUGUCUGCCCUCUAGGAUUGGAAGUGCAUAAGAUACAUGCAUGCAUCAAUGACUGCAUCCUCUACCGCGGUCAGCACGAGAAUUUAAANNNNNNNNNNAUGAAGAAGAUGCUUCCAAGAGAUUACGUGCUGCCCUGCAGUACGUACGAAGCAAAGAAGGUUGUCUGUCCUCUAGGAUUGGAAGUGCAUAAGAUACAUGAAUGCAUCAAUGACUGCAUCCUCUACCGCGGUCAGCACGAGAAUUUAAANNNNNNNNNNCCGGUAUGCGGUGCAUUUCGGUAUAAGAUCAGGCGAGAUGACCCUGGUGAUGUUGAGGGCGACGAUCGUCCCAGGAAGAGGGUUCCUGCCAAGGUGAUGUGGCAUGCUCCUAUAAUACCACAGUUGAAACGUUUGUUUCGAAACAAAGAGCAUGCCAAGUUGCUGCGAUGGCACAAAGAAGACCGUAAGGAAGACGAUAUGCUGAGACAACCCGCUGAUGGGUCGCAGUGGAGAAACAUCGACGAUAAGUACGAGGACUUUGCACGUGACCCAAGAAACUUAAGGUUUGGUCUAAGUACAGAUGGCCUGAGUCCGUUUGGGGAGCAGAGUAGCAGUCAUAGCACCUGGCCCGUGACUCUAUGUAUCUAUAACCUUCCUCCUUGGUUAUGCAUGAAGCGUAAGUUCAUUAUGAUGCCAGUGCUUAUCCCAGGCCCGUCGCAACCCGGCAACAACAUUGAUGUGUACCUGAGGCCACUGGUUCAUGAACUUUUAGAGUUGUGGGCUGACGAAGGUGUACGUGUGUGGGACGAGUACAAACAGGAGGAAUUUGACCUACGAGGGUUGCUGUUUGUAACCAUCAAUGAUUGGCCCGCUCUUAGUAACAUCUCAGGACAGUCAAACAAGGGAUACAGCGCAUGCACACACUGUUUAGGCGAGACUGAAAGUAUACAUAUAGGCAAGAAUGUGUACCCGGGGCAUCGUCGAUUUCUUCCAGACAGGCAUCCCGUAAGAAAGANNNNNNNNNNNNNNNNNNNNNNNNNNNNNNNNNNNNNNNNNNNNNNNNNNNNNNNNNNNNNNNNNNNNNNNNNNNNNNNNNNNNNNNNNNNNNNNNNNNNUGAACUUGAGGACAUUGUUGAUGAGUCUGAUGAUGAUCUUCGUCAGGUCAUUCGUGAAGAACAGAUAAACUGCGGAAGUGAAAACGAGAGGUUGAAGUUGGAGCGCAUGUUAGAAGAUCACAAAAAAUUGUUGUACCCAAAUUGCGAAGAUGGCCAGAAAAAGCUGGGCACCACCCUGGAAUUGCUGCAAUGGAAGGCAGAGAAUGGAAUAUCUGACAAGGGAUUUGAAAAGCUGCUGAAAAUAUCUGACAAGGGACAAGAAGAUGCUUCCAAGAGAUAACGUGCUGCCCUGCAGUACGUACGAAGCAAAGAAGGUUGUCUGCCCUCUAGGAUUGGAAGUGCAUAAGAUACAUGCAUGCAUCAAUGACUGCAUCCUCUACCGCGGUCAGCACGAGAAUUUAAAUGCCUGCAACUUGUUGGCCAAGCAACCAUCUUCGACUGUAUUGACCUUUAAAGGGUACGAGAUAAAUGGUAACACAUUUUACACGGCAGACCAAGAUAAAAAGAGCACCAACCAAAACAGUGGCGUCCGGUUUGAUGCAAAAGACGACAACGGGCAAAGGGUCACAUACUAUGGUUACAUAGAGCGGAUAUGGGAACUUGACUACGGACCUUCCUUUAAGGUCCCUUUGUUCUGGUGCAAAUGGUUCAACCUGUCAGGCGUGAAGGUAGACCCGAAGUACAGAAUGACAACAGUGGAUCAGAAGAAUCUUGGGUACGGCAAUGAUCAAUUCGUCCUAGCCAAUGAUGUGGCUCAGGUUUUCUAUGUGAAGGACAUGUCUACCAGACCAAGAAAAAGAAAAGAUAAGGAAGCGAAUACAUCAGACGAUGAGCCAAGGCGCCACAUAGUUCUUUCAGGGAAAAGAAACAUCGUGGGAGUCGAGGACAAGACAGACAUGUUAGAAGAUUACAAUAAAUUUGAUGAAAUUCCUCCCUUCAAAGUCAAAGAUGAUCCAAGCAUCCCGUUAAAUGAUGAAGAUAGUCCAUGGUUACGGCGCAAUCAGAAGAAAGGCAAGAAGAAAAAUAGAAAGGGGGUGUUGUUGGUGAUGUGUAAUAUGUAUUAAACCUUUUAUGUAAUUGUGUUGACCAUUUUGAUAAAUAUUAAAAAUUUGACCAGUUUCCACAAAAUUUGAUCAUUUUGAUAAAUAUCAUUUUUAUUUUUUAAGUGUAAAAAUGACAUUUUGACAAUUCGUAAAUAAAUGUAAAAAAAACAGAAAAGGGAAACAAAAAAAUAAAAUAAAAGAAGAAACAGAAAAAAGAAAAAAGAAACAAAAAGAAAAAGAAAACAGGAAACAGAAAAAAGGAAAAAAGAAAAAUAAAAGAAGAAACAGGAAAAAGAAAAAGGAAACAAAAAGAAAAAGAAAACAGGAAACAGAAAAAAGAAAAAAAGAAAAAGGAAAAAAACCUUUAGGACCGGUUUGUAACAACAACCGGUCCUAAAGGGUCUUUAGCACCGGUUGUUAACACAGACCGGUGCUAAAGGGUCUAUACCUCUACGGGGUCGCCAACUUCUCGCCUUCCCGCGCGUGCCUUCUCUCCUCGUCGCCUCUCUCCUCGCCGACUCGGCCUCUCUCCUCGCCGCCUCGCCGCGCCGUCGCCUCCUCGCCGCGCCGUCGCCUCCUCGCGCCGCCGCCUCCUCGCGCGCGCCGCCGCCGCCUCNNNNNNNNNNNNNNNNNNNNNNNNNNNNNNNNNNNNNNNNNNNNNNNNNNNNNNNNNNNNNNNNNNNNNNNNNNNNNNNNNNNNNNNNNNNNNNNNNNNNAUUGGUAUCUAGAGCGAGGUUGAUCUUCUAGUAACGGAAGAUCAUGUCGGAGGACGACAAGGCCAAGCAGCUGGCGGCGUACUCCGGUGCGGCUAAAGUAUUUGCUGCUCCGACGAGUUCGUCGUACGCACAAUUUGACCGCGAGAACUUCGGGGUCUGGAAGGCCCCGAUGGAGUGUGGUCUCCGCGCCAACGUGUUGUGGGACGCAGUCGAUCCAGGAGGCGACGCUUUCAAGAAGGAGGGAGCUGAGCAUCGGAAGGAUCGGCAGGCGGCGUCGGCGAUUUAUUCGGUGAUGCCGAUAGAUGCCCUUCAACACGUGAUCGCCAAAGAAACGGCGAAGGAGGUGUGGGAUACCUUGGAGCUCAUGUUCGAGGGACACGACCGCGUCAAGCAAGCCAAUCUCCAAACUCUCUUAAGGAACUAUGAGACUUUGGUCAUGGGCGACAAUGAGUCCGUGGACGCGUUUGCUUCACGAGUAGCUACUCUCGUCAAUCGGAUCCGCGCACUUGGAGAGAAUCUAACGGAGGCCUCGGUUGUCCGUCGGUUCUUGCGUGCGGCUCCUCCCCGGUACCUGCAAAUUGUCACGGCGAUCGAGCAGUGCGUCGAUCUCGCGACCCUCUCCAUGGAUGAUCUCGUCGGACGCUACAAGGCUCACGACAAGCGUAUGCGGUACAGUCUUGGGGACGGGAGGAACGAUGAGCUUGUCAUGCUCACGCGGGCUCAGUGGCAGGCGCUGGACUCAAGGAGAGAAGGUGAGGGCUCUAGCAGUUACGCUCGCCAAGAUCGUGUGCCAAACGAACAAAGUCAGAAGAAUGCCAGUGAUGGCGUUCCGAAGAAGAAGAAGAAGUUCGACAAGCGCAAGAUCAAGUGUCACAACUGUGGCAUAAUGGGGCACUUCAAGUCGGAGUGCAAGAAUCCCCCGAAGGAGAAGGCGCUCAUGGCCCAGCAAGGAGAUGAAGGUGAUAUGAUGUUGAUGUGUGAACUCGUGGACGAGGAGGAUCCAGUUCUUCAAGUGUCGGCUAAAGAAAUUGCCGCACUCCAUGAAGAAAAAGUUUGUUCUCAACAUCAUGGUUCAGAAACCCGUAUCGAUGCUACGGAUGCGGGGGGUGAAUCCGAAACUUACACCAAUGCUACGGGUGUGAGUGCUAUCUUUGCUGGAGCGAAGGAAGCGCUCAUUGCAUGUGCUCGGCCAUGGAGAAGCAGCCUUGUUACAAACAUGAGGGGUGAUUCCAAAAUUCGUGUCGAAGCUACUGAAGCAAUGCAUAAGUCUGAAAUUUGUGUCGAUGCUACGGACACGAAUGUCACUUCGGCGUACGUGGCGCCUGAAGACCACGAAUCAAAGUAUGCUGAUGCAAAAGUAGGCACGUGUGCACCAGCCUUGUCAUGUUGUCCAGUAACAGACAAAGACAUGGUGUCAGAAGUACACUACACACCUGUGAUGGUGCCGGAAAACCAUAGCACACGACGAGCUAUGCCGUUCGGACCUGAUGAGAAUCACGNNNNNNNNNNNNNNNNNNNNNNNNNNNNNNNNNNNNNNNNNNNNNNNNNNNNNNNNNNNNNNNNNNNNNNNNNNNNNNNNNNNNNNNNNNNNNNNNNNNNGAAAUUCCUCUUAUUCUGGCAUUUUUUACAUGGACAAAAAAUAAAUCCAUUCUGCCUGUUUUUCUCAGCCACAUUGAGAAAACUAUGCAUGCCAUUAAGGAAUUCGGGACGACGUCGAUCACUGUACAUCCAUUGCCGGUUCAUCUGCAUUAUAUAAAUUUAUCAAAAACCAUUAUGCUAAAUCAUCAUGACUAAAUUAAUUAAUUAAUACAAAAAGUUCAUCACACGUUAAAACCAAAGUAGCGUAGUGACCAUACAUAUAUAGUUCUCAUAAAAACACAUACUAAAACCAACCAUAAAAACUCUCUCUAAUUAAUACAUUUAAAAACAACAACAAAUGCGAUCAAAAUCGCAACAAAGGUAACAAUUGACCCGACGGCAUAAUGAUACCAAGCCUCUUUACUAAUUGCAUAUUUUCUAAUCUUUCUAAUCUUCAGACGCAUUGCGUCCAUCUCGCUCUUGUGACCAUCGACGACACCGGCAAGAACCUUUUCCAAGGUCAUCUUCUCUCUUUCAGUUUUUUCCAACCUUUCUUCAGUUUUUUUCAAUCUUUCUUUCAGGCCAACAUUUUCUUGUUCAACUAAGUGUAACUUCUCACCAAUAGGGUCGAUUGGCAUUUCCGGUUCCACUACCUCCUAGAUAAAAAUAUCUAUGUCAAGUUGGUCGGCGUAAUUAAUUGUCAUAUAAUCAGGAAAUGAAAAUAUGUAGUUAUAAAAGAUAAUAUACCACAUCCGAAUCAUAGACUGGACGAGGACCAACGUGGACGGAUAUCAAAACCAUGGCGCUAUACAUAUAAAAAAAAUCUUACACAAUAAGAAAAUUAUAUACAAGUAAAUAUGUAAAUCAUACAAAUCAAAAUUUGUUUUGGUAAAUAAAAACAAUAGGCUCACCAAGGUUGUGUCGGUGACGGGGCGAUAGACGGCGGUGAGGAAGGGGACAAGGCGCGCGACACUAAAAAAACCACAAAUCAUAAUUAAAUUUGAGCUCAAAUUGCAUAUGUAUACAUAACAAAUGAUGAACUCUCUCUAGCUUAGGCAUUUCAUCAAACACCUAGCUAGCACAACAAAAAUGAAAUGAGCAAGAAAACGAGCAAAACUUGCAAUGCCGGAAGAGGGAAUGUUGAUGCUAACCGCAGGACCGAUGGGUGCCAACAAUCUUGACAAAUGAUGGAGAAAAAUGGGGAUGGAUUAGAGCUCCCAAGAGGAAGGAGAGAGCAAAAAUGGAGUUGAGCUCGAGCUAGAAAAAAUGGGGUGGAAUAUAGGGUGCUCAGGGAGGAAGGAGAGGAGGGCUUUAGGACCGGUUUGUGUCAAAAACCGGUGCUAAAGGGUCUGACAGCGGGGCCUUGCAGUUGCUGCAAAAAUGAGAAAACCUUUAGAACCGGUUUGUGAUACAAGCCGGUUCUAAAGGGUCUGUCCACUGGGCCCCCCUCCCUGCAGCAAACGGUCCAAAAACCUUUAGGACCGGUUUGUGUUACAAACCGGUCCUAAAGGCCUUCCGGCCAUUUGCUGCAGGGAGGGGGCCCAGCGGACAGACCCUUUAGAACGGGUUUAUAUCCAAUCCGGGUCAAAUGUGGUUGGCUCAAUGCCUUGUUUUCUACUAGUGUUUAUUGCUUUUCUCGUUUUUCUGGUACAACUCGAUACACGACCCGAUGCAUAUAUAUAUAUAUAUAUAUGCACAACACAUCUCUUAUCGACUAGCACAAAUCUAAUCCUACUCGUACUGUAUAUCCUAGCACUACACGGAUUGCUAAUACAUAGCUGACUCGGGCACACACAACACCUAAAUAUUACGACUAGCUAUUCCAACCGAAACUAACAUGGAAACACAUCAAUCCGGUUUGGACUAGGCUAGCUGACACACACGUAGCACAGGCUGCUUCAACUAGUACUAACUCAACUUACCUAAUUUAAUCACCGGCAACGCUGAUUACACUAUUGAUUCUAACUCGACACAACUAUCACAUGUUUAGAUUACUCCAACAUUCACCCUCUAAUCUAAACAUCGACUUGUUGACUUGGAACCAACACAUCCUGGAUUACCAGUCCACGCCGUCACAUCUUAGCGUGCUACAUGUAGACUAAACACAUAGUCACUCAUGCAGGAACUCGACUUAACUGGUGCACAUCCAUCUUCACGCUGGCCUUCGUCUUCUUACCGAGACACACUAAUGACUCACCAUGAAAGACUCCAAUACUUACCAAGAACAACUCACGUAAUGUUUGGAUUACCCAACAUUCAUCCCCUAAUUCAAACUUUUAACUGGUUGACUUGAAACCAACAUAUAACUUUGAUUACCAGUCCACGUCGUCACAUCUUAGCGUGCUACAUGCAGACUAAACACAUAACCUCUCAUGCAGGAACUCAACUUAACUGGUGCGCAUCUAUCUUUACGCUGGCCUUCGUCUUCUUACCGAGACACACUAAUGACUCAACAUGAAAGACUCCAAUACUUACCAAGAACAACUCACGUAAUGUUUGGAUUACCCAACAGGCCUCCCGCAAUGCUGGUGCGGCAGUAGGCCUGGCCGCCCCUGGUAUCGGCUCGACACAUUGGAUGUUGGCUCUAAUCAGUGUCAACUUUGGCGCCGGCAGGACGGCAGUAAUGUGGCUGCGACAUCGGCGUCGAUUCCCUAGUUUACUUCCUCUACGAUUCCUUCCUCGGGCUCAAUCUCCACGUAAGUUCUUCGGUUCCCACAAUUGUUUUAUUUGUUUCUGUGCCAGACCUUGUAGCCGAUGAUCCCAAUUGACGGCUGAUGGUGCUGGUCACCUAGCUAUCUACUGUAACUCAUAUAUGUUCUGAUACGAUGAACUUCCGGCGACAACUGAAUCUACUAUAUUUUUUUUAUAUUGAGUGGCAUUAUUUGGUUGACAACUUGUACAUUGGAGGCUUGUGUCUGGGUAAUUAGUUCUACUGUUUGAAUGUGCAAAGAAUCAGAAUACCUGAUCUUGCUUAACUACUGUGGAUUUCUAAACGUAAUAUAGCACACUUGGUGGCAAGCUGACUUAUUGGUGCACAUCAUAUAUAUCUUGUGUGGCAUCUAUGAAGCCUUUUCUUUCUCAAUGUUUUCAGUUUCAUUCCAUGUUAAAUUGAUAGUUCUUCUAGUUUGCGCACACGUAUGCUUUACGAAUGCAUGCUCUACUAUAUACGGGGCAGAAUAAUAAUAAAUAAUAUAUAAUAUGAAAGAAAAUGAAAUUAUAUCUCACAUGACAACAAAUUAGCUAGGACAUUUGCCCCCGUAUAUAGUUGAUAGGAUCCACUAGGAUACUAGUCGUAAACCCGUGCGUAGACGCACGGGAUAGUCUCUUUAACCAAAUCAUUGAACUUCUAUUAAUAUUCCUUGCGUUUAAUAUUUUUUUUAUUUUUUUAGAUUGUUAAAACAACAUUUUUGAAUAAUUGGUACUAAUAACAUGCAGCAACGCACAUCGGUUACCGUGUAAUAGUAAUGAUACAAUUCUUGAAGAAAAUUAAGGGAUAUUUGUAAAAAAAAUCAAUUAUGUUACACUGAUCUGUACUUGGACUAUUAAUGAAAGGAAAAAUAGUACUCCCUCCAUCCAAAAUAAGUGUCAUACGUUCUACUAAAUCAGCAACACUUAUUUUUGGACGUUGGAUGUACACAACAACGUAUACAUUAUAAUAAAUAAGUAUCUAGGAAAAAAUUGUAUCAUACCUAACACUAAGUAGGAUCAACAUACUCCCAUCAUGAAAAAUUGUUGUACCCUCUCAUUUCCUUAAUUGUGUGCAAUAUGUUCUAUCAUGUCUAAAACCUAGUGACACUAAUAAGAUAUUAUCAUGUAUGUCUCCUUUGAGUUGUGUUAUAAAAAUAACUAAAAUGCACUCUGAAGUUUGAGAAGAAAAUGUACAUGCAGAAGUGUACUACUACUUGUUAUUUUAAUAGAAAUUCAAAUGAAGGUAUCAUAUUUUAUGUACUACUAUUUGCUAUUUUUAGAUCCACACAUGACCCUUUUUACGUAAGAUGCAAAUGCAGAUAUUUUGUAGUCAAAUGUUUGUGCAGACGUUUACAUGUAAGAAAAAAAUAGGAUUUUCCUUUGAGUGUUUUGGCUAUGUGAAGCUUGGGAGCAUAAGGUUUGUACUCCAUAUGGCGAUAUAGUUCCAUUUGGAAAUAUAAUGAAGACAAAGUACUAAACUACAUGUAGAAAGAAAUGAUUUGUAUCAAAACUAUGUCAUUUACGUGUUUCCACUAUGUUAAUAUCACCAUGCAUCAUAUUUUGCUUGCGCCUAGUUAGAUUAAACAAUUGAAUACUACUAAUGAAGCCUGAACUAUUUAUAUGCCUUAUAGAUUAUAAGAAAAACACUACGUGCUUUUUAUAAAAUAUGAAUAAUGCGAAGGCCCAAUCACAUGUGAAUUCAAAUGAAUAAUGUAAAAAAGCAUGUACUAUUUAAGGAGAAAAAGAGAACACAGUUUCCAUAACUUUUUCUUACAUAGUAGCCACACAAAACAAUAAUAUAUCACUUGUUCCAUCCAAAUAUAAUUAUCAAAGGUGCCUCAACCUCAGAUUUAUAAAUUCGGAAGUUGCCAGUGUAUGUGGAUUUAUAUUCUACUUCUAUCUUUCAUUAUAUAUUUCAUUAGAAGAUAACAUGCACAAUUUACAUGUAUAUAUGUCCAGGUAUAGCAAGUUACAGAUUACUUUUCUGAAUAUAAUUGUAUACUUUGAUUCUGAGAUGUGUUUCACUUCUAUUACUUUUCCCUUAGUAACUUUAGCCCCAAAAUCAUCCACAUCAAUUAGUAUCAUGGAAAUAAACUAAGAAAAGAUUCGUCGGAUAAUGAUACAGCCAUGAGGGAAUACAUAUAUAGUGUAACAUGUGAGACCCAGUUUCAUCCAUUAACUGCUACGGAGAUUAAACUGUACAUUGGUGCUUAUGUUUUUCAUUAGAUUAGCAACUUUAAAUAGCGUGUGUAAUUUGGCAUCUUGCCAUAGCUGGCUGGGCAAGUACCUAAUAUCUUGCCUUGUGCACAUCUACCCAUAUUCAAUAAGUCACCGUCAUGUGUAUGUACAUGUAUUCACGGAAGGAAUAAAUCAACCUGCUUACCUGUUGUACGUGUUUGUUUCCCUCGGCCGAAAGCGCUUGCCAGCUAGGUCGCUCCAUGGAGAUUCGCCGGAGAGACUAAGCAAAAUUCGGACUUGCGUUCCCAAGAGACGGCAGCUAUAUAGGAGCAACAGUGAAGGCAACCUGAACCCUAGCCUGGUGGAUAAGUAUUAUGGAAAGAAGAUGCCCUUCGCUCAUAGAAGAGGAUUGAGGGAUACAUGGAAUCUUAGCGCGAGGAAUAGUUAUUUUUAGGAUCGGAAGGGUGAGGAUAGAUGCAAUGUUUUUUAGACGGGGGAUUAGAUGAGAUCUCAGGAUUUUUUCCCUAAAAAUUGAUUUUUGGCCUUUCAAGUGGUUUUUUCGUUGGGAUUUUACGUAUUGAUCUACACCGUAAUAAUUCGGCCCCAUAAAGAUGAACGGUUGGUAUUUUUUAAUUAACUUGUGAUUUUCUUGAAAGUUUCUAAUUAGUAUAAGUAUAGAAGUAUAGAUUAAUAAAGCAUUACAGGAUCCGCCGGGUACAGCGGAAUCAUUAGAAUGCCACAUAACCAUCCAUCUUUUUCAUAUCCGUGCUCGAGGCCAAUGUAUCCCCGUCCCACCACAAGCUGCCGUGGGAAUUCUUGAUUAGCCAUUAAUUAAUGCUAUAGGUCAGUCUUCCAUCACUGUACCUCUCCUUUGUCCCGUAUCCGUGGCAGGUGGGGGAUGUGAUGGUGCUCGUCACCAGCUGGCUUGCAUUUUGGUUUCCUCCAACUUCUCACAGCAACAUUGGGAUUAAUGUACUAGUACAGACAAAGAAAAACAUCGAAUAGAAUAACCAAGCAGAAAAAUAGUUGGUACUAGUUACCUAUCUUAACAUGUAACCAAGUAGCAAAUGAAAUCACUGGUGGGUUUAAAUAGAAGGUUUCGUAUGUGCAUCAAUGAAUGGUAAUACACGCAUAAGCAUGAGCAUGAAAAAAAUGAGGUGCGUAGAGCAUGAUUAUCUCUAAGAUGCAAGUACAUUAUAAAACCUUUUUCACAUAUGCCACUGAUAAAUGUUAUGAACAAUUAGUCAUCAUAACUUUAGUGUGCCACAUGCGUAUCACCCUCUUGUGCUUCUUCUUUGCUUUUAUCCAAUUCAUGUUUCAACAUGAAUGUGGGGACACGAGAAAAGUAUGCAAGAUAGAUCAUUGAUGCACAAUGCAUGAGAAAAAUCAUUUAGCAUUGGCCUCAACAAUUGAAAUAUCUCACCUCUAGUUGCUGUGAUCCUGCUACUAACCAAUAACUUGAAGGUGGCGCACUGGUUAGCAAUGCUCUUGUUGUCCCGCGUGACCAGGGUUGUUCGACUCUUGGGGUGCUCCAUUUCUUCUCAAUUUUUCAAUCUUCGUGGGCUACAAUGGGCCGAUCCAACACUGUUUACACAACGUGAGGGAUGGUUGUUGGUUCGCGUAAGGUGAGAAAUAGUCGCAGUGGAGUUGGAGAGGUCUCCUCGUGCCUGCGUUCAUUUCAUGAGGUGAGAUAGUCCAUUACGCUCUGGGCCUCCUUCAUUUUACUGGUCUGCACCUUGAGCCUGCAGAAAAACAUACAUAUUUAAUAGCCUAUUAUAAAUUCCACACCUCGGGCUUGGUCCCUAUGUGCCCGGGCCAGCAUUGCCUCUCGUCUUCAGCACANNNNNNNNNNNNNNNNNNNNNNNNNNNNNNNNNNNNNNNNNNNNNNNNNNNNNNNNNNNNNNNNNNNNNNNNNNNNNNNNNNNNNNNNNNNNNNNNNNNNUAACGCAUAUUUGUUGGGAGAUCAUCUUUGCUGACGAAAGGCUCUCCCAUGACAAACUGUGGCUUAGGGGCUACCACAGCCUUGGGUAACCUGUCGUCUUGGGAAGCCAGAACAUCUUCAACCGAGACACCCCAUUCAGUCGCCCACUUCUUUGCUAAUUCAAAAUCUUGCCCCUGCACCGGAGGGGGAACAUUCUCGGUUAACACCUUGAGGGGUGGGAUCGACUAUUUGGCCUGUUGUCCAAGCUGAGGAACGUCUGAUUUUUUUCUUGCUUGUAGUUGAACUUGAUUUGCUCCCACUUGCACUUGCACGUGAUCUGCUCUUUUUCACUUCCUUCUGCAAUGUGCGUGUAUAGUCAUUAGGCUUAUGGUGUAAGUCAUACUAUGAUGGAAGGGUCGUGAAGUAUUUUGCAAAUGCUAUUUGCUUCUCGGUGUAUUUCGGGCGGGGCUCGGGUUCCUUCUUUUUCAUCUGCGCAUCAUGAUGUUCCUUUGCUAUCCUGGCGUUUUCCUCGGGGGUACGAUCAUAAGGUCUGAUAGGAAGAUUAGCAUGAGGUACCUUUGGGAGGGGCGACCGUUUGCGCUUUGGGGGGCUCCGUCGCUUAGAAAUCGUCAGCGGAGCGUUCUUGGUGGCACGCUUCCGCUCAGUAUCCUGUGCGGGCGGCGGCCGAGACGGACGACCCAAGUACGGAGGCGGUGAUCGAGAUGGACUCGUGUUGUGCUGGCCGACGUCAUGUGGAGGGCUUGGAGGUAAUGGAGAUGUAGGUGACCUGCGACGAUUCGGAGGCGGUGUUGUCCUUGGGGCCGAGCCUGGAAGCUUGAUGUAGUUCUUGUCCCAUAGGAUGACUCCACUCAGUACUUCUCCGAGUGUCCUCUCAUCUUCGGGUCCAGCUAUGUCGAGCUCCAUAUCAUGAAACCCCGCCAUGAUUUCAUCCACCCCAAGUUUAGCAAAGCCAGCUGGAAUCUCACGACCAUGCCAGCGUGCAUCAGGGCCACAAGGUAAAGCUUGUCCGACGGCCACAUUCAUGGAUAUGUUCUUGAAUUUCUGAUGGAGUUCACAUGAUGUUGACUCCUUGAUUCCAUCCACGGGGUAGCCGGGACCGCCCUCUAUCAUUCUUUGUGCAUCGUCGGGCGGGGCCUCAGAUUCAGCCACGCUGCUUUUUCGCUUAGAUGGGGCGUCGGUAAUAUCAAGUGCAGGAUUUUCGUGGCGCGCUACUCCUCUAAGCUCAUCAAUCUGCUUCUAUUUCUCGUUAAUCCUGGCAAGCAACUGGUUGAACUUGUCAUUCUCCUCAUCCUGCUGCCGCUUCUUUGCUCUCUCUCAGCUUCUGUAAGUGUCCUGGUCUCUGGCAAACCCAAGCCACCACGGGUAAGAAGGACCGAAGCCUCGCGUUCGUCCUCCAUGUUCGUCAUUGCCGAGGACCAGUGUGAGCAAAUCUUUCUCUCUAUCUGCAGUGAACUUUCUUUUUCCCUCCUUAAUUUCUUUCACUAUCCUUUUCCAAUUCUCCCUGGGUAUCCUAAGACCGUCACUGCAGAUGAGGUCCCCUGUUUUUUCGUCGUACGACCCACCAUGCGCAAGGAACCAAUUUCUUGCUCUCAAUUCCCACUCAUCAUGGUGUGGUUCAGGUACGAUGCCUUUAUCUAGCCGAUCUUGCUCUUUCUUAUCCCACUUUGGGACGGCAGUCUCAUAGCCCCCUGGCCCCAGCUUGUGGUGAUAUUUCUUCUUGUCGGCAUUUAUCUUGUUCUUUUCUGAUAAUGCCUGGGCAUCUUCUGACUCGUUGUACUCUUGAAAUGCCUUCCAGUGAUUCGCCUGCUUGGCAAGAUACCCCUCGAAUACUGGCACUUUCUUUGUCUUCAGAUAAUUUUUCCAUAGCUUCUUCCAGCUACGGAACAGUUCGGCCAUCUUCUUUAGAGUCCACUGCUUGACUUUGGCCCUCAGUUUGUAUGCGGCGUCUUCAUUCUCACAUUCUGGCAGGUUGAAAUGUGACAUGAGAUCAUUCCAAAGAUUAUCUUUGUACCUUUCGGCGACAUAGUCACUAUCGGCUGCCCCUUUGCGCUUGUUCCACUCCCGAACGCUGAUCGGGACGUGAUUCCUAACGAGAACUCCGCAUUUCUUCUUGAAUGUAUCAACAACAUUCUUAGGAAGCUUGGGUUCGCCCGUAGGCAAUAUCACCUCAAAGGUGUAAUGCGUCCGUGCAUCCAACUUUCUAGUCGGGCCUCGUUUCAUAGCUUUGCUCGAUGUGGAGGCCUAAGAGGGAGAAACAUUCGUCAAAUGAAUGUAUAUGUAUACAAUAUAGAGCUAUCUCCAAUAUUUUUCACAUAUUACAAAUGAUUGUCGAACUUCAUAUGUAUACCUCGCCGGACUUUAUUAUUUCUUCACCGGCUUCUCCACCGGCUUCUCCAUCAGUGGAGCUAUCACCUUCCCCGUCAUUGGACCUAUCUCCUGCCCCAUCGGCUUCAUCUUCGUGUCGCUCGACCUCCAUUCCAUAUCUGCAGGGGUUUAGAUAUGAUGAUGGAGAUUCAGCUGGUUCAACGUCGGGGCCGUCUUUGAUUAUAUCUUCGAGAAGUUCUUCCUCUUCGAGGUUCCUGAUAUGUGGAUCCAUAGUUCUGCAUAAAACGGAUUCUCUUAACCUUUGUACCAAAAAAGAAUUAUUCUAUCAGGAACUCCGUUCCAAAACAACUUUAGUCCCGGGUCGUGGCUCCACCCGGGACUACUAGAUUUCGGCAUAGUAUUCAAAGUAGGAGUACUUUUCCAAUUUGAGCAUCCAAUAAGCAAAACCAAAUCGUAAAAUAAAGUAGUAUUCAAAUUAGCAUNNNNNNNNNNACUCCACCGGCUUCUCCAUCAGUGGAGCUAUCACCUUCUCCGUCAUUGGACCUAUCUCCUGCCCCAUCGGCUUCAUCUUCGUGUCGGUCGACCUCCAUUCCAUAUCCGGAGGGGUUUAGAUAUGACGACGGAGAUUCGGUUGGUUCAACGUCAGGGCCGUCUUUGAUUAUAUCUUCGAGAAGUUCUUCCUCUUCGAGGUUCNNNNNNNNNNNNNNNNNNNNNNNNNNNNNNNNNNNNNNNNNNNNNNNNNNNNNNNNNNNNNNNNNNNNNNNNNNNNNNNNNNNNNNNNNNNNNNNNNNNNNNNNNNNNNNNNNNNNNNNNNNNNNNNNNNNNNNNNNNNNNNNNNNNNNNNNNNNNNNNNNNNNNNNNNNNNNNNNNNNNNNNNNNNNNNNNNNNNNNNNNNNNNNNNNNNNNNNNCCUAGAUUUCUGCAUAGUAUUCAAAGUAGGAGUACUUUUCCAAUUUGAGCAUUCAAUAAGCAAAACCAAAUCGUAAAAUAAAGUAGUAUUCAAAUUAGCAUGCAUUCAAUUAUAAGCAAAUACAUCAUAUCUUUUGUCUGUACAUCGUCGAAUAUUAUCACUAAUACUCCUCGAAUACUAUCAUACAUAUAGCAUCACUGAUACAUCUAGAACCGUUGCGCCCGACGGGUAUCGGCACGGGCGGUGGACACCCAAAGAGAAGGAACCAUCACAGGAUCAUAGCUCNNNNNNNNNNGAAAUACAUCAUCUCUUUUGUCCGUACAUCGUCAAAUAUUAUCACUAAUACUCCUCGGAUACUAUCAUACAUAUAGCAUCACUGAUACAUCUAGAACCGUAUCGCCCGACGGGUAUCGGCGCGGGCGGUGGACACCCAAAGAGAAGGAACCAUCACAGGAUCAUAGCUCUAGUGAGAUCCCCGAAGAACCUGCCAGUUAUGCUCGAACCUGCCCUCCAACGCAACCAUGUAGCGACGGACGUGCUCAUCCUCCUCGCUGACACGGUGACGUACCACCUCCGCGGUNNNNNNNNNNNNNNNNNNNNNNNNNNNNNNNNNNNNNNNNNNNNNNNNNNNNNNNNNNNNNNNNNNNNNNNNNNNNNNNNNNNNNNNNNNNNNNNNNNNNNNNNNNNNNNNNNNNNNNNNNNNNNNNNNNNNNNNNNNNNNNNNNNNNNNNNNNNNNNNNNNNNNNNNNNNNNNNNACCUACGCCCCCCGGAAGGUAGCACCUCCCAAUACCAGCCGGGCGGAGCCCAGUCUCGGACAGGGCCCCUCUGAUCAAGCAGGUGUCCUCCGCCGAGUCGACGACGAGGAUGCGGGAUAGGCAUAGUAAAAUGAACUAAAAAAUAAACUAGUUCUAUUAAUUUUCUUGCUAAAAAUAAACUAUUAAAACUUAAGCAUAUACAAUAGCAAAAUUAAACUAUUAACACUUAAGCAUAUACAAUAGCAAAAUUAAGCAAUAAUCUAAGAAACACUAUUAACACUUAAGCAUAUACACUAUACAAUAGCAAAAUUAAAUGACAAAAAACUAAUUUCUCCUCUUCUUCUACCACUUCUCCUCUUUUCUAUUUCUUCUGUUCUUCNNNNNNNNNNGUUUCCUCUUCUUGUAACCCUAAACUAAUUUUUCCUCUUCUUCUAUUUCUCCUCUUCUUCUACUUCUUCUACUUCUACUUCUCCUCUUCUUCUACUAAUUCUCCUCUUCUCUUCUUCUACUUCUCCUCUCCUCCUCUUUUAAUUUUUUCUCUUCUUCUACUUCUCCUCUUCUUCUAUUUUUCCUCUUCUUCUCCUCUCCUCCUCUUCUUAUUCUCCUUUUUCUUCUCUUCUUCUCCUCCNNNNNNNNNNNNNNNNNNNNNNNNNNNNNNNNNNNNNNNNNNNNNNNNNNNNNNNNNNNNNNNNNNNNNNNNNNNNNNNNNNNNNNNNNNNNNNNNNNNNAAUUGUAAAUAUUACUAACCAUAAUAAUCUAGCACAAACCUAAUAACAAUAGGAAUUAAAUGACAAAAAAAAUCUUUUUCUUCUUUUCUUCCCUUUUUCUUCCUUUCUUCUCCUUUUUCUUCCUUUCUUCUCCUUUUUCUUCUUUUCUUCUCCUUUUUCUUCUUUUCUUCUACUGGCCGGAGUGUUGGGGAGGAGGGGGCGGGGGGCUUACCGGCCGGAGGUGUCGACGGCGCGCGCCGAGGAGGACGGCGCGACGUGCGCCGAGGAGGAGGGCGGCGCGCGGCGAGGAGGGCGGCGCGCGGUGAGGAGGACGGCGGCGGCGAGCAGGACGACGGGCAGCCUGACGGCGUCGUCGAGUUCGUCGUUGUGCCGUGCCGAGCAGGAGAACGAGGAAGAAGGAGAGAAGGAAAUGCGAUUUGGGUCGGAUAAUUUUCUAACUCCCGCUUAUAUAGGUGGAUCUUUAGUCCCGGUUCGGGGCUCGAUCCGGGACUACAGACCCCCUUUAGUCCCGGGUGGAGCCACGACCCGGGACUAAAGGCCCUUUUUCGGCAGACCAGAAGCCGGAAAGCAGGGGCCUUUAGUCCCGGCGCGGCGCUCCAACCGGGACUAAAGGGGGUCUUUAGUCCCGGGGCGUGGCCCCACCCGGGACUAUAGCCCCUCCUCGGUUGCACGAUAAAUUUAGUCCCACCUCGCCCAGCAAGGGGGACUAACACUUGUUUAUAAGCCCCGUCGGAGCUUCUCCAUCGAGCUCCUCUCUAAAGCAGGCUUACGGGCCUAAACUCACUGAAAAUUGAAACUAUAUUCGAAAUUAUGGAGAAAAUUCAACCUGAAUUCAAAGUUGAAUUUAGAUUCAAUUUUCUCUAUAAAUUCUCAUAUAGUUUCAACUAUUUUAUAUUUUCAUAAUUAAUAAUUUUGACUAUACAAACUAUUAUCUAUUUUGUUAUUUUUAAUUAAAAACUAUGUUUAUUAAAAAUUAUUUUUGCAUAUUUGAGAAUUUGACAAAACUAUGAUAAUGAAAAGUGUUUCAAGUUGAUUAAAUAAUGCAAAACUAUUUUAUAUUUCCAAAACUAAUUAUUUUGACUAUCCAAACUAUUAUCUAUUUUGUUAUUUUCAAUUAAAAACUAUGUUUAUUAAAAAUUCUUUUUGCAUAUUUGAGAAUUGGACAAAACUAUGAUAAUGAAAAGUGUUUGAAAUUGAAUAAAUAAUGCAAAACUAUUUUCUAUUUUCAAAAUAAUUAUUUUGACUAUCCAAACUAUUAUCUAUUUUGUUAUUUUCAAUUAAAAACUAUGUUUAUUAAAAUUCUUUUUGCAUAUUUGAGAAUUUGACAAAACUAUGAUAAUGAAAAGUGUUUCAAAUUGAAUAAAUAAUGCAAAACUAUAUUCUAUUUUCAAAAGUAAUUAUUUUGAAUAUCCAAACUAUUAAAUUAUUAUUUUUGAGGUAGUUGACCCUGAAAUUCAAAAGCACUACAAAAAUGUUGAAAUUUGGCAUGCUAUCAUCAUUUCACCCACAUAGCAUGUGUUAAAAAGUUGAGAGGGCUACGACAAAAACCGGAUGCACUUCGUGUACAAAACGGACAAUCUCUCUCGAAGUUUCAGCGUUUCGAACGAGAACUCAUCUCUUACAAAGGGAUUUCAUUUUUUUGAACUUAUAUGAACUCCAUACUGUUCGUGUGUUCAAAAUGCACCAUUCAAAGGCACAUCACAAAAUUUCAAUAAUUUCUGACUUCAUUUGGCAUUCUUCGUGCAUUUACUUUUUUUUUGAGCUAGUUGACCCUGAAAUUAAAAAGCACUACAAAUAAACUCUAAAAAUGUUGAAAUUUGGCAUGCUAUCAUCAUUUCACCCACAUAGAAUGUGUUAAAAAGUUGAGAGGGCUACGACAAAAACUGGAUGCACUUCGNNNNNNNNNNGUUGGCAUCCUAUCAUCAUUUCACCCACAUAGCAUGUGUUAAAAAGUUAAGAGGGCUNNNNNNNNNNAUUUUUUUUAAGCUAGUUAACCCUGAAAUUGAAAAGCACUACAAAUGAACUCUGAAAAUGUUGAAAUUUGGCAUGCUAUCAUCAUUUCACCCACAUAGCAUGUGUUAAAAAGUUGAGAGGGCUACGACAAAAACUGGAUGCACUUCGUGUACAAAACGGACAAUCUUUCUCGAAGUAUCAACGUUUCGAACGAGAACUCAUCUCUUACAAAGGGAUUUCAUUUUUUUGAACUUAUUUGAACUUCAUACUUUUUGUGUGUUCAAAAUGCACCACUCAAAGGCACAUCACAAAAUUUCAACAAUUUCUGACUUCAUUUGGCAUUCUUCGUGCAUUUACUUUUUUUUUUUGAGCUAGUUGACCCUGAAAUUGAAAAGCACUAUAAAUGAACUCUGAAAAUGUUGAAAGUUGGCAUGCUAUCAUCAUUUCACCCACAUAGCAUGUGUUAAAACUUGAGAGGGCUAACGACAAAAACUGGAUGCACUUCGUGUACAAAACGGACAAUCUUUCUCGAAGUAUCAGCGUUUCGAACGAUAACUCAUCUCUUACAAAGGGAUUUUAUUUUUUUGAACUUAUUUGAACUCCAUACUUUUUGUGUGUUCAAAAUGCACCAUUCAAAGGCACAUCACGAAAUUUCAACAAUUUCAUAUAUGGUGGACACUAGCUCACCUAUGGUAUAUGGUGGACAUUCUUCUUCUCCCAUAUAUGGUGGACACUAGCUCACCUGAUUUUUCAACCGUCGAUGAUGGUCGCUACUCCUACUUCCCCUAGUGCAUAACCAAUAUGUAGCACAAGGAGAAGAAGGAGAAACGACCCCCACAGCAACAGUCGACAUUCUUCUUCUCUCAUGUGUGGUGGACACUCCCUCACCUGAUUUUUCGACCGUCGAUGAUGGUCGCUACUCCUUCUUCCCCUAGUGCAUAACAAAUAUCUAGCACAAAGAGAAGAAGGAGAAGCAACCCCCACAACAACAGUCAGCAUUCUUCUUCUCUCAUGUAUGGUGGACACUCCCUCACCUGACUUUUUGACCGUCGAUGAUGGUCGCUAUUCCUUCUUUCCCUAAUGCAUAACAAAUAUCUAGCACAAGGAGAAGAAGGAAAAGCGCCCCCCACAACAAAAGUGGUUCCGCGGCACGCCACGUGGUUCCACUGCGCGCCACGUGGGACUAAUGGUCUUUCAUUUUUAAAUGACUGUUUUAAUCAAAAAUAGAUCUGUUACAAAAGGGAUUUCAUUUUUUGAACUUAUUAGAACUGAAGACUUUUUGUAUAUAUAUGUAGUCGAAAUGCAUGAUACCAUGAAGUUAGAAAGGGCUAAACCAUUCAAAAGUAGCAAAUGAAGUUAGAAAGGGCUAAACCAUUCAAAUUUGGAAACUAUAAUGGCACAAACAGAAACUAGACAUAUAUAAAUUGGUCCAAGCAGUACAUGAUACUAGUCCAAACAGUACAUAAUAAUAGCUAUCAUAGAUAUAUAUAUUCGAGGUGACACUGGCCAUAGUUGACGAUUUGAAUCAGAAUGUCCACCUUAUUUGAGGUGACGCUGGCCAUAGUUGACGACUCGAAUCUUGCGGUACAACUCGUAUGAAACGUAUGCAUCUUUUGCUGCAUACUCAAUGUUGAUACAAUCAAGUGGGGCCUUCUCCCAAAGUUUGUGCUGAGACUUUGGGAAAUUGGUCUUCAUAUCACCAUAUUCCUCGUCUAUCAAGGCAACUGCCAUAUGAGCCAUCGAACUCCUGACUUGUCGAAGCCUGAAUACCGUUUGGAGAUCAAUGAGGCAACCAGUUGGUAUCUCAAUACCGAAGUUGUACCUCAUCUUCAGCUUGUCGUUCGUUAUGUCAACGGUAGCAAAAGUGAUGCCGCUGCGAAGGAAGUCCNNNNNNNNNNNNNNNNNNNNNNNNNNNNNNNNNNNNNNNNNNNNNNNNNNNNNNNNNNNNNNNNNNNNNNNNNNNNNNNNNNNNNNNNNNNNNNNNNNNNGCAAUGGAACCUAGAGAUAUCACUAUAGCUAUCCAAUGGAACCUAGAGAGAUCACUAGCUAUAUGCAAUUUUCAUGACUAUGACAUAUCAUAUUGCUAUCCAAUGGAACCUAGAUAGAUCACUAGCUAUAUGCAAUUUUCAUAACCUUGGAUCAAAGAACACCGCAUAAAACUGUAUCAGUGCAACUAUGAUUUUAAUGGAACAUAUUGAACCAAUCAGAAUUUUCAGAUUGUGGAACACUAUUCCAAUCAGAUUGUGUUCCCUUCAACUAAUCAAANNNNNNNNNNGAUUUUUCAGGUUGUGGAACACUAUUCCAAUCAGAUUGUGUUCCCUUCAACUAAUCAAAAUUGUUUCACUACAACUAUUUGAAGCGAAGCAACUAUGAUUCCAAUGGAACAUAUUAAACACUAGUUGAUUCUAAUACGAUUUUCAGAUUAUGGAACACUAUUUCAAUCAGAUUGUGUUCCCCUUCAACUAAUCAAAAUUGUUUCACUACAACUAUUUCAAGGGAACCAACUAUGAUUGAAACAAAUAAACUUACAAUGUCAUUACCUUGGAUCAAAGAAAGCCUCAAAACUUACCUCGCCCAUUGGAAGAUCAAGACAUGGUGUGCGAAGCAUAGUUGGAUGACGGCAACACCGCGUUGAUCGGCCGUGUACUCCAGAUGAAGCCCCAAGAGCUUCUCAUGAUCCACUGCGGCGUCAAGCCAUUGUUCCUUCAACUGUCUAAGAAAAUGCGGCACCUCGCUGCUCUCGUUCGUGUACACGACAUCGAGCUUGGUCUCGCCAUGUGCGAGCACCUCUCCAAAGCGAGUUAGCAUGGUGGAAGAAGAGAAGGGAAGAAGAGAGGAGAAGAACAGAGCGAGAGCGAGAGAGGAAGAAGAACAGAGAAAGAAGGGCGACGCGACACAGACUCUGCUUCGGUUGUGGUUUUGUGAAGCGGGAUGCAAACNNNNNNNNNNNNNNNNNNNNNNNNNNNNNNNNNNNNNNNNNNNNNNNNNNNNNNNNNNNNNNNNNNNNNNNNNNNNNNNNNNNNNNNNNNNNNNNNNNNNAUCUUCUCUCUUUCAGUUUUUUCCAACCUUUCUUCAGUUUUUUUUCAAUCUUUCUUUCAGGCCAACAUUUUCUUGUUCAACUAAGUGUAACUUCUCACCAAUAGGGUCGAUUGGCAUUUCCGGUUCCACUACCUCCUAGAUAAAAAUAUCUAUGUCAAGUUGGUCGGCGUAAUUAAUUGUCAUAUAAUCAGGAAAUAGAAAAUAUGUAGUUAUAAAAGAUAAUAUACCACAUCCGAAUCAUAGACUGGACGAGGACCAACGUGGACGGAUAUACAAAACCAUGGCGCUAUACAUAUAAAAAUCUUACACAAUAAGAAAAUUAUAUACAAGUAAAUAUGUAAAUCAUACAAAUCAAAAUUUGUUUUGGUAAAUAAAACAACAGGCUCACCAAGGUUGUGUCGGUGACGGGGCGAUCGACGGCGGUGAGGAAGGGGACAAGGCGCGCGACACUAAAAAACCACAAAUCAUAAUUAAAUUUGAGCUCAAAUUGCUAUAUGUAUACAUAACAAAUGAUGAACUCUCUCUAGCUUAGGCAUUUCAUCAAACACCUAGCUAGCACAACAAAAAUGAAAUGAGCAAGAAAACGAGCAAAAACUUGCAAUGUCGGAAGAGGGAAUGUUGAUGCUAACCGUAGGACCGAUGGGUGCCAACAAUCUUGACAAAUGGUGGAGAAAAAUGGGGAUGGAUUAGAGCUCCCAAGAGGANNNNNNNNNNNNNNNNNNNNNNNNNNNNNNNNNNNNNNNNNNNNNNNNNNNNNNNNNNNNNNNNNNNNNNNNNNNNNNNNNNNNNNNNNNNNNNNNNNNNAACGAUAACAACGUUAGUGGUCAAGAAAAUUUAGGCGAGGGUAAUAAUGCUGCGAGUGAACCUGACAAUUUAGGCAAGGGUACCGAUGCUGUGAAUGAUAAUAACAUGAGCGAUUCUGUGCCAGCACAACAGCCUUGUGCUUCAAAUAUUUAUGAUCCAGCAAAUUGGGAAUGUUUAGAUGAUAAAGCACGGGCUAUUUUAGUUGAAAAGGGACCUAUCGGACAAGAAAACCUCGUAUCUCAUUCAGAUGAUUCUUUUUUCUUAAGCAAUUGCUUCUAUUUUUUUAUGUACAGAGGCCCCAUUAUGUGAGUAUACUGUUUUAUAUGACGAGUGGGAGAGCUAAGUCCUAGUAGUACUUGCGAUCAGCACACUAGCAAAACACACUCACUAGUGCUGCUCACACACAUACGUACAUGUAUGGAGUAGUACUACCUGAGGCUAGAUAGUUUGAAUGAGAAUAGCCUGAUGUUACAACGAGGGCAUCGGCCCUUUAAAUAGCAGUACAAACCGACCUAGGAACUCAAAUAUUUCUACUAGCUAAUACGUCAUUGCGGACAUAUUUCUAAGGCUGCAUAACUGGACAUAGGCCCUGUUUGGAACCAUAAUAGAUUAUAAUAAUCUGGUUUAUGAACAUAGAUUAUAUAAACUGGUUUAUAAAAAUAAUCUAGGUGGGCAUGUUUUGGAGGCCAGAUUAUAUAAACUGUAAACCAGCUUUUAAAUUGUGCAAUGACAUGUUUGCCCUCUGUUUUUUGCGAUGGGAAAACGGUGCGGUGGCAGUACCUUGUAAAUAGCUCAAAGNNNNNNNNNNNNNNNNNNNNNNNNNNNNNNNNNNNNNNNNNNNNNNNNNNNNNNNNNNNNNNNNNNNNNNNNNNNNNNNNNNNNNNNNNNNNNNNNNNNNAAUGCGCCAUUAGUAACCCUGGUUACUAAAGGCGCACCUCCUCUGAUGCGCCAUUAGUAGUUCUGCAAAAAUAGUAAUGGCGCACCAGCAACAGAUGCGCCAUUAGUAACACUGGUUACUAAUGGCGCACUAGCUGUGGUGCGCCAUUAGUAGUUUGCAAAAAAACAAAAAAUUAAUAGUUGUGGCGCACUACUAACAGAUGCGCCAUUAGUAAGCAGGUUACUAAUGGCGCACCAGCUUCUGGUGCGCCAUUAGUAGUUCUGCAAAAAAGAUAAAAAUAAAAUAAUAGUAGUGGCGCACCGAGAGUGUGGUGCGCCAUUAUUAUCUACCRCACUAAUGGCACACCUCACAUGGUGCGCCAUUACUAUAUAGUAGUGGCGCACUGCUUGUGUGGUGCACCAUUAGUAUCUAUAUCAUCUAUAGGCCCCUUUUUCCUAGAAGUGAGUCAGGCCAUUUACCUUGCCCCAUUGCUAUGAUGAGUUGAAUGAUGAUGAGAAAUGAAANNNNNNNNNNNNNNNNNNNNNNNNNNNNNNNNNNNNNNNNNNNNNNNNNNNNNNNNNNNNNNNNNNNNNNNNNNNNNNNNNNNNNNNNNNNNNNNNNNNNCUUGGACCCAAAGACUGUGGACUGCGUUAAUUUGGGAUACGCUAAGAAUAGCGUAGGCUAUAGAUUUCUAGUAGUGAAAUCUGAGGUACCUGACGUGAAGGUCGGUACAAUAAUGGAGUCGAGGGAUGCUACAUUCUUUGAGGAUAUAUUUCCCAUGAGAGAUAUGCAAACACUACAAGGAAUAUGCUAAUACACGACGCUAUUUUUUCGUCGCUACAUCGUCACGGUUUUUAUUUUACGACGAACUCACGACGAAAAACCAAGCGUCGAAAACGGGGCGUCAGAAAUGAACAACAACGCUGUUUUGAUCAAAAAUCGUCGUAACUUUUACGACGAUUCCUGAAUUGUCGUAACCUUUACGACGAUCCUAAAUCGUCGUUGGCAAUCUAACCCAGUCCUACGUGGCAAAAAUUACGACGAAAUCAAAACAUCAUGGUUGAAAUCAGCCCAACCCAUUUCAAUUGAUCACAUGGGCUGGUUUUAUUUUUUGGGCUUUUUCUUAUUGAGCUUCUUUUUGGGKCCUUAGCCUAUUUACAAUCAUAGUAUUUUUUCGAAUUUUUUUUAUCAUUAUAAUUUGGGCCCUCGCCUUUUAGUGCCCAAAUACAUUUGGUCCAGUUUCAGUUUUGACAUUUUUCAUUUUUGAAUUCAGCAACUUUUUGUUUCAGAACUUGGUUUCAUUUGUAUUUGUUGAGCCUUUUCAACCCANNNNNNNNNNNNNNNNNNNNNNNNNNNNNNNNNNNNNNNNNNNNNNNNNNNNNNNNNNNNNNNNNNNNNNNNNNNNNNNNNNNNNNNNNNNNNNNNNNNNCGAAUACGGGUCAAUGAACCCAAAGUCCCAGAUUCCUGCCAGCCUGCAUUCACGAAUCUUCAUUCUGCAUAGUAGCGUACAAAAAGAAUGUCUCGUGGGUGAUAAUUAUACGGGCAAUGAACGCGAGCUUAACUAAAUAAUUAAAUUACACAAAUAAAACACUUACAAACAGUAGCAGCUGACGAUAGCUUUGUCGAGGGCACGUUGAUUGUACAUCUGGAAAAAAUCAUCGAACCCAACCUCCACACCGUACUCUCCGAAGUAGUGUUGAUCCUGAACUGCCGCCAUGAUACAGUCUCUCUUUUGCCUUGCGGCCUCCAAGUACCAACCAUGUAAAUUCCAUAGUUGGGUUGUUAGAGCACUAGGAUUUUCGACCAGAGGCUGCUCGGGCUUAUAUUUAUAUACCACAUCAGCAAUAGCGUAACCUACGUCGCCCAUGCGUGGACCGGACACUGAAGCCUGGUCAGAUAACACCUUGAGCGGGGCAAUUGACUGUGCUUCUUGUUGUCCGAGCUGGGGAACUUGUUUCCCGCAUUUCGUCUGCUCCGCCUGCUUCAUCUGCUCCGCCUGCUUCAUCUGUGCGGUGUGCAUCUUUUCAAUGAACCGUUCAUAGUCUGAAAGGGGCGGCGGUGGCGGCGGUUCAGGAUAAUAUAAGUUGUCGAUGGUGCGCUCAAUUUUCCACUUUGGUACGUUCUUCAGAGUUUCCUUCCAGAUGUCUGGAGGGGGCUUCAGGGGAAACCGUGCGAACCAUGCUUUGUUUUUGGCUUCCAAGGCCUCGUCUAGUUCCUCCGGAGUCAUCAGGCCUGGUAACUUCGGGGGAGUCUUGACUUUAUUGGGUUUCCUUUCUCUCUUCUUGGGAGGAGUCCCGUUUCUUCUGAACUGCAGCUUCCGCUUUGCCGUACCCGUAGUGCGCGCAUCCGUCAGCUCACUGGAGUGCACAGGCGAUGGACACUCGGCCUCGGGCUCCCUAUCUUCGUUGUGGGGUGGACUUGGAGGUGCGUUGGGGGGUGGACUUGGAGGUCGUGCAUUCUCUGUACGAAAGUGAAAAAACUAUUAAAAUUAGGCUUACAUGUGGUGCAACAUUCAGUAAUUGUUGGAGGUGGUGCAUAAUUGUACCUGGAGGAGUCGGUGGCCUUGGCGCCGCGUUAGGAAACACGAUGUGUUUCUUCUUCCACAAGAUGAUACCAAGCUCCAUUUCUCCCAGUGUCUUCUCGCCUUCACCUCCAGGAAUAUCAAGCUCAAUUGACUGGCAUCCCGGCGUAAUUGUUGACAACCCGACACGAGCAUGGGAUGCUGGAAUCUGACAACCAUGGUAGGUUGCUCCAGGUUGAUUCGGUAAAGCAUAGCCUGACGCCACCAUGAAGGAUAUGUUCCCCAUUGGCAUAUGUAUCUCACAGUUUGUCUUCUCCGUGACAUCAUCCACGGGGUAGUGAGGCGCCGACGGUUCGACUGCAGGACCGUCUUCUAGCUGCAGCUGCGUGGAACCCACGCUACUUCUAUGCUGAGAUGGGACGGCAUCUGCUACAGGAUCGUCUUCUAAUUGCUGCCUAUCAGCGUCAGGUGCAGGAUCUUCUUCCUCCUCUUCAGUGUCAGGUACAGGGUGUCCCCCUUUCUUCAAGAGAAACGACACCUUUUCUUCUAAUGUCGCUAUCCGUUCCAGCGCCUUUCUCUUGCUUCUACCAUGGCUUCUGUAAGUGCCAAGGUCCGCCGGAAACCCUUGGUUCCACGGGGUAGUGGCUCCAAAGCCUCGUGUUCGUCCCCACUUUUCGGGGUUCCCGAGUGCCUUCGUCAACUCGUCGUUCUCUCUAUCGGGAACAAAAGUUCCUUUUCGAACAGCUUCUAUUGCCUUCUCUAGAUCUGAUACGACUUGUCUUAUUUUUUCCGACCAUGGUCCCUCCGCAACAAUCAUUCCAGUCUCAGCGUCCAACGUUGCCCCAUGCGCGAACAACCAGAACUUGGACCUAUCGGGCCAGUCAUGUGUCUGUGGAAUGAUAUUUCUUUUCAGAAGCGCAUCUUCAUAUCGUCGCCACCUAGGCAGGGCAGUCAUGUAGCCACCUGACCCCAAAAUAUGGUGAUAUUUCUUCUUCUUCGCAUUCUCCGUAUUUGUGGCUGAUCGGGAUGUGAAGACACCCGAUUUCUUGUACGCCUUAAAAUCAGGCCAAGCGUCUCUUAUCUUCACUAGGUGCCCAGUGAAAACUGGAUCUUCGUCCUUAUAUUUCUUCCACAAGUCUUUCUUCCACCUCUGGAAUUGUGUGGCCAUCUUCUUCAAAGCUCACUCCUCGACUUUCUUCUUCUUAUCUUCCGCUACGCUGAAAUUUAGCCAGACCGUGUCGCAAAGCACUCUUUUCAAUCUGUCAUCGACAUAAGUAGCUCCAACGUUGGCGCCGGUCUUCGGCUUAUUCCAUUCUAUUAAGUUGAUCGGGACCAGGUCUCUUACAACAACUCUGCACUGAUUUACAAAUUUGCGAUAAGUUUCUGGGGGUUCCAGUGGUUUGCCAUCAGCAGCAACUUUAUCGAUCGAGUACCUUGCAGUAUCUUUCAACCUUGCGGCCGGGCCUCGUUUCGACUUUGUCUCAGUACUUGCGCUAGCUGUUCCGGAGGGCGCCUAAACGGGAAAAUAAUGAUUCGUUAGUAAGUCCAAUAGAAAUUAAUUGUUGCGUCAACAGUGACUUGAGAUAUACAUUGGCAGAGUUUGUUCCGGAGGGCACUUCUGCAUCUACUACAUGUUCUAUAUUCUCAGCUCCGUCACCGGAGUCGUUCAAAAAUUGAUUGCUAAACGCAUGUCCACCGUCGUCAUCAUGAUAUAUGGCCGUUGCAUCUUCAAAAAUCAUCUGGCACAUGUAUCUUUCCUUCUCCGCCUCACCCAUUCCCGCGAGCUGAUCGGCAUGCUGAUCAUGUGGUUCUUGGGGAUCCAUAGCUCAACACCUGCUAGUAACAAGAAUUUAACUUAGCGAAAUUAUUUACGGAAAAGUUUUACGGAACCGGAAAGUUUACGGAAAAGUUUUACGGAAUCGUCGGAGUCGUAAUCGUCGGAAAGUUUUNNNNNNNNNNNNNNNNNNNNNNNNNNNNNNNNNNNNNNNNNNNNNNNNNNNNNNNNNNNNNNNNNNNNNNNNNNNNNNNNNNNNNNNNNNNNNNNNNNNNGGAGGCUGUUUUAUGUAAACUUCCGCUUCCAGAACACCAUGGAGAAACACAUUUUGGACAUCUAGCUGUCUCAGGCUCCAUCCCUUGGACACAGCUAUUGAUAACACAAGACGGAUUGUCGUAGCUUUAACAACAGGACUGAAUGUAUCCUCAUAAUCUAUACCAUACCUUUGCUUGAAUCCCUUGGCUACAAGUCUUGCCUUGUAUCUGUCUAUGGUACCAUCAGACUUUUUCUUGAUUCUAUAGACCCACUUACAGUCAAUCAGAUUUCUGCCUGGUCGUGGGGGCACUAGGUGCCAUGUUUUAUUUAUGCGCAAUGCCAUGAUUUCAUCUUCCAUAGCUGUCUUCCACCUCGGAUCAUCAAGUGUUGUCAUUAAACUGUUAGGCUCACCAGUUGUGCAAGACAUACCAAUUUUAGAGAAAUUUUUGUAAUUUAAACGAGUAGUGACUCCCUUCUGUAGCCUUGUGCGCGGCGCCACAGGAGAUCCAUGAUCUGCGUCAGGUGCUGGUGAAUCGGAUCCCGAGGAUGAUUAUGUCGUUCCUGCNNNNNNNNNNNNNNNNNNNNNNNNNNNNNNNNNNNNNNNNNNNNNNNNNNNNNNNNNNNNNNNNNNNNNNNNNNNNNNNNNNNNNNNNNNNNNNNNNNNNCAAUAAACCCCAAAACCCAAAUCCCGGAAGCCUUUAAUCCCGCUUGGUGUUACCAACCGGGACUAAAGAUCCCCUCUCCCGAGUGCGAUCAGCCAGCCACGUGGAAGGGAAUUAGUCCCGGGUCGUGGCAAACCGGGACUAGGGGGGCUUUAGUCCCAAGUUAUUAUUCCGGGUUGAUGAACCGGGACUUAAGGUCCUUAUCAAUCGGGACUAAAGCCUUGUUUUCUACAAGUGAUGACACGAAUAUCGUUGCCAUUGAGGAUACUAAGAUGUGGUCUAUACCUACAUGAAUAUAUCUUGUCUACAUCAUGUCAUCGUUCUUAAGGCAUUACUUCUUUUCUCCAUGAACUCAAUGCACUAGAUGCAUGCUGGAUAGCGGUCGAUGUAUGGAGUACUAAAAGUAGAUGCAUGCAGAAGUCGGAUUACUUAUUUUGCACGUGAUGCCUAUAUACAUGAUCAUUGUCAUGAAUAUCGUCAUAAUUAUUUGCUUUUCUAUCAAUUGCCCAACAGUAAUUUGUCUACCCACCGCUUGCUAUUUUUCUCGAGAGAAGCCACUAGUUAAACCUAUGGCCCCUGUAUCUACUUCACAACAUCUAUUUGCAAUCUCUACUUUGCUAUUUGCUUUUCUACUUUAUUUGCCGUUUUGUUUUCAGAUCUAUAUUAUCAAAAGGCGCAAAAAUACCUUUUUGCGUUCUAUUUGCUAUCACUCUUAUUUGCAUCUAUAAAUCCAUCUUUACUUUACCUACGAAGGACUGACAACCCCUCUACGCAUUAGGUUGCGAGGAUUUUCUAUUUGUGUGGAGGUGCUGCUUACAUAGUCUUGUGAAUCUUCCUACUGAAUUGAUACAUUGGUUUCUUAACUGAGGAAAAUACUUGUCGUCGUUGUGCUACAUCACCCUUUAAGCUUGGAGGGAAACCAACGCACCCAUGAGGGAUGUCAAGGCCUACCAGGUUGUAUGGCUGGACGAAGGCUUCACAUCAUCGGGGCACCAGCAUGGUGGGACGGCUGCAGGCAGAGGAUCUGAGACAGCGGCGAGCGGUAGUAAGCGAAAGAUAAGAGGAGAGGGACGUUUGGAGCUAAGGUCACAUAGAUCCAAAUAUCGGUUGGCGAAGUAGACAAGGCCCCGUGACGAGGAUGAGGCCGGCGACAUGGAGAUGGGGGGGAACAGGGUAUGGUGCGGACAGAGCGUAAGGCGAGAAAUAGUCGCCACGAGACUAGAGGUCUCCUCGUGCAUGCGUGUGUUUCAUGAGGUGAGAUAGCCCAUGACGCUCUCGGUCGCCUUCAUUUUUUUGGUGUACUCACCGGGCCUGCAGAAAAACAUACAUAUUCAAUAGCCUAUUGUAAAUUCUAUGGCCCGGUCCUAGUCCCUGUGUGCGUGGGCCCAACUCCGCCCUGGUCUUGAGCACAUAUUAGCGCAUGUGGAUGAAGGAGCGCCUGAUCGUGCGGAGACCAUCCACCCCUCGUAGAUCACAAUCGACGAAGCAGGUGACUUCUUGAGGACGAGAUCGGGGCCUAUCAGGACGUUCGGAUGGACGAAGGCUUCCCGUUGUCGAACCACCGACACGGUGGGACAACCACUGGCAGAGGAUCCGAGAUAACAGCGGGCGGCGGCAAGCUGAAGAGAAGAGGAGAGGGACGGGGAGGUCUUGGGGUCAAGAUCCAGAGAUCGGUUGGCGAAGCAGACAAUGCCGCACGACAAGGCUGAGGCCGGCGACAUGUAGACGAGGGGAACAGGGUGUUGUGUGGACAGAGCAUGACCAAGUCUAACCCAGAAAAGGUGGGAGGUAGGAGAUGGCGACCGGCGGCAGGGGUAAUAUGUUUGAUCUUUUUAGAAUGGGGCUCGGUCUCACUCGACUGAUAUUUAACCAAGUCCCACUCAAGUGACAUAAGAUGGAAGAGAAAACAAGAAAAACAACUAAAAUGAAGUUUUUGCAUGAAUCUUUAUGUAAGAUCUCACGGAUAUAGCAUCGUUAAAUCUCAGUCGACUGAAACAUAGUGGACUUUUUCACUGUUUUAACCCACGAGACGAAAAUAAUGCAUAAAAUGAACUCGAUUUAAAACUAUUUCACGAUCUGACCUUUUUAGAAACGCCAGAACCCGUGACGUUGCUGGUGUACAUAGAAACGUCAUUCUACCAUAGCGUUUUCGGUUCAUGUACAGUGCAUGUACAGUGCAUGUACAACCAUUAUCCACGGGGCAUGCCAAGAGGUGGCGUAGGGUACACCUAGCCGUGUAUGUAACCACUGACCCGACGCGGUGACGGGGCAGGGCCCCUCCUCGUGCUGUGCCUCCAGCCUCCAUUAUUUUAACCUGCAGAUUAUCAAGAGGUGGCGGCAGCAGCAGAAACGCAUACUUAAUGGCGUUUUGGGCCUGUGCAGAAACGCCAGUGAGGGUGGCGUUUCUAGGUGGAUCUGCAACGCGAGCUAGACUGGCGUCUGAAUGUGGACCGAAAACAUCACGGUAGACUAGCGUUUCUAUAUACACCAGCAACGCCACGGGUUCUGGCGUUUCUAAAAGGAUCAGAUCGUGAAAUAGUUUCAGAUCGAGUUCAUUCUGUGCAUUAUUUUCGUUUCGUGGGUCAGAACAGAGGACCAGAAUACCUGAUCUUGCUUAACUACUGUUGAUUUCUAAACGUAAUAUAGCGCACUUGGUGGCAAGCUGACUUAUUGGUGCACAUCAUAUAUAUCUUAUGUAGCAUCUAUGAAGCUUUUUGCUCAAUGUUUUCAGUUUCAUUCCAUGUUAAAUUGAUAGUUCUUCUAGUUUGCGCACAUGUAUGCUUUACGAAUGCAUGCUCUACUAUAUACGGGGCAGAAUAAUAAAAAAUGAUAUAAUAUAAAAGAAAAUGAAAUUAUAUCUCACAUGACAACAAAUUAGCUAGGAUAUUUGCCCCCGUAUAUAGUUGAUAGGAUCCACUAGGAACUAUUAAUACUCAUGCAUCCAUCUUUUUCAUAUCCGUGCUCGAGGCCAAUGUAUCCCCCGUCCCACCACAAGCUGCCGUGGGAAUUCUUGAUUAGCCAUUAGUUAAUGCUAUCGGUCAGUCUUCCAUCACUGUACCUCUCCUCUGUCCCGUAUCCGUGGCAGGUGGGGGAUGUGAUGGUGCUCGUCACCAGCUGGCUUGCAUUUUGGUUUCCUCCAACUUCUCACAGCAACAUUGGGAUUAAUGUACUAGUACAAACAAAGAAAAACAUCGAAUAGAAUAACUAAGCAGAAAAAUAGUUGGUACUAGCUACCUAUCUUAACAUGUGAUCAAGUAGCAAAUGAAAUCACUCGUGGGUUUAUAUAGAAGGUUUCGUAUGUGCAUCAAUGAAUGGUAAUACACACAUAAGCAUGAGCAUGAAAAAAAUGAGGUGCGUAGAGCAUGAUAAACUCUAAAAUGCAAGUACAUUAUAAAACCUUUUCCACAUGCGCCACUGAUAAAUGUUAUGAGCAAUUAGUCAUCAUAACUUUAGUGUGCCACAUGCGUAUCACCCUCUUGUGCUUCUUCUUUGCUUUUAUCCAAUUCAUGUUUCAACAUGAAUGUGGGGACACGACAAAAGUAUGCACAGAUAGAUCAUUGAUGCACAAUGCAUGAGAAAAAUCAUUUUGCAUUGGCCUCAACAAUUGAAAUAUCUCAAUUUUUUAAUCUACGUGCGCUACAAUGGGCCGACCCAACACUGUUUACACGACGUGAGAGGUCGUUGUUGGCUCGCGUAAGGCGAGAAAUAGUCGCAGCGGUGUUGGAGAGGUCUCCUCGUGCAUGUGUCCAUUUCAUAUGAGGUGAGAUAGACCAUUACGGUCUGGGCCUCCUUCAUUUUACUGGUCUGCACCCUGGACCUGCAAAAAAACAUAUUUAAUAGCCUAUUAUAAAUUCCACACCCGGGGCUUGGUCCCUGUGUGCCCGGGGCCAGCACUUCCUCUGGUCUUCAGCACAAAGUAGCGCAUGUGGAUGAAGGAGCAUCCGAUCAUGCGGCGACCAUCCACCCCACGUACACCAUAGUAGACGAAGAAGUUGCUAUCUUGAGGACGAGAUCGGGGCCUACCAGGACGUACGACUAGACGAAGGCUUCACGACGUCGUACCACCGGUGUGGCGACACAGCCACAUGCAGAGGAUCCAAGACAGCAGCGGGCUGCAGCAAGCGGAAGAGAGGAGGAAAGGGAUGGGGAGAUCUUGGGGCCAAGGUCAUACAUAUCCAAAGAUCGGUUGUCUAAGCAGACAUGGCCGCACGGCGAGGAUGAGGCCGACAACACGGAGACGAGUGGAACGGGGUGUGGUGUGGAGAGAGUGUGACCAAGUCCAACCCGGAAAUGCCGGAGGUAGGGGACGGCAACCGAUGGCAGGGGAAUCUAUUUGAUCUUUUUAAGGUGUGGCUAGGUCUUAGUCGACUAAUAUUUAACCCAAGUCUUAUUCAAGUGACCUAAAAUGUAAGGGAAAAAAACUGAAGAGAAAAUUUUGCACAAAUCCCAGUGUAAGUUCUCAUGGACAUAACACCAACUCAGACUUCGUGAAGUCUCGGUCGACUCAAACUUAUCAAGACUGAUCUUUCUAACCCCCAACUAUUCUAUUCUGGUAGGGAAAGUUAGUUAUUUACCCAAAAUUUCACCACCCCAGGUCGGUUAGGUGGGUCCCACACCCCCACAACUCUCACACUUACGCGCACGAACCCGUCUUCUCGAUUCCCUUUCUCUCGCAUGACUCCGCUGCCUGCAUUGCCGUAGUUGAUGUCGUGUCUAACACCGAUCGCGCCUCUCACGUGUGGAUCUCUCACCCUGUGUUUGCGGUAGUUUCCCUGCCACCACCAUGCCACUCUGGAGCCACCCCGGUCGCAGGUGCUCCUCUUCUCCACCGGCUCCACUCGGCACUCCCGCAGUCCCUGGUGGUCCACCACUUUUUCCGCCAUCUAUCCUGCUCGCGCGGCCGCCGUCUUCUCCGACAUCGAUCAAAUUCGUCUUGCAACUGGUAAUUGUGAUCUGCGUUGGGUUUUCUAUGAAGAGGAAUGGGUAAUUACGACACAAUAUGGGUAAGUAUGUCCCUCAGUUAGGCACCAAUGUUUAUCGAACCAAUAGAAAUAGCAGUCAACUAUCGUUUUUAGCGACUAUACACAAACGAGCAAAGCACUUGUGCCCAACGUGGGAAAGAGGGUUCUCAAUCCCCUUGGACUCAUUAUUUGCAAGAAAGUGAUAUGUGUAGAUAAUAGUUGUGAAUUGUAAAUUCCAAAAUAAAAUAAAAGACAAUAAAUGGAAGCAAGGUAUUGAAAGCAUUUGUAAACUUAUAGCUGGAUAGACCCGGGGGCCAUAGUUUUCCUUAGUGGCAUCUCUAAUGUAAUAGGCAUACGGUGAUAAAUAAAUUGUUGUUGGGCAAUUGGUAGAAAAACGCAUAGUUAGGUGAUAUCCAUGGCAAUGAUCAUGUGUAUAUAGGCAUUGUUUGGAAACGUCGCAUGGGAAACAAAAAAAUUUCUACGCGCACGAAGACCUAUCAUGGUGAUGUCCAUCUACGAGGGGGAUUUCAGAUCUACGUACCCUUGUAGAUCGCACAACAGAAGCAUUAAUAAACGUGGUUGAUGUAGUGGAACGUCCUCACGUCCCUCGAUCCGCCCCGCGAACCGUCACACGAACCGUCCCGCGAUCCGUCCCACAAUACGCUCCGAUCUAGUGCCGAACGGACGGCACCUCCGCGUUCAGCACACGUACAGCUCGACGAUGAUCUCGGCCUUCUUGAUCCAGCAAGAGAGACAGAGAGGUAGAUGAGUUCUCCGGCAGCGUGACGGCGCUCCGGAGGUUGGUGGUGAUCUAAUCUCAGGAGGGCUCCGCCCGAGCUCCGCAGAAACGCGAUCUAGAGGAAAAAUCGUGGAGGUAUGUGGUCGGGCUGCCGUGGAAAACUUGUCCCAAAUCAGCCCUAAAACCUCCGUAUAUAUAGGUGGGAGGGGAGGGGCCUUUCCUUGGGGCUCAAGGAGCCCCAAGGGGUUCGGCCAAAGGGGGGGAGGAGGAGUCCUCCUCCAAUCCUAGUCCAACUAGGAUUGGAAGGUGGAGUCCUUCCCUUCCUUCCCACUUCCCUUUUUUUCUCUUUGAUUUUCUUAUCUCCCUGCGUAGGGGCCUCUUUGGGCUUGCCCACCAGCCCACUAAGGGCUGGUGCGGCACCCCUAAGGCCUAUGGGCUUCCCCGGGAUGGGCUGCCCCCCGGUGAACAUCCGGAACCCAUUCGUCAUUCCCGGUACAUUCCCGGUAACUCCGAAAACCUUCUGGUAAUCAAAUGAGGUCAUCCGAUAUAUCAAUCUUCGUCUCCGGACCAUUCCGGAAACCCUCGUGAUAUCCGUGAUCUCAUCCGGGACUCCGAACAACAUUCGGUAACCAACCAUAUAACUUAAAUACGCAUAAAACAACGUCGAACCUUAAGUGUGCAGACCCUGCGGGUUCGAGAACUAUGUAGACAUGACCCGAGGGACUCCUCGGUCAAUAUCCAAUAGCGGGACCUGGAUGCCCACAUUAGAUCCUACAUAUUCUACGAAGAUCUUAUCGUUUGAACCUCAGUGCCAAGGAUUCAUAUAAUCCCGUAUGUCAUUCCCUUUGUCCUUCGGUAUGUUACUUGCCCGAGAUUCGAUCGUCACUAUCCGCAUACCUAUUUCAAUCUCGUUUACAGGCAAGUCUCUUUACUCGUUCCGUAAUACAAGAUCCCGCAACUUACACUAAGUCACAUUGCUUGCAAGGCUUGUGUGUGAUGUUGUAUUAUCGAGUGGGCCCCGAGAUACCUCUCCGUCACACGGAGUGACAAAUCCCAGUCUUGAUCCAUACUAAUCAACGAACACCUUCGGAGAUACCUCUAGAGCAUCUUUAUAGUUACCCAGUUACGUUGCGACGUUUGAUACACACAAAACAUUCCUCCGGUGUUAGUGAGUUAUAUGAUCUCAUGGUCAUAGGAAUAAAUACUUGGCACGCAGAAAACAGUAGCAACAAAAUGACACGAUCAACAUGCUACGUCUAUUAGUUUGGGUCUAGUCCAUCACAUGAUUCUCCCAAUGACGUGAUCCAGUUAUCAAGCAACAACACCUUGUACAUAGUCAGAAGACCCCGACUAUCCUUGAUCAACUAGCUAGCCAACUAGAGGCUUGCUAGGGACAGUGUUUUGUCUAUGUAUCCACACAUGUAUCUAAGUCUUCAUUCAAUACAAUUGUAGCAUGGAUAAUAAACGAUUAUCUUGAUACAGGAAUUAUAAUAAUUACUUAUUUAUCAUUGCCUCUAGGUUAUAAUUCCAAAUGUCUCCCACUUGCACUAGAGUCAAUAAUCUAGCCCUCACAUCACCAUGCGAAUUACAUUGUAAUAGAUCUAACACCCAUACAGUUCUGUUGUUGAUCAUGCUUUGCCCGUGGAAGAGGUUUAGUCAGCGGGUCUGCUACAUUCAGACUCGUGUGCACUUUGCAUAUAUUUACGUCCUCCCCUUCGACGUAGUUGCGGAUGAGGUUGAAGCAUCGUUUGAUGUGUCUGGUCUUCUUGUGAAACCGUGGUUCCUUUGCUAAGGCAAUGGCACUCGUGUUGUCACAAAACAAGGUUAUGGGAUUCAGUGUGCUUGCAACCACUCCGAGAUCCGUCAUGAACUGCUUCAUCCAGACACCCUCCUUAGCCGCCUCCGAGGCAGCCAUGUACUCCGCUUCACAUGUAGAAUCAGCUACGACACUUUGCUUGGAACUGCACCAGUUUACAACACCCCCAUUAAGAAUAAAUACGUAUCCGGUCUGCGACUUAGAGUCGUCCGGAUCUGUGUCAAAGCUUGCAUCGACGUAACCUUUUACGGCGAGCUCUUCGUCACAUACACGAGAAAGAUCUCCUUAGUCCUUUUGAGGUACUUCAGGAUAUUCUUGACCGCCGUCCAGUGAUCCACUCCUGGAUUACUUUGGAACUUGCCUGCCAUACUUAUGGCCAGGCUAACGUCCGGUCUAGUGCACAUCAUUGCAUACAUGAUAGAACCUAUGGCUGAAGCAUAGGGGGAUGGUGCUCAUAUGCUCUCUAUCUUUAUCAGUUGCUGGGCACUGAGUCUUACUCAAUCUCGUACCUUGUAAAACUGGCAAGAACCCCUUCUUGGACUGUUCCAUUUUGAACCUCUUCAAAACUUUAUCAAGGUAUGUACUUUGUGAAAAUCCUAUCAGGCGUUUCGAUCUAUCCUUAUAGAUCUUAGUGCCUAGAAUGUAAGCAGCUUCUCCUAGGUCCUUCAUAGAGAAACUUUUAUUCAAGUAAUCCUUUAUGCUCUCCAAAAACUCCACGUUGUUUCCAAUCAGCAAUAUGUCAUCCAUAUAUAAUAUUAGAAACGCCACAGAGCUCCCACUCACUUUCUUGUAAAUACAAGAUUCUCCAACCACUUGUAUAAACCCAAAUGCUUUGAUCACCUCAUCAAAGCGUUUAUUCCAACUCCGAAAUGCUUGCACCAGUCCAUAAAUGGACCGCUGGAGCUUGCACACUUUGUUAGCAUUUUUAGGAUCGACAAAACUUUCGGGUUGCAUCAUAUACAACUCUUCCUUAAGGAAACCGUUAAGGAACGCCGUUUUGACAUCCAUCUGCCAGAUUUCAUAAUCGAAAAAUGCAGCUAUUGCUAACAUGAUUCUGACGGACUUAAGCAUCGGUACGGGUGAGAAUGUCUCAUCGUAGUCAACUCCUUGAACUUGUGAAAAACCCUUUGCCACAAGUCGAGCUUUAUAAACGGUCACAUUACCUUCAGCGUCCGUCUUCUUCUUAAAGACCCAUUUGUUCUGAAUAGCCUUGUGGCCUUCAGGUAGUACUUCCAAAGUCCAUACUUUGUUUUCAUACAUAGAUCCUAUCUCGGACUUCAUGGCCUCCAGCCAUUUGUUGAAAUCCGGUCCCACCAUUGCUUCUUCAUAAUUCGCAGGCUCAUUGUUGUCUAACAACAUAAUUGAUAAGACGGGAUUACCGUAACACUCUGGAGUAGUACGCGGUCUCGUCGACCUGCGAUGUUCGACAGGAACUUGAUCCGGAGUUUCAUGAUCAUCAUCAUUAACUUCCUCCUCAACCGGCGUCGCAACGACAGGGGUUUCCCCUUGCCCUGCGCCACCAUCCAGAGGGAUGAGAGGUUCGACAAACCUCAUCAAGUUCUAUCUUCCUCCCACUCAAUUCUCUCGAGAGAAACUCCUUCUCGAAAAAAGCUCCGUUCUUAGCAACAAACACUUUGCCCUCGGAUUUGAGAUAGAAGGUAUACCCAACUGUCUCUUUUGGAUAACAUAUGAAGAUACACUUUUCCGCUUUGGGUUCCAGCUUUUCAGGCUGAAGCUUUUUGACAUAAGCAUCACAUCCCCAAACUUUAAGAAACGACAACUUUGGUCUUUUGCCAUACCACAGUUUGUAUGGUGUCGUCUCAACGGAUUUUGAUGGUGCCCUAUUUAAAGUGAAUGCAACUGUUUCUAAUGCAUAACCCCAAAACGAUAACGGCAAAUCGGUAAGAGACAUCAUAGAUCGCACCAUCUCUAAUAAAGUACGAUUAUGACGUUCAGACACAUCAUUACGCUGUGGUGUUCCAGGCGGUGUCAACUGUGAAACAAUUCCACAUUGUCUUAAGUGAGCACCAAACUCGAAACUCAGAUAUUCACCCCCACGAUCAGACGUAGGAACUUGAUCUUCUUGUUACGAUGAUUUUCAACUUCACUCUGAAAUUGCUUGAACUUUUCAAAUGUUUCAGACUUGUGUUUCAUUAAGUAGACAUAACCAUAUCUACUCAAAUCGUGAGUGAAGGUGAGAAAAUAACGAUAUCCGCCGUGUGCCUCCACGCUCAUCGGACCACACACAUCGGUAUGUAUGAUUGUUAACUCUAACUCUUUUGGUCUCAAUGUUAUGUAUAUGUGUAUUAUCAUUAUCAAGAUUCAAUAUGAACAAUCCUCUCACAUUGGAUGCAUGACCAUAAAAUAUAUUACUCAUAGAAAUAGAACAACCUUUAUUCUCUGACUUAAACGAGUAACCGUCUCGUAAUAAACAAGAUCCAGAUAUAAUGUUCAUGCUUAACGCAGACACUAAAUAACAAUUAUUUAAGUUCAUAACUAAUUCUGAUGGUAACUGAAGUGAAACUGUGCCGACGGCGAUUGCAUCAACCUUGGAACCAUUUCCCACGCGCAUCGUCACUUCAUCUUUCGCCAGCCUUCGCCUAUUCCGCGGUUCCUGUUUCGAGUUGCAAAUAUGAGCAACAGAAUCGGUAUCGAAUACCCAGGCACUACUACGAGAGCUGGUUAAGUACACAUCAAUAACAUGUAUAUCAAAUAUACCUGAUUUUUCUUUGGCCGCCUUCUUAUCAGCCAGAUACUUGGGGCAGUUGCGCUUCCAGUGACCCAUACCCUUGCAAUAAUAGCACUCCGUUUCAGGCUUAGGUCCAGCUUUGGGUUUCUUCGUCGGAUUGGCAACAGGUUUUCCGCUCUUCUUUGAAUUACCCUUCUUUCCUUGGCCGUUUCUCUUGAAACUAGUGGUCUUAUUCGCUCUUUACGGAGUUCUGACUCUGCGACUUUCAGCAUCGCAAACAACUCGCCGGGUGACUUGUUCAUCCCUUGCAUGUUGUAGUUCAACACAAAGCCCUUAUAGCUUGGCGGCAGUGAUUGAAGAAUUCUGUCAGUGAUAGCCUCUUGCGGGAGUUCAAUCCCCAGCUCAGCUAGACGGUUUGAGUACCCAGACAUUUUGAGCACAUGUUCACUGACAGACGAGUUCUCCUCCAUCUUGCAAACAUAGAAUUUAUCGGAGGUCUCAUACCUCUCAAUCCGGGCGUUCUUCUAAAAGAUAAACUUCAACUCCUGGAACAUCUCGUAUGCUCCAUGACGCUCAAAGUGACGUUGAAGUCCCGGCUCUAAGCCAUACAAGACUGCACAUUGAACUACUGAGUAGUCCUCCUUACGUGUUAACCAAGCGUUCUUAACAUCUUGGUCAGCCGUAGCGGGUGGUUCAUCUCCUAGCGCAGCAUUAAGGACAUAAUCCUUCUUCCCAGCUUGUAGGAGCAACAUAAGAUUACGAGCCCAGUCUACAAAGUUGCUUCCAUCAUCUUUCAACUUAGCUUUCUCUAGGAACGUAUUAAAAUUCAGGGGACUGUCGCGUGAGCCAUGAUCUACAACACAAAUUUAUUCAAAGUGGACUUAGACUAUGUUCAAGAUAAUUAGAGUUUAACUUAAUCAAAUUACUAGCUAAACUCCCACUCAAAAAGUACAUCGCUCUAGUCAUUUGAGUGGUCCAUGAUCCAAUUCCACUAGCUCAAGUCCGAUCAUCACCUUCGGAGAUAUGCCUCUAGAGCAUCUUUAUAGUUACCCAGUUACGUUGCGACGUUUGAUACACACAAAGCAUUCCUCCGGUGUCAGUGAGUUAUAUGAUCUCAUGGUCAUAGGAAUAAAUACUUGACACGCAGAAAACAGUAGCAACAAAAUGACACGAUCAACAUGCUACGUCUAUUAGUUUGGGUCUAGUCCAUUACAUGAUUCUCCCAAUGACGUGAUCCAGUUAUCAAGCAACAACACCUUGUACAUAGUCAGAAGACCCUAACUAUCCUUAUCAACUGGCUAGCCAACUAGAGGCUUGUUAGGGACAGUGUUUUGUCUAUGUAUCCACACUUGUAUCUAAGUCUCCAUUCAAUACAAUUAUAGCAUGGAUAAUAAACGAUUGUCUUAAUACAGGAAUUAUAAUAAUAACUUAUUUAUCAUUGCCUCUAGGGCAUAAUUCCAACACGCAUCACGUCCAUAAGCAAAUAGGCAGACUCCUGCCUGCAUCUAUUACUAUUACUCCACCCAUCGAUCCCUAUCCAGCAUGCAUCUAGAGUAUUAAGUAAAACAGAGUAAUGCUUGGAGAACAAUGACAUGAUGUAGACAAAGAGAAUUCAAUUAAGAUGAACUAACCACAUUGUUUUAUCCUUAGUGGCAGCAAUACAAAGACGUGUCCUGUACCUUUGUGUCACUGGGAUAUAGAGCACCUCCAGAUUGAACCCAUCACUACAAGAAAUAAGGUCAAUUAUGACUCCCUAUAUUGGUCAUUGAUUCGUCAUUGUUGUUGUUUAUUGACUUUUUUUGACCAAAUUUACAACGUCAACACUUGGCCGUCAAGAAUGAACAAACAUGACCUUUCUAAAAUUUUGGUCGCAGGUCUCUAUCGACCAAAAUUUUUGUUUGGUCAUUACCCAUUUGUGUGAGCCACGUAGGAUAUGACGUGGCAUUGCUAGUGACCAAAUGGAAUCAUCAUAAAUUUCAAAUCCCCGUCCACCAAUCUAGCUACGUGGGCCUGGCCCAAUAACUAUUUUACUAUUAAAAAUGUCUAAUUUGUUUGGAUUGAAGCAUUUUUUUGCUAGAAGUACGCAUAUCUCAGGAUAGGCCCAUUAAAAAUAAGUACAACAGAAUAAAAGAUUGCAAAUAAAAUGUAUAUUUUAUUUCAGUAGCAUGUCACAUCAAAUACAAUACAUCAUCCACCGACUCCAUGCAUUAAGGUUCAACACCUAACAAGUGCACAGAAAAAGGACCCAACAAGUGCUCAGUCGCACAAAAAGAGAGUUCCACAAAGAUUGGAUGAGAACCACAAGAUUCUUCUCAUCCUCUUCAUCCGCACAAUAUGCUCUUGCCAUUGCCUCCUGCAAGAGGAAAAUGAUGAUAAGGCUUUCAGAUCAAGGAAACUAGUAAAAUUGCAUGCACGAUAUAUUUUAUUGAAAGCUAUCCGAAGAAAGCAAUCAGGGGUAACGGAAAAGUAUAUGGAUCUGUAUUUUAUUAACUCAAAACGUGUAUAGAUACCCUUGCUUGUUUGUAAAGAGGUGCGAUGACAAUCGAAUACUACUUGCCUGAUUGUUUUACAGUACUAUACAUGGUUCAAGCAAUAUAUAGAAUGUACUCCUCAGUUGAGCAUACUCUCGUUCUGAAUGAAGAUACAACUUUUACUUCUGAGUGCCUUUUGCAAAAUUGAGGUAUAUGCUCUAUGCGCUACAAAUUGGUAUAAAACGUCCGCCCACGUGGAUAUACUACUACAUGGAUGAAUAUACCACAUUUUCAAUGGAUAUACUCAUAUUACGGAUGAACAUACUCUAUAUUUUAGUUUCAAAAAAAAACACACACUAUAUUUUAAUUAUGGAAAUACAAAUAUACUCAUACUGCAUAGCAAUAUCCUCCACUUCUAAUAAAUAAUUUCACUUGAAAAAGGAUAUAUAUCCAUAUUUCGUACGGCGAGUGCAGACGGAGACAUGUACUAGUAUGUUUCACAUUCAUGUUCAUGUCUGGAUGAUUAUAGUAGCAUAUAUUACUUCUGAUGGAAAAAUCAUGUGAAAGGUGUUUAUAUAUACUGCCAUACUUGUUCGAAAGCUUAGUAGUAACAGAUACUUCAUAUAUAGAUGGAAGCGAUAAGGGAAGUCACACAUGCAAAUUAGCAUAUAUUUUUUCUAUUAGUCUAUUUUAUUGAUAAGGAGUAUAGUUUUAUUUCAUUUAUGUACUGGUAAUAGUCAUGAAGGAAAGCACACAUUACUACUAUGAAUUGAAGGUCUUUUCCACAUCUAUGCAGAUAACUUUUGCUUGAACGGCUACAGUACAUAUGUGAAUAGGUUGUGCCAGUAAGCUUCAUCACAUAUGAACAAGAAUUCAUAAACGAAAGGAUGAUGUGUUCGAAGUCCACAUAUGCAUACAUAUUCAACGAGGAUUCAUGACAACAUGCGUACAUAUGCAACAAGAGUUCACAAACAAAAUUAUGAGUUCCAAUUUCACACCAAGCAUGAGUACUUUGUCGAUUCCUCAUAUCAUAACUUCUCAAGAACUCGAGAAAUUUCUCUUUACCAUAGCUCAAAAGGGAAUAUAUAAUGUCAAUGACGUCGAAUGCAUUCGACUACAAUACUUUUAUGGAAUUGUAGAAAACAAGUGGAUUAAAAACCUGCUAGUUGAUGCUAUGCUGUUCCACUUCCACCUGCCAUGCCUCUUCCAUCUCUUUACCUUCUUAAUCAGCUUCUUAAAUGCCUGAAAGAAUGAGCGACUCAAAUAAUUGAGUGGAUAAUCAUUGCACAGCAUAGGUUACAAUAAUACAUACAGAAUAUUGAUCCAUAUCAAGAUAAGAAAAAACACAGCUAACACAACUCGCGUGAGAAGUGUCAGUCAUUAAGCAGACACUAUAGCAUAGGAACAAAACAAUGAGAUGACUAAAUAAUAACCAGCAGGUGCACAUUGUUGUAGAACUCACUUAGAAUAAAAUUGUAUUAUUUCCCCGUUAUAUUGUCGUUGUUCUUGUAAGUAAAUUUCUCUCAAGGUCAUUAUUACAAUCAGGUUGUUAACAUCACAAUAAACUUCAAAUCUGAGUUUGUGCCAACAGUGUAAAACUGCAAUGGCAUGCCACUACUAUCACUAGUAGCAGUAGUAGAAACACACGGCAUUGAGCCAACCACAUUGGACCCGGAUUGGAUAUAAACCAGUUUUAAAGGGUCUGUCCGCUGGGCCCCCUCCCUGCAGCAAAUGGCCGCAAGGCCUUUAGGACCGGUUUGUAACACAAACCGGUCCUAAAGGUUUUUGGACCGUUUGCUGCAGGGAGGGGGGCCCAGUGGACAGACCCUUUAGAACCGGUUUGUAUCACAAACCGGUGCUAAAGGUUUUCUCAUUUUUGCAGCAACUGCGGGGCCCCGCUGUCAGACCCUUUAGCACCGGUUUUUAACACAAACCGGUCCUAAAGCCCUCCCCUAUAUUCCACUCCGAGCUCAGCUCCAUUUUUUCCAGCUCAAACUCAACUCCAUUUUUGCUCUCUCCUUCCUCUUGGGAGCUCUAAUCCAUCCCCAUUUUUCUCCACCAUUUGUCAAGAUUGUUGGCACCCAUCGGUCCUACGGUUAGCAUCAACAUUCCCUCUUCCGACAUUGCAAGUUUUGCUCGUUUUCUUGCUCAUUUCAUUUUUGUUGUGCUAGCUAGGUGUUUGAUGAAAUGCCUAAGCUAGAGAGAGUUCAUCAUUUGUUAUGUAUACAUAUGCAAUUUGAGCUCAAAUUUAAUUAUGAUUUGUGGUUUUUUUUAGUGUCGCGCGCCUUGUCCCCUUCCUCACCGCCGUCGAUCGCCCCGUCACCGACACAACCUUGGUGAGCCUGUUGUUUUUAUUUACCAAAACAAAUUUUGAUUUGUAUGAUUUACAUAUUUACUUGUAUAUAAUUUUCUUAUUGUGUAAGAUUUUUUUUAUAUGUAUAGCGCCAUGGUUUUGAUAUCCGUCCCCGUUGGCCCUCGUCAAGUCUAUGAUUCGGAUGUGGUAUAUUAUCUUUUAUAACUACAUAUUUUCAUUUCCUGAUUAUAUGACAAUUAAUUACGCCGACCAACUUGACAUAGAUAUUUUUAUCUAGGAGGUAGUGGAACCGGAAAUGCCAAUCGACCCUAUUGUUGAGAAGUUACACUUAGUUGAACAAGAAAAUGUUGGCCUGAAAGAAAGAUUGAAAAAAACUGAAGAAAGGUUGGAAAAAACUGAAAGAGAGAAGAUGACCUUGGAAAAGGUUUUUGCCGGUGUCGUCGAUGGUCACAAGAGCGAGAUGGACGCAAUGCGUCUGAAGAUUAGAAAGAUUAGAAAAUAUGCAAUUAGUAAAGAGGCUUGGUAUCAUUAUGUCGUCGGGUCAAUUGUUACCUUUGUUGCGAUUUUGAUCGCAUUUGUUGUUGUUUUUAAAUGCAUUAAUUAGAGAGAGUUUUUAUGGUUGGUUUCAGUGUGUGUUUUUAUGAGAACUAUAUAUGUAUGGUCACUACGCUACUUUGGUUUUAACGUGUGAUGAACUUUUUGUAUUAAUUAAUUAAUUUAGUCAUGAUGAUUUAGCAUAAUGGUUUUUGAUAAAUUUAUAUAAUGCAGAUGAACCGGCAAUGGAUGUAUAGUGAUCGACGUCGUCCCGAAUUCCUUAAUGGCAUGCAUAGUUUUCUCAAUGUGGCUGAGAAAAACAGGCAGAAUGGAUUUAUUUUUUGUUCAUGUAAAAAAUGCCAGAAUAAGAGGAACUUCCCUAACUCAAGAACCAUACACACCCACCUGUUGCAAGAAGGCUUCAUGCCCAGUUAUUUUUGUUGGACCAAGCACGGAGAAAGAGGGGUUGUAAUGGAUGACAACGAAGAAGAAGAGGAUAAUGAUAACUAUCCUAUGUUCGGUGAACACGGUGAUACUGAAAUGGGGGAAGACGAGCCUGAACUUGAGGACAUUGUUGAUGAGUCUGAUGAUGAUCUUCGUCAGGUCAUUCGUGAAGAACAGAUAAACUGCGAAAGUGAAAACGAGAGGUUGAAGUUGGAGCGCAUGUUAGAAGAUCACAMAAAAAAUGUWGUACCCAAAAUUGCGAAGAUGGACCGAGAAAAAAACGGCUAGGGGCACCGACCCCUGGGAAUUGCUGCAAUGGAAGGCAGAGAAUGGAAUAUCUGACAAGGGAUUUGAAAAGCUGCUGAAAAUAAUGAAGAAGAUGCUUCCAAGAGAUUACGUGCUGCCCUGCAGUACGUACGAAGCAAAGAAGGUUGUCUGUCCUCUAGGAUUGGAAGUGCAUAAGAUACAUGAAUGCAUCAAUGACUGCAUCCUCUACCGCGGUCAGCACGAGAAUUUAAAUGCCUGCCCGGUAUGCGGUGCAUUUCGGUAUAAGAUCAGGCGAGAUGACCCUGGUGAUGUUGAGGGCGACGAUCGUCCCAGGAAGAGGGUUCCUGCCAAGGUGAUGUGGCAUGCUCCUAUAAUACCACAGUUGAAACGUUUGUUUCGAAACAAAGAGCAUGCCAAGUUGCUGCGAUGGCACAAAGAAGACCGUAAGGAAGACGAUAUGCUGAGACAACCCGCUGAUGGGUCGCAGUGGAGAAACAUCGACGAUAAGUACGAGGACUUUGCACGUGACCCAAGAAACUUAAGGUUUGGUCUAAGUACAGAUGGCCUGAGUCCGUUUGGGGAGCAGAGUAGCAGUCAUAGCACCUGGCCCGUGACUCUAUGUAUCUAUAACCUUCCUCCUUGGUUAUGCAUGAAGCGUAAGUUCAUUAUGAUGCCAGUGCUUAUCCCAGGCCCGUCGCAACCCGGCAACAACAUUGAUGUGUACCUGAGGCCACUGGUUCAUGAACUUUUAGAGUUGUGGGCUGACGAAGGUGUACGUGUGUGGGACGAGUACAAACAGGAGGAAUUUGACCUACGAGGGUUGCUGUUUGUAACCAUCAAUGAUUGGCCCGCUCUUAGUAACAUCUCAGGACAGUCAAACAAGGGAUACAGCGCAUGCACACACUGUUUAGGCGAGACUGAAAGUAUACAUAUAGGCAAGAAUGUGUACCCGGGGCAUCGUCGAUUUCUUCCAGACAGGCAUCCCGUAAGAAAGAAAGGAAAGCAUUUCAAAGGCGAGGCAGAUACACGGAGGAAGCCAACCCUCCCUAAAGGUACUGAUAUAUAUGACAUGGUCAAAGAUAUAAAAGUAAUCUUUGGUAAGGGUCCUGGCGCACAAUCUGUUCCGAAUGACGCCGACAACCACGUAGCCAUGUGGAAGAAGAAAUCUAUAUUCUGGGAACUACCCUAUUGGAAAUUCCUAGAGGUUCGCUCUGCGAUCGACGUGAUGCACGUGACUAAAAAUAUUUGCGUGAACCUGCUAAACUUAUUGGGCGUGCAUGGGAAGAAGUCGAGAGAUACACCAAAAGCACGGCUCCACCACCAACGUAUGCACGAACGAGACGACCUGAUGAAUCCAGAGAAUUUCAAAGGUCCUGCCAGCUACGCUCUUACCAAGGGAGAGAAGGAGAUCUUUUUCCAAAGUCCUGAGCAGUAUCAAGGUCCCGUCUGGCUACUCGUCGAACAUAAAAGGAAUACUAAACCUGGAAGAGAAAAAGUUCCAAAACCUAAAGUCUCAUGACUGCCACGUGAUCAUGACCCAGUUACUUCCGAUUGCAUUGAGGGGGCUUCUGCCAGAAAACGUGCGAGUACCCAUUGUGAAGCUAUGUGCAUUCCUCAACGCAAUUUCUCAGAAGGCAAUCGAUCCAGCAACUCUACCAAGUUUACAAAAGGACGUGGUCCAAUGUCUUGUCAGCUUCGAGUUGGUGUUCCCACCAACCUUCAAUAUUAUGACGCACCUCAUAGUUCACCUAGUCCAAGAGAUUUCCGUUCUCGGUCCUGUAUUCUUACACAAUAUGUUCCCCUUUGAGAGGUUCACGGGAGUCUUGAAGAAUUAUGUUAAAAACCGUGCUAGGCCAGAAGGAAGCAUGGUCAAGGGCUAUGGAACAGAGGAGGUCACUGAGUUUUGUGUUGACUUUAUUCCUGACCUGAACCCGAUCGGUGUUCCUCAGUCGCGCCAUGAGGGGAGACUGCGUGGAAAAGGCACGCUAGGAAAGAAAUCAACAACAUGUAUGGACGAGCAAUCUUUCACUGAAGCACACUACACAGUUCUAGUUAAUUCCAGCUUGGCGGCUCCAUAUAUCCAGGAACACAAGGAUAUUUUAUGCUCGGAAUACCCGGAGCAACCUGAAGAUUUCAUUGCUAAAGAACACACGAAGACUUUCGGCGGUUGGUUGCAAAGACGUCUCAUUAAUGACAACAUUGUUGAAGAUGAGCUAUACUUGUUGGCCAAGCAACCAUCUUCGACUGUAUUGACCUUUAAAGGGUAAGAGAUAAAUGGUAACACAUUUUACACGGCAGACCAAGAUAAAAAGAGCACCAACCAAAACAGUGGCGUCCGGUUUGAUGCAAAAGACGACAACGGGCAAAGGGUCACAUACUAUGGUUACAUAGAGCAGAUAUGGGAACUUGACUAUGGACCUUCCUUUAAGGUCCCUUUGUUCUGGUGCAAAUGGUUCAACCUGUCAGGCGUGAAGGUAGACCCGAAGUACGGAAUGACAACAGUGGAUCAGAAGAAUCUUGGAUACGGCAAUGAUCAAUUCGUCCUAUCCAAUGAUGUGGCUCAGGUUUUCUAUGUGAAGGACAUGUCUAGCAGACCGAGAAAAAGAAAAGAUAAGGAAGCGAAUACAUCAGACGAUGAGCCAAGGCGCCACAUAGUUCUUUCAGGGAAAAGAAACAUCGUGGGAGUCGAGGACAAGACAGACAUGUCAGAAGAUUACAAUAAAUUUGAUGAAAUUCCUCCCUUCAAAGUCAAAGAUGAUCCAAGCAUCCCGUUAAAUGAUGAAGAUACUCCAUGGUUACGGCGCAAUCAGAAGAAAUGCAAGAAGAAAAAUAGAUAGGGGGUAUUGUUGGUGAUGUGUAAUAAUGUAUUAAACCUUUUAUGUAAUUGUGUUGACCAUUUUGAUAAAUAUCAAAAAUUUGACCAGUUUCCACUAAAUUUGACCAUUUUGAUAAAUAUAAUUUUUAUUUUUUAAGUGUUAAAAUGACAUUUAGACAAUUUGUAAAUAAAUGUAAAAGAAAACAGAAAAGGGAAACAAAAAGAAAAAUAAAAGAAGAAACAGGCAAAAGAAAAAGGAAACAAAAAAAUAUCUUUAUAUUUUCAAAUUAGUUUGAUAAAUAUCUUAUUUUUUAUUUUUUUAAUUGUUUUAAAUGACAUUUAGACAAUUUUUACACAAAUUAUCAGAAAAUAUAAAUAUGUUUUUAUAAAUAUUUGAUUUUACAAAAGCUUUUUGAGUCUGCUUUGAUUUUAUAAAUAAAUGUAAAAGAAAACAGAAAAAGGAAAAAAAAGAAAAAUAAAAGAAGAAACAAAAAAAAGAAAAAGGAAACAAAAAGAAAAAGAAAACAGAAACCGGAAAAAGGAAAAAAGAAAAAGGAAAAAAACCUUUAGGACCGGUUUUUAACAACAACCGGUCCUAAAGGUGGGUUCGCUCGCGCGUCCAAUUUUUGGACCUUUAGUACCGGUUUGUGUUAACAACCGGUGCUAAAGGGUCUUUAGGACCGGUUGUGAACACCAACCGGUGCUAAAGGCUCCUAGAUCUCUCCGGGCCGCCAACUUCUCGCCUUCCCGCGCGUCUUCUCUCCUCGCCGCCUCUCUCCUCGCCUUCUCUCCUCGCCGACUCGACCUCCUCGCCGUUGUCGCCUCGUCGCCUCGUCGCCUCCUCGCCUCGUCGCCGCCUCGUCGCCUCCUCGCCUCGUCGCCACCUCCUCGCCGCCUCGUCGCCUCGUCGUCGCCUCCUCGCCGCCUCCUCGCGCCGCCUCCUCGCCGCCCCACGCCGCCUCCUCGCCGCCCCACUUCAUCUUCUUCUCCCACGGUAUAUCCAUAUUGUUGUAUAUCCUAUUUUUCGUAUAUCCUAUUUUUGUAUAUCCAUAUUGUUGUAUAUCAUAUUGUUGUAUCAUAUUUUUCAUAUAUCAUAUAUCCAUAUUGUUGUAUCAUAUAUCCUAUUUUCGUAUAUCCAUAUUGUUGUAUAUCCUAUUUUAGAGCCUUAUCAUAUUGUUGUAUAUCCAUAUUGUUGUAGUUCCUAUUUUUACCCUUAGACUUUAUUCUUACCGUUUUAUCGAUGGAGAUCGCAAAGUCCUAUGAUUGUAUAAAUGAGGUGACGUUUUUAAAAAAAAACACCCGAGCAUUUGUGCCAGAACUGCGGUGAAGAAAUCUGUGUCACACAAUAUAACUGUGUUGGCCAAGGGACCCUUUCGUCAUGUCCCCCCGACCUCUCACUAGUUUUGCUGGGGAAAGUUUCCGACGAUUCCGACGAUUCCGUAAAACUUUCCGACGAUUACGACUCCGACGAUUCCGUAAAACUUUUCCGUAAACUUUCCGGUUCCGUAAAACUUUUCCGUAAAUAAUUUCGCUAAGUUAAAUUCUUGUUACUAGCAGGUGUUGAGCUAUGGAUCCCCAAGAACCACAUGAUCAGCAUGCCGAUCAGCUCGCGGGAAUGGGUGAGGCGGAGAAGGAAAGAUACAUGUGCCAGAUGAUUUUUGAAGAUGCAACGGCCAUAUAUCAUGAUGACGACGGUGGACAUGCGUUUAGCAAUCAAUUUUUGAACGACUCCGGUGACGGAGCUGAGAAUAUAGAACAUGUAGUAGAUGCAGAAGUGCCCUCCGGAACAAACUCUGCCAAUGUAUAUCUCAAGUCACUGUUGACGCAACAAUUAAUUUCUAUUGGACUUACUAACGAAUCAUUAUUUUCCCGUUUAGGCGCCCUCCGGAACAGCUAGCGCAAGUACUGAGACAAAGUCGAAACGAGGCCCGGCCGCAAGGUUGAAAGAUACUGCAAGGUACUCGAUCGAUAAAGUUGCUGCUGAUGGCAAACCACUGGAACCCCCAGAAACUUAUCGCAAAUUUGUAAAUCAGUGCAGAGUUGUUGUAAGAGACCUGGUCCCGAUCAACUUAAUAGAAUGGAAUAAGCCGAAGACCGGCGCCAACGUUGGAGCUACUUAUGUCGAUGACAGAUUGAAAAGAGUGCUUUGCGACACGGUCUGGCUAAAUUUCAGCGUAGCGGAAGAUAAGAAGAAGAAAGUCGAGGAGUGGGCUUUGAAGAAGAUGGCCACACAAUUCCAGAGGUGGAAGAAAGACUUGUGGAAGAAAUAUAAGGACGAAGAUCCAGUUUUCACUGGGCACCUAGUGAAGAUAAGAGACGCUUGGCCUGAUUUUAAGGCGUACAAGAAAUCGGGUGUCUUUACAUCCCGAUCAGCCACAAAUACGGAGAAUGCGAAGAAGAAGGAAUAUCACCAUAUUUUGGGGUCAGGUGGCUACAUGACUGCCCUGCCUAGGUGGCGACGCUAUGAAGAUGCACUUCUGAAAAGAAAUAUCAUUCCACAGACACAUGACUGGCCCGAUAGGUCCAAGUUCUGGUUGUUCGCGCAUGGGGCAACGUUGGACGCUGAGACUGGGAUGAUUGUUGCGGAGGGACCAUGGUCGGAAAAAAUAACACAAGUCGUAUCAGAUCUAGAGAAGGCAAUAGAAGUUGUUCGAAAAGGAACUUUUGUUCCCGAUAGAGAGAACGACGAGUUGACGAAGGCUCUCGGGAACCCCGAAAAGUGGGGACGAACACGAGGCUUUGGAGCCACUACCCCGUGGAACCAAGGGUUUCCGACGGACCUUGGCACUUACAGAAGCCGUGGUAGAAGCAAGAGGAAGGCGCUGGAACGGAUAUCGACAUUAGAAGAAAAGGUGGAAUUUCUCUUGAAGAAAGGGGGACACCCUGUACCUGACACUGAAGAGGAGGAAGAAGAUCCUGCACCUGACGCUGAUCAGCAGCAAUUAGAAGACGAUCCUGUAGCAGAUGCCGUCCCAUCUCAGCAUAGAAGCAGCGUGGGUUCCACGCAGCUGCAGCUAGAAGACGGUCCUGCAGUCGAACCGUCGGCGCCUCACUACCCCAUGGAUGAUGUCACGGAGAAGACAAACUGUGAGAUACAUAUGCCAAUGGGGAACAUAUCCUUCAUGGUGGCGUCAGGCUAUGCUUUACCGAAUCAACCUGGAGCAACCUACCAUGGUGGUCAGAUUCCAGCAUCCCAUGCUCGUGUCGGGUUGUCAACAAUUACGUCGGGAUGCCAGUCAAUUGAGCUUGAUAUUCCUGGAGGUGAAGGCGAGAAGACACUGGGAGAAAUGGAGCUUGGUAUCAUCUUGUGGAAGAAGAAACACAUCGUGUUUCCUAACGCGGCGCCAAGGCCACCGACUCCUCCAGGUACAAAUGCACCACCUCCAACAAUUACUGAAUGUUGCACCACAUGUAAGCCUAUUUUUAAUAGUUUUUUUCACUUUCGUACAGAGAAUGCACGACCUCCAAGUCCACCCCACAACGAAGAUAUGGAGCCCGAGGCCGAGAGUCCAUCGCCCGUGCACUCCAGUGAGCCGACGGAUGCGCCCACUACGGGUACGGCAAAGCGGAAGCUGCAGUUCAGAAGAAAUGGGACUCCUCCCAAGAAGAGAGAAAGGAAACCCAAUAAAGUCAAGACUCCCCCGAAGUUACCAGGCCUGAUGACUCCGGAGGAACUAGACGAGGCCGUGAAAGCCAAAAACAAAGCAUGGUUCGCACGGUUUCCCCUGAAUCCCCCUUCAGACAUCUGGAAGGAAACUCUGAAGAACGUACCAAAGUGGAAAAUUGAGCGCACCAUCGACAACUUAUAUUAUCCUGAACCGCCGCCACCGCCGCCCCUUUCAGACUAUGAACGGUACAUUGAAAAGAUGCACACCGCACAGAUGAAGCAGGCGGAGCAGAUGAAGCAGGCGGAGCAGACGAAAUGUGGGAAACAAGUUCCCCAGCUCGGACAACAAGAAGCACAGUCAAUUGCCCCGCUCAAGGUGUUAUCUAACCAGGCUUCAGUGUCCGGUCCACGCAUGGGCAACGUAGGUUACGCUAUUGCUGAUGUGGUAUAUAAAUAUAAGCCCGAGCACCCUCUGGUCGAAAAUCCUAGUGCUCUAACAACCCAACUAUGGAAUUUACAUGUUUGGUACUUGGAGGCCGCAAGGAAAAAGAGAGAUUGUAUCAUGGCGGCGGUUCAGGAUCAACACUACUUCGGAGAGUACGGUGUGGAGGUUGGGUUCGAUGAUUUUUUCCAGAUGUACAAUCAACGUGCCCUCAACAAAGCUAUCGUCAGCUGCUACUGUUUGUAAGUGAUUUAUUUGUGUAAUUUAAUUAUUUAGUUAAGCUCGCGUUCAUUGCCCGUAUAAUUAUCACUCACGAGAUAUUCUUUUUGUACGCUACUAUGCAGAAUGAAGAUUCGUGAAUGCAGGCUGGUAGGAAUCUGGGACUUUGGGUUCAUUGACCCGUAUUCGUUUCAUCAAGAGACAAUAGAAAAGUUCAACAAGGAUACACCGGAUGAUUUGCUAAGGUUUUUGAAGCGACAAAGUACCAAAAAGAAAUACUUUGGCCCUACGGAUUUAAGUGAGUGUUACUGUCUUGUACACAUUCCAUUUUGCUUACCUGAUGUUAAGUGUAAUUGAUGACUAUGCAUGACUGCGUGUGUACACGUGCGCAGGUCCCACUUCAUAUUGUUCAUCAUUAGAAUCGAUCAAGGACAAGUUGAAGUCUGGGACCCGUUAACCUGGGACGCUGACACAUGGAAGAGCGCGCGUCAAAUGCUUCAAAGGUAUAUAUAUCGGCCUCUUUCGUUCAUCGGCCUCUUUUUCGUUCAUUUCCUGAUAUCAAGUAAGUAAUAAUUAACUCUUCUAUUCAUUUUUCUUUGUCGGCCAGGGUUUGGCAAAUGUUCAUCAAGGAAGAACCCGGUACAUGGGCAGACAAGCUCCACUUUCAGAUUAACAAAGUAAGUAGUACUACAUACCCUGGUUUCAAUACCAUUACCAUUCUCUUGAUUAUUGUUAAUUUGACUGAAUUAUGUUCUCGUAUAUAGGGCGUCCCGCAACAACCACAGGGCACUGAUUAUUGUGGAUACUACGUUUGCGAGUACAUUCACAGGAUUAUCAAUGAGAAAUCCCGUACUUCCAGAAAUCUAGAGGUACGUAACCGGAUCUUCACAACUUUAUUUAUGUUGCCAUCAAUUAUGUUUAGUUUUGUUCAUAACUUAAUUGUUUUCAUCCACUUCUUUUAAAGCUGCAACGAAAGCGGGCGAUGCUCAGACCAAUCCAACGUUGCAAGGCAGUUGAAGAGGAAUUAGCAGGAUUUCUCCUCACGCAAGUCAUAGAUGAAAGCGGAGAAUUUUUCCAUCCUAUGAACCAAUAGCCAGCUCCCUUCUCUAUGCAAGUAUACAGCUAUAGGAAACGAACUUCAAAUUAUGUAAUGAUAAUCGGUCGAGUACUUCGUGUUACAUGUAUAUAUGUACUUUUAUUUGGUGCAUCAACAUUUAACCGCAAACAUGGAAUCGGAAACACUUAACCACAAACACGGAAUCGGUGUUUGCGGAUACGUGUUUCCGAUUACGUGUUUCCGAUUCCGUGUUCGUAAAAAACGAAACACGGACACAUGGAAUCGGAAACACGGAAUCGGAAAGACGUAAACGGAAAUACGGAACUGGAAACACGUAAACGGAAACCCUGAAAAUACGGAACACGGAAACACCGAAAUACGGAAUAGGAAACCCUGAAAAGAAAAGGAAAAAAAAAGAAAAAAAAAGCAUUAGGACCGGUUGGUGUUACCAACCAGUUCUAAAGGUCCUCCGCCUGCGCGCACUCUUCGGCGCCCACGUGGAGGCCUUUAGCAUCGGUUUGUAAGAGACCGGUGCUAAAGGGGGGGGGCCUUUAGUCCCGGAUACGUAGCACCGGAUGUGUAUCCGGGUCCAAAGGCCCUUACAACCGGUUCUAAUACCCCUUUCUCCACUAGUGUGGAUCCUGCCGCCUGCGCGGCUCGGACGUUAGAUCCACCGCCGACAUGGCUGCUAGCUUGUCGUGCCUCAUCCAUGAAGCCGCCGCUCCAGAUCCGGAGUUCCUCACGCAAAGGCAGGGCAGCCAAGGCCCCGCCGCCACGAUCCGGCGCCCCGGGCUUGCCCCGCGGCUGCCUCACGCGACGGCGAGGAAGGGAGGGGGAGGGAGUGGGGCGGCUAGGGUUGGGAGGGGGAGAGAGGGGGAGGGAGUGGGGAGGAGCUGGAGGCUGCUGGCCGCUAGGACAUUUACAUGGCGAGGACAAGCUAAUCACCGUGGAUGGAAUUUGGCAAAUGGCAAGAAUUGCUUCGAAACAAAUACUGUACCGUCUGUCCAUGAUCAUGUUCCAAGUGUCGGCAAGGACGUCUAACUUACCAUUUCGGCAUAUCUUGUACGUAAUGGAAUGACACAGAAUUUUGGGAUGAUACCUGGCUUGGAGACAAAAAAGUAGGACUUCAGUAUCCAAACCUAUAUAAUAUAUUGGAUAAUAGAGUUUUUGGUUGCUUCAGUAUUAGGGAUGAGUUCGUGAAUAACUAGUUUUGUUGGGCUUUGAAUGGGGGCAACUGGACUGGCUCAGAACAUCAUUUCGGUUGAUGCAGUGGCUUGGGGAUUUAACCUCGUUUUUGGAAAGAAAACAACAAACCGAGGUGUGUAGCUAGGUUGCAUGAGGUUGUUCACUCAGGAUCACAACUUCACACGAGGCUUGUUUACACAAAGAAAUGUGAGCAUAGUGUACACUCACACAUGGCGCCCCUUAUAAUCACGAUAGAUACCAACAAAUUCGUACCUUGGGCUAACAUGGCAAGAAGGUUUUAUUUUCUAAGUACAAAAUUGCCAUGGGGUACCACAAACUAAUACAAAUACACAACUUCUAUUUCAUGCACUGGAAAAUAUAUCCACGAACUCAGUCAUUCUGGACACUAGUUUUACAUAUAUUUUUAUUGGACAUCAUCGUGGUUGAUGUUCAUUCUAUAAUCUCCGCUUGGUCAUGCAACACGUGCAAGGAAGCAGGACAUACAUUUGGAUCGCUAGCUUCGUUUGAUUGGCUAGAUUACGAAAACAAAAUUAGUUUAGGUUUCUCAUAUCCAUGAGGAACAAGGCUCAUGAUUUGGUUAGUAACCGGGGUAAAGAAGAUGUAAGGGCCAAGUUAUUCAGCUCUACUACGACGACGAGCUUUUCUAUUGCUGUUACACUCUGUUAUUGAGCAAAGCCAGAUCUACCAGUGGUAACAUGGAACUACGCCAAGAGCGUUAUCCACGGAAAAAACAAGCCAUGGAAAGCACGUGAUGCAAUGCUUCUUCAUAACCGACCUGAGCAAUCCCAGCCGUGUUGUCAUGAGAAGAGGCAAAAGGAACAUCAUUGGACUGGAUGGUGUCGUCAACAAGGAAGACUACGACCAGUAUGGCAACCCAAUGAGGAAAGAUGACGAUGACUAUGAAGUAUACGUCAAAAGAAAAAUCAAUACUACAUUACCUAAGAAAGAUCGUACUCCAUGAAAAAUGAAAAAUCAUAAUGAGGGGCUCAAUUAUUCGUCAACGAACAAGAAGGGAAAGAAGCUCACUCAAAAACGAAAACGUCGAAGCUGAGAAACCGUUAUCGGUCAAAUGAUGUAAUACAUAUAUGUUCCUAUUUUGUAUGCACACUUAUCUGUUAUGGGUCAAAUGAUGUAAUAUAUAUAUUCCUAUUUUGUAUAGCACACUUAACCGUUAUGGGUCAAAUGAUGCAAUAUAUAUGGUCUUAGUUAUAUACAUUGUAUCAUCUUCCCUUCAUUCCAUCUCUUGGAAAAAAAGGAAAAGAAGAAAAGGAAAGGANCCCCGCCCUCGUCGUUGCAUCCCCUGAUGUCGAGCAUCGCCGAAGCCCCUCGCCUCGAGUAUUGCUGGAGCACUCACGGCCCCGCCUCCUCCUGCAUCCGCUCGUCGCCGCCGCGCCACCGUCUCCCCCGACAGCCACCGCCGCACCAACCUCGUCCCUUCCUCCUCCACCUCCCCGCUGCCGUCUCCCCCACAACCACCUCCCCGCUGGAUGCCAUCCUCUCCCCUCCUCUUCACAAUAUUUAGGGUUAGGUGUUUUAGGUGUAGUUAAAAGAAAAAAACAGAAUUUGAUUAUAUAGGUUUUUUGCAUUUUUCUUCAAGUUCUACGGAAUGUUGAUUCAUGUGAACGCUAGCUAUUUAGUGCUAGUCAGUAUGAAUUAGUAUGAACCCUAGGCUAUUUUAUAGUGCUAGUUAGUUAAUUAGAAUUAGUAUGAACCCUAGAUUUCUUGCAUUUUCCUUCAAUUUCUAUAUUUUUCUUCCUAUUAUAUGCAAAUUUGAAGUGGACAUGUGAUUUGGACAUGUCAUAUUUGGAAUUUUAAUUUGGACAUGCGAUGUUUUCGACAUGUGAUAUUUGAAAAAUGAUGGUUAUGUGCAGGGUAAAUGACCCGAGUAGCUUAUGUUUCGCUGGAAUGUUGAUUCAUUUCCGUUCCGGUGAAUCUCACGCGCUCAACAUGUCCACUUUUUAGCAAAGGUCAUGCCAAAAUUUCUGGUGAAUUUUGGCAUGACUUGUGCUAGAAACUAGGCAUAUCGAGUACCAGGAAUGAAACCGCAUUCCGACAAACCAUAGUCAAUAUUUGAUGUCAUUUCUCAUUUUAUUAUAGUUUUAGAAUUAAACGAGGAGACCUAAUCAUAGAAAACAUGUCAAACAACGAAGAAACCGGGCCUUCUGACCAAGAUGCAUACGAGAUGGAUUAUGUGGGUGAACAACAGUACCUCGACUUCUUGUCUGCUAAGCAUUGUCAACGAUUGCAAGAAGUAUCUCUGUAUGCAAUCCUCAUAGAACACGCGUGAAGAUGCUACCUCGACACAGGCUCAACUAGCCAAGGGUUGUACAGUGCUUAGCCCGACAACACUGGGCAGUGGUUAAGGAAGCGUCUGGAAGGUCAGCCCAAGAAAAUGGAGAGGAAGAGACCGGGGAAGAAAUGCUAUUCUGCCUACACACAAGACAACCCACAUAGAAGCCAGACGACGGAUUUUGAAGAGCGUGUACCUAUCAAAGGUGCGACCAUGUUCCAUGUCACGGGCGAGCCGAUGCUACCGUCGAAACCGUUGGAGGCAAUAUCAGAGGAUCUCAGGAGACUGCACGACCAUGUGCUAUCGACUGGGAAAAGCCUACUAGCCUCGAAGGAUCCAGGAUAUCCGACAUACGCGGCUUGUGAGCUUGAGGGGAAAGUGCUACGUCGACACACAGCCCACGGAGGUGUUCUACCUGUGGUUUGAUCAUAUCUUCGAGAUGUUUCUGACAAGGCGGCUCCAUUGUACAACUGUCCGCCUUUUUGCGAUACAUAUGAGCUGCGCCAUGAAGAGAGAAGAAGUCUCACAAAUCUGUGUGGCGGAUCCAUACUACAUGUAAAACUGCUAGGGAGUACCUCGAAAACUUCAUGGUACAGAAUAAGGACGAAUAAAUUGUCCUCCUGCCUUAUCAUCCAAAGUAAGUCAGUGCAUGAAAACCCUUUCGUACAUUUCAAUCAUUCCUUCUCGCUCAUAGGAAGAAUAAUUUGAGGUGUUUUUUCCCCGCAGCAACGGGCACGCCAUCCUUAUCGUUCUUUACCCGCGGGUCUCCCACGCCAUGUAUUUCGACCCUACCAGAAACUACGAGAAGAAGGACUACACCCACGUAAUGAAUAUUCUAGAUGAUGCUCUUCCAGGGUUCAGCUUGAGGGGUGUUCACCUGCACAUCAGGAAAGAAAGGAACAAGAAGAUGGGUUUCUCGCAUAAAACUAACUUCUGCUGCAUCCAUGUCCCAAACCAAGCAAGAAUGAUACAUUCUACCUCCUCCAUCUCAUGAUGGAGUUCAUAUGGGAUCACCACCGAAAGCUUCGCAUGACAAGCAGAAACGAUGAUCAUAUCCACAAGUGGGUAGAAUCUCAUGGAGAAGCGGAUUAUAAACUUAAAGAUGACUUCUUUCGCAUCUAGAGGGACACUGUGACAAUCAUCAUGAAAGAAGUCAUCGAAGAGAAGGGGAUGUUCCACAACAACCCUAUAUCGGGAGCUGACGUCCGAACUCGCAUAGGCAUGCAACGUGAGGACCUCACGCCGUUCAAGAAGCUAGGGUGCAUCCUCGAUGAUUUGCAAGGAUGGAACUUCUACUGAUUUACGAUGCCGAUGAUGAUGAUAUGUGUUGGUUGAACUUGUAUAGUUUCUGUAGCGAUGAAACUUUGUGAUGUCCACGGCCCCUGCCAAACUUGCGUAACGCUACUUUGUUAGUUUGGGUACGAUGACCUGCGUACCCCUAUUUAAUUAGUUUGUGUAUGAUGAAACUACGUUGAUUAUUUAUAUGUUUACUCUAUGUUGCAUCUAGUUGUUAACCCUUUCUUUUUCGUGUUGCUCAAGUAUAUUUUGUUGCCUAUGAUUGUACAUUCUCAUGAUGAAGAUGCAUCUCUAACAGGUACCUAGAUUCUUGAUGAAGAUGCAUUUCUAACAGGUACCUAGAUUCUUGAUGGCAGAGAAGCAGUGCUAUGUCGUGUAUAAAGAAAAGGUUCCAGGAGAGUGUACGACUAGUGGCCUGAGUGUCAGCCGCAAGUGGAUGGGUUCUCGGGCGCUAGCCAUAAAGGCUUAAAAAAUAGACAAGAAGCAGAAACUAGUUACUUGAGGUUCACGCUAGCGUGAGAGAGGACUCAUAACCGCCGCCUCAUGUACAACAUAGUUCCGCUCUCACUCAUAGUGAUAUCUCUUCUCGCGUUUAUCAUUGUUUAGAUGGAUGAGAUGUAGUUGCAAGUGUUUGAGACAACUUUGUGUUGGAUGAUGAUUAUGAUGAUGACAUGAUUUGAUGAGGAUAUUUGUAUGUAUAUGAUAUGAUUACAUUUGUACGUUUAUAAUCAUGACAUUUGUAUGUGCUAAAAAUUAUUGUAUAAAGCCAGUUCAAAUAUAAAACAAAUAUGCAGAAAAAAUCAGAAACUAAUAAAACUAGCAGUAGCGAUGGAAGAAAAGUUAGCACCAGCGCGCCCUUACCAGUAGCGCGGCUUAAUUCAUAGCGUUGCAGCUAUUAGCAGUACCGCGUUGUUGUAAAGCCCGCUACUGCUACGCAUGUAUAGCAGUAGCGCGGGCCGCCAUGCGCUAGUAAUACACCUAUUGCCCGUGCUACUGCUAGUUUUUUUCAUAGUAGUGGAAAGCACAUGAUGAAUUAUGACGUAUGUUGACUGACUUUAUUAUGGUGAGGUAGAGGCUGAACCAAUUGACCACACGAAGGAGUUUAAUUUAUUUAUUGGAAAAGUAGUGGCUGCACCCGCCUUCGUGCACAAACUGAGUGAACAGUAAAUUCAAAAAAUAGAAAACAAAAUCAAAAAAUUCUGAAAAUUGGUGGAUGUGACUAUGAGUGUUUAGGAAUUUGCAAAGUUUCAUCACCAAAGACGAUCAAAUGCUCUCCAUACAAACAGAAAUACAAAUGAUGCUAUGCACUCAUGUUACUGUUCAUAUAUUUUCUGCACAAACUUUGUCUUUUUUUGUACAGAUUUGCUCGGAUGUUAUUUUGUCACAAAAAUUUGCAAGCACCUAAAACAUUAGGUCGUUAUACAUCCACAAAGUUUCAGAAUUUUUUAAAAUAUUUUGCUAAGUUUUUGAUCGUGGGUGCACCGGAGGUGCAAUGUGCGUGGGUGCACAAAAACCACUCUUUUAUUUACUUUGAGAUUAUAAGGGAGCUAACUUGGACAGAGAGAUUUAGUGGCCAAAAUCAUUGAAUAAUUUCAUCAUCGUAAAGAAGGACUAGUGAGUUUACGGCGGCUGCCUCGAAGCAUUGAUGAGUUGCUACUUGUAGCCAUGUCCUUUUUUGAUCGCAUUGUCAAUCAGAUCCACACUCUCUUCAUAUGUCGCCUCAGAAGGAAGGACAGUAGAGAGUAGACAGUACUUGUAGCUUAUUUCUCUUCUAAAAAAACAAAAGACAGCAGACAAGACCUCCUAGAGUCCUAGCUCCGAUCUAACUUGGUUGGAGAAAAACUAUCUAAUCUCAUUUAUUGAUGAUCAUGAUGGUUAUAAGAACAAUUGUGAAGAUAUUGGCAAAAGUUAUUCUAAAUAUGUGCCACUAGUGCACGAGUUGAACCCUAAUAAUUUUCAUCUAAAUAGCAUGGUAAGAUUAUUUUUUACUAUUAUUUCAUUAAUUAGUCCAUCUUUUGCAUACAUAAUUUUUUAAGCAAAACUAGAUUGCUAAUUAUGUUAUUUUUAUGUUCUUCAACAGAAAUUCCCGCCAGAGGUUCUGUUUGAACUGAUGACUAUAGAAGGUCAUCAUUUGAAUGUUAUCAGCUUACGGCCACAGUGGCCUAUAUGCUUCCGCGAUGCAUGCUCGCUUUCUAGAAGAGAUGGAAGUGUGAAACUUAAAUGAUUUGACAAUUUAAUGAAAAGCCGUCGACAACUACUUGACGAAGACGCGAAGGAUUUGCGCAUGCCACAUGUAAAAGAUAGGUGAAUCUCUGUUCGUCACAAUAAAGAAAGUAAAGCUUACCUUUUUACGCUAGUUUACCUAGUAGAGAGUAAUAGGUCCUACCUAGGAGAGAAUAAUAUGUGUUAGUCAAGAGAGUUGACCUUUUUUAGUUUAUGAAAUUAUAUACUAAUGAUUAGAUGAUCAGGAUAUAUGAUGAGUUCUAACAUGAUUAAGAGGAUGAUGAAAUGUUAGGUGAUUAAGAGGAUGAUAAGUUAUUUGAAAAAAUAGAUUAAAGUGGAUAGGUGCAAGUGAUCUAGUUGGGUUAGAGGGAAAAUAUCGAAAUGUAUGGGUGCAAGUGAUCAAGUUGGGUUAGUGAGAAAAUAUUGCAACAUCAUAUUUUCCCUCUAAACCAACUUGAUCACUUGCAUCCAUCCACUUUUUAAUUUAAAUGAUGUUUUUUGCAUAAUUAUUAAUUAGUAUAACCUUGUGUAAAUUCAGUACAAUAUAAAAAAGUACUAUGCCAAUUUAGUAAUGGCGCGGCUUCUAAGAGCUUGCUACUGCUAUUGAAGGAUAGUAGCUAACCCAAUUAGCUGUAGCGCUAGAUAGCCGACCCUACUGCUAACAGUUAGUUGUAGUGCCGUACUACUAACAUGGCUGCUCACGCUAAUGAUAAGCUUCAAGCUUCAGACUCGCGCUAAUGCUAGGGUUUUUCCUAGUAGUGUCAGGUUGUCUGCUCGUACGAUGGGUUACUUUGUUCGGCUACUACACGAGUCAAUCACCGCGCAGGAAUACUAAGACUGGUUGUAAUGGGUAGUAUCAUAAACUAGUAUCAUGCAUAUGAUACUAGUGUAUGAUACCAUAUCCGUAAUGCAUAGUAUCAUAUGUUAGUAUCAUAGUGUAGUUCAUUUAUUGUCAUGCAAGACACAUAGUAGCACAUCAUUUAAUAUGAUAUUGUAUCAUGAUAUGAUAUUCAACCCUCUCUUUCUUCAUUUAAUUCUAUGUCACUUCAUCGAAAAUGCCUACUUGACAUGUAUGAUACUAUCGUUACGGACAGCCUAGCUAAGACUACUAAGCCCGCAAGGGAUUCUUUUUUCUGUUUUAAAAAAAAUACGGCUGCUGUGAAAUUGACGUGUGUGGGGCUGGUGUUUUGUUCCCUUCGUUUGCCACGUUUUAUCCACCGCUUUGACUGCCUACUGAUCAAACUUGUCUAGGUUUAAAAAUUUCAGAAUAGAAAGGCUACGCGUGCGAUUCCUGUGGCGACACAGUUUGUUCUACUCGUGUCCAGUUCUCUCUGGAAGGCUUCUUCCUGUUGUCCAUAGCCUCGCCGUUGUAUCCAGGUAUAAAAAGGGCUCGCUUCCAUUCCACGCCUCUCGCACCCGUGUCUCUUGCUCCCAAUUCUAGCUGCGCCCAUACCCAUCUUCAUCGCCGACCACUGUCUUGCCAAAGGCCACCGCUGGCUUCCCAUCAUCUUUCCGAGCGCUGCCACCAUCUCUCCUCAGCGAGGCCGACUCGGAGGUACGUGUCGGCCAAAGAAGUGGUGGGGCUCCGUGCAGCCACCCGGCAUGACUAAGACUGGCUCCUUUACCUUCAUGUGCUUGGCCUUGAUCUCCCCUUCGAGCCCGAGAACGCAGCAGGUGUUCAACAGCUGCCCCGAAACCAUCUCGGGUACGGAUCCGCCGACGAUGGUGAUCUUGCUGGCCGAGGCCACCUCUGACAGCAUGGAGACACCGAAGGCGACCGGUCGCCGUCGAUGUCUUGGAGAAAUGGUCCAAAUUUAUUUGGCUAACUAUAUACUCUCUGAAUGUUUUGGUUCUGCGACGUAGUUCAUCGUUUGGUUUCCCUCUUGGUAUUCCAUUUUUGGUUGGCACAGGUGUACUAAUACUCUUCGUGUUCCAUUUUGAUUAUGUGAUGUAGUUUAUCGUUUAAUCUAAUUUUUGAGUGAGUAUAUUUUCUGGCUAACCAAAAUUUGUUAUUUUUGUGGCAAUUCUUCUACAUCAGACACACUUUGUACAUAGUCCCGAGUCAGCCUGGACACGGUCCGGUCCGGCGUUUGUACCGGCCGCUGGCGGUCCGGACCGGACCGAGCUCUGCAGCGGGCUGAUUCUCAGGGACCGGACCGGAGCAGAGAAAGCUCGGUCAAGCUUUUAGGACCGAAUGGACCGGCUGCAAAACCAGCUUCAUCUGCUGCUUAGUGUUAUUUACCUGCAGUUAGCUGCUGCUGCUUCAGUUUAAGGUCUAGUUAGCUGCUGUUUAGGCAUGUAUUGAUUGUAGAGAACAAAAAAAAAUACAAAUACUCUGGUCAAGCUUUUUUAGACUGAUUUAGAUAUUGUGGAGAGCAAAACAAUUACAAUAACAACUGAUUUAGAUAGGAAACAUAGCACAAAUAUCACAUCCACAAACUGAUUUACAAUUACAAAUUCAUUUAGACAGCAAGCAGGACUAAAUUUGGACAACAUUUCAUUUGUUUUUUGAACAUCAAAACAACUGAUUUAGAUAGGAAACAUAGCACAAAUCAAAUUCAUAGCACAAAUAUCACAUCCACAAACAUAAAGUCUUUUCAUCAUUCAACGACACGAUUACAAACUUGCAAUGAUAAUUUAGAGUCAUGUCAAUUGACAAGUUGAAUAUAACACAAAUGAGAGGUUCAUCUCCAAAGUUGCAAUAACAAUUCAUAGUUCAUGACUCGACAAGUUCGAACAUACCACAAAUUCAAUCAUUGAUCUCCUCCACAACGGGUAACUUGAUGAUCUCAACAUGAUCUUCUUCAUUCUCAUCCCUCGGCUACAAGUGUGUAAGUUAGACAAUUAUCAUAUCACAUACAACAAGACCAAAAUUGGCAAGGAAGAUACUCGAAACAUACCACCAUAUUCAAGUCAACGUGUGCACCCUUGAUAUAACUUGCAGCACAAACUAAUGCCUCUACCAUAACCGGCUUUAAAGAACUCCGGUAGGCAUCUAGUAUGAGAAGUACUUCGAGGAUGAGAAGUUGACAAGUUUAUAUCUAAAGUUCAUUUGUAGGAGUUGACAUACCUAAAAUCCGUCCGGUCGUGCUGAAGGUAGAUUCCGAAGACACGGAGGUAGCCGGCAUAGCAAGGAACCUCUUAGCUAUCUUGGUCAUAAUUGGGUACCUAGGAGCAUUAAUCUUCCACCAAUCAAGAAUAUCAAGACAUGUAUCGGCAGCGGCAACUUCAUCCUCUCUUUGGUACUCUUGUUGAACGGGUUGAUAAGAAGGACUGGUACCCAGCUUGAACCGGGAUACUAGGAAUGCUUGUAGUUGUAGAUGAAGAACUUGCUACAUUUCCAGCUCGCUUAUCUUGGGCAACACAUUUGUCAUACAAGGCCUCCAACUGUUUCUUCACAUCACUCAUUUCAUUUCUAAACCUCGCAGUUUCUUUUCCAUAUAGUUCACCAAAGGCCCACUCUAUGUAAUUCAUCUUGUACCUAGGAGAAAAUUAGCAAGUAUUCUAUUAAAAACAGCAAGUAUUUCUAUUAAAAACAGCAAGUAUUUCUAUUAAAAACAAUAAGUAUUUCUAUUCAUACUUAAUAAAUCUGAUUAAAACAUCAAGUUGAUGAACAUAAGUUGAUUAAAACAUACCGUGGAUCAAAGAUGGUUGCAAUCACCAUGGAAUCGGUCUUUUUUUCCAAUAUUUGUCAAACUUAUCCAACAUCUCUUCACCCAUUUGCUUGUAGUGCUCACUAUCACUAUCAAUUGCAUGUUUGAUUGCAAUCUGGACACCAACAAUGUAUGUGUAGAAGAUGUUCGAAGUGGGAUAUAAACUUCCUGAAAAUGCUUUUGUCACCUCGGCCAAGCUCUUAAGUAAUGGAGAGAUAAGGUCAUACAUGUCCCACUCCGCGUUUGUUGGUGCCCAAGCAUAGUUGGCAUUGGAGUUAGCAUGAGAGGUCAAGGCUUCCUUGUAUUGAGGGACAGUGCUAAUCAUCUUAUAGGUUGAACUCCACCUUGUUUGACAAUCUAGGUGUAAAUGGUUGACAACUUUGACACCCAUGCUUUUGAAAGUAUUCUAUUAAAAACACUUGAUGUACCAUUGGUUUUGCGCAAUUCAAGAGUUGUUUGGAUGGCAGCCCUAGCCCUCUUGGCCUUGUAAUUCAAACAUUUCAAAUGAUGCCUUCCAAUAGUUGAGGUGCUGCCACCUUUCUCAUACGCAUACUUAUUUGAACAAUAAUUGCAACAAGCCUUCAACACAAUUUGUCCGGGGUUCUUCAACGAUGACUCCUUGACCUUGUGAAAAUGGGCCCAAACAUCUGAUAUUGCUCUAACAGGAGCAUUGGCUCUUGGCCUCUUGUUCUUUUUCUUCUUCCUUUCUCUUGCUUCCUCCUCAGAAUCCUCACUAGAGACGACAUGCACAAGUGAUUCCUCGAACAUAGGGUCACCACCUUCUAGUUCAUCAGGUGAUUCCUUGUACCCAUCUGAUGUAUCAUCAUCCGACAUAUCACCACCUUCUUGCAAUGGCGGGACCACAAACAGAUUCUGCUCGUCAUAUUCCUUAUCCUCGUCCUCGGCGUCCUCGUCCUCGUCCUUCUCCUCGUCGUGUAGCACCUACCACACAUGAUCACACAAAUAAGGAAAAACAUCUAUAUGGUUAUAUGGAAAUAUGGCUACAUCAAGCAUCAAGGAAAGGAAUCAUACAUGACUAACAUGAGGUAGCUUCGAGCCGGAGGCAGCGGCUUCCGCGGCACGCACACCGGCACCGGUGCAAUCGGGGAGACGCGGAGGAGGCGGAGGGUGUUUCUUUAUGCUACAAAUAAACUCUCCCAUUGGGGCAUUGGGAAAUUCUUUUGCCUUCCUAAUCCGCGCCUUAUGCUUGCCCUUCCUCGGAACCGGCAGAGGCAGCGGCGAAUCUUGCCUAAUUAGGUAAUUAACGCUCUUCGCCUUUGUCUUCGCCUUCCCAUUCCCCUUCUCCUUACCAACCGCUCCUUUUCCCUUCUCAUACCCAUUCCCCUUCACCAUUCCCUACAAAAAAAACCCACAUCAUAGCAGUUAGUUAGCACAUAAAGUUUGCUGUGAAAAUUUCAAAAAUUACAGAGGCAGCGACAGCAAAAAUUACAGCGGCAGCGGCAACAGAAAUUAUAUGCAGCAGCGGCAUAUUUGGCCACUGAACCAAUUACAGCAGCAGCGACAGCAAAAAUUCAGAAAAAAUAUAUUUCUUCAGACAAAAGAGAGCAGCAGCGACCCCAGACAGCCAGACUACAUCCACCAUCACCAGCGACCACCAUCUACAUCCACCAUCACCAGCGACCACCAUCCCCAGACUACAUCCAGCAUCCACCAUCACCAUCCACCAUCCACCAGCAGCAGCGAUAUUUCUUCAGACAUAAGAGAGCAAUGGCAGUCCAUCCACCAGCAGGGAGUGAGGGAAGGCGGCGAGGUUACCUCUUCUUCCUCCUGGCGCUCGGCGAGGAACCAGGGGAGGCGGGAUCGACGGCGUGGUCUUGUUGUGACCCCACCGUGAGGAUGAUCCUCCAGCUUGGACUAAGAGUGGAGGGAUCGACGGCGUGGUCUCGUCAGUGAUCGAAGGCGCGGCCGAAGGCGCCGUCGCCUUAGGGUUAGGGUUAGGGACAGGAGGAGGAGCCGCCGUUCCUCUGUGUAAUGAGGAAGAGGAGAAGACGAGUGAGGGCCGAGCCGCCGUUCCUGUGCAUUUGUUCUUCUUGUUAUUGGGCUCGGUCCUUUCGUUCGGCCCGGUUAAAGUCCGGACAGGACCGAUUUUUUUUCGGUCUGAAUUACUGGGCCCGGACCGGCCUGUUUUCUUGUCGGUCCAGGACCGAGCGGGCCAAAAUGGAAUGGGCCACGAGCAGGCCUAAAAGCCCGCUCGGUGCGUCCAGGCUGAGUCCCGAGUCCUAUUAUUACGAGAGCUACCGCUUCUCCAUCUCUUCAAGACACGAUGAGCUCCGCGAGCGACUACCAGUUCUUGCAUAUUGCCUCCGUUCGUCUAUGUUCUAUUCCUGCUACCAGACUGAGCAUUGUUCUACAAAGAAAAAAUGCGCAUGCUAUAUCCGAGCUUUUAUGCGUAAAAAAAUAUGUUCAAAUUUUUGUCAUGAACUUGCUUAAAUAUGUCUACAUCCUAAAUUCAUAUAACCUUUUUCCUCGAGCUACAUUUUCCCUUUAUUUAGUUUUGUAAACUUCGCUUUGAUUUCUCCGCUUAGUAUAAAUUUCCUGUUUCCCAUUUCAGUAUAGGUUAAGGCACUAUGAUGGAUUGUGAUAAUCUUGUUUACUGAACUUUUUUGCUUGUGUCUGUUGAAAGUAUAGGGUGGGUCUUGGACGCAACUAACAAUUUCAAAAACAAGAUUGCUGGACUUGCGUGGAUGUAGGAGUCGGGGCAGCAAUGAGUGGCAAAUUUUUCUGCUGCUAUCCGUCGUGGGAAGGUUUGUAUGUGGUCCUAGAGGACGAGAGUAUACAUGGUGCUGAAACCACAAUUAAAUAUCUUUCUUUUUUAUAUGGAUAACUACCUAAAUGUUUGGCUCUCCAUCAGGCUAGCCGUCAAGAAUGUCGCUUGGUUCAAUCAUGCCUCUAUAUCCAUAGAAUUCAGCAGAUACUUAUCUUCUUCUAACUACUUUGUCUGCAAAAAUAUACCAAUGGUUAAUAUUUUCCUUUAAAUACUAGGAAAAUGUUUUUUUUCGGUUUCAAACUCAUUAGUUAGUGUACACGAGAGCAGAGAACCAACUACUUUCAUUUUGUUAAAGCUGUGAAACCUUGCUACCGUGUGCUUCCACAAUAGUACCAGAGCUAUCUUUAUGAUUUUGUCAAUAUAAUUUUGGAAGGCAGGAGAUGUAUUUGUUGAUUAUGUAACUACAUUUGGGCCUCACAAUCAGCUGCUAAUUUUUGGUCCGGAAAAUUUAACUAUCUCUUCAGGUUUUUUUGUAAUAUUUUUGUGACUCCGUUUCAUGGAAUCUAUGCCAUGGAAGCGAUGCCCCUUGACCUAUUCUAUAUUGGAAUAAGGUUGGGCCAUAUUUUAUUCAAAUGGACAUGAUAAAGUCUGUACUGUCAUGAAUGUUAGACCAAACAAGUUUUCUAUUUCUCCUCUUUCUUGAUUCUUUUUUGGAUUAUUCGAUGGUUCCAAUUUAUGCCCUUCCAUUGUCUUCUCUAAUGUUAUGUUUCUUGAUUUCAAAAUUUGUAUGUGGUCUCUAACGAUUCUAAUCUGGUAUCAUAUAGAUGUCGGCAUCGGGAGAAUGGUAAUUAGCUGCUCAAUAUGUACAUUCGAUCUUGGUAAUAUUGUCCAUAUAGCUCACGUGUUAAUGUUGUGUCUGUAACCUGUGUUUUUGUUAGAGGUAAGGACAUGAAAUACGAUAAAGGAAUCAUGGAAAUUUAUACUCCAUGGUACACAAUAAAAACAGAAAUUUAUAUGUAGCUCAGGCACUCAUAGAAUUAUUUCAUCUUCCUUUACUAUAGCGAGACUUAAACAUGUUAUGGUGUGCGAUGCAAGGAGAAUGUUUCCUCAGAUUGUUGCCCCUUUUACUUUUGUUAAUUCCUAAUGGAGAAAGUCUUUCAGAUUAGGUGAUCUCUUCAUUUUAUUCUCAUUUGUAGUUUCUAUGAUUGGUAGAUAAAAGCUUACACUUAGCGUUUAUACUGUUCUCCUGUUACAAUGUACACUAUGUCAAUAUUUUCUAUUUGCUCAAUUGACUAACAGUCUCCAAAACAGGGCCAUAGUUGAUGUCCAUUUCUUUGCUUCCCGUUCAACCGAUGUAUAUCAUGGCUGCAGUUUACAAUGUCCAUGUCGUCCCCUCCCUUUUAUUUUUUGAGUGUCUAGGUGACGAAUUUGUGGCCAACAAGAAUUGCUUGAAACAUUCACUUGAGUUUACUGGUUCUCAAUAGUUUAUUCCAAAUUUCCGAGUUCGUUCAUUUUUCCUUUAGCUUAAAAUUCAGUUUCACUUGUGCAUUAAGUUAGCUACUAACUUCCAUGAAGCAGCUUGGAUUUUAUUCACCUGCUCGCUUCGUUAAAAAUGUGAUUUAUGCUAGAGAUUGGUCUCUGUUUUUGAGUACUAACCACAUCAGUUCAUCUGACAAGAGAGGCCGUUGGGCUAAUCAUAUUGACUGAUAUGCCUAUGAGGACCAGCAGUGGUGGUUGUGGUGGUUUUAUUCAGAUGUAAAUUUCACUAGCUUCUGAUGUUUAUCAGUUUCAUGUUGAUUUGGAAUUUGGGGUGAAGACAAGAAGUGAAUGCUGAUGUUGAUCAAGAAUGUACUACAUGUUACAUUUUUGUUCCAAAUUGACCAUCGCGGUGAUUUGUUUUUCUUGUUUGUGUCGCUGGUUUAUGAUAUAUUUCUGAUGACUGUGUUUAAACAAGAGCUUUGCAAUUCCGUAUCCAGUAUCCACUAUCAUCAUCUAUCGUAGAUCACUUAUGCAUGUACAUUUUCUUGUAUGAACUACUUCACAAUGAAUUAAGUCUUGUGACGACUUAACAUUUCUCUGUAUGAACUGCUUUGCAACUAAUUAAGUUUUGGGAUGACUUAACAAAACGUUACAAAAAUAUAAAUAGCUUAUCAGUCCAUGUGGCACGGCGUGUCGCCGCGCAUUACUCGCUAGUAUAAUUGGUUCAGGCUAGGUUCCACCUAAGUGCAAGUCAUCAGCGUAGCUUGUGUGCUUGUGUGUCUCGUCCGAAAGAAGUCGGUCGUACGUGCGUAUCUCGACGGAAAGCACUUGAUGAAUUGUGCGGUACGCUGGGUGACCUUAUUACGUACAGUGGAGGCUGAACCAAUUGACCACACGAGGGAGUUUUUUUUUUUUUUUGAGAUUAUAAGGGAGCUAAUUUGUACAGAGAGACUCAGUGGCCAAAAUCAAAGAAAAAUAAGAAGGCACUAGUGAGUUUUUGUGCUGCUGCGGCUUCCUCGAAGAAUUGAUGAGUUGCUACUUGCAGCAAUCUCUUUUUUCCUUUUUUGCUCGGAAUGCCAAUCAGAUCCACACUCUUCUCAAAUGUCGUAUCAGCAACAAGGUUGGCCUCUUUUGGGCCUUCACCAGCCUACACCAUUCACACUGCUGACUCCCUCGAUGUUACAUCUGAUGUGUUUUCUGAUACCUUCCAUUCCAAGUAGUAUGUGAUGUGCCUCUUUUCGUAGCUGCCGAUUUCUCUUUGUAUCUAUAGCCUAGUUUAUCGGUGCAACUAGCUAGUCCGACCAAAACUAUAAGAAGCACACACAUCGAAUAUACUGAGAGGAUGCUUGCAUACGUUUUAGUCCUAUAACUAAAAGUAGUGGGACUAAAACUUGCUAGCCCCAUCCAUGCUUGGAUUCAAAUACUAAACAGAGUAAAAUCAAGUUAAUGAGCAUUUAUUAUCCUUCAAACCAUUCAAUCCAGAACUCGCAUGUGUUAAAGGAGAGGAGUUAAAUGAGGAGAGAGAGGACUAAUCCAUAUUUUAGUAGGGGUAUCCCUGACUAAAAUUUAUUAGUCUCAAGAGUAGUUUUAGCCCCUCUUUAGUCAAGGGUGCUUGGAACUUUAGCCUCUUAAAGAGACUAUUUUUAAUCAGACUAAAAUAAGUCCCUUGGAUCCAAGCACCCUCUGAACUAAGCUAGGUGGCUGCGGUAUUGCUUAAACAAUGGAUGGUUGGUCGAUGCAUUAGCUAUCCAUCUACCACACAUUAAAGUCUUAUAUUUUUUCCAGUUUAAAAGCAAGUACUUAGUUAACAUGUACUGAACACCAACGAAUUUAAUUGUCACAAAAACUGUUAACAGUUUAUCAUCAUCCCUGUGCAUUAUAGUGAAUCUUAUUAUUUACAAUUCACAUAUUUAUAUAUUGUAUGAACAAACCCCACUAAAAUUCAUUAAUAACUAUUUUUCUACGUUCACAAUCUGCCAUGUCAUUAAAAAGGAUAGCCUUGACUGUUCCAUCUUGGUCCAUGUAUGCCCGUGCGAUCUGGAGAUCAGAGCGUCUCUAUUCAUACAUGUCGGAAGUAUAGUUGGAUGUUCGAACACACGGCAUCUAGCCCUGGAGUGUAACCCCCUUCACUGACAACACUACCACCAGCACUUAAGGAGGGGGGAGGGGGGGGGGUCCCGGAAAGAGGGUCAACACGCAGGGAAUUUUGCCAAAGGGGGUAGCUAUCCCAGUCUAAUUGGCAAGCGUUAGGCUGCUCGGUGGUCUUCAAAGACUAUGGUAUUAAUUCGGGAGCAGCACUCUCUUGAUGUACAACGCAGAACUAGGGAUCCUAAAAAAUAAUUGUCUCAUUCAUUGUGCAUAUGAUUGUUUUGAGAAAUUUAUGGCACUCCUGAUCAAUGUAAGCCACUAGUUUUUUAUAUGAUCCAAUGGCUAACAUUCCUGGUUGCUUAUACACAGUAAGUUGAUAUCAAUUAUUAUGUAGGCUAAUAUAGACUUUACACAUCUACUAACAAGGAAGUAAUUCAUAGUUUCAUGCAAUCAUAAAGAGAAGAAAGAAGGCUUUAACAAAUGGCAUCCAAUGCUAUAUCUACCUUCCCAUUUUUUGUGUUACAAACAAGCAUCAUGCAUUAGUGUGUAUCCUGGAGUUAUUUCUUGUACACAAGUAGGAUAGACAAACUGCUAAAAGGAUAUUUAUCACAACAACCGCGGCUGAAAACCUUACACGAAAAAGGAUUUCCCCCCUACUUGAAUUACAAAGCAACCAACUGAUAUAUCCAACGAUAGAUGUUGGGAUGGAAACAUCACAGUCACGUCCAAAAAUAAAUCAAAGAGAAAAUAACAAAAAAACAAAUGCUAGAAGGGAGGCGGCGCCGACAGGAGUCACCGCGUCGGUGUUGGCAGGGUCCGGCAAGUAUUUCUCCCGACCACCACAGAACCUGGAUUUCUAUUAUUACAUCGAAAACAUUUGAAAUAUACAAUUUCGGUUGCCGUGCUCUACUUUAUUUCCAAAUAAACCAUCUAUGAGUUUUAACUAUGGAACUUCAACGAUGGUACUUACUAUAUUCUUUCUUCUUCUUCUUUCUCAAAAUUUCCAAUGUAGCUGUUGCAGCACGUACUCUCUUCAACUUCUAAGAUACGCUAGUUUUACCCUUUUUAUGCUUGCUAACCGUUGGGUGUAUCCAGGCUACUCUAUGAUUUCAACAUGGUUAAGCGAAGUUGUGCUUGUGCAAGACGCUGUGAUGUGGUAAAUAGCAGAUGUAAGAAAAUGUGCAGUUGUGCACCGCAGUUUGCACAAAGCUUCUGGUGGCGAAUUUUGAGAUGUCGUGCUAUUGCUAUUUUAUCUUGAUGUUCACUCUACCAUAAUGUAGGCAUCCAACUACUAAUAUCUGAAGCCCAUCAGUUUGGUUCUUCGGUCACCCAGCCCAACCCAAUGGAAGGAGACAGCUCCAUGAUAUAUAACUACUACAAGCAAUUAGCUUUAAAUCGCCCCCACCCCUCCCCCCAAUUUUUUUUAUAAAUCUCCUACAUUUUCAGAUGCCUCAAUCUCAGUAUGUGUCCACCUCCUCAUGGUGUUCCUUGUAUCUCUUUUUCCUUAAGUGUUGACUCCAUUUAUGUUGCUUUUGUGAGUAAUACUAUGGUCUAUAGAGCUGAAGAUAUGAACAAGGGAUACAGUGUUAGAUGCAUCAAUCCAAUACAUGUAUUACUUCUUGUGAUAUGGGUAAAACGAAACAAAUUAUCGAGUCAGUGAUUGUUUGUUUCGGAUGGAGUACGUCCGCCUGCAGCUUAUAAUGUCGUGUGAUGAACUUCAAAAACUCCUGCCAUGUAAGGUAAAUCAUUCCUGGACCCCUGACAACAUAAAUUUUAUUAGGUGGAUCUAGUGAAUGUGUUUGGUGCUCAUCAUGGUUCAGUUCAGGAUUCGUGAUGCCGUGUCACACAUACGAUGUACAUUGGUUUCCCUCCUUCAGCAAAAGGGUUUAAUAAAAGUAUCUAGAAAAGUGGCAUGACACACGCACAGUAGGCAAGUUCUUGAAAGCCAUAAUUGUUUGUUCUCAGUCACUGCCGUGUGCGCUGACCACACGAGCACCUCUCAUGUCUUGAUUACUCUCGCCGCCCACGAAUAAUAGUACGUUUGGCAUUAAAAAAUUGUCCAGGAAAGAAUGUAUUUCUAUAUUUCUAAUACACAUUAAAAUAGAAAAAAUGCCUUUUACCCAUCAUACUGUAGUCAAGACCAAUUAGAUGCAACACAUGUAUUCCACAUUUUCUCUUGUAAUCUCUCCGUAAAUAAAUAUAAGAGUGUUUAUAUCGAUACUUAUAUUUCUUUACGGGGGAGUACUUAGCUCGUUGGGGAUGGUUUAAUUAUGGAGGCCAGUUCUAUUGGCUUACACCUUUUUAAUGAAUGUUUUCACUCCACUCCAUAAUCUGUCAUAAAACUUAUAUAUGUACACUUAUUCGGCGACGAAAGAAGUAUUUGCCGAUGGAACCGUAUUAUGCAUGAAAGAUUUCACGAAGCUAGAGGGGAAGACAAAUCAGAUCUUCCCCGUUGGAGAAUAUUUUUGUUGCUUUACGGGGCAGUGCUGCCGGGAAAAGCACAGUUUGUUAGCGGGCUACAGACACAGAGAAGCAUCUCGGUGCUCAGCUACUACCGCAUGUUAUAGACUUGCAGCCGUCAUGCUUCCAGAUGUCUCACUCCCCUAUUGCGUCCUACUCCUUGUGGUGCUCAUUGUAUGCCUAUUUUCCCUUGCCUUGACUCCAUUUGUGUUGCUUUUCUGGGUUCUACUAUGGUUCGAGGAGCUGGAGAUCGCUAUGGAGCUACAAUGCUAGAUGCAUCAAACACGUAGUAUAUGGCAUGCCAUAUCAGGAGGGAGGGUGUGUCCUUUAACUAAGGGCCCUCAUACAAAAAAUUACACGAUAGAAAAGGCUGACAGGCUCAAUAGAUAUCCAAGGACAGCAAACAAAUAUUCAGUAUACAUUUUCAAGUGCCAAAAAGAGCAGAAGGCUCAACAAUCAUCUAUAUUAGGUUCACAAAUUUAACAUUGUUAAAUCUACCAAAUCAAAAGGAAUUUAAUGACACGGGUGGAAUGAAUAAAUGAGGUAAUAAGUAACUUAGGCCUGGAUUUGUCGUAUGAUUCUAAUUCUUAUAUUAACUCUGGGUUAGCUUUGUUCAAUAUCAAAAAUAUUGAUUAGCAUUUCCCCAAAAAACUCUAAUUUAGCUAAGUGAAGAUGAUUUACUACGGCUAAAAAUAAUUGGAUGUCACAUCCGUUAUUAAAUGGGGGAAAUCAAAACAUGGCCCAUUUUUUCCCUACGGGAGAGCUUGGCGCAUAUUUCGUUCGUGGAUUGCUGCCCAAGAGUAAAAUAAAUGGGUAGAUUCUCAUGGGUAACCGGAAGUUGCAAGGAGUUCCAACGGAGUACAAUUAUGUGUCUAGAAGCGACUGAACCAGAAAUGCACAAUGCUCACUGUAGUCUUUUUCUGUUCAUCACGGGUUUGACUUUGUUGGGUGCUUUUCCAUUCGUUGAAGGGUCAUAUGGCGUUCUUUUUUCGUUCGUACAGCCUACAGGGUGGGGUGUGACGGAUGAAGCCAUAGCAGAGCAGGAAACAUUAGGUUCUAUUUAAUUAUAUUAGAGAUUAGGGAAGAGAUGAAUGGAGAAUUGUACAUGUAACUUUCCGGUUUGAGUUCUUUGUGUAAAAAGUUAAUGGGUGCUCACAGUCUUGACUUUUCUCCCCUUAGAGUGAAUUGCAAUGCAAGUGCAAACUAUUUCUAGUUUCGUUGUUCCAGUACCGUGUAUUAUGAGACCAUAGGUUUUCACCCAGAAUAAAGGCACCGUUUUCGACAACUCCACCACCAAAAGCAGGAAUGACUUGACAUCUCCACCAAAAGCUCCGUGCAAGAUGAUCGACGCCACCACGGUGUCAAACAGCGCCACCGCCCUGCGCUCAUUCGUUCAGACACGAAGAUUCUGGAAGAACUGUCGUGCGUAGCACCUACCAACCACGCAUGACUCAUCGUAGCACCUGUCGGCCAGGCAUGACUUGACAGUUCCACCAAAUCUUCAGGCCAGACGAAGGCGCUCCAUCUCCUGCUUCUGUCAUCCAGCGCUGCUCCACAAACGAUACUCCCAAGAGAGAAAGGGCACCGCAGUACCGCCGUCGUCCUAUCUGGAAAGUCAGAUCUUAGGGUUUCCCCCGAAGCAGUGCCCACCACCAGCAACCGUCCAGGACCCACAUAGUGCCCACCACCACUCAGCCCUCAAGGCGACGACUUCAGGAAGGUCACGACGUCAAGGACGCCGCCGCCGCCCACCGGAGUUAGGGUUUUCACCCGAGAGGCAGUGAGGUAGGAAGUGGAGGAGCAGACGUAGACCGACGUCUCCAGUAAGAACAACGGCGCCCUUGAGCGUCAUCGUUGGCGCGGUCGGCCAGGGCCGACCAAUGGGUUUCCCCUUAUCUGAAUCUCCUCCACCAGCUUCAUCCGUGGCCACGCCGGCAACGCCAGGAAACUACAGGGCAGAAGCACACCGCAGGUAUCUAGAUCAAUGAAGAUCCAAUCUAAACAGUGACGAGUACCACCACCCUGCGCUGGCCGACGGCGUCCGGGCGCCGGAUUCAGAAGGAUCUGACCCGAACUCGACGAAGCACGCGACCACCAUGUCUUGCCCCUCCCGUAGCCGCCACACCAUGCCGCAAGGACGAACCACAGCCUUCGGCGCGCUCCGCAUGUCGCCGCUAGGAUCCACAUCCCGCGCCGCCGCAUCACACGCUAGUCCGGCGCCUCCUCAUGAACGGCCGUGCCGCGCCAGCCAUGUUGUGUGAAGGGAAGAGGAUCCCCGCCGCCGCCCCUGCUGGCUAGGCUUCGCCGGGGGCCCUGCUGGCGGCGGCGAGGGUGAAGGAGGAGCGAGGGAGGACCGGCGGCGGCGGCUAGGGUUACCCCCUGGUCGCCUACGGGGGCGAUGGGAGGGGGUUGGGGGCGACGGGAGGGGGCGACGGGAGGCGGCGGCUAAGGUUACUCUGCGGUAUAUGGACAACUUGUAUAUUGACAAACUAAUAAAAGGUUGCUUGUCCAUAUAAAAGAAUGUUUUUAGACGUGUAUAUAGACAUAUAGACAAUCAAAUCUACACAAGCUGGUGCAUAUACUCCUAGAUAUUCAAAAUUAUCUAUACAUUUUAUUACUAAAAAAAGCCAGGUGUGUAUUGUUUGAUCCAGUCAUCCAUAUUGUUUGUAUCCGUUCGUCAACAUUGUUUUUUCUAUUCAAGUUGGUACUGAUAAAGCAAGGUUUCUUCUUUUUUUAGACAAACUUGCCCGGCUUUAUUAAACUGAAAAAUCUGUACAGGUAGGAAAUCUAAAUUCCCAAACAGGUCUAACCAAACAUGGCGGCCAUACCCAAGUGAAAGAGCAUGCCUAGCAAGUCUGUGAGCCUCGACAUUCGAGCUCCUAAAUUCAUGAGUAAAGUUACAAGCAGUGAAAACAUGAGAUCGCUCGACGAUCUCCACUAUAAUAGUAGCAUGCUUACCAUUUGCUCUAUGCUUAAUAUCAUCCAUCACAUUUUUGCAAUCUGACACCACUACUAUCUUCUGAACAUAAACGUCGUGUGCUAGAGACAACGCCUCUCUCACCGCAAGUGCUUCCAAAAUAACUGAAUCCUGGUUAUGCUCGAAGGAGAUGGCCGAAGCCCCAAGGAAAACUCCCUCUAAAUCUCUGCACACUACACCAACAACACCUCUACCUUCGGCGGUUGCAGCAUAACCAUUCAUCUUGGCGAAUUCCGGGGGUGGGGGUAUCCAUCCAAUGGUUCUGGGAGCCCUGGACACAGAAACAUGAUAUGCGGGUUUUGAGGCUAUAUCAAUAUCUCACAGAAAGGCCUCAAUGAAUCUAUGGAUCUAUAGCGGGCAAUCAUAGAUUUGUUCAUGGAUUGCUUGUCGCCUUGAUCUCCCUAUAGCCCAGAGAGUAACCAGCAUGCGAGUGAACAUUUUCUGUGAUAGUAUUUCUUGCAUAGUGAAGAUCCAAGUUAUAACAUUUAGGUUCAGGUUCGCGUGCAUCUUUUCCACCACUUCCUCAGGUGUCAGAGCCCACACGCACCUAGACGUGAUGCAGUCUAUCAGAGCAUGUUUCCAACUAUCUUCCGACGCGCAAAAGUGACAUAUAGAGCUAGUAGCCAUGUGUCGAUGACAAAGAACAUCCGAGGUUGGAACUGUAUCCCUGCAUAGCCACCACAAAAAAAAUUUCAGUUUCGAGAAAAUAUUGAUGUUCCACAAGGACACACAUGACAACUUCUCUUGAUCCAGAGCCGAAGCUCCACCACUACCAUCCAACAAAAUCUCUUCGUCCUUCUUUGACUUGAGAAGCAUCUUAUAAGCUGAACUUACAGAAAACAAACCUCGAUGGUGUUCACCCCAUGCCCAGAAAUCAUCAAUCCUCUUUGUGCAUAGUGGGAUAGAUAAGAUUACUUCAACAUCAGUCGGAAUAAAAACUCUGCGCAGUUCAUCCUCACGCCAUGAACUUGCCUAAGCAUCAAAAAGUUCCGAUACUAGUUGGGGAGGGCUAACCACCAGGCAAGCUAUCGGCCUCAUCAUACCCGAUCUGGCAACCCGUUUUGAGUCCAAAUAUUAGUGUUCUCCCCUAUUUCAAUCCUCUUGAUAAUCCCUUGUGCAACAACAUCUCUUCCAUUCAGAAUUUCCCUCCAUAUUUGCGAAGGAUGCCCGCCUAACUCAGCUUCUAAAAGUGAUACCGAGGGAUAGUAUAAUGCCUUUAGGAUCCUAGCACUGAGUGUUGCAUGCCCCUCGAUCAGCCGCCAUGCUUGUCUUGCCAAUAGUGACAAAUAAAACAGUUCGAUGUCCUUAAAGUCUAGACCACCGAGAGAUUUCAGUGUAGUACAAACAUCCCAUGAGACCCAGCAUGGCUUCCAUUUUCCCCUCUGGCUUCCCCACCGGAACUGUCGGAUCAUCGAAGUUAUAUUCUCACAAAUUCCAUGCGUUAAUCUCAGACAUGUCCUCGAAAAAAACCGGUAUUGCUUGGGCAACUGCUUUUAUCAACACUUCCUCCCCCCCCCCCAUUCGAUAGCAUCUCUCCAUCCAUCCUUUACUCUUUUCCCAGACUCUGUCCCGCAAAUACUGAAAGUUCAAUUGCUUGACUGCCCCACCUUGGUAGGCAAACCUAAGAACCUCUCACUUAGUUCUUCCUUGUGCACAUCAAGCGAAUUUAUGAUGGCAUCACUAGUGGGGACGGGGCCUUUAGUCCCGGUUUACCAACCGGGACUAAAGGCCUAACCUUUUCGUCCCGGCCCUCUUACAAGCCGGGACUAAAGGUUCUCCACGUGGGCGCCUCGUAGCGCCCCAGGGGCAGGCCCUUUAGUCCCGGUUCGUUACACGGACCGGGACAAAAGAUUUUCAAAUUUUGCUGGUUUUUGGGUUUUUUUUGAAUGAAAUUAUUUUUGGGUUUUAGGGUUUUAGGGUUUAGGUGUUCGGGAGAUUAACGUGAUGCUUCGUUUGGUGUUCGGGAAUUAGUUUUCAUAUAAUUUAAAUAGAAAUAAUUAUGCAUAUAUACAAGAUUAACUUAUCUUACAAGCAAGCAUAUAUAUAUACAAUUACAUGAAGAUCUGAAUUAUCGGGACUAGAGCCCGACUAUUCGAUUACAUGGACGAACAUGAGUAAUGGCCCCUAGCUACACUAAAUCGUCCUUUGUCAUCUAUAGCUUCCGUCCUCAGAAAGGUCGCAAGCUCCUCUGCAACAGCAAUCGCGCGUUGCUCUGGUAGGACCUUCGUCGUCAUGGCCGUGUGCUAUAUAAGAAGAGGAGAUGAAUAUGAAUAUCAAUCAUGAUAACAAAGAAUGAACGGGUAAAAAUAAAGGUGUGAAUGUUCAUUGCUUACGUCGAAUCUGUGAUCCUUGUGCUCAGAGGUAAACUGCGAAUGGUCUCGCAAACAUAGUAUCCGCAUAGAUGCGUUCCCCGUGGCUGCUGGUCCACUUUACGAGAAUACAAUAUAUAUAAUCAAAAUAAUAAUCUAGCAUCAUAAAUGUAUUACAAAUUAAUAGAAGUAUAUCAUACUACUACUUACCUGAGCCGCUCUAAAGGUCAGCUUCUCAUGAAAGUUACCGGGAGUCACGCACUUGAACCGCUUCCAAACCCUGCCCGACAAGGAUAAUGAUUUGCUAAGUUUUUCAUUAAUUGAUAUAUCAGAAAAUCAUCGAAAGAGACCGAUAGAGCGCAAGAAUGAUUGAAAUUACCCUUGGAGCAUGUCCUGCAGGCUUUGGAACUGUUCCAAGGGUCUCGAUAAUGGGUCGAAGGCAUCAACUCUUCCCUUAUCAAUUUGAAUGUCCAACAGAAUCCAAUGAGAGCUGCACAUGUAUAUAUAUAUAUAUAUAUAUGUGUGUGUGUGUGUGUGUGUGUGUGUGUGUGUGUGUGAGUAACUUAUCAAUUACACUUAUAAGUGAAUGGACACAACAGAGUAAAGACCCUCACCUGAAGUUGUAUGGAAACAGUAUGUGGUCACAGAAAUUUUGAUCUCUUAGAAACCUUAGAAGGUUUUCCUCCGUCUCCUUGGGUUUAUCAGUUAGCGUCGCUAUAUGUAUUUUAUCUGGGUCAAUAAAACCAAUAUUUAGGAUGUUCUUACUUUUACAAUCCAGAAUCUUCAUUCUGCAUAAUAGAGUACAAGUUAUAUAUAGACAAUGAAUUGAAAUAACUAAACAAGAUAUAUGUAGACAACGAAUUGAAAAACUUACAGACAAUAGCAACUCAUAAGCGAUUUGUCGAGGGCGUCGCCAUUGUACAUCUGGAAGAGUUCAUCAAAGUCGAUAUGGAUUUCUUCGGGGCGGCCGUAGUACUCCCGUGGGACACUCACCACGAUCAUCGUUCUCCCAUUCUUUGAUUCACUUAAGUACCAUGUAUGCAAGUAACGCAUAUUUGUUGGGAGAUCAUCUUUGCUGACGAAAGGCUCUCCCAUGACAAACUGUGGCUUAGGGGCUACCACAGCCUUGGGUAACCUGUCGUCUUGGGAAGCCAGAACAUCUUCAACCGAGACACCCCAUUCAGUCGCCCACUUCUUUGCUAAUUCAAAAUCUUGCCCCUGCACCGGAGGGGGAACAUUCUCGGUUAACACCUUGAGGGGUGGGAUCGACUAUUUGGCCUGUUGUCCAAGCUGAGGAACGUCUGAUUUUUUUCUUGCUUGUAGUUGAACUUGAUUUGCUCCCACUUGCACUUGCACGUGAUCUGCUCUUUUUCACUUCCUUCUGCAAUGUGCGUGUAUAGUCAUUAGGCUUAUGGUGUAAGUCAUACUAUGAUGGAAGGGUCGUGAAGUAUUUUGCAAAUGCUAUUUGCUUCUCGGUGUAUUUCGGGCGGGGCUCGGGUUCCUUCUUUUUCAUCUGCGCAUCAUGAUGUUCCUUUGCUAUCCUGGCGUUUUCCUCGGGGGUACGAUCAUAAGGUCUGAUAGGAAGAUUAGCAUGAGGUACCUUUGGGAGGGGCGACCGUUUGCGCUUUGGGGGGCUCCGUCGCUUAGAAAUCGUCAGCGGAGCGUUCUUGGUGGCACGCUUCCGCUCAGUAUCCUGUGCGGGCGGCGGCCGAGACGGACGACCCAAGUACGGAGGCGGUGAUCGAGAUGGACUCGUGUUGUGCUGGCCGACGUCAUGUGGAGGGCUUGGAGGUAAUGGAGAUGUAGGUGACCUGCGACGAUUCGGAGGCGGUGUUGUCCUUGGGGCCGAGCCUGGAAGCUUGAUGUAGUUCUUGUCCCAUAGGAUGACUCCACUCAGUACUUCUCCGAGUGUCCUCUCAUCUUCGGGUCCAGCUAUGUCGAGCUCCAUAUCAUGAAACCCCGCCAUGAUUUCAUCCACCCCAAGUUUAGCAAAGCCAGCUGGAAUCUCACGACCAUGCCAGCGUGCAUCAGGGCCACAAGGUAAAGCUUGUCCGACGGCCACAUUCAUGGAUAUGUUCUUGAAUUUCUGAUGGAGUUCACAUGAUGUUGACUCCUUGAUUCCAUCCACGGGGUAGCCGGGACCGCCCUCUAUCAUUCUUUGUGCAUCGUCGGGCGGGGCCUCAGAUUCAGCCACGCUGCUUUUUCGCUUAGAUGGGGCGUCGGUAAUAUCAAGUGCAGGAUUUUCGUGGCGCGCUACUCCUCUAAGCUCAUCAAUCUGCUUCUAUUUCUCGUUAAUCCUGGCAAGCAACUGGUUGAACUUGUCAUUCUCCUCAUCCUGCUGCCGCUUCUUUGCUCUCUCUCAGCUUCUGUAAGUGUCCUGGUCUCUGGCAAACCCAAGCCACCACGGGUAAGAAGGACCGAAGCCUCGCGUUCGUCCUCCAUGUUCGUCAUUGCCGAGGACCAGUGUGAGCAAAUCUUUCUCUCUAUCUGCAGUGAACUUUCUUUUUCCCUCCUUAAUUUCUUUCACUAUCCUUUUCCAAUUCUCCCUGGGUAUCCUAAGACCGUCACUGCAGAUGAGGUCCCCUGUUUUUUCGUCGUACGACCCACCAUGCGCAAGGAACCAAUUUCUUGCUCUCAAUUCCCACUCAUCAUGGUGUGGUUCAGGUACGAUGCCUUUAUCUAGCCGAUCUUGCUCUUUCUUAUCCCACUUUGGGACGGCAGUCUCAUAGCCCCCUGGCCCCAGCUUGUGGUGAUAUUUCUUCUUGUCGGCAUUUAUCUUGUUCUUUUCUGAUAAUGCCUGGGCAUCUUCUGACUCGUUGUACUCUUGAAAUGCCUUCCAGUGAUUCGCCUGCUUGGCAAGAUACCCCUCGAAUACUGGCACUUUCUUUGUCUUCAGAUAAUUUUUCCAUAGCUUCUUCCAGCUACGGAACAGUUCGGCCAUCUUCUUUAGAGUCCACUGCUUGACUUUGGCCCUCAGUUUGUAUGCGGCGUCUUCAUUCUCACAUUCUGGCAGGUUGAAAUGUGACAUGAGAUCAUUCCAAAGAUUAUCUUUGUACCUUUCGGCGACAUAGUCACUAUCGGCUGCCCCUUUGCGCUUGUUCCACUCCCGAACGCUGAUCGGGACGUGAUUCCUAACGAGAACUCCGCAUUUCUUCUUGAAUGUAUCAACAACAUUCUUAGGAAGCUUGGGUUCGCCCGUAGGCAAUAUCACCUCAAAGGUGUAAUGCGUCCGUGCAUCCAACUUUCUAGUCGGGCCUCGUUUCAUAGCUUUGCUCGAUGUGGAGGCCUAAGAGGGAGAAACAUUCGUCAAAUGAAUGUAUAUGUAUACAAUAUAGAGCUAUCUCCAAUAUUUUUCACAUAUUACAAAUGAUUGUCGAACUUCAUAUGUAUACCUCGCCGGACUUUAUUAUUUCUUCACCGGCUUCUCCACCGGCUUCUCCAUCAGUGGAGCUAUCACCUUCCCCGUCAUUGGACCUAUCUCCUGCCCCAUCGGCUUCAUCUUCGUGUCGCUCGACCUCCAUUCCAUAUCUGCAGGGGUUUAGAUAUGAUGAUGGAGAUUCAGCUGGUUCAACGUCGGGGCCGUCUUUGAUUAUAUCUUCGAGAAGUUCUUCCUCUUCGAGGUUCCUGAUAUGUGGAUCCAUAGUUCUGCAUAAAACGGAUUCUCUUAACCUUUGUACCAAAAAAGAAUUAUUCUAUCAGGAACUCCGUUCCAAAACAACUUUAGUCCCGGGUCGUGGCUCCACCCGGGACUACUAGAUUUCGGCAUAGUAUUCAAAGUAGGAGUACUUUUCCAAUUUGAGCAUCCAAUAAGCAAAACCAAAUCGUAAAAUAAAGUAGUAUUCAAAUUAGCAUGCAUUCAAUUAUAAGGAAAUACAUCAUCUCUUUUGUCCGUACAUCGUCAAAUAUUAUCACUAAUACUCCUCGGAUACUAUCAUACAUAUAGCAUCACUGAUACAUCUAGAACCGUAUCGCCCGACGGGUAUCGGCGCGGGCGGUGGACACCCAAAGAGAAGGAACCAUCACAGGAUCAUAGCUCUAGUGACAUCCCCGAAGAACCUGCCAGGUAUGCUCGAACCUGCCCUCCAACGCAACCAUGUAGCGACGGACGUGCUCAUCCUCCUCGCUGACACGGUGACGUACCACCUCCGCGGUAUCCGGAAGCCUCGGCACCCUCACUGGCCCACGCUACCGCCACCAAACAAGGAUCGGGUCAACGAUGGGCUGGCUCCUCACCAACCUACGCCCCCCGGAAGGUAGCACCUCCCAAUACCAGCCGGGUGGAGCCCAGUCCCGGACAGGGCCCCUCUGAUCAAGCAGGUGUCCUCCGCCGAGUCGACGACGAGGAUGCGGGAUAGGCAUAGUAAAAUGAACUAAAAAAUAAACUAGUUCUAUUAAUUUUCUUGCUAAAAAUAAACUAUUAAAACUUAAGCAUAUACAAUAGCAAAAUUAAACUAUUAACACUUAAGCAUAUACAAUAGCAAAAUUAAGCAAUAAUCUAAGAAACACUAUUAACACUUAAGCAUAUACACUAUACAAUAGCAAAAUUAAAUGACAAAAAACUAAUUUCUCCUCUUCUUCUACCACUUCUCCUCUUUUCUAUUUCUUCUGUUCUUCUUCUUCUUCUAUUUUUCCUCUUUUUCUACUUCUUCUUCUACUUCUACUUCUCCUCUUCUUCUACUACUUCUCCUCUUCUCUUCUUCUACUUCUCCAAUCCUCCUCUUCUAAUUUUUUCUCUUCUUCUACUUGUCCUCUUCUUCUAUUUUUCCUCUUCUUGUCCUCUCCUCCUCUUCUUAUUCUCCUUUUUCUUCUUUUCUUCUCCUCCUCUUCUUAUUUUCCUUUUUCCUCAUCUUAUUUUCUUAUUUUUGUUCAUAUUUUUUCUUCUUGUAACCCUAACCUAAUUUUAAAUAUUACUAACCUUAAUAAUCUAGCACAAACCUAAUAACAAUAGGACGGCGGCGCGCGGCGAGGAGGACGACGGCGACGGCGAGGAGGACGGCAGGCGGCGGCGAGCAGGACGGCGGGCAGCCUGACGGCGUCGUCGAGUUCGUCGCUAUGCCGCGCCGGGCAGGAGAACGAGGAAGAAGGAGAGAAGGAAAUGCGAUUUGGGUUGACCCUGAAAUUGAAAAGCACUACAAAUGAACUCUGAAAAUGUUGAAAUUUGGCAUGCUAUCAUCAUUUCACCCACAUAGCAUGUGUUAAAAAGUUGAGAGGGCUACGACAAAAACUGGAUGCACUUCGUGUACAAAACGGACAAUCUCUCUCGAAGUAUCAGCGUUUCGAACGAGAACUCAUCUCUUACAAAGGGAUUUCAUUUUUUUGAACUUAUUUGAACUUCAUACUUUUUGUGUGUUCAAAAUGCACCACUCAAAGGCACAUCACAAAAUUUCAACAAUUUCUGACUUCAUUUGGUAUUCUUCGUGCAUUUACUUUUUUUUUUUGAGCUAGUUGACCCUGAAAUUGAAAAGCACUAUAAAUGAACUCUGAAAAUGUUGAAAGUUGGCAUGCUAUCAUCAUUUCACCCACAUAGCAUGUGUUAAAACUUGAGAGGGCUACGACAAAAACUGGAUGCACUUCGUGUACAAAACGGACAAUCUCUCUCGAAGUAUCAGCGUUUCGAACGAGAACUCAUCUCUUACAAAGGGAUUUCAUUUUUUUGAACUUAUUUGAACUCCAUACUUUUUGUGUGUUCAAAAUACACCAUUCAAAGGCACAUCACAAAAUUUCAACAAUUUCAUAUAUGGUGAACACUAGCUCACCUAUGGUAUAUGGUGGACAUUCUUCUUCUCUCAUAUAUGGUGGACACUAGCUCACCUGAUUUUUCAACCGUCGAUGAUGGUCGCUACUCCUACUUCCCCUAGUGCAUAACCAAUAUCUAGCACAAGGAGAAGAAGGAGAAACGACCCCCCACAGCAACAGUCGACAUUCUUCUUCUCUCAUGUAUGGUGGACACUCCCUCACCUGAUUUUUUGACCGUCGAUGAUGGUCGCUAUUCCUUCUUUCCCUAAUGCAUAACAAAUAUCUAGCACAAGGAGAAGAAGGAAAAGCGCCCCCCACAACAAAAGUGGUUCCGCGGCACGCCACGUGGUUCCACUGCGCGCCACGUGGGACUAAUGGUCUUUCAUUUUUAAAUGACUGUUUUAAUCAAAAAUAGAUCUGUUACAAAAGGGAUUUCAUUUUUUGAACUUAUUAGAACUGAAGACUUUUUGUAUAUAUAUGUAGUCGAAAUGCAUGAUACCAUGAAGUUAGAAAGGGCUAAACCAUUCAAAAGUAGCAAAUGAAGUUAGAAAGGGCUAAACCAUUCAAAUUUGGAAACUAUAAUGGCACAAACAGAAACUAGACAUAUAUAAAUUGGUCCAAGCAGUACAUGAUACUAGUCCAAACAGUACAUAAUAAUAGCUAUCAUAGAUAUAUAUAUUCGAGGUGACGCUGGCCAUAGUUGACGACUCGAAUCAGAAUGUCCACCUUAUUCGAGGUGACGCUGGCCAUAGUUGACGACUCGAAUCUUGCGGUACAACUCGUAUGAAACGUAUGCAUCUUUUGCUGAAUACUCAAUGUUGAUACGAUCAAGUGGGGCCUUCUUCCAAAGUUUGUGCUGAGACUUUGGGAAAUUGGUCUUCAUAUUACCAUAUUCCUCGUCGAUCAAGGCAACUGCCAUAUGAGCCAUCGAAGUCCUGACAUGUCGAUGCCUGAAUAUCGUUUGGAGAUCAAUGAGGCAACCAGUUGGUAUCUCAAUACCGAAACUGUACCUCAUCUUCAGCUUGUCUUUCGUUAUGUCAACGGUAGCAAAAGUGAUGCCGCUGCGAAGGAAGUCCAUGAGUUCUGGACAAUGCUUGUCACUACUGCAACAGAAACAAAUUAAAAUGGAACAAAUGGUACAUACUGCUGCAAUAAGGAAACAUGUUUCACUACAACUAAAGAGAAAAUUAUCUUUAGGAUUCAAAUAGAACAUAUUGCUAUCCUAUGCAAUUUUCAUAUCCUACGAAUUGAUCAAGAAACCGUAAAUUAACUAUGACAUAUAUAUAUAUAUUCUCCCACGGUUUUGCAAAUAUUCAAUAAGCUAGGCAUAUUGCAUAUUUCUAUCCAACGGAACCUAGAUAGAUCACUAUAGCUAUCCAACGGAACCUAGAGAGAUCACGAGCUAUAUGCAAUUUUCACGACUAUGACAUAUCAUAUUGCUAUCCAAUGGAACCUAGAGAGAUCAUUAGCUAUAUGCAAUUUUCAUAACCUUGGAUCAAAGAACACCGCAUAAAAUUGUAUCACUGCAACUAUGAUUUUAAUGGAACAUAUUGAACCAAUCAGAUUUUUCAGGUUGUGGAACACUAUUCCAAUCAGAUUGUGUUCCCUUCAACUAAUCAAAAUUGUUUCACUACAACUAUUUGAAGCGAAGCAACUAUGAUUCCAAUGGAACAUAUUAAACACUAGUUGAUUCUAAUACGAUUUUCAGAUUAUGGAACACUAUUUCAAUCAGAUUGUGUUCCCCUUCAACUAAUCAAAAUUGUUUCACUACAACUAUUUCAAGGGAACCAACUAUGAUUGAAACAAAUAAACUUACAAUGUCAUUACCUUGGAUCAAAGAAAGCCUCAAAACUUACCUCGCCCAUUGGAAGAUCAAGACAUGGUGUGCGAAACAUAGUUGGAUGACGGCAACACCGUGUUGAUCGGCCGUGUACUCCAGAUGAAGCCCCAAGAGCUUCUCAUGAUCCACUGCGGCGUCAAGCCAUUGUUCCUUCAACUGUCUAAGAAAAUGCGGCACCUCGCUGCUCUCGUUCGUGUACACGACAUCGAGCUUGGUCUCGCCAUGUGCGAGCACCUCUCCAAAGCGAGUUAGCAUGGUGGAAGAAGAGAAGGGAAGAAGAGAGGAGAAGAACAGAGCGAGAGCGAGAGAGGAAGAAGAACAGAGAAAGAAGGGCGACGCGACACAGACUCUGCUUCGGUUGUGGUUUUGUGAAGCGGGAUGCAAACCGUUUGGGCCUUUAGUCCCGGGUUGAGCCACCAACCGGGACUAAAGAGGGAUACCAACGGUUGCCACCACUACGGCAGGCCACGUGUUAGGUCUUUAGUCCCGGGUUGAGCCACCAACCGGGACUAAAGAGGGAUACCAACGGUUGCCACCACCACUGCCCACCGCGUAGCCCUUUAGUCCCGGUUUGGGACACGAACCGAGACUAAAGGCUCCUUACGGGCCGGGACUAAAGCCUCGAGGGAGGCAUUGAGAAUUGGGGCGACGUGGCCGGGCCUUUAGUCCCGGCCCAGAGGCAGGCCGGGACUAAAGGGUCCCGGCCAAAGACCCGUUUUCCACUAGUGAUCUACACUUUAAAAUAUGUCUAUAUACAUUUGUAUAUAGUUCUCUAAUGAAAACUUUAAAAAGACUUAUAUUUAGGAACCGAGAGAGUACAAGUUCUCAUUCAUCCGGAAUUCCUAUAUUGUUUAUCAGACCAACAACUAAAGACUAAGUAAUUAAUUUGUACACUGAAACUAUGCUACUUCAGGGUGUUGAGCCCACGAUCAUUUUGUUACAAAAGGCGUAUAAUCUCUAUUUUUUAUUCAGUACCCACAAAUGUAACACGAAUGGAGUCGAGACUUGGGAAAAGAAGAUAAAUGGAACACCAGGAGCAGUUGCACAUACGCAUGAUGGGAGUAAGAGGCAUCGGAAAACACAGGGGUUGCCUGGAUGGUACAUUUUGUAGUAUUCUAAGGACAGAAUGUGUGGGCAGGACAAGCUACAAUACUAUCCUUGUUGGUCCAGGAUAGUCGCUGGUACCGCUAGCAGACCUGACGUUUCUUGGCAGCAUAGAUUGCAACAACGAUAGAAAAGCUCUUCAUCCGAGCAUAGCUAAUAACUUGGCUCUCCUGCACGAGCACGCACACAUUGCUUCCUCCAAACUGCACAUCUUCUUCUUUUUUAGAAAAGGAGGUUGUCCCCGGCCUCUGCAUCUGAGCGAUGCAUGCAGCCAUUUUAUUAAUUAUAUAUCAAGAUCUUACAAAGUAAUACAUCAAUACGUCUAAAGCCAUCAAGUUGACAACACAUGUCGGUACUCCUAUCCUAUUGAUGAAGGAAUGCCGAAUGUCCAGACCAAACAUACAUCACAUCAAAGCCUAAUAUCUAAAGCCGGAUGUCCCACCCAAGCCGUGACGUCGGGACUGGGUGUCACGCCGGUCCGACGCAGUUCCCGUGGGGACCAGCGUACAUGUUGCAAGGGCCAUCACCUCCUUCUUCCAUCGAUCCAUCCUCAAAGCAACUACUCACGCAUCGACCUUGCCAAGCCGGUCUGCCAUGACGACGUCAGACGACAUCAGACAACGUCGUCCUCCUGCACGAUUCCAUCGCCGCACAUUGGAAGUAGAGCCUUCAUUGCUCCACACCGCCGAGAUCCACCACCAUUAAUAUGUAGGAUGAACUGCCGCUCCACCCAAGAUGUCGUCCACUUGUCCCUCGAGCCCGCGUACACCUCCAAGAAUGACGCCCCCAAGGGAGAAACGACACAAGAGUGCCGUCGCCAUUCGACCUAUUGAUCUAGGGUUCCCCCCGGAGGUAUUGGGUGUAGUUGGGAGAUUCACCUCGAUGAUGCCUUCAUAAGGAAACAAAAAUAAGGGCGCCUUCAUCACCGGCCGAAGACUAGGUUUUCACCCGAAUCCGUCCCAAAGAAAUCUAUCCGACAACCUGUGCACCGUCCCGACAGCCUUCAAAGCCCCAGAUCUAGCCGCCUAGAUCCAGCGACGAUCCGUGAUAGCACUACCACCGUAGGAGCCCUAACGCACCGUCCAGUGCCUGAGUGUGUCACCACUGGAGCCUGGAAGAAGGGUUCCCACCCCCACCUCACGAAACCGUGAGAGCCGUCGAGAUGGAUCCAGCACGCUCAUCACCGUCUGUGAUCCGAACGAGUCUGUAGCAAAAAAGCCACCAGAUCGCCGACGCAGAUCCGCCUUGGACGGGGACUGCACCACGCCAUGCCGCUGCGGAUAACCCGAACUUCACCUAACGCCACCUUCCAGGGCCGCCGCCCCAUGAUCCAGGCCGAAUGUCGCCGCCGCCACCAGCCACGUUGCGCCGCCGCCAAAUCAUCGAGUCACCAACCACCGCCAUCAUGGCUGUUGUGACCACACGGACGCGUCCAGCAGCCCGCACCACCCGAUCUUCCACGUCGUCUUGGAGUCCCGUCGCCUCCGUCCACCACCACGUUGCCGCCUUGCUCCAUCGACGGAGGAGAGCUGCCGUGCCGCUGCGACCCAGAUCAGGGAGAGCUGCCUCAGCGCCGAUGGUUGAUCUGCCUCACCAGAUCCGGACGCGGGAGGGAAGUGAUCCUCCGCCGCAGCCAUCGGCCGGCCAUGGCUUCGCCCGUCGGCUUCAUCCAGCGCCGACGGAGGGGUGGACGGUGGAGGCGGCCCCGGAGCGCAGUGGAUCUCUGCCCGAGUCAUCCUAGAGAUAUUUCUCAGAUUGACCUGCACAUCUACUUUACAACGGCUUGUUGGUGCGGCCUCUCGCAGCGCCGCUCUUCUUCUCUCCCUCGACUAUCUCAGCUCGAGGAUAUUCUCAAGAACACUUACACAAUGGAAGAACUCACACAUACACACACGCACACACACACACACACAUGAACCAAGGAAGAAGAACACAAGGGCUUUGCCGCUAGAACACUUCCUUGGUUACCCACAAUGGCUACAUGUUUUCUGUCAGCCCUCAUGGCUGCCUUCCAUUACUCCAAUGCAAAUAUAUAUAUACAAGGACGAGGCACUAAUGCUAUGCACUCACGCACAACAACCCACUACGAGCACUAACUAAUCUACUCCAUGCACGCCCCAGCGCGUGUGCAGCAUGCAUCCCGUAAUGGCCGGCCACACGACCUGGACAACAUCCAAUGCACAGGAUUCAACUAACAUGCUAACCCCAAGAGGGUGUUUGGAUCCAAGUGACUAAAAUUAGUCUGACUAAAACUAGUCUUUUAAGAGGCUAAAGUUCCAAGCACCCCUGACUAAAGAGAGGCUAAAAUUAGUCUUGAGGCUAAAAUCUUUUAGUGAGCGGUACCCCUACUAAAAUGUGCAUUAGUCCUCUCUCUCCUCAUUUAACUCCUCGGACAAGUUCUGGAUUGGAGGGUUUGAAGGAUAAUAAAGGCUCAUUAACUUGAUUUUAGUCUCUUUAGUAUUUGAAUCCAAACAUGGAUGAGACUAGCAAGUUUUAGUCUCAUUACUUUUAGUCAUGGGACUAAAACGUAUCCAAGCACCCACUAAUUCCUGGAUUGACUCAGCUAACUAACUCAACGAUUUGGCUAAUAUCUAGACCACUAACAUGCAAUGCAUGUACUAAUUACUCAUACUGCUCGGUCAUACACACAUGCAUAGACUGGCUAGUACUCCCACACUGAGCACACAUGCACGUGCACAAUGUUGGAAUUAUGCCCUAGAGGCAAUAAUAAAUAUAGUUAUUAUUAUAAUUCCUGUAUCAAGAUAAUCGUUUAUUAUCCAUGCUAUAAUUGUAUUGAAUGAAGACUCAUUUACAUGUGUGGAUACAUAGACAAAACACCGUCCCUAGCAAGCCUCUAGUUGGCUAGCUAGUUGAUCGAAGAUAGUCAGUGUCUUCUGAUUAUGAACAAAGUGUUGUUGCUUGAUAACUGGAUCACGUCAUUAGGAGAAUCACGUGAUGGACUAGACCCAAACUAAUAGACGUAGCAUGUUGAUCGUGUCAUUUUGUUGCUACUGUUUUCUGCGUGUCAAGUAUUUAUUCCUAUGACCAUGAGAUCAUAUAACUCACUGACACCGGAGGAAUGCUUUGUGUGUAUCAAACGUCGCAACGUAACUGGGUGACUAUAAAGAUGCUCUACAGGUAUCUCCGAAGGUGUUAGUUGAGUUAGUAUGGAUCAAGAUUGGGAUUGUCACUCCGUGUGACAGAGAGGUAUCUCGGGGCCCACUCGGUAAUACAACAUCACACACAAGCCUUGCAAGCAAUGUGACUUAGUGAAAGUUGCGGGAUCUUGUAUUACGGAACGAGUAAAGAGACUUGCCGGUGAACGAGAUUGAAAUAGGUAUGCGGAUACUGACGAUCGAAUCUCGGGCAAGUAACAUACCGAAGGACAAAGGGAAUGACAUACGGGAUUACAUGAAUCCUUGGCACUGAGGUUCAAACGAUAAGAUCUUCGUAGAAUAUGUAGGAUACAAUAUGGGCAUCCAGGUCCCGCUAUUGGAUAUUGACCGAGGAGUCUCUCGGGUCAUGUCUACAUAGUUCUCGAACCCGCAGGGUCUGCACACUUAAGGUUCGACGUUGUUUUAUGCGUAUUUGAGUUAUAUGGUUGGUUAUCGAAUGUUGUUCGGAGUCCCGGAUGAGAUCACGGACGUCACGAGGGUCUCCGGAAUGGUCCGGAAACGAAGAUUGAUAUAUAGGAUGACCUCAUUUGAUUACCGGAAGGUUUUCGGAGUUACCGGGAAUGUACCGGGAAUGACGAAUGGGUUCCGGGAGUUCACCGGGGGGGCAACCCACCCCGGGGAAGCCCAUAGGCCUUGAGGGUGGCACACUAGCCCUUAGUAGGCUGGUGGGACAGCCCAAAAGGGCCCUAUGCGCCUAGGAAAGAAAAUCAAAGAGAAAAGGAAGAAAAAGGAGGAGGUGGGAAGGGAAGGAAGGACUCCCACCCACCAAACCAAGUCCAACUCGGUUUGGGGGGGAGCCUUCCCCCUUGGACUCGGCCGACCCCCUUGGGGCUCCUUGAGCCCCAAGGCAAGGUCCCCUCCCUCCCACCUAUAUAUACGGAGGUUUUAGGGCUGAUUUGAGACGACUUUUCCACGGCAGCCCGACCACAUACCUCCACGGUUUUUCCUCUAGAUCGCAUUUCUGCGGAGCUCGGGCGGAGCCCUGCUGAGACAAGGUCAUCACCAACCUCCAGAGCGCCGUCACGCUGCCGGAGAACUCUUCUACCUCUCCGUCUCUCUUGCUGGAUCAAGAAGGCCGAGAUCAUCGUCGAGCUGUACGUGUGCUGAACGCGGAGGUGCCGUCCGUUCGGUACUAGAUCGUGGAACUGACCGCGGGAUUGUUCGCGGGGCGGAUCGAGGGACGUGAGGACGUUCCACUACAUCAACCGCGUUCACUAACGCUUCUGAUGUAUGAUCUACAAGGGUACGUAGAUCACUCAUCCCCUCUCGUAGAUGGACAUCACCAUGAUAGGUCUUCGUGCGCGUAGGAAAAUUUUUGUUUCCCAUGCGACGUUCCCCAACACACAAGUCACGUGUCAAGAUUAUUUUCAAUAUUUUCCCUCCUAAUCUUGACACCUUGACUCAUCAAACUCUCCAUGGAUGACACCUUGGCGGUGCCGAGCUCCACUCGAAAUCGUCGUUGACGUGGUCGCAGCAACACGAAGACAGCCGCCAAUGCCAUCUUGUCACGCUGAUUCGAUGAGAGUCACACCUCCUACAUCUUCACCACGAGCAUGCCACGCGACACACUCGUUGUCUCAUAUUCGCCGUCGGUGCCGCAACUCGCAGAUGAGUCGCCUCCAUCUUCGCCACCGGUGCCGCAACUCGCCGGUGACUCGCCUCCAUAUUUGUCACCAGUGCCACAACUCGCCGGUGACUCAGCUCCAUGUUGCCGACGAUGAAGCACCUUGUCGACGACUCGCACAUGAAACUCCUUAUGGCAAUAGCCUCCGCUCCAUGGCCACCACCUACUUGCCGCCGAUGACACAACUUACCGGACGACAUACCUAUCUCCAUCACCGUGACGCAGCUCGACGAUGAUGAAGACACACACCAGCUGCUAGCAGCAUCACGCCGCCAUCGACGUCCACCUUGCGCCGCCGACGUCCCCCUCAUAUGGAGUCCGCCACGCAGCCACACCUCGUGCACCUCCAUAGGCCGACACACGGCCCGGAGCUUCGCGCGGCCGCCGAUGAACGCCGCCAUUGCCGGCACGCCUCCGGCAUGGCGAACCACGCCCAAAACAACCAAGCUCAUGAUACCAAGUGUUGGUGCGGCCUCUCACAGCGCCACUCUUCUUCUCUCCCUCGACUAUCUCAGCUCGAGGAUUUUCUCAAGAACACUUACACAAUGGAAGAACUCACAGAAACACACACGCACACACACACAUGAACCAAUGAAGAAGAACACAAGGGCUUUGCCGCUAGAACACUUCCUUGGUUACCCACAAUGGCUACAUGUUUUCUGUCAGCCCUCAUGGCUGCCUUCCAUUACUCUAGUGCAAAUAUAUAUAUACAAGGACGAGGCACUAGUGCUAUGCACUCACGCACAACAACCCACUACCAGCACUAAGGCCCUGGUUGGAACCAUAAUAGAUUAUGAUAACCUGGAUUAUGAAGAUAGAUUAUAUAAUCUGGUUUAUAAAAAUAAUCUAGGUGGACAUGUUUGGAGGCCAGAUUAUAUAAACUAUAAUCCAAGUUUUACAUUGCAUAAUGACCUCUCUGCCCUCUGUUUUUUUAAAAGAGAAGGAUGGCGAUGGUAGGAAUGUUAUUAUCUCCAACUUUACAAGGAUAAUGGGUCAUUAGCAAUUCAUAAUCUGAUUUUAGCUGGUAUAGAGUAGAUUAUGAGUUUUUAAUAAUCUAUCCAUCUAGUUUUUAUAAUCUACACCAUAAGCUGUCCUGUUUGAAAAUAGAAUAGAUUAUAAAAACUAAAUUAUAUAAUCUGGGUGGGCCUAACUAAUCUACUCCAUGCACGCCCCAGCGCGUGUGCAGCAUGCAUCCCGUAACAUGCAUCCCGUAACGGCCGGCCACACGACCUGGACAACAUCCAAUGCACAGGAUUCAACUAACAUGCUAACUAAUUUCUGGAUUGACUCAGCUAACUAACUCAACGAUUUGGCUAAUAUCUAGACCACUAACAUGCAAUGCAUGUACUAAUUACUCAUACUACUGGGUCAUACACACAUGCAUAGACUCCCACAGUGAGCACACAUGCACGUGCACAAGUCACGUGUCAAGAUUAUUUUCAAUACGGCUAUUGAGCAAAACACGAGCCUUGCUCCUAGUGGCUAUGCGAAAGCUAAGCUAGUUUUGUUUUCGUAAUCUAUCCAAGCAAACCAAGCUUAAUCAAGCAGAGAUCAUAUAGGGAUCCAAGCGCUCUUCAGUUUCCUUGCACGCGUUGCUUAAUCAAGCAGAGAACAUAUAGUGACGAGCACCCACUAUGUGUUUACCAAGCCACGGGCACCCGAGUUCAUGUUUAGUUUUCGUGUGCUUGAAAAUGAGUAUUAAUUCUACCUGAAUUGCUUCAUGGCAGUCGACGCCAAUUAAUUUACCAUCGGAAAUAAAGGCAGCAUUUUUUCAGCGAACCAUGUCGCAUUCCAGCUACUACUAGUACAAAUCCGUUGGUAUCAAUCAUAAUGUGUCAAUAUGGACCGCGAUCAUAUAUUUCGUGCAAACAAGGCUCAUGAGGUUGUGAUACAUAGUCAAGCAGCUUGUGCAACGUAGACAUCAAGUAGUGAAAGAAAACACUAUACAUGAGAGAGUCGGACGGUGACACCACACGGUAUGUGCGGUAAGCAAUCUUAGAAUUGAAAUUAAGUUUAAAAGGCUCAAAAAAUUUGGAGUGGGGAGGGAGGCAUCGAACGAUAAAUUUCAGUGUCGUUGGAACGUUGUGAGCACAGUCACCAGAUAGUAGUGCAUAUGCCCGAAUCCAUAACAGUAUCACCGGAUACCUGGUACACAUAGCCUCUUGCAAGCAGCUCCCGCGACGCAGCCCUGUGGGCGACUGGGGCGGCAGCCCAAACUCUAGCCACCGUCAAAUCCUCCAUUCCUCAUCUACACCGCCAUCGUCGGAGGACGCCGCCCGCGAAGCCGUGUGGCUAACGUUGGUGACGGGGACCUUGCUCGCGACGCGGGUGGCUCUCAGGCACACAACGACAGCUUGGACACUCCGUGAGGCUGCGGCAUUGUCGGCGUGGUGCUGGGCGUUUGAGCAGGAUGUUAUGCUGGCAUAGACACGGCAGCAGGAUGUCGUCCUGAUCUUUGGGGCAGGGGAUGGCAGCGUUGAGAUCCGAAGUCCUCGGCUGCGUGAUGUGCCUGUGCUCCGGAUCCACAACAGCGGAGUGUGCAGUGGCUUGCGUUGGCCGGAUCGGGGCCGAGCGCGGAGCUGUUCUGCUGGUGUUCCCGUGGAUGUACCAGUACUCUAGUAGUACACCUCAUGGAAUGGAUCGAUUUCUACUAAAGGCUAGCUUUGCACUGUGGUGCCUCGUGUAGCAACAUCUUUGUCGCCCUCUUGCACUGCGGAAUUUGACACCUCCGCCAUUGCGGUCAUUGACAUGAGCUUCGGGUGGCGCGGGUCAUGUUCUUCCUUGCCGGCCUGGCCUACGAGAUGCCGGUAAAGGAUUGGGACCACAGGUGCAGGAGAUAGCCUGCUGGCGGCAUGAGGACUACAAGCUUGGAAAAAAUAAUUAUGGUUUGGCCCUAGCUUUUUUUGCGCCAAGUCACCAUUAUACCUCCUACCAGCCUCCUGGAUUGGCUGUCGAUAUUUUCUCGUCUUAUUUGUCGGAUAUCUACGCGGACUCCGCAUGGCGCUCCUAGAUAUCAGGAUCCAAUCGUGUGCGCCCGUAUCAUCAGCCACUUUAGAUUCAAGCGGGCGUGGCGCGGCGCAAAGUUUCGCUUUCUUGUCGGUGUCAUUGGACAUGUCUGAGUCAAGAAUACCAAAGCUUUGUUAUUUUUUUGGACAUGUCUGAGUCAAGAUUACCAAAGCGUUGCGCCUGUUCCUGCCAAUGACCUUAUUCAAAACAUUGUUUGUUUUUUUUUGGCGAACUCGAACUUCCUCCAGGGUGAAAACCCAAAAUCUUCGAUUAGCCAACAAGAACAUGUGUGCAUUGUUUUGUUCUUGGAAUCAUUACUUUUAGAUAACUUCUUUUGUAAUCUGGGUGUUGUCUUCGCUGGUGAUUAGAGUGAUGAUGAUGCUAUUGACUAAUCACAGUUGGCGGGUUUUUUUCUUCUGUCUUUUUUUUAGUUAUAUGUAUCAUGGAUGCCUUUGAAAAUCAUGUUGGUCCAAACACCGGGUGUAAGUGGUAUAUUCACUAUAUUGAUAUAUAUUUUUUGUCAAAGAAGUAGUGCGUGCCCAUUUUUCUCGUGUUAUGAAAGCCGUUCGGGAGUUGGUUCUAGUCUGCUUUCGUCGGGUUCUUGAAGUAUCUAUCUACGUUUCUGACUCAAUUUUAAGUGCCUUGGUGUUUAUGUGAUUUUUAUUUCAGGUUGGUGGAUAGCUCAUUUAUCCAUCGACAUUACAUUCUUCUAAACAUGCCUCUUGUAUAUAUAAAGGAUGCACUCCGUCGAGACUGUGGUAUAUUAUCUUAGACUUCACACUUGUAUUUGUUAUCCUUACCAAGAUAUGGCGAAGGACUAGACCAAGGUCAGCUAGCUGGAAAUAGUUUCUGGGCAACACAUGGGGAUUAUGAGGCAUCAAGAAGAACAUCCUGUAUAGUGGAUACUAACAUCUUUGCUCUAAUUGCCACCUCACGUGUCUCAAAAAAGAAGAACGCACCAUUUGUUGCUUGCCCCGAAGGUUUCUCGAAUACACAUGAUCUUUAUUACCUAGAAAUAUACUCUAGCACUGGAAGUAUGAGUGCCGGAGCCAACAACCGAUGAAUCUUGAAGUCGUCGACGGUUGCGGCUCGAGACGAUGCGGUGGUGGAGGAGAGAUGCAACCAAGGAGGCAAGUUCAUUUUUUUAGGGAGCUCCUAUACGGUGCCUUAUGCGCUAGUUCAGGCAACCGGCGCCCGCAGUAAAACCAGGUGGGUUGGCACUGGAAAAUGAACCGCCAUUAAUAGCGCGAGAAAACUCCCAAAAAAGUUCCUUCCAUGAGAAAUUGAGCACGCGCCGGUAGCAAAACCAAUUGAGCCACUAGCCGCUAGUGAGUAGUUACAACGCUGAAUACUUAACAACAUUGAUACAUCACCAUUUAGUACACAUCCAUUUAGAAAAAUAAGAUUUUAUCUGAACCAAAAAUUUAAACAAAAAGUGUCAUUUCCUAGAUUUUAAAAAUAAUCAUGAAUUAGAAAAAGGUUUAUGUAUUCAAAAAAGUUCAUGAAUAAAAAAAAAUAUCAUUAACUAUGAAAAAAGUUCAUCAAAUCUGAAAAUUAGUUCACUGAUUUGCAAAAAGGAUAGUCAAAUUUAAAAACUAGUUCACAGAUUUUGAAAAAAGUUCACCGAUAUAUAAUAUUUUUUAUAAAAAAUCAUUGAAUUUGAAAAAAGAUUCAUCAAUUUGAAAUAAAAUCAUAAAUUGAAAAAUAACUUCAUCGAAUUGAAAAAAAGUUCACCGAGCUUCAGGGCAGGUCCAUGAAAUUAAAAAAAUCAUGAAUUUAAAACGAAAAAUUCAGUAUUGCAAAUAAUUGAAGGAAACAGGAUGAAAAGGAAGAAAAAACAGAAAACAAAAAGAAAAACGAAAAAAAGAAAAAGUGAAAAGAAUUAAUAAAAAAAGAACAAGUUCAUUUUUAACAGGUCCCGCGUGGGUGGCGUAGUGAUUGCAACUUGUAACUUGCUCAGCUUGGUCGCGGGGGCGAAUCAUGUUCAGCUAGGUUUGUUUUUGUCCGAUUAAAAAUAGAGAAGAAAAAGCAAGAUGGGAUGGCCCAGCUCACAUGCCUGCAGCCGCCACUUUACAGAAACAGUAGUAAUCGACGCAUGCAGCGCUAAAUAGGGUUUGUCUUUUCUAGGCAAACGAAUCCGCUUUUGAAAAGUUUCCAAACGCUUCCCAAUCCGGCUUUUCCCGUCUGUAAAAAGAUCCCGGGUUUUGUUUGUGUUUUGUUGUAUGUUUCUUUUUCUUUAUUGCAUCCGCCCUAUAUGAUGUGUAAUCGAAAAUCGUUGCUCGAGUUGCGAGUUGAAGGUGGACAUCCUACUGGGACAAAAAAAUCAGACACUAGUUGCGAGCCGAUGGUAUGCUUGCAAGUGGGGCGAAAAAGGAUCAGAUGCCAGUUGUGAGUUGAGGGUGCACAUGCAAUGGGGACAAAUAAGUCAGACUCAAGUUUCAAGUCGACGGUAUGCUUGCAAGUGGGGGCAAAGAGGGUUAAUUGACAGUUGCAAGUUGAGGAUGGACAUGCAACCAAGACAAAAAAAAAAAUAGAUUCCAGUUGCAAAUUGAUGGUUGCAAGUUGAUGGUACGCUUGCAAGUGGGGAAAAAGAGGGUCAUUGUCCAGUUGCGAUUUGAGGGUGGACAUGAAACUAGGACAAAAAAAUCAGACUCCAGUUGCAAGUCGAUGGUAUACUUGCAAGUGGGGCAAAAGAGGGUCAUUGGCCAGUUGAGAGUUUAGGGUGGAUAUGCAACCGGGAUAAAAAAAAGUUAGACUCCAGUUGCGAGUCGAUGUUAUGCUUGCUAGUGUGGCAAAAUAGGGUCAAUGGCGAGUUGCAAGUUGAGGGUGGACAUGCAACUGGAACAAAAAAUGUUAGAUUCCAGUUGAAAGUCGAUGGUAUGCUUGCAAGUGGGGCAAAAGAGGGUCAAUGGCUAGUUGUGAGUUGAGGAUGGACAUGCAACUGAGACAAAAAGGAUUGGACUUCUGUUGCGAGUCAAUGGCAUGCUUGAAAGUGGGGCAAAAGAGGAGAGAUGAGUUGCGAGAUGAGGGUGAACAUGCAGCAGGGACAAAAAAGAUGUUGAAUUCUAGUUAUGUGUCAAGGCUGGACUUGCAACUCGGACAAAAAUGGAUCAUGCCCUAGUUGCGACUCACGGAUAAAACUUGCAACUAAGUCAAAUAUCAUGCGAUCGCGUGUCACGGACAAACUUGUAACUGGAUUGCAUAUUGAACUGAAUCAGUUGCGUAUCAAGGAUGGAAUUGCAACUAAAAUAAAAAUGGGUCGAACUCUGAUUGCAUGUUGAGGACGGAGUAGCAACCUGGAGAAAAUUAUUACAAACAUAAAUUCAAAAUAAAUAUAAUAACUAGAAAAAAAUAUCUACAAAUGUAUGAAAUUACCAUUUUUUAAGAUAUUCGUUGUUUGAAAAAUGUUGAAUUUUUUGGAAAGAUGUUUAAAAAUUUAAACAGACAAAAUCUACAAACGCAAUCACCGUACAUUUAUAUAUUCAUAUAUUUUGUUGGCUUCGUUUGCCUCCAAUAAAAACUGCCCGGACAAUCCUGCCCGUAUGGAGCUUGCUGGGCACUUUGCGUGUGGCUUCGUCAGCGCGUAAGUUUAUACUAGCUAGUUUUUUCUCCGUUACAGCUUUGGGUUGCUUGCUCCCUUCCUACCCCAGCCAUAAGUACGGUGACUGCGUUGGAGCUGUCCACUCGGGUACACCCAUAUGUCUGUGACGAGGUCCUGUGCGCCGUUUCAGCCGCUAAUCUUUCUCGGGUGCAUAGGGGAUUUUCUUGCUCGGGAUUUGACGACGCAUACGCUAGUUAGCUGCUGUACAAUGCAAUGGAACAUUGUGUGCUUGCAACAAAAGACUUUUCCAUCGGGGCAUUUUUAUCGUCCAUAGUCCGAGUAGAGUAGCCGGCACAUUUUGCGAAGAUUCAAUAUACAGGGGCCUACCCUACGGCAAAAUAGACAAUUCUGAUCCCUGGCAUGAAAGAACUCGAAAACUGAACCAUUUCGGAAAAUAUUCACCGAGCUGAUCUUUUCUGUGGGGUCCGACGCCUGUGUGACGCCUAAGUUAUCGGCGUCACACAUCCGUUCAUGUUGGCACUGCAGGCCCCACCUCCAGCAGUGUGACGCCUAAGGCUCAGACAUUGCACUUGCGGUAGUGUGGCUCCGAGCUCUUAGGCGCCACACCUUCAGUUAUCUAGCCACGGGCCGGCCUCCUUCCUCAUCCCCUCCUCAUUCACCCCCUCCACCACAGAGUGUUCACACCUUGAGUUAAAGUCGCGCCCUUCCCCAAAUCCCUCUUCAAAUCAACAUAUAUGAAGGUUUGGUCCGAACAUUUCGUGUCCAAUCCCUCCCUUAAGGUAAUCCCCCCUCCUCCUUCUCAUCCCCAAAAAAAUCUCAUUUGAUGAUUUCUUUGCAAAUGUGAGAGAACCCUAGCUCUUCAUGAAAUUUGAGAUGUAUAUUAUAUUAUUACAUUUGUUUGUAUGUUAGGAUAAGGGGUUAGGAUUAAGGUUGUUCGGAUGUUUUAUAUGUUGUUUCUACAACCAUACAUUUUAGUCAACCAAACAGCAGGACUAAAACGCCGGGAGAGAUAGCGAAACAUGCCAUCCGGCCAGUACCAGCGGUCCAACGGGGAGCAGCACAGUAAAAGUGAACAACCCAAACGCAAGGGUCUCAAUGUCCGGUCAGCUCUUAGAAAAUGUGUCCAGUUGCCAAAACACGCCUUCUUGUUCAAGGUGAAGCAACCAUGACUUUGUCCGAUAACUAACUUCCCUUUUGACUGAUGUCGGUGUCUAAAAACCAGAUAUCGGAUCGUUGUGCAAACAAUUAUUUUUUGAGAGUUCGGUCAGGAACUAAAGAGACGGUUUCCUCAAGAAUCAUAAUCGCCGGAGAAGAUAAACUAAGAAGGAGAGUACAUGAGAAGUAACCAGGUUCAGGCCACCAUCCUGGUGUAACACCGUAUCCCCGCCUGAUAAUAUUUUUUUUUGAAGCGGAGGCAUAAAAUUUGCCUCAUCAAUUAAAUAAGGGAGGAAUAGAGUUAAACGUUUUACGACACCCUAUUCCCUCCUAAUCUUGUGUCUAUGUAUUCACGUUACAUGCAUACUAAGGUUUCCGCCUCCCCGUAGUUGUCGUAUCUCUCGUCAGAAUGUUACAUAUAGCUCUCGUUAGAGCACUUGUAUUAUAGGAUUAAAUGGUGAAGAAGAAGAAUAAAAAGGAGAAGAGAAAACGAGUUGUGAUUAUUUAGAUGUGUGCAAUACUGCUUGGAAUAGAAGGCAUCGGAAAAAACACCAGAUGUUCCAGGACACCUGUAUGGUCCAAAUCAUGAAGCAGUCGGGCUGGAUGUUGUUUUGGCAUAGGCUACAUCUCUUUGAAAUCAGCCUGACGGCUCUUGAUUUGGAGACCGAGAUGUUUUGUGGCGAUAAAGCGAGGCGAGACUCGAAAGACUGAAAACAGGGUUUCUUCUUGUCCUCUUUCGACGACUUCAUUGAGUAUUAAAAUGGAGCUGGCACAUCUACUUUUUGGACUCAAUUUGAAGUGUGUGGAUGUUUCUGUGAUCUUGAAACUGCCUUUUCCAGCUCGACUCAAGAAGAAAAAACCGAAAAAUUUAAGCACUAUCAGCAUUUGACCAAAAAAUUCAAUUCCUGCAAAGUUUCAUCAUGAAAUGAUAUUCAUGGAAGUCAUGGAAAAAAGACAAAAUCAGAAUACGAAACUAACUUUUUUGAAGCAUCGAUUUUAUUUUUUUGCCAUGGCUCUCAUGAAUGUUAUUUUACGAUGAUAUUUCGCAAUAAUGUGAAAUAUUUGUCAUUUCUCGGGACCAAAAAAAAUGAGAAUUUAUGGAAUGUUGUUUUUCUUCGAUGGUACUUAGGCUUCACAUUUAUCUUUUCACUCAUGACCAAGAUAUGAUCAAUGACUAGACCAAGGACAACUAGCUAGAAGUAGUACAUGUUCGACAUAUGGUGAUUGCUAGGCAUCAGGAAGCACAACAUAUAUUGUUGAUAGUACCAUCUUUGUUCUAAUUGCUACCCUGCAUAAAGUGUCAAAAAAGAAAAAGGCAUCAUUGUUUGCAUGAAGUGACCACGAUGGGUUAUUGGAUCUGUUUGUCACUGUUCAAGUCAUAGAAUAAAUUACUAGGGCAGAAAGAUCAUGUGCAAUGGAGAAAUCCUCUGAGAAAUCCAUUAAAAAGCCAACCAUGGGAUCCACGGCUGGGAACCAAAUGCAAUCUCUCGUAAACCAGCUCCCACAACUUUGGGAACAAAGGAUUUGUUCCUGUCAAAAAAAGGAUUUGCUAACGAUUUCAACUUUUAUCUCUUUAAAAAAAAAAUGAUGUUACAUCGCAGUUCAACAAGAAUAUGUACACAUCCUUCCUCUUGGGAUGAUUUCCCAGACCUCUGACAUUCCAGUUUAAAAAUACAAUAUCCAUAGGAAAAUAUGCAAGCUCAUACACCGGAAGCAGGAACCAGAAGCAGCUCGAAUGGAUGAACCGACGAGGGGCGCACACAAAACAUUCCUGCCAGACAGACUGGGGAAAUAAGGGAUACACUAGACACCAUAAUUACACCAUGAAUGACUUAUCAAGGAUGGCGUUUGACAAACCCUACCGCGCUAUAAGUAUCUAGACCAAAAAAUUGUGUCACGGGCUUAUUGGAAAUCUGAUGACUCACACUUUUCGGCUGGUCAAAUGGCAGUGAAGAAACACCUUUUCCGCUUUGGAUCCUUCAUGAUAAAAUAUGGGUCAGAGAAUUGUUUCUAGAAGGACAACUGGUUGGACAAUGCGAGCCUCCGAAAACAAUAUACAGAUUUGUACCACAUUGUUCGCGACAAGGAUGAUACUCUAGUGCAGGUGCUCAGUUCAUUCCUGUCGAAUAUUUCUUUUGGGCGGGAUUUGAUUGCCCCCGUCUUAUGUCAUGGCAAAAUUUGUUAUCGUGAUUGGAGCCAAUUAACUUGACACAAGGACGGGAUGUGUUUCGUUGGAACCUCACUACAUAUGGAUGCUUCACUGUCGAGUCUAUGUCCCAUCUGCUCACGCAUUUAGAUGUCAAAGAUUUCACUAAAAUUUUAAAUCUUCAUGUGGUAUUUUCGAAAGGGAGUUAUGCUAAUCAAAGACAAUCUUGCCCGUCGCAGUUGGCACAGAAUAAAGAGAUGUAGUUUGCGAUCUAUCGUGGUCAGUCAUUAAAAUAACGUCUAAUUUCUAUCUGCCGACAAGUAUCGUCAAUGUUUUUGAUCAUUGGUUGGAUGGGAGCAUAUGCCUUAUUAUGGGCAAUGUGGCUAUGUAGAAAUGACUUGGUUUUGGAUGGAAAGAACACCUGUCAUUUGCAGGUUGUUUUUGGUUGUACGCACUCAUUUCAUAUGUGGUCUACACUACCACUAGUAGAAAACGGGCCUUUGGCCGGGACCCUUUAGUCCCGGCCUGCCUCUGGGCCAGGACUAAAGGCCCGGCCACGUCGCCCCAAUUCUCAAUGCCUUCCUCGAGGCUUUAGUCCCGGCCCGUAAGGAGCCUUUAGUCCCGGUUCGUGUCCCAAACCGGGACUAAAGGGCUACGCGGUGGGCAAUGGUGGUGGCAACCGUUCGUAUCCCCCUUUAGUCCCGGUUGGUGGCUCAACCCGGGACUAAAGGCCUAACAUGUGGCCUGCCGUAGUGGUGGCAACCGUUCGUAUCCCCCUUUAGUCCCGGUUGGUGGCUCAACCCGGGACUAAAGGCCUAACACGUGGCCUGCCGUAGAGGUGGCAACCGUUGGUAUACCUCUUUAGUCCCGGUUGGUAGCUCAACCCGGGACUAAAGGCCUAACACGUGGCCUGCUGUAGUGGUGGCAACCGUCCGUAUCCCCCUUUAGUCCCGGUUGGUGGCUCAACCCGGGACUAAAGGCCUAACACGUGGCCUGCCGUAGUGGUGGCAACCGUUGGUAUACCUCUUUAGUCCCGGUUGGUGGCUCAACCCGGGACUAAAGGCCCAAACGGUUUGCAUCCCGCUCGUUUCGGGCGAUGAAAAGCACGAACCGAAGCAGAGUCGCCAUUUCUCAGUUUCUUCUUCUCUCUCGCUCUUCGCUCUGUUCUUCUCCUCUCUUCUUCCCUUCUCUUAUUCCACCAUGCCAACUCGCUUUGGAGAGGUGCUCGCACAUGGCAAGACCAAGCUCGAUGUCGUGUACACGAACGAGAGCAGGGAGAUGCCGUAUUUUCUUGAACAGUUGAAGGAACGAUGGCUUGACGCGGCAAUGGAUCAUGAGAAGUUCUUGGGGCUUGAUCUGGAGUACACGGCCGAUCAACGCGGUGUUGCCGUCAUCCAACUAUGCUUCGCACACCAUGUCUUGAUCUUCCAAUGGGCGAGGUAAGUUUUGAGGCUUUCUUUGAUCCAAGGUAAUGACAUUGUAAGUUUAUUUGUUUCAAUCAUAGUUGGUUCCCUUCAAAUAGUUGUAGUGAAACAAUUUUGAUUAGUUGAAGGGGAACACAAUCUGAUUGGAAUAGUGUUUCAUAAUCUGAAAAAUCGUAUUAGAAUCAACUAGUGUUUAAUAUGUUCCAUUGGAAUCAUAGUUGGUUCGCUUCAAAUAGUUGUAGUGAAACAAUUUUGAUUAGUUGAAGGGAACACAAUCUGAUUGGAAUAGUGUUCCACAAUCUGAAAAUUCUGAUUGGUUCAAUAUGUUCCAUUGAAAUCAUAGUUGUACUGAUACAGUUUUAUGCGGUGUUCUUUGAUCCAAGGUUAUGAAAAUUGCAUAUAGCUAGUGAUCUAUCUAGGUUCCAUUGGAUAGCAAUAUGAUAUGUCAUAGUCAUGAAAAUUGCAUAUAGCUAGUGAUCUCUCUAGGUUCCAUUGGAUAGCUAUAGUGAUAUCUCUAGGUUCCAUUGCAUAUGUUCUAUUUGAAUCCUAAAGAUAAUUUUCUCUUUAGUUGUAGUGAAACAUGUUUCCUUAUUGCAGCAGUAUGUAACAUUUGUUCCAUUUUAAUUUAUUUCUGUUGCAGUAGUGACAAGCAUUGUCCAGAACUCAUGGACUUCCUUCGCAGCGGCAUCACUUUUGCUACCGUUGACAUAACGAACGACAAGCUGAAGAUGAGGUACAACUUCGGUAUUGAGAUACCAACUGGUUGCCUCAUUGAUCUCCAAACGGUAUUCAGGCUUCGACAAGUCAGGAGUUCGAUGGCUCAUAUGGCAGUUGCCUUGAUAGACGAGGAAUAUGGUGAUAUGAAGACCAAUUUCCCAAAGUCUCAGCACAAACUUUGGGAGAAGGCCCCACUUGAUUGUAUCAACAUUGAGUAUGCAGCAAAAGAUGCAUACGUUUCAUACGAGUUGUACCGCAAGAUUCGAGUCGUCAACUAUGGCCAGCGUCACCUCAAAUAAGGUGGACAUUCUGAUUCAAAUCGUCAACUAUGGCCAGUGUCACCUCGAAUAUAUAUAUCUAUGAUAGCUAUUAUUAUGUACUGUUUGGACUAGUAUCAUGUACUGCUUGGACCAAUUUAUAUAUGUCUAGUUUCUGUUUGUGCCAUUAUAGUUUCCAAAUUUGAAUGGUUUAGCCCUUUCUAACUUCAUUUGCUACUUUUGAAUGGUUUAGCCCUUUCUAACUUCAUGGUAUCAUGCAUUUCGACCACAUAUAUAUACAAAAAAGUCUUCAGUUCAAAUAAGUUCAAAAAAUGAAAUCCCUUUUGUAACAGAUCUGUUUUUGAUUAAAACAGUCAUUUACAAAUGAAAGACCAUUAGUCCCACGUAGCGUGCCGCGGAACCACUUUUGUUGUGGGGGUCGCUUUUCCUUCUUCUCCUUGUGCUAGAUAUUUGUUAUGCAUUAGGGAAAGAAGGAAUAGCGACCAUCAUCGACGGUCAAAAAGUCAGGUGAGGGAGUGUCCACCAUACAUGAGAGAAGAAGAAUGCUGACUGUUGUUGUGGGGGUUGCUUCUCCUUCUUCUCUUUGUGCUAGAUAUUUGUUAUGCACUAGGGGAAGAAGGAGUAGCGACCAUCAUCGACGGUCGAAAAAUCAGGUGAGGGAGUGUCCACCACACAUGAGAGAAGAAGAAUGUCGACUGUUGCUGUGGGGGUCGUUUCUCCUUCUUCUCCUUGUGCUACAUAUUGGUUAUGCACUAGGGGAAGUAGGAGUAGCGACCAUCAUCGACGGUUGAAAAAUCAGGUGAGCUAGUGUCCACCAUAUAUGGGAGAAGAAGAAUGUCCACCAUAUACCAUAGGUGAGCUAGUGUCCACCAUAUAUGAAAUUGUUGAAAUUUCGUGAUGUGCCUUUGAAUGGUGCAUUUUGAACACACAAAAAGUAUGGAGUUCAAAUAAGUUCAAAAAAAUAAAAUCCCUUUGUAAGAGAUGAGUUAUCGUUCGAAACGCUGAUACUUCGAGAGAGAUUGUCCGUUUUGUACACGAAGUGCAUCCAGUUUUUGUCGUAGCCCUCUCAACUUUUUAACACAUGCUAUGUGGGUGAAAUGAUGAUAGCAUGCCAAGUUUCAACAUUUUCAGAGUUCAUUUGUAGUGCUUUUCAAUUUCAGGGUCAACUAGCUCAAAAAAAAUAAGUAAAUGCACGAAGAAUACCAAAUGAAGUCAGAAAUUGUUGAAAUUUUGUGAUGUGCCUUUGAAUGGUGCAUUUUGAAUACACAAAAAUUAUGGAGUUCAAAUAAGUUCAAAAAAAUGAAAUCCCUUUGUAAGAGAUGAGUUCUCGUUCGAAACGUUGAUACUUCGAGAGAGAUUGUCCGUUUUGUACACGAAGUGCAUCCAGUUUUUGUCGUAGCCCUCUUAACUUUUUAACACAUGCUAUGUGGGUGAAAUGAUGAUAGGAUGCCAACUUUCAACAUUUUCAGAGUUCAUUUGUAGUGCUUUUCAAUUUCAGGGUUAACUAGCUUAAAAAAAAUAAGUAAAUGCACGAAGAAUGCCAAAUGAAGUCAGAAAUUAUUGAAAUUUUGUGAUGUGCCUUUGAAUGGUGCAUUUUGAACACACGAACAGUAUGGAGUUCAUAUAAGUUCAAAAAAAAUGAAAUCCCUUUGUAAGAGAUGAGUUCUCGUUCGAAACGCUGAAACUUCGAGAGAGAUUGUCCGUUUUGUACACGAAGUGCAUCCGGUUUUGUCGUAGCCCACUCAACUUUUUAACACAUGCUAUGUGGGUGAAAUGAUGAUAGCAUGCCAAAUUUCAACAUUUUUGUAGUGCUUUUGAAUUUCAGGGUCAACUACCUCAAAAAUAAUAAUUUAAUAGUUUGGAUAUUCAAAAUAAUUACUUUUGAAAAUAGAAUAUAGUUUUGCAUUAUUUAUUCAAUUUCAAACACUUUUCAUUAUCAUAGUUUUGUCAAAUUCUCAAAUAUGCAAAAAGAAUUUUAAUAAACAUAGUUUUUAAUUGAAAAUAACAAAAUAGAUAAUAGUUUGGAUAGUCAAAAUAAUUAUUUUGAAAAUAGAAAAUAGUUUUGCAUUAUUUAUUCAAUUUCAAACACUUUUCAUUAUCAUAGUUUUGUCCAAUUCUCAAAUAUGCAAAAAGAAUUUUUAAUAAACAUAGUUUUUAAUUGAAAAUAACAAAAUAGAUAAUAGUUUGGAUAGUCAAAAUAAUUAGUUUUGGAAAUAUAAAAUAGUUUUGCAUUAUUUAAUCAACUUCAAACACUUUUCAUUAUCAUAGUUUUGUCAAAUUCUCAAAUAUGCAAAAAUAAUUUUUAAUAAACAUAGUUUUUAAUUAAAAAUAACAAAAUAGAUAAUAGUUUGUAUAGUCAAAAUUAUUAAUUAUGAAAAUAUAAAAUAGUUGAAACUAUAUGAGAAUUUAUAGAGAAAAUUGAAUCUAAAUUCAACUUUGAAUUCAGGUUGAAUUUUCUCCAUAAUUUCGAAUAUAGUUUCAAUUUUCAGUGAGUUUAGGCCCGUAAGCCUGCUUUAGAGAGGAGCUCGAUGGAGAAGCUCCGACGGGGCUUAUAAACAAGUGUUAGUCCCCCUUGCUGGGCGAGGUGGGACUAAAUUUAUCGUGCAACCGAGGAGGGGCUAUAGUCCCGGGUGGGGCCACGCCCCGGGACUAAAGACCCCCUUUAGUCCCGGUUGGAGCGCCGCGCCGGGACUAAAGGCCCCUGCUUUCCGGCUUCUGGUCUGCCGAAAAAGGGCCUUUAGUCCCGGGUCGUGGCUCCACCCGGGACUAAAGGGGGUCUGUAGUCCCGGAUCGAGCCCCGAACCGGGACUAAAGAUCCACCUAUAUAAGCGGGAGUUAGAAAAUUAUCCGACCCAAAUCGCAUUUCCUUCUCUCCUUCUUCCUCGUUCUCCUGCUCGGCACGGCACAACGACGAACUCGACGACGCCGUCAGGCUGCCCGUCGUCCUGCUCGCCGCCGCCGUCCUCCUCACCGCGCGCCGCCCUCCUCGCCGCGCGCCGCCCUCCUCCUCGGCGCACGUCGCGCCGUCCUCCUCGGCGCGCGCCGUCGACACCUCCGGCCGGUAAGCCCCCCGCCCCCUCCUCCCCAACACUCCGGCCAGUAGAAGAAAAGAAGAAAAAGGAGAAGAAAAGAAGAAAAAGGAGAAGAAAGGAAGAAAAAGGAGAAGAAAGGAAGAAAAAGGGAAGAAAAGAAGAAAAAGAUUUUUUUUGUCAUUUAAUUCCUAUUGUUAUUAGGUUUGUGCUAGAUUAUUAUGGUUAGUAAUAUUUACAAUUAGGAAAAAGGAAAAUAAGAAGAGGAGGAGAAGAAGAGAAGAAAAAGGAGAAUAAGAAGAGGAGGAGAGGAGAAGAAGAGGAAAAAUAGAAGAAGAGGAGAAGUAGAAGAAGAGAAAAAAUUAAAAGAGGAGGAGAGGAGAAGUAGAAGAAGAGAAGAGGAGAAUUAGUAGAAGAAGAGGAGAAGUAGAAGUAGAAGAAGUAGAAGAAGAGGAGAAAUAGAAGAAGAGGAAAAAUUAGUUUAGGGUUACAAGAAGAGGAAACAUUGUAUAGUGUAUAUGCUUAAGUGUUAAUAGUGUUUCUUAGAUUAUUGCUUAAUUUUGCUAUUGUAUAUGCUUAAGUGUUAAUAGUUUAAUUUUGCUAUUGUAUAUGCUUAAGUUUUAAUAGUUUAUUUUUAGCAAGAAAAUUAAUAGAACUAGUUUAUUUUUUAGUUCAUUUUACUAUGCCUAUCCCGCAUCCUCGUCGUCGACUCGGCGGAGGACACCUGCUUGAUCAGAGGGGCCCUGUCCGGGACUGGGCUCCACCCGGCUGGUAUUGGGAGGUGCUACCUUCCGGGGGGCGUAGGUUGGUGAGGAGCCAGCCCAUCGUUGACCCGAUCCUUGUUUGGUGGCGGUAGCGUGGGCCAGUGAGGGUGCCGAGGCUUCCGGAUACCGCGGAGGUGGUACGUCACCGUGUCAGCGAGGAGGAUGAGCACGUCCGUCGCUACAUGGUUGCGUUGGAGGGCAGGUUCGAGCAUACCUGGCAGGUUCUUCGGGGAUGUCACUAGAGCUAUGAUCCUGUGAUGGUUCCUUCUCUUUGGGUGUCCACCGCCCGCGCCGAUACCCGUCGGGCGAUACGGUUCUAGAUGUAUCAGUGAUGCUAUAUGUAUGAUAGUAUCCGAGGAGUAUUAGUGAUAAUAUUUGACGAUGNNNNNNNNNNNNNNNNNNNNNNNNNNNNNNNNNNNNNNNNNNNNNNNNNNNNNNNNNNNNNNNNNNNNNNNNNNNNNNNNNNNNNNNNNNNNNNNNNNNNNNNNNNNNNNNNNNNNNNNNNNNNNNNNNNNNNNNNNNNNNNNNNNNNNNNNNNNNNNNNNNNNNNNNNNNNNNNNNNNNNNNNNNNNNNNNNNNNNNNNNNNNNNNNNNNNNNNNNNNNNNNNNNNNNNNNNNNNNNNNNNNNNNNNNNNNNNNNNNNNNNNNNNNNNNNNNNNNNNNNNNNNNNNNNNNNNNNNNNNNNNNNNNNNNNNNNNNNNNNNNNNNNNNNNNNNNNNNNNNNNNNNNNNNNNNNNNNNNNNNNNNNNNNNNNNNNNNNNNNNNNNNNNNNNNNNNNNNNNNNNNNNNNNNNNNNNNNNNNNNNNNNNNNNNNNNNNNNNNNNNNNNNNNNNNNNNNNNNNNNNNNNNNNNNNNNNNNNNNNNNNNNNNNNNNNNNNNNNNNNNNNNNNNNNNNNNNNNNNNNNNNNNNNNNNNNNNNNNNNNNNNNNNNNNNNNNNNNNNNNNNNNNNNNNNNNNNNNNNNNNNNNNNNNNNNNNNNNNNNNNNNNNNNNNNNNNNNNNNNNNNNNNNNNNNNNNNNNNNNNNNNNNNNNNNNNNNNNNNNNNNNNNNNNNNNNNNNNNNNNNNNNNNNNNNNNNNNNNNNNNNNNNNNNNNNNNNNNNNNNNNNNNNNNNNNNNNNNNNNNNNNNNNNNNNNNNNNNNNNNNNNNNNNNNNNNNNNNNNNNNNNNNNNNNNNNNNNNNNNNNNNNNNNNNNNNNNNNNNNNNNNNNNNNNNNNNNNNNNNNNNNNNNNNNNNNNNNNNNNNNNNNNNNNNNNNNNNNNNNNNNNNNNNNNNNNNNNNNNNNNNNNNNNNNNNNNNNNNNNNNNNNNNNNNNNNNNNNNNNNNNNNNNNNNNNNNNNNNNNNNNNNNNNNNNNNNNNNNNNNNNNNNNNNNNNNNNNNNNNNNNNNNNNNNNNNNNNNNNNNNNNNNNNNNNNNNNNNNNNNNNNNNNNNNNNNNNNNNNNNNNNNNNNNNNNNNNNNNNNNNNNNNNNNNNNNNNNNNNNNNNNNNNNNNNNNNNNNNNNNNNNNNNNNNNNNNNNNNNNNNNNNNNNNNNNNNNNNNNNNNNNNNNNNNNNNNNNNNNNNNNNNNNNNNNNNNNNNNNNNNNNNNNNNNNNNNNNNNNNNNNNNNNNNNNNNNNNNNNNNNNNNNNNNNNNNNNCUUGCAUACAUGGUACUUAAGUGAAUCAAAGAAUGGGAGAACGAUGAUCGUGGUGAGUGUCCCACGGGAGUACUACGGCCGCCCCGAAGAAAUCCAUAUCGACUUUGAUGAACUCUUCCAGAUGUACAAUGGCGACGCCCUCGACAAAUCGCUUAUGAGUUGCUAUUGUCUGUAAGUUUUUCAAUUCGUUGUCUACAUAUAUCUUGUUUAGUUAUUUCAAUUCAUUGUCUAUAUAUAACUUGUACUCUAUUAUGCAGAAUGAAGAUUCUGGAUUGUAAAAGUAAGAACAUCCUAAAUAUUGGUUUUAUUGACCCAGAUAAAAUACAUAUAGCGACGCUAACUGAUAAACCCAAGGAGACGGAGGAAAACCUUCUAAGGUUUCUAAGAGAUCAAAAUUUCUGUGACCACAUACUGUUUCCAUACAACUUCAGGUGAGGGUCUUUACUCUGUUGUGUCCAUUCACUUAUAAGUGUAAUUGAUAAGUUACUCACACACACACACACACACACACACACACACACACACAUAUAUAUAUAUAUAUAUAUAUAUACAUGUGCAGCUCUCAUUGGAUUCUGUUGGACAUUCAAAUUGAUAAGGGAAGAGUUGAUGCCUUCGACCCAUUAUCGAGACCCUUGGAACAGUUCCAAAGCCUGCAGGACAUGCUCCAAGGGUAAUUUCAAUCAUUCUUGCGCUCUAUCGGUCUCUUUCGAUGAUUUUCUGAUAUAUCAAUUAAUGAAAAACUUAGCAAAUCAUUAUCCUUGUCGGGCAGGGUUUGGAAGCGGUUCAAGUGCGUGACUCCCGGUAUCGAGCCUCAGAAGCUGACCUUUAGAGCGGCUCAGGUAAGUAGUAGUAUGAUAUACUUCUAUUUUCAAUACAUUUAUGAUGCUAGAUUAUUAUUUUGAUUAUAUAUAUUCUAUUCUCAUAAAGUGCGACCAGCAGCCACGGGGGACGCAUCUAUGCGGAUACUAUGUUUGCGAGACCAUUCGCACGUUUACCUCUGAGCACAAGGAUCACAGAUUCGACGUAAGCAAUGAACAUUCACACCUCUAUUUUUACCCGUCAUUCUUUGUUAUCAUGAUUGAUAUUCAUAUUCAUCUCCUCUUCUUAUAUAGUACACGACCAUGAGGACGAAGGUCCUACCAGAGCAACGCGCGAUUGCUGUUGAAGAGGAGCUUGCGACCUUUCUCAGGACGGAAGCUAUAGAUGACAAAUGACGAUUUAAUGUAGCUAGGGGUCAUUAGUGAUGUUCGUCCAUGUAAUCGAAUAGACGGGCUCUAGUCCCGAUAAUUCAGAUCUCAAUAUAAUUGUAUAUAUAUGCUCGCUUGUAAGAUAAGUUAAUCUUAUAUAUAUAUGCAUAAUUAUUUCUAUUUAAAUUAUAUGAAAACUAAUUCCCGAACACCAAACGAGGCAUCACGUUAAUCUCCCGAACACCUAAACCCUAAAACCCUAAAACCCAAAAAUAAUUUCAAUUAAAAAAACCAAAAAAUAAGCAAAAUCUGAAACUCUUUAGUCCCGGUCCGUGUAACGAACCGGGACUAAAGGUCCUGCCCCUGGGGCGCUACAAGGCGCCCACGUGGAGCACCUUUAGUCCCGGCUUGUAACAGGUCCGGGACUAAAGGUUAGGCCUUUAGUUCCGCCCCUUUAGUCGCGGUUGGUGAACUGGGACUAAAGCACCUUACGGGCCGGGGCUAAAGGACCCGUCCCCACUAGUGCUCGUUAGCUUCCUUCCUUGCGUUCACAAUAGCAUCCAUGUCAAUUGUUAGCUCAUCAUCUCCUUUCCUCUUCUUCUUUUCUUUUGCGUCUUUCUUGCCUUCAUUUGAUCUUUUUGGCUUGGAGUAGGCAACCGAGUUUGGUGUAGAGCUUCUCUUACUGUCAUCACUUGAUGGCUCCUCCUCAUCAUCAUCCAAAUCAUUAGUUUGCUUGUGUUAGUUGGUCUCCUCAUUGACACCUUCACGGGGCUUUCAUUUCUCAUCAUCAUUCAACUCAUCAUAGCAAUGGGGCAAGGUAAAUGGCCUGACUCACUUCUAGGAAAAGGGCUAUAGAUGAUAUAGAUACUAAUGGUGCACCACACAAGCAGUGCGCCACUACUAUAUAGUAAUGGCGCACCAUGUGAGGUGUGCCAUUAGUGUGGUAGAUAAUAAUGGCGCACCACACUCUCGGUGCGCCACUACUAUUAUUUUUUUUAUUUUUAUUCUUUUUUGCAGAACUACUAAUGGCGCACCAGAAGCUGGUGCGCCAUUAGUAACCUGCUUACUAAUGGCGCAUCUGUUAGUAGUGCGCCACAACUUAUUAAUUUUUUUUUUGUUUUUUUUUGCAAACUACUAAUGGCGCACCACAGCUAGUGCGCCAUUAGUAACCAGUGUUACUAAUGGCGCAUCUGUUGCUGGUGCGCCAUUACUAUUUUUUUUGCAGAACUACUAAUGGCGCAUCAGAGGAGGUGCGCCUUUAGUAACCAGGGUUACUAAUGGCGCAUUUUGCAGGUGGUGCGCCACUACAAUAAAAAAAUUAAUUUUUUUUACCCCCACCCCCUCCCGAGGCCACUCUCUCUCCCGUGCCCACUCUCUCUCUCUCCACACCCCACCCCCUCCCCCCGUGUUGCCGCUCCCACGCUCUGCACCGCGCGCAUGGCUCCCUCCUUCCCUCCCUCCCGCCGCCGCGCCCUUACAAUACCCGCCGCCGCUCCCACGCAGGGCUCGAGAUCCGGGCCCGCUUCGCCUCCGGCCGCCACAGCCGCGUCUACUCUGGCCGCUACAACGGCCGCGAGGUCGCCAUCAACGGGAAGGGACCCCGAGGCCCAGAGCCACGCACCCAACCACCGGAGCGGAGCCGAAGCCGGAGCCCCCCACGUGCAGCGGCGCCACCUCCCCGCCGGCAAAUUCCGCGUCGACGGGCGCCGCCCCAACGAGGUGAGCUCCCGCUCCCUCCCUCUCGCCUUCGUCCGGUUCCAACUAGGCUGGCUCUGAUUCUUCGCGGCCGGCGUCUCGCAGAUGCGGCAGCUCAAGGGCGAGGUCGGCGUCGUCUCCAGGGCCGACGGCUCGGCGCUCUUCGAGAUGGGCAACACCAGGGUCAUCGCCGCCGUCUACGGGCCCCGAGAGGUACGCCCAUGUCCCUCAUCUUGCCCAUUGUAUCUGACCCAUCCAUAGGUUUAAACAACCUACCCAGGUGUCAGUUGUAACUUUAGCACCCAAAGAUCUAUUUGCACUAAAAACUCCCCUUGUUUGCUUUGCUAUUGUCUGUUUUCCUGAAAAAUCCCAGUGUCAGCAUAAGACAGUAAUGCAUGCUAAGACAAAAACUGAUAGGCAUGCUUUUAUUUAGUUGGUUGUACUAUUCUGGAUUAUAUGAGUGUACGACUUGUUGAUAUAUGGGUUUAUUCUGGUUGAGAUGCUUUGUAAUUAUCAUAGUGCAAACUAGAUAAAUCUCCACUUCUAUAAAUUUCUGAGUUGGUGACGGUCCGUUCACCUUCGGAGAUCUGCCAUACCACAAUUACCGUACACUCUAUUGUAGACAGAUGCACCACGAUUUUCGGUUAGUUGAUUCGCUCAAUGUAUAUUUUGAGAUAUCUUUUUAUUUGCACAAUUUAGGGGCUAGGAUGACAAAUUUGUUUAAGCAUUUAAGAGAACUUGUACAGCAACACACGGGUAUUUAGCUAGUAAACUUAAAAGCCCACUCUUGGCUACAUCCUUUUUUUUUGCAGUAAAGCUAUUAAGCUAGUGUGCAUGUUAAGUUAAUAGUUUAGAAAGGUUGAGGAGCUUAUGAGUUACUCCAACAAACACUUGUCUUAUAUUCUUAUUCUUGUCAUAAUAAAAGUGCCACUAUGUUGGUGAAUUUAGCAUUGACCUUACCAUCUUUAUCAUAAUUAUGGUGGAUGCAAAUGAUUUGAAAGUUUCAGUUGUUUCAUUCAGGACCAAUUCAAGUUGUCGAUGAAUAUUUCAAUGAUGUACUUCUGAACUGCUAUGAUGCAAUAGGAAUAAUGCUUAUGAUUCGGAUAAUUCACCAGCACCAGGUAUUUCUCCUUUUAUCUUAUGAAUGAAUGAAUAACUAGAUAGAGUUUUAUUCCUGUUGUAGGAGUAAAAUUUAUCUUAUGUUCUGAAAGCGGUUGCAGGGUUGCAGCCUUUCAUGUUCUGUAGAGGGAUAUCCCUGUAAUAUAUAAACUAGUACUAGUCCAAUAUUUACUGUUAAACAGUCCAAGCAGCAAGGGAGAAUUGUCAUUUUGCUAGAUUAUUCUCGCUGAUUUUCACCAGAAACUGGCCAAAAUUACCCCCUUUCCCCGUAAUGUUUAUUUUAUUUCAUUCUUUAAAGAGUAACUGAUAAAUUAUUUGCAAGAGCAUAUCUAAAUCUCUAUAUGUUGUUAGAUUCUUUCAAGUAGUCCAUAAAGUGGUGCAACCCUGUGUAAAUUGGUAACUGAAUGUUUGGCAAAGCAUGCUAGCAUGACCCGUGCGAAACAUAUAUCUGAAUGGAAUUUAUGUUUGUGCAGCUUAUCAUGUUUAAGCGGCGAAUUCCAUGUUUGGACUCUUACCUAGACAAGGUUUGUUCUGACUCCCUCCUUGUUUACUCCUUCAAAUUCUAUAUCAACUUUACUUGAGAGUUACCUUUGUCAAUGUGGGUGUUACCAUUAGGAAAGCUCAUGCUAAAUUGGAUGAGAGUCUGUCUUCUGUUCCACAUUCCAAAAUUAGGCUGAAUCAUCUUUCAUGUUGCACAAUGGGCAGGUUAACAUGUCACUCUGGCCUCGCUUCAAGAUGGUCUUUGACUUGCAUUUGAGCAGCUUGCGGAAUGCUAAUAUUAAGACUCUUUGGGAGAAGUGAUUUAAGUGGGUUAAGUGGGAUCAAGUGGGUUCCCACUUUUUAAAUGUAGUAUGUAAUUGCAUAGGAAGGAAACUGGAAAUCUAUAGAAAAUUUCAUAAGAUGGUAGAAUAAUAAAUCUAUAAGAUGGUAGAAUAAUAAAUCUAUAGAAAACCACUUAUAAAACAGAAAUAUAACUAUAACUACAAGAAACAGAAUCAUGUAGCAUAUCUGAAUCACUAUAGCUGCUUCCUUAAUAUAGACUACUGUAUGGACUACCUGUUGCUGCUUCCUUAAUAUAGACUACCUGCUGCUGCUUCCUUAAUAUACCCCCUGUAUGGACUACCUGUUGCUGCUUCCUUAAUAUAGACUACUUGCAGCAAAAAAAGCCUCUCUCAAGAUAGACUACUUGUAGCAAAAAAACGCAGAAACAAACCCCUUAAUGAUGCUGCUUGGAGCAGCAACAAAUCCAAUGUCCCCUGUAUGGACAGUGAGGCACAGCCGCGACGCCGCGACACCUCCUGCGUAGGCUGGAAGGCUUGUGGAUGGGGUUGGUGGAUAGGUGGGACUCCAGUGGGCAAAUAGGGUUAGCCCACUUAUUUUUUUCUCUGUCCAGUGGGAGCCCAAUUAAUCAAUUUAAGUGGGAUGAACCCACUAAUCCCACUUAUUCCCAGAUCCACCUACAGCAGGAGCCAUGCGAUGGUGGGAUCCCUCUGAACAAUUUAUCAUUUCGCUCUUUCCAAAUCCCCCAAGUGGAAACUGCGAACACAUCCAUAAACAUUGGCAUGUUCCAAUCAGCUCUACCAGCAUGGAUCAUUUGCAGUCUAUAGUCUAUGUCAGGCCCGAUAAUGCCCAGGGUUGCCCAACAGUCUACAGUCUAUGUCAGGCCCGAUAAUGUUUGUGAAUACAUGAUUGUCCCCACUUGUAUGGCUAUUUUCUAAUGGGCGUCUCACCUGUAUGUAUGUUUAUAUCAUCAGGAUUGCCUUGCCUGUUAUCAUCUUUGAUUCCUUCUUAUGGAGUACUAUCUUUUCCUUCCCCUCUUUUUUGCGAAUGGAGUGGAUUCAGAAUAGUGCAUUUCCUCCACUUGUGCAUGUUAGAUGCAGGUCUCUCCGAUGUAUACUGAUAUUUUUACUAUACCGGUGGUUACUUAUCCCGCAAAAUAAAACAAAAUCAUCAACAGAGAAUAUUCAGUAUUUGUAUGACUAUUUUCUUUGAUCUGAUCACCCUGAAAAUAUCAUUUGCAUGCAUACUUGACUCUGCUGAUGUUUGUUGACAUUUUGAUUAUGUCAGUCAUUACUCUGUACUUUGCUAAUGACAUUGGCAUGCAUACUUGACUCUGCUCAUGUUUAUUGAUAUUUGAUCGUAUCAGUCAUUGCUCUGUACCUUGUAAAAAAUGUCAUUACUUUGUGAUUUUCUGGUGUUGCUAUUUAUUUACAUUGCAGUAGGACGACGACGGGAGGACGAGGACGUCGACGGUGAUUACAACCAGGAGGAUGAACCCACCCAUUGCCACGCGGAUGCUCUUUGGACUAUGAUAUGAACAUGAAGGCAUUUGUUUUAGUGCCAAAUAUUACUUACUAAUGCCCGCAAAGUAUCGUUGUUGCUAUGGAGCUAUGUAUGUAUGGAUGCUAUGGAACUAUAUGUAUAUAUGGAUGCUAUGGAAUUUUGGAUGUAUGGAUGCUAUGGAGUUUUGAUAUAUGGAUCAUGAAAUUUGUUAUGCAACUUUGCAUAUAUGUUAUGUGUUGUGGAUCAGUAAAACUAUUGGGCACAUAUUAUGUAUUAUAUAUUUGAUAUAUAUGUUAUGUGUUGUUGAAUUUGUGGUUUUAAAAAAAACAUAUAUAUGCUAGAAUACCAGAUACUAAUGGAGCACCAUGGGCUAUACUAAUGGCGCACCUGGGAGGCAUACUAAUGGCGCACCUUGGAGGCAUACUAAUGGCGCACUAGGGAGGCAUACUAAUGGCGCACCUGAAAGGAAUACUAAUGGCGCACCUGGGAGGCAUACUAAUGGCGCACCUGGGAGCAAUACUAAUGGCGCACCUUGAGCAAUACUAAUGGUGCACUACCUGAUGCGCCAUUAGUAUAUCAAAUACUAAUGACGCACUUGUGGUGCGCCAUUAGUAAAAAAAUCUAAUGGCGUGAUGCUAGUGGCGCACCUAUAGUGCGCCAUUAGUAGCAAAAAUAGGUGCGCCAUUAGCAAGUCUUUUCCUAGUAGUGACUCCCUUUCUUCAUCUUCCUUUUCUUGGUGUUCUUCUCCUCUCCUUGAAAUAAGUUUUGUGCAAUAGUGAGCUACAAACAAAAGAACAAGUUAGCACUUCAAACAUCAAAGAAGAAGCAUGAACAUGGAAGAAUAGUGAAACAAAUGGAGCUUACCCUAUAUCUAUCAUUAGUGUCACUUGGGUUUAACGUGUCAACCGCCUUAAGUGCGUCUGCCCACCUUUGACAAUCUCUGUUGAUUGUCGACCAUCGGGAGUCAAGAGAUCUUUUUCUGCUGUCAGUUCCAGUUUUGUUGUGCAAAUCAAAGCGCUCCUUCAUCCGGAUCCAAUAUGCAUCUCUACACUGGUCCCCUCGAACGGUGGCAUCCCUAGACACUUACAACCAUCUAUUGCAUAGCAAGACGUCUUCGUCCAUGGCGUAGUUGCCCGCUCUUCCUUUCAGUGAACCAACGAUAACCUCACCAUCCUCGUCCACCUCAAACUCAUGAUCAUCGAAAUGCACCUCAUUGGUUUGAGACCAAUGAGAAUUGUUGGAGCCAACACCCAUAGUUGACAUAUAUGUAUCAUCAUUAAAACUACAAAGUAUGUACAAAAUAAAUAAAUAAGCUAUCCAUAUGUAUCCAUUCAAAAAACAAAAUCAAACAAAAAGUGGGCAAAAUUUUACCUUGGGGGAAUUUCAUCGACCGCCCUGCAAGUCUCUUCUUCGGCCGUCUAGAGGAGCCCUCCGCCGCCUUGUUCUUCUUCCCGGACACCAUACCCUUCUUCGCCACCGCCUUAUUCUUCUUCCCGGACAUAAUACCCUUCUUCGCCACCGCCGCAUUUGGGAGCUUUGAGAAGGGGGCGCGGGGCUUCACGGCGGGGGCCGACGCGACGCCACCCGCUGCAGAGGUCGUCCGCGGCGCCAUGAAAAGGCCGCGCGCGAGACCGAUAGUUGGAGGAGCACCGGCGAAGACGAAGCCAGAGCUCCCCGUGCUAGGGUUUGCGCCGACGGCGGAGGUGGCGGGGGGUCGCGGGCGUAGGAAGGGGUUAGGGGGAUGUUGACGCGGCCGUCUAUCGGGAAAAGCCGUCGGCGGCGAGGCGGGCGAAAGCGGUGAGGUAGGAGAAGGUGCGGCGCGGACGCUCGAGUGUGUAGCUUGCGGUGGCGGGCGCACGAAAUAAACGGCGCACGAUGCCGUUUCGUCCCGCGCGUUGAAUCACUUAUACCACGCGUGCGGUUUUUGCGCCUCCCCUCGAGCGCCCGAAGUGGUCGCCCCUGCGCAAAAAGCAUUACUUUUUCAGCAGGCUGUUUAUAUAACGCGGCUGUUUGAGAUGCUUUUAGAGCACCAUCUCCUGGACUGCAUAUUCACCAAGAUCACUAAGCACGAAAUCCUAUCUUGGAGGCUCCUAAGUGUCAUCCGACCUGAUGGGACGUUGAGCUUCUUCCAUUGGUGGGCUGAGGCCAAUCCGAUCAUGGAACUUUCCCCUCCAAGCUUCGGAAGGGUCUUGCCUCCCUCGCGAUCCUCACUGGUUGGGAACUAUGAAAACACCGCAAUGUUCGACGGAGCAAGGUCAUCUACUCACAGACUAGUUGCCGUCAGCACCGACGAGGCACGCCGCUCUGGCGCCAAUUUAAGGGGAUAGAGGUGGAAAUUAUGAAAUGACUGAAUAUUAUGUUGUAUUAAUAGGACCCUCAUAUAGGGUAUAUAUAGAAUACACGAGGGGAUAUAGGCUUUGAGUAUAAGACAAGUAAUACUCUCUUCAUCAAUAUAUAUAGGGCCUACUGCAUUUUCUAAGACUGUGUUUGGCUAUUGAUCAAAUUAAUAUUAUACGAAAUGUAUAAUAUAAAAAUUAUAUCAUUGAAAGUUCCUUUCACGUAAGAAUUUGACAGUAUGGUUUGUGUAACUUGCGGACACGACACCACUGGCAAACGGCCAUGCGCCGCCCCCUGCGCCCUCCUGGUGUCCAUCGCCGCCGACGAGAUCCCAUUAGCGUCAAUACGUCGUCCAUUAUGUGCAUGGCUUGGCAGGAGCUGAUUGCGUUUUGGAUUUUUUUCCUCAAGGGUGCCUAUGCAAAAAAUACCAGGAACCAACGGUUAUGCCACAUCAGCUUUUGUGGGACCCACAUGUCAUAAUCAUGGUUAAAUUAUCCACAUCAGCUUUUCUGCGAAAGAUUAUGCCAAGAAUUAAUGGUUUCUGACCUAAAUCGGUAAACCAGUUCACUCGAAAAAAAGAAAAUAUUAUUUGGGUGUCCAUGAAUAUCUAAUGUGGUCGUCAGCCUUUCUCAUCUGUAGUCGUAAGCAUCACUAGCCUUUGUCUAAGGGCCCGCAAAUGUAACACGAAUGGAGUCGAGACUGUACAUACGCACGAUGAGAGUGAGAGGUAUCGGAAAACACAGGGGGCGCCCAGAUGAGACAUGCUGUAUUAUUCAUCCUGUGGAACGCCGUUUUCGGUGCUCUGCCAUGGGCUUGCCGUCUCGACGGCCCCGUGGUUUACUUCUGGCGGAUGGCCAGCAGCAUGCUCAAGGUGUUCGACCCGAUCGUCAUGCUGUCAGGGGCAUCGCGUGCUGGUGAACUGGAGCUUCGGAGGGCACUACCCACUGCUGCGAAGAUACGCCUCACACUGACCUGAACCUUUAGAAUGCUCUUGUGGACAUGUACGCGAAGUGCUGGCGUUUCUGCUCUUAGGACACUAUUCUGGAGGAUGCCGUAGUGGGAGAUGAUCCGUCUGGAAGUUCCACGAUAGGUUUCAGCUCGUUACUUCAGGGAGAUGAUAUGUCUUGCAGUUCAGGCAGAUGAGGUGACUCUGUCUGCUGGCCUCUCAGCGGCUCCUCGUGGAGAUGGUCUUUCGCCCUUUGAUUCAGGACAAUGCCAAUAAGAGACCUGAUCCCGUGGAACACAUGUUAGCACAGGCCCGACCUCGCCGCUGCAAUCCGCCGUGUACUUUCUAACGAUACACGCGUACUAGAGUAGCUCGAGUACUUUCCGAAUUAAUCGGUUUGUGUCGGAGACGUAGACGUAGACGCUGACGGUGUGCACACAUACACGAAGCAAGCAGGCAGCCUGGUUGAUGGAUUCCUCGCGUACGUAACUAGCUAUGUAACCAGCACAACGCACAAAGAAAAAAUCCAGCCGCCGGCAGCUUUGAUCGCGCACACACCGAAAUACGCAAGGGCACCAGAGCUUAUGGCUACAGGAGCGUGUCGUUCCUGAUUCUCUAUUACUUUGAUCUGAUUUGAGUUACAAGGGGUACAUAGAAUUAUAUAGUAGAAGCUAACCUGCCAACUAAUACAAUCCUACUCGGUGAUGGUCUUGUAUCCUAACCGGACACUUGCGUACGCAUAUACGGAAGAGCCCAUGUCGGGUUUAACUCCAACAAUCACCCUCCUAAACACGACAUCGUUACGUCACAGCUCCGACGUCGAUCCUUCUUCGCAUCUUGAAGGAUCCAAAGCCUUGGUCAGGAUGUCCGUCAACUGAUCAUCAGUGCAAUUGUAGUUGACCCCGUCUUCUCUUCUUCCACGCAGCCCUUCAUGUAAUGAUACAUCGUAUCAAUGUGCUUGCUCCUAUCACGCCGCACUGAAUCAUCGCGUAGAAAAAACAUAGAUCCACUGUCAACUUUGAGCACCACUUGUUUUGGAUCUCGAUCCAUGAGAUCACCGUGCAGCCUUUGCCACACACCUUGACACUCUGCUUCACUUGAAGUCGAUGCCAUCAUUUUCUGCUUUCGUGAUAGCCAGCUUACUACGCUUCCACCAAGGAAAUAUGCCACGUCCGAGGUACUCUUACGGCUGUCAGCAAUUCUUUCCUUCUCACUAUCACGGUAGGUGAGUAGUUUCACCAUUUCCUUCUUGCUCAGUUCAAGACGAGGUUUCAUUGAAGCAUUAAUUGGAUUGCAAUCUUUCAUGCUACAACUUUCAAGUAUCUUUCUUGCAUAUGCGUCUUGGCAUAGUGUGACCUCUUCCGACUUUUGAUGUACCUCUGACCCGAGGUAGAAACUCAAAAGAUCUAGAUCAUCCAUCUUGAAUAGCUCCUUCAUUUGUAGCUUGAACUUUGCAAUCACCUCUUCAUCUGCUCCAGUAAUCAAUAGAUCAUCGUCGUAGAUGCCAACUAGUAGACGAUCACUUCCUUCACCUCUCUUGUACAUUGUAUGCUCUAGUGGGGCUUUCUCAAAUCCAAGAGAAAUCAUAGUCUGAUCAAGUUUAAUUUUCCACUUCCGAAGGUCUUGCCGUCGCCCAUACAAAACUUUGUGUAGCUUCGAUAACUUGUGCUCUUCUCCCUCUUCGAUGAAGCUCGGUGGCUGAUUCACACACACACCUUCGAUCUCACCGUCCAAAAACAUGGAUUUUACAUCCAUGCGAUGUGUCGUCCAUGAUUCUUGAGCCGCGAGAGCGAUGAGUAAUCUGACCGAUUCCAUCCGCGCAACGGGAUCGAACACAUUUUCAAAGUCCAUACCUUCAUCUUGCAUGUACUCUUUGGCCACUAGCUUUGCCUUGUGCUUCACAUAAUUUCCUUCAGGUUCUUUCUUGAUCGUAAAUUCCCACUUGAGCUCCAUGGUUUUUUCAUUGUUGGGAAGAUCCACAAGCUCCCAUGCAUUGUUGUCGUGGAUCGACCCCAACUCUUCUUUCAUAGCAUGACGCCAACACUCCUUCGUUGUUGCGUCUUCAAAAUCUGCCGGUUUCUCGGCAAUUGCUAGACACCUUCGCCCACUUCCUUUGAUCUUUACCGGAUCAAUCGUCCGAAGAGUAUCCUCCGGAUAUGGAUGAAACACCGGCUGUAGCUUUAUGGAUACAGGUGGUGGUGUCCUUUCCUCCAUUACUGUCAGAGGCGAGAUGAAAAUUUCUGCUGCGCGCGUUUCUUUUGGCGAAGUAAAAAUUCUAGCCCGAACUAGGCUUCCUAGUAUCCCUGACCCUUCAUUUGGAUCACUUGUUGCGUUGCAUGUGCUCCCUCCAGCCAUAUGAACUACUUGUAGAGCUUCUUCAUGUGAUGGAACAAAUCCACCACGUCCUGCUCCAUGCCCUAUUGCUGAAGACGUACUGCUACUACUACGUAGGAUACUACAGCCUAGUCCACCUCCUUUGCUGCUGAUCGGGACAACCAGCUUCGGGUCUUCUGGCCGAGCGACCGUAGCAGACCAGACGGCUCCUCGUUCGUGUAUUCGCGGUCCAAAAUCUGGAAUCUCCACAGCCACAGCCGGGAGUGGAUCUUUUUUCCUUCGCUUUGCCAUCCUCUAACACGCCGUGAUUCUCAUCAGGUCCGAACGGCAUAGCUCGUCGUGUGCUAUGGUUUUCCGGCACCAUCACAGGUGUGUAGUGUACUUCUGACACCAUGUCUUUGUCUGUUACUGGACAACAUGACAAGGCUGGUGCACACGUGCCUACUUUUGCAUCAGCAUACUUUGAUUCGUGGUCUUCAGGCGCCACGUACGCCGAAGUGACAUUCGUGUCCGUAGCAUCGACACAAAUUUCAGACUUAUGCAUUGCUUCAGUAGCUUCGACACGAAUUUUGGAAUCACCCCUCAUGUUUGUAACAAGGCUGCUUCUCCAUGGCCGAGCACAUGCAAUGAGCGCUUCCUUCGCUCCAGCAAAGAUAGCACUCACACCCGUAGCAUUGGUGUAAGUUUCGGAUUCACCCCCCGCAUCCGUAGCAUCGAUACGGGUUUCUGAACCAUGAUGUUGAGAACAAACUUUUUCUUCAUGGAGUGCGGCAAUUUCUUUAGCCGACACUUGAAGAACUGGAUCCUCCUCGUCCACGAGUUCACACAUCAACAUCAUAUCACCUUCAUCUCCUUGCUGGGCCAUGAGCGCCUUCUCCUUCGGGGGAUUCUUGCACUCCGACUUGAAGUGCCCCAUUAUGCCACAGUUGUGACACUUGAUCUUGCGCUUGUCGAACUUCUUCUUCUUCUUCGGAACGCCAUCACUGGCAUUCUUCUGACUUUGUUCGUUUGGCACACGAUCUUGGCGAGCGUAACUGCUAGAGCCCUCACCUUCUCUCCUUGAGUCCAGCGCCUGCCACUGAGCCCGCGUGAGCAUGACAAGCUCAUCGUUCCUCCCGUCCCCAAGACUGUACCGCAUACGCUUGUCGUGAGCCUUGUAGCGUCCGACGAGAUCAUCCAUGGAGAGGGUCGCGAGAUCGACGCACUGCUCGAUCGCCGUGACAAUUUGCAGGUACCGGGGAGGAGCCGCACGCAAGAACCGACGGACAACCGAGGCCUCCGUUAGAUUCUCUCCAAGUGCGCGGAUCCGAUUGACGAGAGUAGCUACUCGUGAAGCAAACGCGUCCACGGACUCAUUGUCGCCCAUGACCAAAGUCUCAUAGUUCCUUAAGAGAGUUUGGAGAUUGGCUUGCUUGACGCGGUCGUGUCCCUCGAACAUGAGCUCCAAGGUAUCCCACACCUCCUUCGCCGUUUCUUUGGCGAUCACGUGUUGAAGGGCAUCUAUCGGCAUCACCGAAUAAAUCGCCGACGCCGCCUGCCGAUCCUUCCGAUGCUCAGCUCCCUCCUUCUUGAAAGCGUCGCCUCCUGGAUCGACUGCGUCCCACAACACGUUGGCGCGGAGACCACACUCCAUCGGGGCCUUCCAGACCCCGAAGUUCUCGCGGUCAAAUUGUGCGUACGACGAACUCGUCGGAGCAGCAAAUACUUUAGCCGCACCGGAGUACGCCGCCAGCUGCUUGGCCUUGUCGUCCUCCGACAUGAUCUUCCGUUACUAGAAGAUCAACCUCGCUCUAGAUACCAAUUGUUAGCACAGGCCCGACCUCGCCUCUGCAAUCCGCCGUGUACUUUCUAACGAUACACGGGUAUGAGAGUAGCUCGAGUACUUUUCGAGCUAAUCGGUUUGUGUCGGAGACGUAGACGUAGACGCUGACGGUGUGCACACAUACACGAAGCAAGCAGGCAGCCUGGUUGAUGGAUUCCUCGCGUACGUAACUAGCUAUGUAACCAGCACAACGCACAAAGGAAAAAUCCAGCCACCGGCAGCUUUGAUCACACACACACACCGGAAUACGCGAGGGCACCAGAGCUUAUGGCUACAGGAGCGUGUCGGUCCUGAUUCUCUAUUACUUUGAUCUGAUUUGAGGGUACAUAGAAUUAUAUAGUAGAAGCUAACCUGUCAACUAAUACAAUCCUACUCGGUGAUGGUCUUGUAUCCUAACCGGACACUUGCGUACGCAUAUACGGAAGAGCCCAUGUCGGGUUUAACUCCAACAACACAAUGCUCUCUUGUUACUCCAUCUAUGUUCAAAGAAUUACAUUCUGAAGCUUUAAACUGCACCUUGACCAGCAUAAUACUCGCUGGUUGCCUUCGCGCUCUUAGAAAGCACUUGCUUGCAUGCAGUUUAAGGGUGAAGAAAGUGCCAAGUUAAUCUUCUGAAUUCUCGGAGAUAGAAAUUACCAACAUGCUUGGACUGCAAGGUUUUGAGAACCCAUGUCGUUGGUGCGUGAUUUUUUAAUUCCGCUGUAUAUCCGAGCCUUUUUUUUAAUUCCAUUGUAUGUCCAUGUAUUUAACCCAAAAAAAAAAACGAGAUGGGAUUCGAACCUGCAACGAGAUUCUUAUUUGUCCAAUGAGGGUUUCUAUUCUACUACUUAACUGUAUACUAGUAGUCCAAUUUUAUUUUAUUUUUUUGCAAAAUUUCUACCCAACGCCCUACUUCUCCUUCACUAUGGGCGGCUGGUUCCGCAUCUCCAGUCCGGUUCUUUAAAUUUCCUCCCCCUUCUCACUCGCAAUGCUCCUGAUAUAUAUGUAUAUAAGAGGAUCAACAGGCGGGCCAAAAAAGUUGUGCGCGGGAAAAACGGCCACUUUGGAGCGCGAGAGGCCAUGCGGCACGCUCCAAGGCGCGCGAAAAAACCUAUCACAGCUCAUGAUGCCCAGCGGGCGUUAUAAAGGCUGUGCGCCUUCUCGCUCGCCAACCGCCAGAAAUCUCUCCCACGCCUUCUUCCCGCGUCUUACGCCCCCGUGCCUUCUCCCCUGCCUCUUUCAGCAGCCCGCCAUGCCGUCGUGCCAUCGUAGCAGCUCGGGCUACCGCAACGUCCUCCUCCGCCCAUCCGACGUGUAUUACACGGAGAUCUGCUCCAUCCAUACACGCCUCGGGCUCAGAACCUUCAAAACCGCCAACGAGGCCAUCCCCGCGUACGACACGGCGGCAUGUCUCCUCUGCCGGCCUCGAUCGUAGAUGAACUUCCUCGACGUGUGGACACACCAGCAGGCGCAAGAUCUCGCGCCUCCCCGCGUCUAAUCACCAACGAUGAUCACCAGCUCCAGCGGAAGAGGGAGCUCCGCCUCCUUAUCGCCGAGGCGGACGAGAACGCCAUGGCGCCUUCGCACGAGCACUUGCCGCGGGAUGUCGUCUUCGAGAAUGAGAUCUGAGCGCAUAGGAGGUAGAGCGCGCUGCGCAUCAGGUGGACAAGCGUGCGCGGAAGGAAUUGGUGGAAGCCCAGAUGAACAACCCGGGAGCAUUGACUCCGGACGAUGAAGAUCCUCGGUGGCUCAUGCGUUUACGUCAUCGGACUACAUCACUAAGGAGGACGAGGAGUAUUCUAGUUUGUGGUUCCAUUAUUUUUAUUUAGCAUCGUAUGAACUUCGUUGUGGUUCCGUUAUGAAUUUAACUUUAAAUUUUAAUGUUUUCGUUGUUCUAUAUUUUUCCAAGUGGUGGCUGAGCGCGCGGACUGGAUUUUACCGCAACACGGAAAGCGCUACAGCGGCGCAUUAAAUUUGCAGCGUCUGGAAAAGCAACCACCCUACUUCGCCCGCUAAAAUGCUAUUUUGACGUGGUAAAAAGUUUUUAACGUGCCGUGCUACCGUGCGCCUGUUUAAUGUUGGGUAAUAAGCCACGGCGGGCUCGUUCGCGUGCACACGUGUGUGUGCGCCGGACGUGUUGAGUCCAGUCCGUGGCGGGGCUUAGGUUCGUACGUGUGUGCCCGAGGGGCGUGUGCUUGAGUCUAGGCGAGCGUGCGUGCGUGAGUCUGUCAGCGAGAGAACAGGGAAGAGCGCGUUGCCAGCACUGAUAGUGGGCCGCGUCGUCCGCGUCCGAGCACGGUGGGUGUAUGAGCGGGGGAGCGUGGGCGCGGCGAGUAGGAGCAUGGGCGCGGCGAGGCGCCUGUGGGCGCGCGUAUAUAGCCCCCUCCCAGCCCUUGUGUAUCAUAGAGGUGUUGAGUUCGUGCUCAGAGAGUAAUAUAGAAGAGCCGUCAGUGGGCAAGGUGUUCGAACGCCGGAAAAUCUUUUGCGUUCAUCUUCCUCCCCUCCGGUCUUGUCUCUGGUUAUCGCCUUCGCGUCCUGGUUCCAUUAUUUCGUUAACAUUGUAGAUGCUCUAAAGGGGUUACGGUCUCCAAAGAUAUGUAGAAUUAGUGAGAUUGCACGGUUGUCUCCAUUGUGCAUUGCAAUAUGUGAACCUAAACAUAUCUCACCAGCAAAACAGAGGUAGAAGAAUCCUAUCAAAAAAACCGAGGAAAGGUAGUAAAGGGAGAAGUACAGUCUCAGCGACAUAAAAUGAUGGGAAAACAGACAAAAAAAAAGAUUUCAUCAUGCAAGAACAAUUAAAAUGCAUUGCUAGCCAGCACAAGAAAUGUGGAAAUGCUGAGCCCUCAUUGUUUUCAUGUCAAGCCUGAUCAUCCGAAUCGACUGCACUGAAUGAACAAAUCAAGUGAGCAAGCAAAUAAUCAUGACAGCAGGUACAAAGCAUUAAUAUUUUUAUGAAUAAAUCUUAUAUCACACAUUAGCUUGGUGUCCUUUGAUAUCUAUUGCCCUCUUCAGCCUUCUGUGCCGUAUAAUUGUUUAUAGAGGUUCUUAUAUAAAGGACACGCUCUCCUCAAUAUAGGUAAAGAUAUACUGGGUUGGUUCAUCUAGAAUUAUAGGUCAUUCCAACCUUCAGCUCCUCGUUGCAGAGUAGCCCGCCCAUAAAACCAACACUGAAUGAAGUGGACACAAGGGAAAAGAGUGAUACAAUGAACAACAUGAUCGAGUGCCUAGGCACAAGAGGGGACUGAGAGACAUCUGAAAACAAGGGGGCUGCGAGGAACCACUCGCAUGUGAUUGCUAUGUUCCUUGUAGUUUCUAUGUACCUGUAGGCCGCUCACAAAUCAAGCUUUUCCCGGCAGCGCAGUAACGUAAUGCAACAUGAAAAUUCUCCAACCAAGAAGAGGUGAUUUGACCUCCCCGCGCAAAUCUAUUUUCAGCUAUGAUAAUCCAUGCCAAAGACCUAGUUGAUCCUAAAAUUUGUUGAAACAUAUUGUCCAUGUUUCUUCAAUGGCUUUAACUCUUUAAGCGAAUGGAAUACGUUCACACAUUGUCUAGGCUAUAGGGUAUAUGACACCCUUGAGGUCGACGCAACCCUUGGAUUUAGCAUAAUUGAAGUUGAUCUAGUUCGACUUCCCUGGUUGCUUGUAGUAGACGCUUGACCCUUGUUUAUAUUCUUCUAUUAAGAGUUUUUCUGUUCAAACCCUAUGCAAAGCAUUUAGUAAAACUAUUUUGACUACAUUGACCUCCCGCCUAAGAUCUAGAGGACCCUAAAAAGUAUGGAGUCACCUGCUAGAACUGAGGAACAUAAAUACAUGAUGUCUAGAGCUACAUUGAUCUUUUUUGUCUUUUACAAUUUCUCGUAAUUGACAUAUGUCCAUUCUUUAAUCUUAGGACGUGUCUAGCGAGUGGCCGUUCGCUCGUUAGACAUCCAUAGUGUCCGGCUAUAUUUGUAAAUAGUUUGUCCCCUUUAUUCAUAUUAGGAAAAGUGUCAUGUGAAAAGCAAAAAAUGAUUGCAAAAGUAACAAUGUGCACAUUUGUGAGCGCAUUUAGUUUGGAUUUUAGGUUUUCAAAAAAUAUAUAUAACUAUUGAAUCAAAUAUCAACAUAUGAAGGUCCGUUUUCACCAUUAUAAUCGUUGUGAAUGGCUAUUGCAAACUAGAUCCCGUAUGAGUAUGAUUUGAUGAAUUUUUAUCUGUGCAAUUUAGUCCUCAUUUGGUGCAACUGCCUUAGUGGAUGUGCAACUACCUUAUUAUCCAUGUGCAAUUUUUCUCUACUCGUAAACGUGCGGUUUUUCACACGUUCGAACAUGUGUGAACAUAUUUAGUUUGUGUUUCAUUUAAAAAAAUCAUAACUUUUGAAUCGAACAUCAAAGUUGAUCCGCUUUCAUUGUUGGAAUCAUGGAGUUUUGCUCUUCCAAACUAGAUCUUGCAUGAGUACGUUUUGAUAAACUUUUCUGUGUACAAUUUAAUUAGUCCUCAUUGGUGCAACUAUCUAGUGGUCGAUGUGCAACUAUUUGACAGUCAAUGUGCAACUUUGUACUACUCGUGGAAGUGCAAUUUUCACUCAUGGCACCUCCACCCCAAUCUACCCCUCUACCAGUGAGAUGCGCAACUUUGUCUGUUGCACUGUCCAAUUGUCUUGUAGUGGAUGUGCAAUUUUUUUCUUGGCCAAGGAUGUGCAAUUUUUUUACUAUUUUCUAUUUUUCAUAACUGCGUAGCAGUGGAUGUGCAACUUCGCAUGCCACCUUGGCCAACUAUUAAUAGUCAAUAUGCUACUUUCCCUCAUACCCCAAGGAUGUGUAGUUAUCUCCGCUAGCAUCUCGUCCCAAUCAACCCCUAUCAGUGAGAUGUGCAACUUUAGGACCCUGCCUAUAGGCAACUUUUUUCUACCCUCCUGGGUGUGCAAUUUUUCACUAUCCAACAUUACUUGCCAGUGAGAUGUGCAACUUUGUUUAUUACCCCGAUCAACUACCUAGCAAGCUAUGUGUAACUUCGUUUGUUGCCCUCCCAACUGAAACUACAGAUCCACAAAUAAGGAAAUGAAUAGAGUUGCACAUUGAUCACUUGGGAGAGGGCGUAGCAAUAAACACAAUUGCACAUAUCGCUGAUAGGUUAAGUGGGACAGGGUGUGCCAACAGUGCAAACUACCUAUUCAUGAGUGGGAAGGGGUUAAACAAAAAUUACUAGGUACUUGGCAUAGGAAGCAUGCUAGUUUUACUUCAUAAUUAAAAAGUUGGUUCCCAUGGUUGCAAGAUUGUGUCGUCAUAGGAAAUUGGAUCAUGCAUCUUAAAAAUUGAUUUUUAGAGAAGUUGCACUAUGCAGUACUAAAAUUGCACCAUGUAGUAAUAUAGUUUUCCAAUAUAGCACCUAAGUUGGCAUCAUAAAAACAUUCGUCAAAACAUAUUCAUGCGGGAUCUACUUUCAAAGAUCUAGUUGUGAGGAUUCUAACGGUGAAACAGGUCUCAAUUCCGAGACGCGGUUUGAAAUAUAUGACGUUUAAAAUUUUCAAAACCGGAAUUAAAUGCACAUACAAAUCCGUCAGUGCUACCCACAUGAAUUCCUAUGUGCCACGUCACAUCUAUCAUGCUCCUGCCUAUUUUCAUCUCCUCGAACCGUACUAGAACCGAGGCAAGGGAAAAUAGAGAUACAUUGAGCACCACGAGGAGUAGGAUGCUAGAUGGGACUGAGAAACAUCUGAAAGCAUGGGGGCUGCAUGUGUUGAACGUGUCAUAGUAGCUGUGCACCGUGAUGUUUCUAUAUACCUCUAGCCCACUAACAUAUCAUGUUUUUCACGGCAGCUUAGCCCGGUAAAGCAACAAAAAUAUUCUCCGGCAAAUACUUGGUGCAUAAUAUUCUCGGGCAAAUACUUCGCUGAUUUGUCUUCCCCGCUAGCUUCAUGAAAUGUUUGGUGCAUAAUAUUUUUUCAUCGGAAAAUACUCCCUUCGUUCACGAAUAAGUGUGCGUAUAUAAGAUUUAUGAUAAAUUAUGGAAUGAAGUACAAAAAUUCAUUGAAAAGGUGUAAGCCACCAUCUCUCUCCUCCUUAAUUAACCCAUCCCCAACAGGCUAAUUAAGUACCCCUCCGUAAAAANCUCUUAUAUUUCUUUAAGGAAGGAGCACAUCUAGAAAAUGAGGACACCAUGUGUAGAAUGUUAUUAGUUUAAAUAACAGUGUGAUGGGCAAAAAACAUUUUUUUCUAUUUUAAUGUUUACUAGAAAUAUAAAAUACACUCUUUUAUGGACAAUUUUUGAAUGAAAAAAUAAUUCUUAUUCGUGGACGGAGAGAGUAAUCAAGACACGAGACAUGCUCGUGUGGUCAGCACACACGACGGUGAGUGAGAAAAAAACAUAUGUUCUACAAGAAAUUACCUACUAUGCGUGUGUCACGUCACUUUUCUAGAUGCUUUUAUUAACCAUUUUUGGUGGAGGGAAAACCAAUUUACAUCUUAUGUGUGACAAGCAGGCAUCACGAACACUGAACUGAACCUUUUUGAAUGUACGUAUAUCAUGGAACUGUCUCCUUCCAUUGGGCUGGGCUGGACGACAGAAGGACCAAACUGACGGGCUUCAGAUAUUAGUAGUUGAUGCAGGGCUGCCCAAAAAAUAAAACAAAAGUAGAAGAUGGCCCGAUUUUCCAAGUGCGAAAACUCAGUGAACCUUUCUCCUAGAACUAUGCCACGGCCCGCUGUCAAUGUUCAUCGAGUACCAAACUUGGCGUUACGGAAAAUCUCUACUGAGACUAAACAAGGGCCACUUGGCAAAAUGGGGGACUAGCAAUACGGUGGUGCCACAUGUCGGUUCAUAAUCGACACGAGUCUACCGAGUGCCGACCUAGGAAAAGGGUUGCCAGCUUUCCUCCGACGUGCACUCGAAAAAAUUGGGUACUGGGCAAGACAGUGCCACGAGUCGGACUCUUAUCGAUAGGAGUCUGUCGUGUUUCAAACUAGGUAGAGGUUUUGACGUCUUUCUUAUAUCAUGCUCUCGGCAAUGCUUGGGGAUUGGGCAAUAGGAACUUCCCCAUACCACUUUCCUUGUUCGUUGUGUAUCUGCCGAAUUUAGCUUGCCAAAACUAAGCUGAGCUUUGUGCCAUGUGGCAUUUCUAUUAACGUUCCGUCCCGUCUCAUGGUGUAGUCUGCCGAAACUCGACAACUCAUGUUUAAUGUUCACCGAGAUUCGAAAAUUAAUAACUAUGGAGACUUAAUGAUUGUCGACCCGUGUCCAGCCGAUCCUAGUUCACCUAGCACAGAAAUCGGCUAAUAUGUUGCGGUUUUGAUUUUGGGUUCUGCAAGUCCCUAGAAACUUGGUAAAGAAGGCGAAUGCAGUAGUGUAUGCUCCAUAUACCUUGCAAAAAAAGUAUCCAAAACAAACCGUCUAAGUUAACCUGUACAAGCCCCCAUUCACUCAGAAGUAAUUUAUAUAGUAUCAUACGAACAAUAAAGGGCUAUGUAAUUUAUUUUCACAUUUAUUCAUUUUACCUGUAUCAUUAAAAGUACUUCGGGAUUUUUUUCUGUAUGCAGCAUCAUUGGAUACUACAAAUAUCAUCCUGAAUACUAGUUGGUUUGGUGUCCUAGGAUAUUUAAUGCACUCGUCAGCCAUUGUUGUAUGAAAUUGUGAGCAUGAAUUGGUAGCUUGUAUAAAAGACACACGCUCCCUCCUUAUAUAACUAAAAUCAUAUUGGACCAGAGAGUAGCAUGUGCAUAUCCUUAUCCUCCGGUCCUCACAGUAGUACUCACAACUUAAUGUAACACUAGUGGAGUCGAGACUUCGGAGAAUAAAGACAAAAUGAUCACCAGGAGGAGCUUCACGUAGGCAGGAUGGGAGUAAGAGGCGUCAGAAAAUAUAGGGGGUCCUUGGAUGAAACGAGCUACAGUGGUACAAGGACUGAAUGUGUUUGCAUUUGCUAAGACUGUCUACAGUAUUGGCCCAGACCGAAGCGUCGAGUACUUUCCGACGCGACGAAGCAAAGCAACGCUGACGAACUCGACGAAUUUCCUUUACGUCGAGAUGCGUCGCACACCGUAGAGCUAGCCUCCAGUAUGUUGAUCUCUGAUCGAUGUACGUACAAGUACUUCUAGCCGGGACACAAUACAAGCACAUACACAGAUAGUCUAUCUAUCUAUGCUUUGAUCGACUUGGUGCUAGCUGCAUAUGCGGACACUCGAUUUGGAUUGCCAGGAGGCUCAUGUCGAGCCUGUGUUUUUCUAUUGAUUAUCAACUCACGGUCUCGAUACAAUUGUUACAGGGGUGCAAAGUUAUUUGUACUAGCUAACCAACUAGCACUAGUCUUACUCGAUGAUGCUUUAGAAAUCUACACGGAUAUCGUAUACACUUGGGCACGUACACAGCAUGCUUAAUUCCAAACAUCACCCCCCUAAACACGACAUCGUCAUGUCACAACUCCAACGUCGAUCCUUCGGUACGAUUGUAGUUGACUUUCGUUUUACCUUGUUCCACGCAGUAUUUCAUGUAGUGAUACAACGUAUCAAUGUGUUUGCUCCUAUCAUGCCGCACUGGAUCCUCGCAUAGAAAAAUUAUAGACUCACUGUCAACGUUGAGCACCACUUCUUCUGGAUCUCGAUUCAUGAGAGCAUCGUGUAGCCUUACUAGCCACACACCUUGACAUUCUGCUACACUUGAAGUCGAUAUCAUCACUUUUUGCUUUCGUGAUAGCCAACUUUCUACGCUUCCAUCACGGAAAUCUGCCACGUUCGAGGUACUUUUACGGUCGUCAUCAAUUCCUUCCUUGUCACUAUCACUAUAGACGAGUAGUCUCGCUAUCUCCUUCUUGCUCAGCUCAACGCGAGGUUUCAUUGAAGCAUCAAUUAGAUUGCAAUCUUUCAUGCCAUAGCUUUCAAGUACCUUUCUUGCAUAUGCCACCUGGCAUAGUGUGAUCCCUUUCGGCUUUUGAUGUACCUCUGGCCUAAGGUAGCAACUCAAAAAACCUAGAUCAUCCAUCUUGAAAAGAUCCUUCAUUUGUAGCUUGAACUUUGCAAUCACCUCUUCAUCUGCUCCAGUUAUCAAUAGAUCGUCGUCGUAGAUGCCAACUAGUAGACUAUCCCUUCCUUCACCUCUCUUGUAUAUUGCAUGCUCUAGUGGGGCUUUCUCAAAUCCAAGAGAAAUCAUAGUCUGAUCAAGUUUGAUGCUCCAUGCCCGAAGGUCUUGCCGUUUCUCAUACAAAACUUUGUGUAGCUUCAAUACCUCGUGUCCUUCUCCCUCUUUGAUGAAGCUCGGUGGUUAAUUCACAUACACAUCUCCUUCUAUCUCAUUGUUCAAAAACGUGGAUUUUACAUCCAUGUGAUGUAUCUUUCAUGAUUCUUGAGCCGCGAGAGCGAUGAGUAAUCUCACCGAUUCCAUCUUUGCAACGGAAACGAACACUUUUUCGAAAUCCACACCUUCCUCUUGGAUUUACCCUUUGACUACUUGCUUUGUUUUGUGCUUCACAUACCCUUCGACAUCUUUCUUGAUCUUAAAUCUCCACUUGAGCUCCGUGGCUUUAUCGUUGUUGGGAAGAUGGAUGAGCUGCCAUGCAUUGUUGUCGUUGAUCAUCGACCCCAACUUCUUCUUCAUAGCGUGACGCCAACACUCCUUCGUAUUCGCGUCCUCAAAAUCUGCCACUGGUAGACCUUGCUUUCCUUGGGAGUAUAGACUGUUAUAUCAAAUUAGCAACAGAAAAGCUCUUCUUCAGAGAAUUACUGGAUAACUUCGCUAUGCACCGGCACGUACACGUCACUUCCUCCAAACCGCACAUCUUCUUUACAUUGUCUAUUGAUCAAACAGAGCUUUGCUCCUCGUGGCUAGUUUUCUUUUCUAGUCUAGCCAAGCAAACCAAGCUACUGAUCCAAACGUAUCUCCUGUUUCCUUGCAUGCGUUGCUUGACCAAGCGGAGGUCAUAUAGUGACCAGCAGUCACCCACAGGACUGCCGGUAUUCAUGCUUACAGUCACACACUUGAAAAAUAACGACGCUAUUUCUUAAGGAAACCAAGUCCAUAGGCGCGUGAGUUCAUGUUUAGUUUUGCCCGUGCUUGAAAGCGAGCAUUCUACACGAAUUGGUUCAUGGCACUCCACGCCAAUUUUUUAUUUACCAACGAAAAUAACGCCGAUAUUUCUUUCAGCAAACAAUGCUGCAAACCUAAACCUGUUCAAUGUAUCUAGUGUACCAUCUCCUAACAGGUGCACCAGAAGCCAUAGACACCUGGUUUUUUGCACGUUCACACAUACAAAUCCAUCCAAUAGCCAUGUAGGUAACCUGCAAAAAAAAUCGGAGCUCAUUGCGGUUAGAAACCUUCUAGCUGUCAUAACUCAUUGGAUUAGUUGCACCCAAAACUAGACUACACACAUGCUGAAAAUAUGAGCAAUUUACCAUAGGAUUUUAUUAAAAGAAAAACUAGGAUAAACAUAACCACCAUGAUAAAGACAGAAGAAGGCAUGUAAUAUAGAGAUGAGAUGACAAAAGACAUGUGCACGUAUGAUCUAGAAAAGAACAUAUGUGUAACCGAUCUAUAUAGACAAGGUAUCAUAUGAAGUGAUGAGUAGAAACGGAAUAUACCUAGAAGAGAUACUAUAGAAAAAAGUUACGGUAGAAACUGAAAGAAGAAGAACAUUGUGGAAAUUGUAGAAGCGUCUCAAUCUCCAUACAUGGAGACCCGCGGUAUAUAUAUUGAUUGAGGGAAUCGGUACAGAAGAUGGCAGCAUCGAGGCUAACCACCAGGAGAUAUUACAGGAGGGUUUUAGAAGAUAAAAAGAUAAACAUAAGAGAAGGAAAUCUCCUAACUACCGACCUGUACAAUAGAUAGAUAUAUAACACUCCCCCAUAAUCGCAACUAUGACAAGUUGAGAUUACGUUUAAACUCUUCAAAACUUCGAGCUAGCAAAGCUUUAGUGAAUCCAUCUGCAAGCUGAUUUUUGGAUGGGAUAAAUCUGAUCUCAAGCUGUUUAUUGGCCACACGUUCUCUCUCAAAAUGAAAAUCUAUUUCAAUGUGCUUUGUCCUGGCAUGAAAGACCGGAUUUGCAAACAAGUACGUGGCACCAAGAUUAUCGCACCAGAAGCACGGCACCUGAGUUUGAAUUACCCCAAGUUCUCUAAGCAUGGAUUGAACCCAAAUGACUUCUGCUGUUGCAUUUGCUAGUGCUUUAUACUCUGCUUCAGUGCUUGACCUGGAAACAGUGGCUUGCUUUCUUGGGCACCAUGAUAUUAAGUUAGAUCCAUAAAAAAUAGCAAAACCACUUGUUGACCUUCUAUCAUCCAAACAACCAGCCCAGUCUGUAUCUGAGAAAGCACUAACAAGUGUGGAAGGUGACUUGCUGAGUGUUAGACCCAAGUGCAUAGUGUUGCUUAUAUACCUGAGGAUUCGUUUUGCAGCUGUCCAGUGGGUUGUGGUAGGUGCAUGAAGAUACUGACACACCUUAUUAACUGCAAAAGAGAUGUCAGGUCGAGUAAGGGUCAAGUACUGAAGUCCACCAACCAGACUUCUGUAACUAGUGAUGUCCUCUUGGUGCAAGGGUUCUCCUUCUGUUAAGGACAAGGGUUCUGAACUAGACAAGGGUGUUGGUGAAGAUUUACAAUUCUGCAUACUAAUUCUACUUAGCAGUGCAGAGGCAUACUUUGCUUGAGAUAGAUGAAUACCAUUGUUGUGUUUCUUGACUUCAAUACCCAAGAAGAAAUGCAGAUCUCCCAAAUCCUUGAGAGCAAACUCAGAGCUUAAAUCCUUAAGCAAUGCUAUCACGACUUCAUCAGAAGAACUAGUAACAAUGAUAUCAUCAACAUAUAUCAAGACAAAUAUGGAUGUGUUAUGCUUGUUAUAAAUGAACAGGGAGGUGUCAGAUUUUGAUGGAACAAAACCAAGAGACUGGAGUUUCAUACUUAACCGUGAAUACCAUGCUCUGGGUGCCUGUUUCAAACCAUACAGGGCUUUAUCAAGCUUGCAGACAUAUGAUGGUGCAUUCUUAUCCUCAAAACCAGGAGGCUGUUUUAUGUAAACUUCCGCUUCCAGAACACCAUGGAGAAACACAUUUUGGACAUCUAGCUGUCUCAGGCUCCAUCCCUUGGACACAGCUAUUGAUAACACAAGACGGAUUGUCGUAGCUUUAACAACAGGACUGAAUGUAUCCUCAUAAUCUAUACCAUACCUUUGCUUGAAUCCCUUGGCUACAAGUCUUGCCUUGUAUCUGUCUAUGGUACCAUCAGACUUUUUCUUGAUUCUAUAGACCCACUUACAGUCAAUCAGAUUUCUGCCUGGUCGUGGGGGCACUAGGUGCCAUGUUUUAUUUAUGCGCAAUGCCAUGAUUUCAUCUUCCAUAGCUGUCUUCCACCUCGGAUCAUCAAGUGUUGUCAUUAAACUGUUAGGCUCACCAGUUGUGCAAGACAUACCAAUUUUAGAGAAAUUUUUGUAAUUUAAACGAGUAGUGACUCCCUUCUGUAGCCUUGUGCGCGGCGCCACAGGAGAUCCAUNUCCGGCGCCGGCCAAUCAGGCGAGCGAGGCCCAGCCGCGCGAGUAACCUCCCGACACGCGUCGUCAGGUGGUUGGUGCGGGGCGGCAACGUCGCUUUCGCGACCGUGCGCAUGCUCGAGGCGCUCGGGGCCCAAGGCGCGACCAGGUGCUGUCCGCCCUGUCCACCCAGAUCCCGGAGGGGAUGUUGCCGCCUGUCACGAGGAUCCCGAGACAGAUCCUCCUCGGGGCGCGUCCGUGUCUCCAGCUGGGUGGCACAUGAAAUCUUGCCCGUUUUGCCUCCGAUGUUCACCAUUUUCUGCAGCAGUAAUAUCAGACAUAAUAUGAUGAUUAGAUGCAAGUUCAUUAGUACUAUUAAUCUCUCCCCCAUGAUCAACGCCGGAUAAGGAUGAGGGCAGGAGGAGUAUUUCUUUGCGAAGCAAGGCGCCGGCAUUUGGGUGGAGUUUGGCAAAGGGAAAAACUGUUUCAUCAAAGACGACAUCUCGAGAGAUAUACACACAUCAUGUGGCUACGUCAAGACACUUGACGCCUUUGUGUUGUGCACUGUAGCAUAUAAAAACACAUUGUGUCGAGCGAAACAUGAGCUUCUUGUUGUUAUAGGGACGGAGAUUUGGCCAGCAGGCGCAGCCAAACACACGAAGAUGUGAGUAGUCGGGUUUGGUAUGAAGUAGACGUUCCGUUGGUGUUUCAUGAUUGAUGACGCGGCUAGGCAGAAUAUUUAUGAGGUGUACUGCUGUGAGAAAGGCCUCAUCCCAUACCUUUAGAGGCAUAGAGGCGGCGGCAAGAAGGGAGAGGCCAACAUCAACAAUGUGCCUGUGCUUGCGCUCGGCUGACCCGUUUUGCUGAUGAGCGUGAGGGCAAGAAACAUGAUGAGAGAUUCCUAUUUGUUGGAAAAAGGAGUUGAGUUUUUUGUACUAACCUCCCUAGUCGGACUGCAUAGCAAGUAUUUUGCAGUCAAAUUGUCGUUCUACAAGAGCCUCAAAGUUAAGGAAGAUUUGGAAAACGUCGGAGCAUUUUUUUAAGAAGGUAUAUCCAGGUAUACUUGCUAAAAUCAUCAAUGAAACUCACAUAAUAGGUGUGGCGGCCAACAGAGGAGGGGGCGGUCCCCAAACAUCUGAAAACACAAGUUGGAAAGGUUUUGCAGACACACUGGUGGAUAUAGGAUAUGGUAACUGGUGGCUUUUCGCUCUUUGGCAAGAGUCACAAAUAGUUUCACGAUCAUGCUCAUCAACAAACGCGAGCUUAUUUUUGCUAAGAAUCUGAUAAACAAUGGAAAAAGAUGGGUGGCCUAAACGAUUAUGCCAUCGUUCUCAAGACACUUGAAGACUCCAUAGGCUUGCUUAUUGAACUUGGAAAUUUUGGGAAUCAAUGGGUAGAGGCCUUGCACACAUCUACCGCGAUAAAGCACCCUCCUCGUGACCCGAUCCUUGAUCAAAAAGAAAAAGGGGUGAAACUCUAUGAAGACACCAUUAUCAAGAGUAAUGCGAUGUACUGACAAAAUAUUUUUGGAUGCAUUGGGAAUAUGAAGCACAUCAUCUAUGAGAAUAUCACGGUGUCGGGUUUGAAUAAUAGACUCUCCAACAUGACUAAUCAUCAUACCUGGACCGUUUUCAGCGGUGUGAACUUGAUCUUGUCCGUGAUACUUCUCGUGCAUGGUCAUCUUCUCGAGUUCAGAGGUGAUGUUCUCAUUCGAGCCGGAGUCAAGGUACCAAUUGGACUCAACUCCGUAUGAAGCAUCCGCUGCAGCUGUAACACGCCUUCUUCUCGAAUUAUCUUCUGCAUAGCGCCACUUACAUUCUUUUGCAAUAUGGUUAAUUUUCUUGCAGAUCUGGCAUUUGUUUUCAUACUCCUCAUAGCCGGCGAAACGGCCCCCUUGAUUGUUGUUGUAGUAGUGGUGCGGAGGGCCAUUGUUGUUGUAGUAGCCCCCGCCACCGCCGUCACGGUGACCAUUGCCUUGGCCACCGCCAGUGUCGUGGUUGUUGUAGCCGCCGCCGCCGCCAUGGUUGUUAUAACCACCACCGCCAUGGUUGUAGCCGCCGCUGCCCAUGCCAGGGUAGUCGCUACUAGGGUUUUGGCCACCACCGCCAGAGUAGCCGCCGCCGUGACCACCUUGCUUCUGGUUGCAGUAGCCACCUUUCCCGCCACCCGAUCGACCCCUGGAGGCGGCGUUCGCUGAUGACUUGAAGCCACCAGCGCCACUGAACAUCUCAGCGCGUUGAUCAAAGUUUGCCACCAUAGAGAAGAGCGCGUCGACGGUGAUGGGCUCGGUGCGGACGUCGAGUGGAGAGAUGAUGGGCUGAUACUCCAUAUCAAGCACGGCGACGAUGAAGGAGAUGAGUUCAUCCUCCCCGAUCGGUUUGCCUGCCGCCGCAAGCUCGUCGGAGAGGGCAAGCAUCUGCCCGAAGAAGGUGGAGGCCGACUGUGACCCCUUCUGGGAGUUCGUGAGUCCCGAUCUGAUGUUGUUGACACGAGACAGAGAGACCGCAAAAAACAUAUUUGCUAGUGCAGUCCAAAUUGCAUGUGAUGAUUCAAGCGAGGCUACUUGAACAAGCACCUCCUUGGAUAUGUUUCGGAGAAGAUAUGCUACGAUUUGCUGAUCUUGAACUAGCCAAGGAUUAUGAGCAGGGUUGGAAACUACAUGUUCUUUGCCAUCUUUGUCUUUGCUGAUGAUUGUUUUUGGAGGCUCCUCUAUAGUCUGAUCUAUAGCCAAACAAGCCGGCGCCCAAUAUCUGGGAUCAUGCUUGGGCUCGCCAGAGAACAUAGUUCGUCCGGCUAAGGGGUUCUGAGGUGUUGUAGUUGAGGCCAGAGGAGGGGACUGCGGAGGAGGAGGAUAUGGUUGCGGUGUGGUGGUUCUGGGAGGGAAACAGAUGGAGGAAGAUGAGCUAGAUGUCGUGGAAGAGGCCUGCUCUGUAUACCAUGUGGAAAUUGUAGAAGCGUCUCAAUAUCCAUACAUGGAGACCCGCGGUAUAUAUAUUGAUUGAGGGAAUCGGUAUAGAAGAUGGCAGCGUCGAGGCUAACCACCAAGAGAUAUUACAGGAGGGUUUUAGGAGAUAGAAAGAUAAACAUAAGAGAAGGAAAUCUCCUAACUACCGUCCUGUACAAUAGAUAGAUAUUUAACAAACAUGAGUACGUACUGAGUUGCAGCAGCAGUAGGAUUGGUGUUGGCGUUGUCGUUGGCCAUGUUACCAGAGAGGUGGUCGACGUCAGGGAAGUAGUCGUCGUCCGGAAAGAAAUCGUCGGUGUCCGUGAUGGAAGCUAGUAGUCGCGCUGGGCGCUCCCAAAAACCUUAUCGGCCUUCUCCCGUACGGGACUCGAAGAGACGAAGUUUCGGAGGCCUACUGUCCCGACGAACGGUGCACGCCGCAAGACGGGAUGGGGAAGAACGUAGCAGUAGCACAGGGAAAGGAACCGGUGGCGAAGGGAACUUCUGUAAUCUCUGCCGAAUGUAGGAGAUGAACUCACGCACACAAGAUAGAAGAGAAGUACACGGGAGUUUUGGCACCGCACAACUUGUGCCUUUUCUGACUCUCUUUCUCUUGAUUAACCCAAGUGAUUACACGGGUAUUUAAAAGGGUAGAAAACGCACGGGCCAAGCCAUACACACCGGCCUGAUCCUAAACUCACGCUCCACACACGCAUGUACUCCACUAAACAAGUGCAUGCACAUCCAGCCAUUCCUAGACCAACUCAACGUCUUUGCCUCAACUAACUCAUCUCACUUUGAGCUAGUCUCUUGGCACGGCAACGUAUAGACCCCUCUCGCUCUUGGCUGCAUGCAUGUAUUGAUCAAAUCUACCUAGCACUUAUGCAUGUACUCACAACUCCUGGCUUCACUUGACCGAUGAUCAGCUCGCACCAUUGCCGAACUGUCAGUCCACUUCACCAUGAUAGCAUGCAUCGCUGUACUAGACUUAGACUGAACAGACCCAAACGAAAAUAAACUAGACAAACUACUAAACAACAAUGGUGAACACCAACAAUCACCCCCUUAACCUUGUUGUGCUUUAUUCGAUCACCUCUAUGACGACCUUCACAGCAGCGCCGUCUCGUCGUGGGCAUCCACGGUGGCGAGAUGAGCCUGCUCCUUCCUUGGCACGGUGCAAUCUUUAGCGUAAUGUCCGUAGUCUUGGCAGUUGUAGCAGCGCACCUUGCGGAUGUCGAAGUUGCUCCUCCUCUUGCUGGUGCCACCGCGCUCACCCUUCCGCGCCUCCCACUGCGCUGCCGUGAGCAUGAGCUGGUCGCCGCCUCGUCCACCGCUAUCCUGAGUGCGCCGCCUCGUCCGCUCCUCGAACGCCUUCAGCCGCCCGAGCGCCUCCUCGAACGGCAUCUUGUCGACGUCGCAGAACUUCUCAAUUCCGGCCACCGCCGCGUACAGCCGGUCCGGCGCAGUGUCGAGCAAUUUCGUCACCAUUGCCGCAUCGUCGAGCGUCGCUCCGAGGGCCGCAUACCUUGCUGCCAUGCUACUGAUCCUCCCGGCGUACGCAUCCAUCUCGUCGCCGUCCUCCAUGCGUAGGCGAUCGAACUCACCGCGGAGAGUGGAGAGCCGCGCCGCCCUCACCCGGUCCGCAUCGAUGAACCGUGUCUUCAGGCUCGCCCACAGCUCCUCCGCCGUCUUCUUCGACGACACCUGCAACAGGAUGUCUUCGGAGAGCGCUCCGAGGAGGUAUGCCCUCGCCGGCUUGUCCUUCUUCGCGAUGACCGCCGCCUCCGAGUCCUCCGCCGGAACCACCGCUUCCCACAGCCCUUGCGCGUCGAGGUUCGCCUCCACCUUGAUCGACCACACGGUGUAAUUGUCACUGGUGAGCAUCGGCACGGGGAGCGACACCAUGCUCCCUCCGGCGUCGUACGGGACGAUGGACAUGGCCGACGUAGUGGAUCGCAACGAAGCUCUGUAUACCAAAUGUAAUCUCUGCCGAAGGUAGGAGAUGAACUCACGUACACAAGAUAGAAGAGAAGUACACGGGAGUUUUGGCACCGCACAACUUGUGCCUUUUCUGACUCUCUUUCUCUUGAUUAACCCAAGUGAUUACACGGGUAUUUAAAAGGGAAGAAAACGCACGGGCCAAGCCAUACACAUCGGCCUGAUCCUAAACUCACGCUCCACACACGCAUGUACUCCACUAAACAAGUGCAUGCACAUCCAGCCAUUCCUAGACCAACUCAACGUCUUUGCCUCAACUAACUCAUCUCACUUUGAGCUAGUCUCUUGGCACGGCAACGUAUAGAUCCCUCUCGCUCUUGGCUGCAUGCAUGUAUUGAUCAAAUCUACCUAGCACUUAUGCAUGUACUCACAACUCCUGACUUCACUUGACCGAUGAUCAGCUCGCACCAUUGCCACUCCGUCAGUCCACUUCACCAUGAUAGCAUGCAUCGUUGUACUAGACUUAGACUGAACAGACCCAAACGAAAAUAAACUAGACGAACUACUAAACAACAAUGGUUAACACCAACAACUUCUGAUGCAUUAUCUCGGGAGAGGAGCGACCUCUCUUUUAUAGGCGCAGGAGAAGGAGGCGAGAGGCCAGCGACGGGAGCCGAAGAGUGCGACGGGAUAUGAAAUGAAGAGACAGCAGCGAUGAAACUGUAGUGUUUGCUUUCAAUAUCCACUAGCAAAACGUUCAACUUCUUCGAAUGGACCAAGUACAGCUCCCUCGCCGAGGAGAAGCAGUUCAAACACAGGCUCGGCCUCAUCGACCGGCAAUGGCAUGACCAAGGCUACUUCGUCUUCUCCUGGGAGAAGGGAAGGACCGAGGAGGAAACACGCAAGAUCUUUACGGAGUGGAAGGUACGACAUGGAAUUACCUACAAUUCCAUCGCGCACGAGGAGCGCCGGUACACCAUAUUUAAGGAGGCCCUCCACGACAUGGACCAGCACAACGCUGGCUACGCCAUCGGGGUCUACAGAAACAACCGAUGCAUCGAUCAGUUCACCCAUCUCACCCAAGAGGAGUACGAAGCCGUUUGCUGCGGGUACUGGGAGGAGAUGCCGUCGGAGGCCGAAUUACAGAGGGUGGGUCAGAUCCAGCAGCGGUUGUGGCAGGCAUUUUCCGGGUCCUUGAUUUAAUUCUUGCAUUGGUUGGCAGGAAAUUUACUGGAUUGCAUUUUUAUAGGUCAUCAUGCGUGUCCAAUGUUUUGCUAUACCAACAAAGAGUAGACUGUCUUUUUUAACAUAAGAGUAGAUGGUUUUCUCAGAGAUGAAGUUGUCAGGAUCGAUAUAUAUGUGUGUGUAUGUUGCCUCAUUGUAAAAUGCGUACUAUUUUACUAGAGUUGACCAAAGUAUGUGAAGUGUUUUAGCAACAUCUGAAUUAAUAUUGCGACUUUGUUGAACUAUUUGCUUACUACUCCCUCCGUUCCUAAAUAUAAGACAUUUUAGAGAUUAUACUAUAAACUACAUACGGAUGUACAUAGACAUAUAUUAGAGUAUAGAUUCACUCAUUUUACUCCGUAUGUAGUCUUCUAGUGAAAUACCUAAAAUGUCUUAUAUUUUGGAACGGAGGGAGUAAUAAAGUGGCCGCAUGCAUCAUUCUCAUGCAGAGGCCGGGGGAUAACCUCAUUUUCGAAAAAAAAACUGAAUUAAUAUAGCACAUGGCUUCACUAAUUAUGCAAGAUAGGAGAGGGAGCAGAGGGUUAUUCUUUCAUGCAAGAAUAUACUCGUGCUGGUUGGAUUAUAUUCUUGCCUUGUUUAGGCACAUGGGACAGACCACAGUGCUUCUAUUUUCCAUAUUUGUGAACUACUAAAACUUGCAAAAAGCUUCCAGCACAUAUACACGGGGACGAUAUCAAUUGCAGACAUGGAGAUGGAGCAGAGCUAUUCUCUUGCAAGUAGUGUUUUUAUAAUAAGUAGCGGUUUUUUCAGGUAUGUUCAUUGAUUAGAAUCGCCCGCUAUUUGGCUGCGUUCGCCCGCUAAUCGCGGCUAGAAAAUCUUCCCGUGAUCUGCCAGUAGUAUAAAAUCAUUGAAGAUCGCGCCACUAUCGCCCGAGAUCGCUACAUUCCUUUGUUGGCCAUCGCGGGAAAAUUCUUCUACCGGUAAACCGUUUUGCCUGCGAUUUUAGUCUAUGGGUAUGUUUAAUCAUUGUAUUUCUUUUCAAUUAGCAUCGCGACAUUCUCCCCUCGGGAACGGGCACUGAAAUGUUGUUAAUAAAUGUUUUGUUAUAGUUAUUUCCGGACAACAAAUGAAUCUGUUGAGUACUCCCUCUGUCCCAAAAUAACUGUCUCAACUUUGUACUAGCUCUAGUACAAAGUUGUACUAAGCUUAAGACACUUAUUUUGGGACGGAGGGAGUACUAUUUCACUGUUAAAGAAAUAGGCAAUUUUCCGAGCAGAUUAAUCCAUGAAAUAAUUACUAACAUGGCAUUGACUAGGUUCAUGACAUACUGAUCACGUAGUAUAAUAGCAAGUACUACGCACAUAGCAGAAACAUCUACGCAUAUAGUCAAUACUACUAGUACAGACAGAAACAGGAGAGAGACAAACACAUCAUACCCUCCGAUCGGCCAGUUGGUUGUAGCAGCAGCGGCGGCGGCGGCAGUAUCCUCUGCCGCCUUCUUCUCGGCUUCGGCCUUCUCGCGGAGACGGUCAGCUUCGCUUGGUGAAGACAUGGCGAUGACGAGGGCGACGCGGACGUAGACGAAGCAGACGGACGGAGGCGAGCAGUCGCGUGAUCGCUCCCCAAAAACCUAAUCGCCCCUCUCCCGUACAGGAACCGGAGAGGCGAGGUUUCGGAGGCCUGCUCUCCCGUCGACCGUGUACGCAGUAAACGAGACGGAGUCGCCGGCGGCAGCAGCAGUCAAGGAACGAACGCGUGAGGCAGAUGUGAUCUGAUUCUCAUGACGGCUAGGGUUGGCGAUAGACUGCUUAUAAAGGCGGCUGGGUGGAGAGACGUGGGCCAAACCCACGUCCGAGUCGGUAACAGCCACGAUCCGACGUCUCGGAUCGUGCCUUGUCCGUUACGUAUUCUCCGUUCCUGACCGGCAAAAAUAAGCGCGUAGGUAUGAGCUCGGCUCGGCUCAUUCCCGCAACCCGCGGCACGUCGUGGCGAGGCGUGGCGAGGCGGGCGGCGGAGAAGGAGUGCGCGAGGGCACCUUCUCUUCUCACUCUCCAAUAGCAUGUGGAAGAGAGACCCUUAUAAAGGGGUCCAACUUCUCCUCCACUAGCGGGGUGGGACUAAACUUCCCACCACCUUGUCAUGCCAUCACCUACAUGGGCCCUUGGAGAUUUUUCUGAAAUUUGUCUUAUGGGCCUAAGGCCCAUCUCUAAUUUCAACGUAUGCAUAAUAUUGAUUAAUUUUGACAAACUGUAUGUUUACCCCGAAUAAUAGGAUGAAAAAUAUAAGAGAAAAAAAGAAAAAGAAAAAAUUACACAAGCUUAAAUCUGAUUGGUGGAAUGAGUUUUGACAUGGAUCGGUGACGUGGCAAACAUCCGGCCAUCCAUCCACCCGUCCAUCCCACCCCCCCCCCCCCGCCAGCAAACCUCACCCAACCCAUCGUGCCCUCCUCUUCCUCUCUCUGCGCUAACCCUAGCCGACGCCUCCCUCUCUCCCCCGAUCCCACCCGAUACGGAUCGCCCAACCCUAGCCGCCGCCGUGAUCUGACCAGGGGUAGCCUCGACGGCGUUGCGGAGAGGAGUGCCGCCCCGUAGAGUGACCGCUUCGUCUGUGUGGAGGCCGUCGCCCAGGAGGGCAACGACGCCGGUGGCAUGGUGGCCACUGCAGAGGGCGCGGUGCGGGCCAGCCUCGACACCGACGAGCUCAUGGCGCUCAUGCAUGGCUCAGGGGCACGCCGAGUGGAGGAGGGGGAGGGGAGGGGUGGGGGAUUUGGUUUGUGAUUUUUGGAUUUUCGGUCCGAGCGGCGAUGGGGUUGCUGUCGCGGUCGGAGGAGGUGGCGGCGUUGGUCAGGCUCAAGGUGGCGGCGGGGCCGAUCAGGCGCGAGAUCCCGCCUGAGAUGCACUGGGCCUUCGCCUACGAGAUGCUCCAGCGGGUCUCCUGCAGCUUGGCGCUCGGACCCGAGCUCCGCAAUGUCGUAUGUGCUCCUUCUCCUCCCUUUCCCCCCUUCAACCCCAGAUCCCCUCCGAUCCCUAGAAUCCCUAAGGCACUCACAGCCGCUGAUUUUGACCCUUCCUGCAGGUGUGCGUCUUCUACCUCGUGCAAGGUCUGGUUCUGAUUCCGCCAUGGAUUCGAUUCCUUGGUGCUCGUUUGGGGAUCCGAUCCAGUCUGGUCUCUUGUCUCCUCUCCUCUUGCUUGGAUUCGAUUCGGUUGACCACCAUUACUAUGUAUGUAGAUCUUGCUAGAGAUUUUCGCAUCUACUGCUGCUAGUUCGAUUCGUAGUUGUAUUGCACAUACUACUACUACUAUCGAUUCAAUUACAGGUUCCUUUGGUUCUUUGUUAGCGCUACUAGUACUACUCCUACCAUAUACCAGUGUUAAUAUAUUGAGAUUGAUUCUGGUAGUGUUGGGUAGCCAGUAGAACUUUUAUGAUGUAAGUUAAAAGGGUACUGUGUGACUAGACUGAAGAAAUUGUGUUGACAAAUUCUCCUGCACCACCUUAUUUUUUCACUAGACUGAAGAAACUUGACUGCAGAUGCACCAGUUGCUCAUUUUUAAAUACUCCUAGUGUUAAAAUGGCCAUGUUGUAUAAAAUUCAUCUGGAUAUGUGUUGAAAAAUCAGUUAAAUUGUCUUCACAGAAACUUUACUGAAAAAUUCGGUUAAGUUCAAUCACCAUUCUGAAUUUUGACCACAUGAGUACAUGACCAAUCUUAAGAGUUUAAAACAUUAUCCAAAUAAUCAUGUCCCACAUUAUUGCCAGGGCAAGAGUAGUAGCACGAGUAGGAUUUUGCAAAUUGAAUCAAAAAGGAAGUCAUUCUUUGCUUCUACUACCUGAACAAAGUCCUGUCGGCUGCACCAUGGCUCUUCUAUACUCCUCAAGUAUCAGUCAGUAAACAAGGAUAAAAAUGAUGGGGACUUUGCACCUUUGAGAAAACUGUAGGUGGUUUACCCACUGCAAGCAUGUUAAGGAAGCAAAAUGUUCACAGAGAGUUUCCAGUAGAGUGGCAAUUUUUGAAUGGCACUUCAGCUGUGAAAUUCAGAGCAAGACUUCUUGUUUUGUUGUGGAGUUUAGACGUUCAGCUUAUCAUUCAAGACUUAUAUGCAUGCGUUUCCAGCUGUAGAAUUCAAAGCAAGACUUCAUGUAUUUCUGAAAUUUAACAUGUCAGCAUCAUUAAUCUUGUCUGACUGAAUGUUUCCAAAAUUAACAUGAUUGAGUGUUUCCAAAAUUAACAUAAUCUUGCCAUUUCCCGAUUGAAUGUUUCCAAAAUUAACAGAAUCUUGUCAUUUCCUGAUUAAUUUUUUUUAUUAAAUGUUUCUAAAAUUAACAAAACCUUGCCAUUUCCCAAUUGAAUGUUUCCAAAAUUAACAAAAUCUUGUCAUUUCCUGAUUAAAAGUUUCCUGAUAUUUUUUUCCCAAUACAAACAAAAUCUUGCCAUUUCUUGGUCGAAACAGUAGCACCAGCAGGUGAUAGGGAAAGGAUAGGACGCUGCGAGACGUCGGUGUGACUGCCGGGUGGCGGCGUGCAAUGGGCUGGGUGGUUGCGUGUGGUGGCGCUGGUCGCUCUGACCACCGUGCGGAAGCUAGGGUGGUGCGCCGCAGAAGCCGGCGUGCGAGGGCUGUGGCGGCGACGCGCUCUGAUCUGGGGCCAUGGAAUGUGCUAUCGGUGGUUGGGGUGGUCGCGGCAGGAGGCGACGAGAUCGCGUUGGGAGAGAAUCGCGGAGGUGCAGAUCCUGGGCAGCGGAGGAGCAGGUUGACGGGCGGAGGAAGAAGAAAGGAGACAGGAUCUAUCUGUAACAGAUUUUAUGGUACGAGGGGGUUUUGGCAAAAUUUCCAUUACACUGUGGGUGCGACAUUAAUUUCGGGAUGGAGGGAGUACUAAUAUAUUGUUGCAAGCACUGGAAUUUCCAUUCCAUUUGUAUAAAACUGUAUGUGUAGUGAUUGUUGUAUUUUGUUGUGUUCACUAUUCAGGUUAGGAUUGCUCGGAUCUUUACCACCUAUGGCCCGCGCAUGUGCAUUGACGAUGGCCGUGUUGUCAGGAACUUUGUUGCUCAGGUAAACACACAACGCUGUUGCUCUGCUAGUUUAAAAACCGCAAGUUUCUUUUCAUUUCCGAACUAACACCCGAAUGCUCUAUGUUAAUAUAAUGGCAGGCGCUAAGGAAGGAGCCUUUGAUGGUUUACGGCGAUGGCAAGCAGACCAGGAGUUUCCAAUACGUUUCUGAUUUGGUAGGUCAUCUCUAACCAUCAAUGAACAAUAAUUAUGGCCAUGCUAUCUGGAAUGCGCUUUCUAAAAUAGCACUCUUCCAAGUUGAGGGGUUGAUGAGGCUGAUGGAAGGUGAUCACAUUGGGCCAUUCAACUUGGGCAACCCCGGUGAGUUCACCAUGCUGGAACUGGCCAUUCAACUUGGGCAACCCCGGUGAGUUCUCCAUGCUGGAACUGGCCAAGGUUGUCGAGGACACCAUCGACCAUGAUGGUAAGUUCAAUAACACUAUUAUGAUGAUGGUGUGCUGAGCAGAGGAUGUGAAACAUUUAGACCACUGAGACCUUUUUUGGUCUUUGAUGUAUCUAAAAUCGAGCUUUUUAAAACUGAUGCUAGGCAUGCCAUCACUAUAUAUAUAUUGUUGUAGAGAUGCUUGAGGUGGUUCUGUUAUUGUGGUACACAAUGGAGUUUGUCAGCUAAGCAUAUGAUGUUACUAGGAGAUGCUACUGAGAUGUCACCCAUCGUUAAGUAUCUUAAACCGAACUUUUUAAAACUGAUGCUUGGUUUAGCUAGUGCUUGUAGCUUAGAGUGAGUAUUGCUUAUCUGCUUGUCAAUCGAAAUCCACAACACACUGAAUUUAGCAGUGAGUAUUGCUUAUUGCUUAUCUAUUUGUCUUCUUAAAAAGAAUGGCAUGUUGAUUGAGGCCAAACAUUGAUGGGAAUGCCUUAGCUUUUUCUUUUUCUGCUGGAAACCUUUUUUUGCUUCAGGUUUCUUGACUGGUCAGCCUGGCAUCUUACCUUAUUAACUAUAGCAACAUGUUUUACUCUUACUUUAAUUGAAGUAUUCUGCAGUAUGCAAAUCAAUUCUUUAAAUAUUGCAUUAUUGGCAACAUGGAGACAAACCUUAAACUUAUAUCGGUUAAACUUGGUCACUUGGACGGCAGACUGAGCCACCAGCCUACCACAUGUCCAUAUCUAUACAAGUUUAAUUUGUUUUCUUUUACUGUCAGUGUGAACCGCAUCAUUGGUUGUUGGGUACUAGACUCCGGUGGCAUAUCCUUCCAUGUAAUUUUUUAAAGGCGAUGGAUGCAAAUCUAGUUGCAUCAGUAUACUCUAGUACACUCAAUUUAAUUGUCAGCUUGCCAAACGAGACGUAGUAGUUCAAUCUAACCAUAUAGUAGUAGUAAUAAAAAAUACUAUACGUUUUGGUGUGGCCAAACUCCUGUACAUUAUUUUUUAGUAAGGAGCUCAAGUUCUUAACACAAACUUGCUAAAUUUUGAACACUAACUCUAAUAUUUUUUAUAUUUAUUUCCGUUUGUUUGAUUCAUGUGCAGCGUAAUGUUCUUGUAGGAUGGCAAGUUGUCGCAUCUCGAGCAUGUCUCAUAGGAGAGUGGAAUGAAGUCCAUUGUACUGUUGGGAUAGUAGCAGAUGUGCCAUUUCUAUUGUGUAAUUCUGUCCAUUCUUGCUAUAUUCAUGUGUAAGGAAAUGUAUUCAUGAGAUGAGUUAUUGUGUUAUGUAAACCUGGGAGAUGUAUUAUGUGAUGUUAUAUGAUGGAUGAUUUUAAUUUGACUUGGAGUUUUCUUGAUUUGAAUAUGAAAUAGUGUUGGAUUUAAUAUUGGACAAAUAAUUGGGUUGAAAAGGCUCAACAAAUACAAAUGAAACCAAGUUCUGAAACAAAAAGUUGCUGAAUUCAAAAAUGAAAAAUGUCAAAACUGAAACUGGACCAAAUGUAUUUGGGCACUAAAAGGCGAGGGCCCAAAUUAUAAUGAUAAAAAAAUUCGAAAAAAUACUAUGAUUGUAAAUAGGCUAAGGCCCAAAAAGAAGCUCAAUAAGAAAAAGCCCAAAAAAAUAAAACCAGCCCAUGUGAUCAAUUGAAAUGGGUUGGGCUGAUUUCAACCAUGAUGUUUUGAUUUCGUCGUAAUUUUGCCACGUAGGACUGGGUUAGAUUGCCAACGACGAUUUAGGAUCGUCGUAAAGGUUACGACAAUUCAGGAAUCGUCGUAAAAGUUACGACGAUUUUGAUCAAAACAGCGUUGUUGUUCAUUUCUGACGCCCCGUUUUCGACGCUUGGUUUUUCGUCGUGAGUUCGUCGUAAAAUAAAAACCGUGACGAUGUAGCGACGAAAAAAUAGCGUCGUGUAUUAGCAUAUUCCUUGUAGUGUUUGCAUAUCUCUCAUGGGAAAUAUAUCCUCAAAGAAUGUAGCAUCCCUCGACUCCAUUAUUGUACCGACCUUCACGUCAGGUACCUCAGAUUUCACUACUAGAAAUCUAUAGCCUACGCUAUUCUUAGCGUAUCCCAAAUUAACGCAGUCCACAGUCUUUGGGUCCAAGCUUACGCUUUUUGGGAUCGGUACAUUGACUUUCGCCAAGUAGCCCCAAGUACGUAAGUACGAGACACGGUCAAUAUAUUUUGUAGGGAGUGACCUCAUUAUAUUUUGUAGGAACUUUAUUCAGGACAUGACACGCGGUCAAUAUAGCCUCCCCCCACCCAUGCCUUGGAUAAACCCGAUGUAUCUAACAUGGCGUUAACCAAAUCAGUUAGAGUACGGUUUUUCCGCUCGGCAACCCCGUUUGACUGGGGUGAAUAGGGAGGCGUCCUCUCAUGAAUAAUGUCGUGUUCCGCACAAAAUGAAUCAAAUUCGUUUGAGAAGUACUCUCCACCACGAUCAGAACGGACUCGUUUAAUUUUCUUUUCAAGUUGAUUCUCAACUUCUGCCUUAUAGAUUUUAAAGUAGUGUAGAGCCUCAUCUUUAGUAUUUAACAGAUACACAUAGCAAAAUCUAGUGGAAUCAUCUAUCAAUGUCAUGAAGUAUUUCUUUCCACCUUUAGUCAACACACCAUUCAUCUCACAAAGAUCAGAAUGUAUGAGUUCUAAUGGUGCCAAGUGUCUCUCCUCUGCAGCCUUGUGAGGUUUGCGAGGUUGCUUUGCUUGCACACACGAAUGGCACUUAGAACCUUUGGCUAAAGUGAAAGUUGGGAUUAAAUUCAGUUUUGCUAGCCGCGACAUAACACCAAAACUUAUGUGACAAAGACGUGAAUGCCAAACUUCAGAUUCAUUAACACUCGAAUGAAUAUUGUUCACGACUUUAUUACAAAAAUCUGCAAGAGAAAGGCGGAACAGACCUCCGCAUUCAUAACCUUUUCCAACGAAAAGUCCAUAUUUCGUAACUACUACUUUAUUAGACUCGAAUACCAACUUAAACCCUUCUCUACACAGAAGCGAGCCACUAACGAGAUUCUUCUUGAUGGCGGGGACAUGCUGCACGUUCUUCAGCUGCACGAUCCUUCCCGAAGUAAACUUCAGAUCGACCGUGCCAACACCAAGAACAGAAGCACUCGCGCCAUUCCCCAUCAAUACGGACCCGCCACCGGUGGCCUGAUAAGAAGAGAACAAUGAUAAGUCAGCACACACAUAAAUAUUUGCACCCGUGUCCACCCACCAAUCGAUGGACUGACAAACUGUAAAUACAGUAAGUAAAUUACCGUACCCAGAUGCACCACUUUCAUUGUUGCCCAGAAUCAUAUUGGCAGACUUGGAGUCCUGUGCCGGCUUCUUGUACUUGUUUGGGCAUUUGUUCGCCCAAUGUUCCUCUGAACCACAAGUAUAGCAGCCAUCUCCCUUCUUAUUCUUCUUGAAGGGCUUCUUUCCCUUCUUCUUGAAGUCGGUAUUCUGUUGGACAGAAUUCUUUCCCUUGGGCUUGUGAGAAUUGAAGUUCCUCUGAUGUACCAUAUUGGCAGCAGAAGAGCUUUCCACCGCUUUUCCAUUGGAGUCCUUUGCUCUCGAGUUCUGCUCAACACUCAGAUGGCCGAUGAUGUCCUCUACUGAGAACUCACGCCUCUGAUGUUUCAGAGUAGUAGCAAAGUUCCUCCAGGAAUUAGGGAGCUUAUCAAUUAUACAGCCCGCGACAAACUUGCCCUGCAAAUUGCACUUAAGAACCUCAAGUUCCUUAGCUAUGCAUAUUAUCUCAUGAGCUUGUUCCAAUACAGAACGGUUGUCAACCAUCUUGUAAUUGUGGAACUACUCCAUAACAUACAUCUCAUUCCCAGCAUCGGUGGCCCCGAAUUUAGAUUCGAGCGCCUCCCACAAGUCCUUGGCAACAUGCAUAUGUAAAUAUGCAUCAACCAGCUUAUAUCCGAUCACGCUAAUGACUGCUCCAAGGAAUAGGACGGUGGCCUCCUUAAACAUCUUCUCCUGUUCAGGAGUGAUAGUUUCCGUAGGAGUGACACCGGCAACCCAGAACACGUUCAUAGUUGUGAUCCAUAAGGUGGUUCUCGUUUGCCAAUGCUUGAAAAAAGUGCCGGUAAACUUAUCCGGUUUCAGUGCAGCAGCAAAACCAUUACUCGAAAAAUUCCUACAGAAAUUAGGUUUUUGGAUUGUUAAGGAAAUAGGCAAUUUUCCGAGCAGAUUAAUCCAUGAAAUAAUUACUAACAUGGCAUUGACUAGAUUCAUGACAUACUGAUCACGGAGUAUACUAGCAAGUACUACGCAUAUGGCAGAAACAUCUACGCAUAUAGGCAAUACUACUAGUGCAGACAGAAACAUGAGAGAGACAAACACAUCAUACCCUCCGAUCGGCCAGUUCGCGGUAGCAGCAGCGGCGGCGGCGGCAGUAUCCUCUGCCGCCUUCUUCUCGGCUUCGGCCUUCUCGCGGAGACGGUCAGCUUCGCUUGGUGAAGACAUGGCGAUGACGAGGGCGACGCGGACGUAGACGAAGCAGACGGACAGGGGCGAGCAGUCGCGUGAUCGCUCCCCAAAAACCUAAUCGCCCCUCUCCCGUACAGGAACCGGAGAGGCGAGGUUUCGGAGGCCUGCUCUCCCGUCGACCGUGUACGCGGUAAACAGGACGGAGUCGCCGGCGGCAGCAGCAGUCAAGGAACGAACGCGUGAGGCAGAUGUGAUCUGAUUCUCGUGACGGCUAGGGUAGGCGAUAACCUGUUUAUAAAGGCGGCUGGGUGGGGAGACGUGGGCCAAACCCACGUCCGAGUCGGUAACAGCCACGAUCAGACGUCUCGGAUCGUGCCUUGUCCGUUACAUAUUCUCCGUUCCUGACCAGCAAAAAUAAGCGCGUAGGUAUGAGCUCGGCUCGGCUCAUUCCCGCAACCCGCGGCACGUCGUGGCGAGGCGUGGCGUGGCGAGGCGGGCGGCGGAGAAGGAGUGCGUGAGGGCACCUUCUCUUCUCACUCUCCCAUAGCAUGUGGAAGAGAGACUCUUAUAAAGGGGGUCCAACUUCUCGUCCACUAGCGGGAUGGGACUUAAUUUCCCACCACCUUGUCAUGCCAUCACCUACAUGGGCCCUUGGAGAUUUUUCUGAAAUUUGUCUUAUGGACCUAAGGCCCAUCUCUAAUUUCAACAUUUACUAGAGUAAAUGUUAGUGCGCCUUCGUGAUUUCUCAAAACUAGAGUUCAGCAAAGUGGAAUGCAGCAAUAGUCCAAGAACCUGUUGUCUAUGUCUAAUACAGUCCUCAAACUCCGAAAAUGCUCUAGAACCGUCGCUAUUCUCGGUCUAUAGGUCCACAUACAGUCCUAACUACGAUUCACCGCCGUAUUGAGAUGACGUGGCGCUGCACUGAGUCUGAAGCGUCAUUUCCCAACCAUCAUGCAAUGAAGACUCAGGCCGGGUCCGAACGCCUUCGCCUUGGCGGCCGAGCCAAGGGAUUGGGGCCACAAGAGCUACGAGGUCCCAGUAACAUGGAGGUGGCAUGCCCUGAACCAUCGCGGUCUAUGUGGAAGGUUCGGAUCCUGGGUGGGGAGCCGAAUACCAUCGCCUUGGUAGUCAAGUCAAGGUGAAUCGCCGAAUCACCAAUUCUGCGGGAUACCGAAGAUUACGGUAAGAUCGGAUCUGGAUGUUCGUUCAGAGUAGUGGUAUAGGCACCGCCGCAUGUAAACCCAUUUGCUAUUGUGUAACCCUUGCCGCCUCUAUGUAUAUAAAGAGGGAAAUGGGUGUCGAACGAAAAAACACAUCUUCCACCUCAUUCUACCUCCAUCCUUUAGAUGUGAGAUCGAGAUCUACCUCGAAAACUACCGAGAGCACUACACAUAAUCCCGUACACCCACAACAUGAGUACGGUUAUAAUGGACAUUGUACGUCCAGGGCCCAAACCUAUAUAAAUCUUUGUCUCCAGUGUGCUACACCCGAUCUCCAAGUGUUACCCCUCCGAAUAAAAUAUACAAGCGUCAAAUACCUUGACAGUUGGCGCGUCAGGUAGGGUUACGUGUUCCGGACAUAGGAUUGGGAUGGCCAACGUCAUCAUGGCCGACGAAAACACUUCGGAAGCAAAGAUAUUCAUUGAAGACCCGCGGGGCGACUUCACUGUGGCUCCGUCAUCCCUUGGAUCUCCUCGACAUGAGGCUCGCGGACCGAUUUGGAUCUGGGGCAAGUCAGGGUGGCUUCUCGUUGGCACUCUUCGCCCCCCCCCCCCCCACCCACACACACACUCCAUAGAGCAUGGAUCGGAUGAUGAACGAAGCAUCGUUGGGAGCUUCCUCUUCGAUAACGAUACACCAAUUAACUGACCGGGACCUUGAAUGGCGGGGAACCAACCCGCUGCCAGUCACCUUCCCCGGAUGCGGACGCGGUGGAUCGACCCACUGUUCACCUUGCCAACGCAACCGGCGUAACUAACUUCACCGGCCUAACCAAAGGGCAAGCAAACGAGUUCGCUGCUCAGAUCGCAUCCGGCGCUCAGGCAGUGCAGCUCUCAUGACUGGUACUAGAGAAGGAGCAGGCCAAAUUUCAUGACAUAUUAAGGUCUUUCUUGGAAAAGGUGGCACCAGGAUUAUACAGUUAGCCGUUAGUGAGUGAACUUUCUCAUGAUUUAUAAUGCUUAUUAUGUUAAGUGGUGUAACGUCCGAACCUGAAUAAUCGAAAUACCCGUCAAUGUAGCUAAAGAUGCACAUAUACAUGAAGAUCAUCACCUUUUCCCAGAUUGUGUUGUAAUUUGUAUCAUUCAAUAUCCAUGUGAGAUAUUUCAAUUGUUGAGGCCAAUGCAAAAUGACUUCUCUCAUGCAUUGUGCAUCUAUGAUCAAUCCGUGCAUUAUUAUCUCAUGUCCCCGCAUUCAUGUUGAAAUAUCAAUUGGAUGAAAGCAAAGAAGAAGCACAAGAGGGUCAUACGCAUGCGGCACAUUAAAGUUAUGAUGACUAAUUGCUCAUAACUUCUAUCAAUAGCGUAUGUGGAAAAGGUUUUUGGACUGUACUUGCAGUUUAGAGUUUACCAUGCUCUACGCACCUCAUUUUGUUCGUACUCAUGCUUAUGUGGGUAUUACCAUUCAUUGAUGCAUAGAUGAAACCUUCUAUAUCAACCCAUGAGAGUGAUUCAUUUGCUACUUGAUUGCAUGUUAAGAUAGGUAGCUGGUAUCAAUUACGGAGUAAUUUUCUGCUUGGUUGUCAUAUUCCAUAUUUUUAUUUGUUUGUACCUACAUUCCCUAUGUUGAUGUGAGAAGUUGAAGGAAACCAAAAUGUAAGCCAGCGGGAUUCUCCAACUAGCACACAACCAACUCAGUGACGUUGUCCUCUGGGUCGCCUCUGGCCUAGGGAGAUCCUCAACACAAAUAGAGGGAGAUCAUGAACCCAACCAACAACAUUACUCCGGGUCUCUAUAUGCUCUCUUGAAGAAGGAUCCUAAGAUAGUAGCCAGCAGUAGGAGAGGUAUAGUGAUGGAAGGCUGACCGGUAGCAUUAACUACUGGUUAAUCACGAACUCCUAGGGCAACUGGGGGAGGGACGGGGGUUACAUUCGCCUCAAGCGGGGAUAUGCAAAAGAUGGAGGGUUAUGUGGCAUUCUAAUGGAUCCGUUGUACCCGAUGGAUCAUGUAACCCUAGCCACCUCCCCCUCCCCCUCCACCUACCUUCCUUGCCGCCGCCUGAGGCAGCCGCCGGGCAAGCCCGGGGCGCCAAGGAUGGUGGCGGCGGGGCCUAGGCUGCCCUGCCUCUGCAUGCGGAGUCCCGGAUCUGGAGCGGCGGCUUCAUUGGCGAGGCACGGCAGGCUAGCAGCCGUGCGGGAGGUGGAUUCGGCGUCUCGGCCGCGCGGGCGGCGGGAUCCGGUGGUCGCUGGCGUCCGGCGACAACUUUUGCAGUGGCCGGUGCGCGCGAUCUAGCGCCUCCCCUCCUUCCCUGUUCGACGUGCGGGCCAGCCUAGUCGGGCCGCGCUUUCUUGGAUUGCCGGUUUUGUACAGGAGGUGCUGCUAGUGGUGGGGAUCUAGUUCGGGCGAAAUCCCUGGUCGGCCAUGGUCGGCCGCGUCGACGGCGACGCCUGAGGGCGCCAUUCCCCUCCUUGGAGGCGUCGGUAUGGACUGAUCCCCUCACUUCCCCUUCCCCUAGGUCUUCCGGGCGAAAGCCUUAACUUUGUUGGGCGGCGUCGGCGCUCAAGGCGCCGUUUCCUUCUUGAAGGCGCCGCUUUGGAACCUUGGGGCUGGGUGGCGCUUGUGGGUGGUGGGCGACGGCGGUGGUGCGACCCUAUCCUAGCAUGGAUCUCCGUCCUGCUUGGAGAUCGACUCGCGUAGGUGGAGGUCGUCGUUUGGCGUCAUGAUGGCGUCGAUGGCGGAGGCACCUGCCAAGGCUGGUACCUCAAUCUGAUCUUAAGAUGGACCAGUGGAAGAUGGCGGCGACGACACAUGUGAGUGCGUCGAACCGGUUUGUACCCCGGACCCGGUAUGUGGCUCGGUCAGGGUCUCCUGCUUUAGAUGUUAGGCUUAGGUGAGAGGUCUGGGUAUUUGGUCCAGCUUGCACCCCUUCAUCAUAUGGAUAGGAGUAGCGACAGAUGUUGCCAAGAUGGUGGAUUCAGUCAUAUUGUUGUACUGCUUUGUAAGGUCCUCGAGAAUAAUCAAUAAAAUGACUGCAUGCAUCUUCCAGAUGCAGAGGCCGGGGGUCAUCCUCCUUUUCAAAAAAAAAUGUACUGCUUGAGUAUUAUUAGUAGUCCCUAGUGGAUCCUAUCAACUAUAUAUGGGGGUUAAAUCUCCUAGCUAAUUUGUUGUCAUGGGAGAUAUAAUUUCAUUUUCUUUCAUAUUAUAUACUAUUUAUUAUUAUUAUGCCGCAUAUAUAGUAGAGCAAGCAUUUGUAAAGCAUACGUGUGCGCAAACCAUAAGAAUUAGCAAUUUAACAUGGAAACGAAACCGAAAACAUUGAUAAUGACAAAACUUCAUAGAUGCCACACAAGAUAUAUGAUGUGCACCAGUAGGUCAGCUUGCCACUAAGUGUCCUAUAUUAAGUAUUUUGGUUCUUAGCACAUUCAAACAGUAGAACAAAUUAACCAGACACAAGUGCCCAAUGUACCAGCUGUCAACCAAGUCAUGCCACUCAAUAUGAAAACAAUAUAUAGUAGAUUUAAUUGUCACGGGAAGUCCAUCCUAGCAGUAGAUAGCUAGGUGAUCAACACCAUCAGACGUCAAUUGGGAUCAUCGGCUACGUGGUGUGGCACAGAAACAAAUAAAACUAUUGUGGGAACAGAAGAACUUACCUGGAGAUUCAGCCCGAGACAGGAAUCAUAGUGGAAGUAAACUAGGGAGUCGAAGCCAGGGUUUCAGCCACGUUACUGCCAUCCUACCGGCGCCAGGGUCGACACUGGUUAGAGCAAACACCCAAUGCGCAGGGGCGAUACGGGGGCGGCCACGCCUACCACCGCACAACAUAGUUGCUGAUACUAUUCCAAUGUAUAUAUAUUUUUUAUUGCUCCAUGAUAUUAUAUUAACAUUCUACGAUACUUUUUGAGUAUUAAUUUAUCAAUUUAUAUUAUUUUUAAACACUAACCUAUUGACCCAGUGCCCAGUGCCAGUUGAUAUUUUCUACGUGUUUUUGGCUUUUCAUGUUUAUAGUACCAAACGAAGCCAAAUUGCUGCGGAACUUUUUUAUGACUUUUUCUGGACCAAAAGAAGACCUGAAAGCUUCAUGACGAUACCGGGGGCCACACGAGGGAGGCACAAACCAACAGGGCGCACCGAGGAGGGUGGUGCGCCCUAAUGGCUUGUCCCUCCCUGGUGUCCCUCCUACCCCCGUUCUCUGGCCUAUAAAUUCACAUAUAUUUCAAAAACCCUGGAGGGCAUACCGGAACACUUUUUCUGCCGCCACAAGUCUCUGUUCCGACGCGACCCCAUCUGGAGCUUCAUUUUGAAGUCCGUCAGAGGGGGAUCGAUCACAUAUGACCUCUUCAUCAACCUUGUUGCCCUAAUGGGGAUGUGUGAGUAGUUCACCACAGACCUACGGGUCCGUAGUUAGUACCUAGAUAGCUAUCUAUCUCUCUCUUGAUCUCCAGUAAAAUGAUCAUCACAUCUUUGCUUUGAUCUAUCCGAUGUAAUUCUUCUGUGCGGUGCGUUCAUGGGGAUUCUAUGAAUUGGAGUCUUCUAUGAAUUUUAUGUAUGAUUCUUAUUUUCAUGAUCAUUAUAGCUUCGAAAAUAUCUUCAAUCUAUUGAUUUUCUUUCUCAACUAGAUUGAUCUUUCUUCAGUGAGAGGGGUGUGUUGUAGUGGGUUCAAUCUGGAGGUGCUCUAUAUCCCAGUGACUGAAAGGUACAAGACACAUCUUUGUAUUGCUUCCACUAAGGAUAAAACAAUGGGGUUAGUUCAUAUUAAUUGAAUUUUUUUUGUCUACAUCAUGUCAUUGUUCUCCAAGCAUUACUCUGUUUUACUUAAUGCUCUAGAUGCAUGUUGGAUAGCGGUCGACGGAUGGAGUAAUAGUAAUAGAUGCAGACAGGAGUCUGCCUAUUUGCUUAUGGACGUGAUGCCUAUAUAUACAUGAUCAUUGCCAUGAAUAUCACAUAACUAUGCGCUUUUCUACCAAUUGUCCAACAACAAUUUAUUUAUCACUGUAUGCCUAUUACAUGAGAGAUGCCACUAGGAAAAACUAUGGCCCCGGGUCUAUCCAGCUAUAAGUUUACAAAUGCUUUCAAUACCUUGCUGCCAUUUAUUAUCUUCUAUUUUAUUUUCCAAUUUACAAUUGACAACUAUUAUCUACACAUCUCACUUUCUUGCAAAUAACGAUUCCAAGGGGAUUGAGAACCCUCGAUCUUGCUCGUGUUGGGUGCAAGUGCUUUGCUCGUUUGUGUGCAGUCACUGAAGACGGAAGUUGAUUGAUAUUCCUAUUGGUUCGAUUAACCUUGGUGUCUAACUGAGGGACAAACUUAUCCAUACUAUGUCGUCAUUACCCGUGCAUCUUCAUGGAAAACCCAACGCAGACCACAACUACCAGUUGCAAGCCGAAUUCGAUCGACGUCUGAGAAGACCGGAGGUGGCCGCGCGAGGAAGAUAGAUGGUGGAAGAAGCGGUGGACCACCAGGGACUGCGGGAGUGCCGAGGGGAACCGGUGGAGAAGCGGAGCACCGGCAACCGGGGUGGCUCCGGAGUGGCAUGGUGGUGGUAGGGAAACUACGACACACACUAGGUCAGAGAUCCACACGUGAGAGGCGGCGGUCCGUGUUAGACACGACAUCGACGCCGACGAUGCAGACAACAGAGUUAUGCGAGAGAAAGGGAAUCGAGAAGACUCGUUCGUGCGCGUGAGUGUGAGAGUGGUGGGGGUGUGGGACCCACCUAACCGACCUGGGAUGGUGAAACUUUGGGUAAAUAACUAAUUUUCUAGACCAGAAUAGAAUAGUUGGGGUUAAAAAGAUCAGUCUUGAUAAGUUUGAGUCGACUGAGACUUCACGAAGUCUCAGUUGAUGCUAUAUCCGUGAGAACUUACGUUGAGAUUCGUGCAAAAUUUUCUUUUUAGUUUUUUUCUUUUUCCCCCUUACAUUUAAUGUCACUUGAAUCAGACUUGGAUGAAAUAUCAGUCGACUAAGACCUAGCCACACCCUAAAAAGAUCAAAUAGAUUCCCCUGACGUCGGUUGCCAUCCCCUACCUCCCGCAUUUCCGGGUUGGACAUGGUCACGCUCUCUCCACACCACACCCCGUUCCACUCGUCUCCGUGCUGUCGGCCUCAUCCUCGUCUAUGCGUCCAUGUCUGCUUAGUCAACUGAUCUCUAGAUAUGUGUGACCUUGGCUGCAAGAUCUCCCUAUCCCUCUCCUCCUCUCUUCCGCUUGCUACAGUCCGCCGCUGUCUCAGAUCCUCUGCAUGUGGCCGUGUCGCCGUGCUGGUGGUCUAACGUCGUGAAGCCUUCGUCUAGCCAUACGUCCUGGUAGGCCCCCGGUCUCGUCCUCAAGAUAGCAUCUUCUUCGUCGACUAUGCUCUAGGUGGGGUGGAUAGUCGCCGCAUGAUCGGACGCUCCUGCAUCCACAUGCACUACUUNGGUGUGGAAUUUAUAAUAGGCUAUUAAAUAUGUAUGUUUUUCUGCAGGCUCAAGGUGCAGACCAGUAAAAUGAAGGAGGCCCAGAGCGUAAUGGACUAUCUCACCUCAUGAAAUGAACGCAGGCACGAGGAGACCUCUCCAACUCCACUGCGACUAUUUCUCACCUUACGCGAACCAACAACCAUCCCUCACGUUGUGUAAACAGUGUUGGAUCGGCCCAUUGUAGCCCACGAAGAUUGAAAAAUUGAGAAGAAAUGGAGCACCCCAAGAGUCGAACAACCCUGGUCACGCGGGACAACAAGAGCAUUGCUAACCAGUGCGCCACCUUCAAGUUAUUGGUUAGUAGCAGGAUCACAGCAACUAGAGGUGAGAUAUUUCAAUUGUUGAGGCCAAUGCUAAAUGAUUUUUCUCAUGCAUUGUGCAUCAAUGAUCUAUCUUGCAUACUUUUCUCGUGUCCCCACAUUCAUGUUGAAACAUGAAUUGGAUAAAAGCAAAGAAGAAGCACAAGAGGGUGAUACGCAUGUGGCACACUAAAGUUAUGAUGACUAAUUGCUCAUAACAUUUAUCAGUGGCGUAUGUGGAAAACGUUUUAUAAUGUACUUGCAUUUUAGAGUUUAUCAUGCUCUACGCACCUCAUUUUUUUCAUGCUCAUGCUUAUGUGUGUAUUACCAUUUAUUGAUGCACAUACAAAACCUUCUAUAUAAACCCACGAGUGAUUUCAUUUGCUACUUGGUUACAUGUUAAGAUAGGUAGCUAGUACCAACUAAAUUUCUUCUUAGUUAUUCUAUUACAUGUUUUUCUUUGUUUGUACUAGUACAUUCCCAAUGUUGAUGUGAGAAGUUGGAGGAAACCAAAAUGCAAGCCAGCUGCUGACGAGCACCAUCACAUCUCCCACCAGGUAUUGCUGGUCGGAUACAGGACCGAGGAGAGGUACAAUAAUAGCAUUAACUACUGGGUAAUCAAGAAUUCCCAGGGCAGCUUUGGGCGGGACGGGGGAUACAUUGGCCUCGAGCAGGGAUAUGAAAAACAUGGAGUAUUAUGUGGCAUUCUAAUUGAUCCGCUGUACCCGGCGGAUCCUGUGAUGCUUGAGUAAUAGUAGUUCCUAGUGGAUCCUAUCAACUAUAUAUAUACGGGGGUAAAUCUCCUAGCUAAUUUGUCGUCAUGUGAGAUAUAAGUUCAUUUUCUUCCAUAUUAUAUACUAUUCAUUAUUAUUCCGCCCCGUAUAUAGUAGAGCAUGCUUUAGUAAAGCAUACGUGUGCGCAAAUCAGAAAAACUAUCAAUUUAUCAUGGAAUGAAACUGAAAACAUUGAGAAUGCAAACACUUCAGAGAUGCCGCACAAGAUAUAUAUCAUGUGCACCAAUAAGUCAGCUUGCCAUUUGCGUAUCGGUGAAGUAAUAGUAAUAGAUGCAGGCAUGAGUCUACCUAUUUACGUAUGAACGUGAUGCCUAUAAAUACAUGAUCAUUGCCAUGAAAAUCACAUAACUAUGCGAUUUUCUACCAAUUGCCCAACAACAAUUUAUUUAUCACUGUAUGCCUAUUACAUGAGAGAUGCCACUAGGAAAAACUAUGGCCCCUGGGUCUAUCCAACUAUAAGUUUACAAAUGCUUUCAAUACCUUGCUGCCAUUUAUUAUAUUAUAUUUUAUUUUGCAAUUUACAGUUCACAACUAUUAACUACACAUCUCACUUUCUUGCAAAUAAUGAGUCCAAGGAGAUUGAGAACCCCCUUGCCCGUGUUGGGUGCAAGUGCUUUGCACGUAAGUGUGUAGCCGCUAAAGACGGGAGUUGACUGAUAUUUCUAUUGAUUCGAUAAACCUUGGUGCCUAACUGAGGGACAUACUUACCCAUAUUGAGUUGUAAUUACCCGUUCAUGUUCAUGGAACAUCCAACGCAGAUCACAAGUACCAGUUGCAAGCCGAAUUCGAUCAACGUCUGAGAAGACCGAAGGCGGCCGCGCGAGGAAGAUAGAUGGCAGAAGAACCGGGGGACCACCAGGGAUUGCGGGAGUGCAGAGGGGAACCGGUGGAGAAGAGGAGCACCUGCGACCGGGGUGGCUCCGGAGUGGCAUGGUGCUGGCAGGGAAACUACGACACACACUAGGUUGGAGAUCCACACGUGAGAGGCGGCGGUCACUGUUAGACACGACAUCGACGGCGGCAAUGCAGGCAGCGGAGUCGUGGGAGAGAAAGGGAAUCGAGAAGACUGGUUCGUGCGCAUGAGUGUGAGAGUGGUGGGGGUGUGGGACCCACCUAAUCGACCUGGGGUGCUGAAAUGUUGGGUAAACAACUAAUUUUCCCUACCAGAAUAGAAUAAUUGGGGGUUAAAAAGAUCAGUCUUGAUAAGUUUGAGUCGACUGAGACAUCACGAAGUCUCCGUCGAUGUUAUAUCCAUGAGAACUUACAUUGAGAUUCGUGCAAAAUUUUCUUUUCAGUUUUUCUUUUUUUCCCCUUAAAUGUUAUGUCACUUGGAUCAGACUUGGGUUAAACAUCAGUCGACUAAGACCUAGCCACACCCUAAAAAGAUCAAAUAGAUUCCCUUGCCGUCGGUUGCCUUCCCCUACAUCCCGCAUUUCCGGGUUAGACUUGAUCAUGCUCUCUCCACACCACACCCCGUUCCACUCGUCUCCGUGUUGUCGGCAUCAUCCUCGCCAUGCGGCCAUGUCUUCUUAGCCAACCGAUCUCUGGAUAUAUGUGACCUUGGCCCCAAGAUCUCCCCAUCCCUCUCCUCCUCUCUUCCGCUUGUUGCAGCCCGCCGCUGUCUCGGAUCCUCUCCAUCUGGUCGUUUCACCGCGCCGGUGGUCCGAUGUCGUGAAACCUUCGUCUACCCGUACGUCCUGGUAGGCCCCGGUCUCAUCCUGAAGAUAGCAGCUUCUUCGUCGACUAUGGUCUACGUGGGGUGGAUGGCCGCCGCAUGAUCGGACGCUCCUUCAUCCACAUGCGCUACUUCGUGAUGAAUUUAUAAUAGGCUAUUAAAUAUGUAUUAAAUAUGUAUAUUUUUUGUAGGCCCAGGCUAUUAAAUAUGUAUUAAAUAUGUAUGUUUUUCUGUAGACCAGAGGCAGGGUUGGCCCAGAGGGUGUGGAAUUUAUAAUAGGCUAUUAAAUAUGUAUGUUUUUCUGUAGGCCCAGGGUGCAGACCAGUAAAAUGAAGGAGUCCCAGAGCGUAAUGGACUAUCUCACCUCAUGAAAUGGACACAGGCACGAGGAGACCUCUCCAACUCUGCUGCGACUAAUUCUCGCCUUAUGCGAGCCAACAACGACCUCUCACGCUGUAUAAACAGUGUUGGGUCGGCCCGUUGUAGCGCACGGACAUUGAAAAAUUGAGAAGAAAUGGAGCGCCCCCAGGAUUCGAACAACUCUGAUCACGCGGGAUAACAAGAGCAUUGCUAACCACUGCGCCAGCUUCAAGUUAUUGGUUAGUAGCCGGAUCACAGCAACUAGAGGUGAGAUAUUUCAAUUGUUGAGGCCAAUGCAAAAUGAUUUUUCUCAUGCAUUUUGCAUCACUGAUCUAUCUGUGCAUACUUUUCUUGUGUCCCCACAUUCAUGUUGAAACAUGAAUUGGAUAAAAGCAAAGAAGAAGCACAAGAGGGUGAUACGCAUGUGGCACACUAAAGUUAUGAUGACUAAUUGUUCAUAACAUUUAUCAGUGGCAUAUGUGAAAAAGGUUUUAUAAUGUACUUGCAUCUUAGAGAUAAUCAUGCUCUACGCACCUCAUUUUUUUCAUGCUCAUGCUUAUGCGUGUAUUACCAUUCAUUGAUGCACAUACGAAACCUUCUAUUUAAACCCACCAGUGAUUUCAUUUGCUACUUGGUUACAUGUUAAGAUAGGUAACUAGUACCAACUAUUUUUCUGCUUGGUUAUUCUAUUCGAUGUUUUUCUUUGUCUGUACUAGUACAUUAAUCCCAAUGUUGCUGUGAGAAGUUGGAGGAAACCAAAAUGCAAGCCAGCUGGUGACGAGCACCAUCACAUCCCCCACCUGCCACGGAUACGGGACAAAGGAGAGGUACAGUGAUGGAAGACUGACCUAUAGCAUUAAUUAAUGGCUAAUCAAGAAUUCCCACGGCAGCUUGUGGUGGGACGGGGAUACAUUGGCCUCGAGCACGGAUAUGAAAAAGAUGGAUGGUUAUGUGGCAUUCUAAUGAUUCCGCUGUACCCGGCGGAUCCUGUAAUGCUUUAUUAAUCUAUACUUCUAUACUUAUACUAAUUAGAAACUUUCAAGAAAAUCACAAGUUAAUUAAAAAAUACCAACCGUUCAUCUUUAUGGGGCCGAAUUAUUACGGUGUAGAUCAAUACGUAAAAUCCCAACGAAAAAACCACUUGAAAGGCCAAAAAUCAAUUUUUAGGGAAAAAAUCCUGAGAUCUCAUCUAAUCCCCCGUCUAAAAAACAUUGCAUCUAUCCUCACCCUUCCGAUCCUAAAAAUAACUAUUCCUCGCGCUAAGAUUCCAUGUAUCCCUCAAUCCUCUUCUAUGAGCGAAGGGCAUCUUCUUUCCAUAAUACUUAUCCACCAGGCUAGGGUUCAGGUUGCCUUCACUGUUGCUCCUAUAUAGCUGCCGUCUCUUGGGAACGCAAGUCCGAAUUUUGCUUAGUCUCUCCGGCGAAUCUCCAUGGAGCGACCUAGCUGGCAAGCGCUUUCGGCCGAGGGAAACAAACACGUACAACAGGUAAGCAGGUUGAUUUAUUCCUUCCGUGAAUACAUGUACAUACACAUGACGGUGACUUAUUGAAUAUGGGUAGAUGUGCACAAGGCAAGAUAUUAGGUACUUGCCCAGCCAGCUAUGGCAAGAUGCCAAAUUACACACGCUAUUUAAAGUUGCUAAUCUAAUGAAAAACAUAAGCACCAAUGUACAGUUUAAUCUCCGUAGCAGUUAAUGGAUGAAACUGGGUCUCACAUGUUACACUAUAUAUGUAUUCCCUCAUGGCUGUAUCAUUAUCCGACGAAUCUUUUCUUAGUUUAUUUCCAUGAUACUAAUUGAUGUGGAUGAUUUUGGGGCUAAAGUUACUAAGGGAAAAGUAAUAGAAGUGAAACACAUCUCAGAAUCAAAGUAUACAAUUAUAUUCAGAAAAGUAAUCUGUAACUUGCUAUACCUGGACAUAUAUACAUGUAAAUUGUGCAUGUUAUCUUCUAAUGAAAUAUAUAAUGAAAGAUAGAAGUAGAAUAUAAAUCCACAUACACUGGCAACUUCCGAAUUUAUAAAUCUGAGGUUGAGGCACCUUUGAUAAUUAUAUUUGGAUGGAACAAGUGAUAUAUUAUUGUUUUGUGUGGCUACUAUGUAAGAAAAAGUUAUGGAAACUGUGUUCUCUUUUUCUCCUUAAAUAGUACAUGCUUUUUUACAUUAUUCAUUUGAAUUCACAUGUGAUUGGGCCUUCGCAUUAUUCAUAUUUUAUAAAAAGCACGUAGUGUUUUUCUUAUAAUCUAUAAGGCAUAUAAAUAGUUCAGGCUUCAUUAGUAGUAUUCAAUUGUUUAAUCUAACUAGGCGCAAGCAAAAUAUGAUGCAUGGUGAUAUUAACAUAGUGGAAACACGUAAAUGACAUAGUUUUGAUACAAAUCAUUUCUUUCUACAUGUAGUUUAGUACUUUGUCUUCAUUAUAUUUCCAAAUGGAACUAUAUCGCCAUAUGGAGUACAAACCUUAUGCUCCCAAGCUUCACAUAGCCAAAACACUCAAAGGAAAAUCCUAUUUUUUUCUUACAUGUAAACGUCUGCACAAACAUUUGACUACAAAAUAUCUGCAUUUGCAUCUUACGUAAAAAGGGUCAUGUGUGGAUCUAAAAAUAGCAAAUAGUAGUACAUAAAAUAUGAUACCUUCAUUUGAAUUUCUAUUAAAAUAACAAGUAGUAGUACACUUCUGCAUGUACAUUUUCUUCUCAAACUUCAGAGUGCAUUUUAGUUAUUUUUAUAACACAACUCAAAGGAGACAUACAUGAUAAUAUCUUAUUAGUGUCACUAGGUUUUAGACAUGAUAGAACAUAUUGCACACAAUUAAGGAAAUGAGAGGGUACAACAAUUUUUCAUGAUGGGAGUAUGUUGAUCCUACUUAGUGUUAGGUAUGAUACAAUUUUUUCCUAGAUACUUAUUUAUUAUAAUGUAUACGUUGUUGUGUACAUCCAACGUCCAAAAAUAAGUGUUGCUGAUUUAGUAGAACGUAUGACACUUAUUUUGGAUGGAGGGAGUACUAUUUUUCCUUUCAUUAAUAGUCCAAGUACAGAUCAGUGUAACAUAAUUGAUUUUUUUUACAAAUAUCCCUUAAUUUUCUUCAAGAAUUGUAUCAUUACUAUUACACGGUAACCGAUGUGCGUUGCUGCAUGUUAUUAGUACCAAUUAUUCAAAAAUGUUGUUUUAACAAUCUAAAAAAAUAAAAAAAAUAAUUAAACGCAAGGAAUAUUAAUAGAAGUUCAAUGAUUUGGUUAAAGAGACUAUCCCGUGCGUCUACGCACGGGUUUACGACUAGUAUCCUAGUGGAUCCUAUCAACUAUAUACGGGGGCAAAUGUCCUAGCUAAUUUGUUGUCAUGUGAGAUAUAAUUUCAUUUUCUUUCAUAUUAUAUAUUAUUUAUUAUUAUUCUGCCCCGUAUAUAGUAGAGCAUGCAUUCGUAAAGCAUACGUGUGCGCAAACUAGAAGAACUAUCAAUUUAACAUGGAAUGAAACUGAAAACAUUGAGAAAGAAAAGGCUUCAUAGAUGCCACACAAGAUAUAUAUGAUGUGCACCAAUAAGUCAGCUUGCCACCAAGUGUGCUAUAUUACGUUUAGAAAUCCACAGUAGUUAAGCAAGAUCAGGUAUUCUGAUUCUUUGCACAUUCAAACAGUAGAACUAAUUACCCAGACACAAGCCUCCAAUGUACAAGUUGUCAACCAAAUAAUGCCACUCAAUAUAAAAAAAAUAUAGUAGAUUCAGUUGUCGCCGGAAGUUCAUCGUAUCAGAACAUAUAUGAGUUACAGUAGAUAGCUAGGUGACCAGCACCAUCAGCCGUCAAUUGGGAUCAUCGGCUACAAGGUCUGGCACAGAAACAAAUAAAACAAUUGUGGGAACCGAAGAACUUACGUGGAGAUUGAGCCCGAGGAAGGAAUCGUAGAGGAAGUAAACUAGGGAAUCGACGCCGAUGUCGCAGCCACAUUACUGCCGUCCUGCCGGCGCCAAAGUUGACACUGAUUAGAGCCAACAUCCAAUGUGUCGAGCCGAUACCAGGGGCGGCCAGGCCUACUGCCGCACCAGCAUUGCGGGAGGCCUGUUGGGUAAUCCAAACAUUACGUGAGUUGUUCUUGGUAAGUAUUGGAGUCUUUCAUGUUGAGUCAUUAGUGUGUCUCGGUAAGAAGACGAAGGCCAGCGUAAAGAUAGAUGCGCACCAGUUAAGUUGAGUUCCUGCAUGAGAGGUUAUGUGUUUAGUCUGCAUGUAGCACGCUAAGAUGUGACGACGUGGACUGGUAAUCAAAGUUAUAUGUUGGUUUCAAGUCAACCAGUUAAAAGUUUGAAUUAGGGGAUGAAUGUUGGGUAAUCCAAACAUUACGUGAGUUGUUCUUGGUAAGUAUUGGAGUCUUUCAUGGUGAGUCAUUAGUGUGUCUCGGUAAGAAGACGAAGGCCAGCGUGAAGAUGGAUGUGCACCAGUUAAGUCGAGUUCCUGCAUGAGUGACUAUGUGUUUAGUCUACAUGUAGCACGCUAAGAUGUGACGGCGUGGACUGGUAAUCCAGGAUGUGUUGGUUCCAAGUCAACAAGUCGAUGUUUAGAUUAGAGGGUGAAUGUUGGAGUAAUCUAAACAUGUGAUAGUUGUGUCGAGUUAGAAUCAAUAGUGUAAUCAGCGUUGCCGGUGAUUAAAUUAGGUAAGUUGAGUUAGUACUAGUUGAAGCAGCCUGUGCUACGUGUGUGUCAGCUAGCCUAGUCCAAACCGGAUUGAUGUGUUUCCAUGUUAGUUUCGGUUGGAAUAGCUAGUCGUAAUAUUUAGGUGUUGUGUGUGCCCGAGUCAGCUAUGUAUUAGCAAUCCGUGUAGUGCUAGGAUAUACAGUACGAGUAGGAUUAGAUUUGUGCUAGUCGAUAAGAGAUGUGUUGUGCAUAUAUAUAUAUAUAUAUAUAUAUGCAUCGGGUCGUGUAUCGAGUUGUACCAGAAAAACGAGAAAAGCAAUAAACACUAGUAGAAAACAAGGCAUUGAGCCAACCACAUUUGACCCGGAUUGGAUAUAAACCCGUUCUAAAGGGUCUGUCCGCUGGGCCCCCUCCCUGCAGCAAAUGGCCGGAAGGCCUUUAGGACCGGUUUGUAACACAAACCGGUCCUAAAGGUUUUUGGACCGUUUGCUGCAGGGAGGGGGGCCCAGUGGACAGACCCUUUAGAACCGGCUUGUAUCACAAACCGGUUCUAAAGGUUUUCUCAUUUUUGCAGCAACUGCAAGGCCCCGCUGUCAGACCCUUUAGCACCGGUUUUUGACACAAACCGGUCCUAAAGCCCUCCUCUCCUUCCUCCCUGAGCACCCUAUAUUCCACCCCAUUUUUUCUAGCUCGAGCUCAACUCCAUUUUUGCUCUCUCCUUCCUCUUGGGAGCUCUAAUCCAUCCCCAUUUUUCUCCAUCAUUUGUCAAGAUUGUUGGCACCCAUCGGUCCUGCGGUUAGCAUCAACAUUCCCUCUUCCGGCAUUGCAAGUUUUGCUCGUUUUCUUGCUCAUUUCAUUUUUGUUGUGCUAGCUAGGUGUUUGAUGAAAUGCCUAAGCUAGAGAGAGUUCAUCAUUUGUUAUGUAUACAUAUGCAAUUUGAGCUCAAAUUUAAUUAUGAUUUGUGGUUUUUUUAGUGUCGCGCGCCUUGUCCCCUUCCUCACCGCCGUCUAUCGCCCCGUCACCGACACAACCUUGGUGAGCCUAUUGUUUUUAUUUACCAAAACAAAUUUUGAUUUGUAUGAUUUACAUAUUUACUUGUAUAUAAUUUUCUUAUUGUGUAAGAUUUUUUUUAUAUGUAUAGCGCCAUGGUUUUGAUAUCCGUCCACGUUGGUCCUCGUCCAGUCUAUGAUUCGGAUGUGGUAUAUUAUCUUUUAUAACUACAUAUUUUCAUUUCCUGAUUAUAUGACAAUUAAUUACGCCGACCAACUUGACAUAGAUAUUUUUAUCUAGGAGGUAGUGGAACCGGAAAUGCCAAUCGACCCUAUUGGUGAGAAGUUACACUUAGUUGAACAAGAAAAUGUUGGCCUGAAAGAAAGAUUGAAAAAAACUGAAGAAAGGUUGGAAAAAACUGAAAGAGAGAAGAUGACCUUGGAAAAGGUUCUUGCCGGUGUCGUCGAUGGUCACAAGAGCGAGAUGGACGCAAUGCGUCUGAAGAUUAGAAAGAUUAGAAAAUAUGCAAUUAGUAAAGAGGCUUGGUAUCAUUAUGCCGUCGGGUCAAUUGUUACCUUUGUUGCGAUUUUGAUCGCAUUUGUUGUUGUUUUUAAAUGUAUUAAUUAGAGAGAGUUUUUAUGGUUGGUUUUAGUAUGUGUUUUUAUGAGAACUAUAUAUGUAUGGUCACUACGCUACUUUGGUUUUAACGUGUGAUGAACUUUUUGUAUUAAUUAAUUAAUUUAGUCAUGAUGAUUUAGCAUAAUGGUUUUUGAUAAAUUUAUAUAAUGCAGAUGAACCGGCAAUGGAUGUACAGUGAUCGACGUCGUCCCGAAUUCCUUAAUGGCAUGCAUAGUUUUCUCAAUGUGGCUGAGAAAAACAGGCAGAAUGGAUUUAUUUUUUGUCCAUGUAAAAAAUGCCAGAAUAAGAGGAAUUUCCCUAACUCAAGAACCAUACACACCCACCUGUUGCAAGAAGGCUUCAUGCCCAGUUAUUUUUGUUGGACCAAGCACGGAGAAAGAGGGGUUGUAAUGGAAGACAAUGAAGAAGAAGAGGAUAAUGAUAACUAUCCUAUGUUCGGUGAACACGGUGAUACUGAAAUGGGGGAAGACGAGCCUGAACUUGAGGACAUUGUUGAUGAGUCUGAUGAUGAUCUUCGUCAGGUCAUUCGUGAAGAACAGAUAAACUGCGGAAGUGAAAACGAGAGGUUGAAGUUGGAGCGCAUGUUAGAAGAUCACAAAAAAUUGUUGUACCCAAAUUGCGAAGAUGGCCAGAAAAAGCUGGGCACCACCCUGGAAUUGCUGCAAUGGAAGGCAGAGAAUGGAAUAUCUGACAAGGGAUUUGAAAAGCUGCUGAAAAUAUCUGACAAGGGACAAGAAGAUGCUUCCAAGAGAUAACGUGCUGCCCUGCAGUACGUACGAAGCAAAGAAGGUUGUCUGCCCUCUAGGAUUGGAAGUGCAUAAGAUACAUGCAUGCAUCAAUGACUGCAUCCUCUACCGCGGUCAGCACGAGAAUUUAAAUGCCUGCAACUUGUUGGCCAAGCAACCAUCUUCGACUGUAUUGACCUUUAAAGGGUACGAGAUAAAUGGUAACACAUUUUACACGGCAGACCAAGAUAAAAAGAGCACCAACCAAAACAGUGGCGUCCGGUUUGAUGCAAAAGACGACAACGGGCAAAGGGUCACAUACUAUGGUUACAUAGAGCGGAUAUGGGAACUUGACUACGGACCUUCCUUUAAGGUCCCUUUGUUCUGGUGCAAAUGGUUCAACCUGUCAGGCGUGAAGGUAGACCCGAAGUACAGAAUGACAACAGUGGAUCAGAAGAAUCUUGGGUACGGCAAUGAUCAAUUCGUCCUAGCCAAUGAUGUGGCUCAGGUUUUCUAUGUGAAGGACAUGUCUACCAGACCAAGAAAAAGAAAAGAUAAGGAAGCGAAUACAUCAGACGAUGAGCCAAGGCGCCACAUAGUUCUUUCAGGGAAAAGAAACAUCGUGGGAGUCGAGGACAAGACAGACAUGUUAGAAGAUUACAAUAAAUUUGAUGAAAUUCCUCCCUUCAAAGUCAAAGAUGAUCCAAGCAUCCCGUUAAAUGAUGAAGAUAGUCCAUGGUUACGGCGCAAUCAGAAGAAAGGCAAGAAGAAAAAUAGAAAGGGGGUGUUGUUGGUGAUGUGUAAUAUGUAUUAAACCUUUUAUGUAAUUGUGUUGACCAUUUUGAUAAAUAUUAAAAAUUUGACCAGUUUCCACAAAAUUUGAUCAUUUUGAUAAAUAUCAUUUUUAUUUUUUAAGUGUAAAAAUGACAUUUUGACAAUUCGUAAAUAAAUGUAAAAAAAACAGAAAAGGGAAACAAAAAAAUAAAAUAAAAGAAGAAACAGAAAAAAGAAAAAAGAAACAAAAAGAAAAAGAAAACAGGAAACAGAAAAAAGGAAAAAAGAAAAAUAAAAGAAGAAACAGGAAAAAGAAAAAGGAAACAAAAAGAAAAGAAACAGGAAACAGAAAAAGGAAAAAGAAAAUAAAAGAAGAAACAGGAAAAGAAAAGGAAACAAAAGAAAAGAAACAGGAAACAGAAAAAGAAAAAAGAAAAGGAAAAAACCUUUAGGACCGGUUUGUAACAACAACCGGUCCUAAAGGGUCUUUAGCACCGGUUGUUAACACAGACCGGUGCUAAAGGGUCUAUACCUCUACGGGGUCGCCAACUUCUCGCCUUCCCGCGCGUGCCUUCUCUCCUCGUCGCCUCUCUCCUCGCCGACUCGGCCUCUCUCCUCGCCGCCUCGCCGCGCCGUCGCCUCCUCGCNGCGCGCGCCGCCGCCGCCUCCUCGCGUCGCCUCGCCGGCCGACGAUCCUCGCCGCCUCCUCGCCGCGCCGUCGCCUCCUCGCCGCGCCGUCGCCUCCUCGCCGAUCCUCGCCGCCUCCUCGCGCGCGGCCUCCUCGCGCCACUCCUCGCCGAUCCUCGCGCCGCCUCCUCGCCGCCUCUUCGCCGCGCCGUCGCCUCCUCGACGCCUCCUCGCGACGCCUCCUCGCCGCCUCCUCGCGCGCCGCCCCACGCCGCCUCCUCGCCGCCCCACUUCGUCUUCUUCACGUAAGGUAUAUCCAUGCAUAUUUUCGUAUAUCCAUAUUGUUGUAUGCUUGUAAUUAUAACCGUCGAUAUUAGUUUUUUCCGACCCGAAUAGGACAUCCUAUAAAAAAAAGUUACGUGAAGCCGCCUUCAUCAUAUUCCGACGAUUCCGUAAAACCCUAAACCGACGAUUCCGACGAUUCAUAGUUUACCCUAAACCGACGAUUCCGACGAUUCCGUAAAACCCUAAACCGACGAUUCCGACGAUUCCGACGAUUCAUAGUUUACCCUAAACCGACGAUUCCGUAAAACCCUAAACCGACGAUUCCGACGAUUUCGUAAAACUUUCCGACGAUUACAAUUCCGUAAAACUUUCCUACGAUUCCGACGAUUCCAUAACUGCGGGGAAAGUUUCUGACGAUUCCGACGAUUCCGUAAAACCCUAAACCGACGAUUCCGACGAUUCCGACGAUUCAUAGUUUACCCUAAACCGACGAUUCCGUAAAACCCUAAACCAACGAUUCCGACGAUUUCGUAAAACUUUCCGACGAUUACAAUUCCGUAAAACUUUCCUACGAUUCCGACGAUUCCAUAACUGCGGGGAAAGUUUCCGACGAUUCCGACGAUUCCGUAAAACUUUCCGACGAUUACAAUUCUGUAAAACUUUCCUACGAUUCCGACGAUUCCAUAACUGCGGGGAAAGUUUCCGACGAUUCCGACGAUUCCGUAAAACUUUCCGACGAUUCCGUAAAACUUUGCGACGAUUACGACUCCGACGAUUCCGUAAAACUUUUCCGUAAAAUUUCCGGUUCCGUAAAUAAUUUUGCUAAGUUAAAUUCUUGUUACUAGCAGGUGUUGAGCUAUAGAUCCCCAAGAACCACAUGAUCAGCACGCCGAUCAGCUCGCGGAAAUGGGUGAGGCGGAGAAGGAAAGAUACAUGUGCCAGAUGAUUUUUGAAGAUGCAACGGCCAUAUAUCAUGAUGACGACGGUGGGCAUGCGUUUAGCAAUCAAUUUUUGAACGACUCCAGUGGCGGAGCUGAGAAUAUAGAAGAUGUAGUAGAUGAAGAAGUGCCCUCCGGAACAAACUCUGCCAAUGUAUAUCUCAAGUCACUGUUGACGCAACAAUUAAUUUGUAUUGCACUUAAUAACGAAUCAUUAUUUUCCCGUUUAGGUGCCCUCCGGAACACCUAGCGCAAGUACUGAGACAAAGUCGAAACGAGGCCCGGCCGCAAGGUUGAAAGAUACUGCAAGGUACUCGAUCGAUAAAGUUGCUGCUGAUGGCAAACCACUGGAACCCUCAGAAACUUAUCGCAAAUUUGUAAAUCAGUGCGGAGUUGUUGUAAGAGACCUGGUCCCGAUCAACUUAAUAGAAUGGAAUAAGCCGAAGACCGGCGCCAACGUUGGAGCUACUUAUGUCGAUGACAGAUUGAAAAGAGUGCUUUGCGACACGGUCUGGCUAAAUUUCAGCGUAGCGGAAGAUAAGAAGAAGAAAGUCGAGGAGUGAGCUUUGAAGAAGAUGGCCACACAAUUCCAGAGGUGGAAGAAAGACUUGUGGAAGAAAUAUAAGGACGAAGAUCCAGUUUUCACUGGGCACCUAGUGAAGAUAAGAGACGCUUGGCCUGAUUUUAAGGCGUACAAGAAAUCGGGUGUCUUCACAUCCCGAUCAGCCACAAAUACGGAGAAUGCGAAGAAGAAGAAAUAUCACCAUAUUUUGGGGUCAGGUGGCUACAUGACUGCCCUGCCUAGGUGGCGACGAUAUGAAGAUGCGCUUCUGAAAAGAAAUAUCAUUCCACAGACACAUGACUGGCCCGAUAGGUCCAAGUUCUGGUUGUUCGCGCAUGGGGCAACGUUGGACGCUGAGACUGGAAUGAUUGUUGCGGAGGGACCAUGGUCGGAAAAAAUAAGACAAGUCGUAUCAGAUCUAGAGAAGGCAAUAGAAGCUGUUCGAAAAGGAACUUUUGUUCCCGAUAGAGAGAACGACGAGUUGACGAAGGCACUCGGGAACCCCGAAAAGUGGGGACGAACACGAGGCUUUGGAGCCACUACCCCGUGGAACCAAGGGUUUCCGGCGGACCUUGGCACUUACAGAAGCCAUGGUAGAAGCAAGAGAAAGGCGCUGGAACGGAUAGCGACAUUAGAAGAAAAGGUGUCGUUUCUCUUGAAGAAAGGGGGACACCCUGUACCUGACACUGAAGAGGAGGAAGAAGAUCCUGCACCUGACGCUGAUAGGCAGCAAUUAGAAGACGAUCCUGUAGCAGAUGCCGUCCCAUCUCAGCAUAGAAGUAGCGUGGGUUCCACGCAGCUGCAGCUAGAAGACGGUCCUGCAGUCGAACCGUCGGCGCCUCACUACCCCGUGGAUGAUGUCACGGAGAAGACAAACUGUGAGAUACAUAUGCCAAUGGGGAACAUAUCCUUCAUGGUGGCGUCAGGCUAUGCUUUACCGAAUCAACCUGGAGCAACCUACCAUGGUUGUCAGAUUCCAGCAUCCCAUGCUCGUGUCGGGUUGUCAACAAUUACGCCGGGAUGCCAGUCAAUUGAGCUUGAUAUUCCUGGAGGUGAAGGCGAGAAGACACUGGGAGAAAUGGAGCUUGGUAUCAUCUUGUGGAAGAAGAAACACAUCGUGUUUCCUAACGCGGCGCCAAGGCCACCGACUCCUCCAGGUACAAUUAUGCACCACCUCCAACAAUUACUGAAUGUUGCACCACAUGUAAGCCUAAUUUUAAUAGUUUUUUCACUUUCGUACAGAGAAUGCACGACCUCCAAGUCCACCCCCCAACGCACCUCCAAGUCCACCCCACAACGAAGAUAGGGAGCCCGAGGCCGAGUGUCCAUCGCCUGUGCACUCCAGUGAGCUGACGGAUGCGCGCACUACGGGUACGGCAAAGCGGAAGCUGCAGUUCAGAAGAAACGGGACUCCUCCCAAGAAGAGAGAAAGGAAACCCAAUAAAGUCAAGACUCCCCCGAAGUUACCAGGCCUGAUGACUCCGGAGGAACUAGACGAGGCCUUGGAAGCCAAAAACAAAGCAUGGUUCGCACGGUUUCCCCUGAAGCCCCCUCCAGACAUCUGGAAGGAAACUCUGAAGAACGUACCAAAGUGGAAAAUUGAGCGCACCAUCGACAACUUAUAUUAUCCUGAACCGCCGCCACCGCCGCCCCUUUCAGACUAUGAACGGUUCAUUGAAAAGAUGCACACCGCACAGAUGAAGCAGGCGGAGCAGAUGAAGCAGGCGGAGCAGACGAAAUGCGGGAAACAAGUUCCCCAGCUCGGACAACAAGAAGCACAGUCAAUUGCCCCGCUCAAGGUGUUAUCUGACCAGGCUUCAGUGUCCGGUCCACGCAUGGGCGACGUAGGUUACGCUAUUGCUGAUGUGGUAUAUAAAUAUAAGCCCGAGCAGCCUCUGGUCGAAAAUCCUAGUGCUCUAACAACCCAACUAUGGAAUUUACAUGGUUGGUACUUGGAGGCCGCAAGGCAAAAGAGAGACUGUAUCAUGGCGGCAGUUCAGGAUCAACACUACUUCGGAGAGUACGGUGUGGAGGUUGGGUUCGAUGAUUUUUUCCAGAUGUACAAUCAACGUGCCCUCGACAAAGCUAUCGUCAGCUGCUACUGUUUGUAAGUGUUUUAUUUGUGUAAUUUAAUUAUUUAGUUAAGCUCGCGUUCAUUGCCCGUAUAAUUAUCACCCACGAGACAUUCUUUUUGUACGCUACUAUGCAGAAUGAAGAUUCGUGAAUGCAGGCUGGCAGGAAUCUGGGACUUUGGGUUCAUUGACCCGUAUUCGUUUCAUCAAGAGACAAUAGAAAAGUUCAACAAGGAUACACCGGAUGAUUUGCUAAGGUUUUUGAAGCGACAAAGUACCAAAAAAGAAAUACUUUGGCCCUACGGAUUCAAGUGAGUGUUACUGUCUUGUACACAUUCCAUUUUGCUUACCUGAUGUUAAGUGUAAUUGAUGAGUAUGCAUGACUGCGUGUGUACACGUGCGCAGGUCCCACUUCAUAUUGUUCAUCAUUAGAAUCGAUCAAGGAGUGGUUGAAGUCUGGGACCCGUUAACCUGGGACGCUGACAAAUGGAAGAGCGCGCGUCAGAUGCUUCAAAGGUAUAUAUAUAUCGGCCUCUUUCGUUCAUCGGCCUCUUUUUCGUUCAUUUCCUGAUAUCAAGUAAGUAAUAAUUAACUCUUGUAUUCAUUUUUCUUUGUCGGCCAGGGUUUGGCAAAUGUUCAUCAAGGAAGAACCCGGUACAUGGGCAGACAAGCUCCACUUUCAGAUUAACAAAGUAAGUAGUACUACGUACCCUGGUUUCAAUACCAUUACCAUUCUCUUGAUUAUUAUUAAUUUGAUUGAAUUAUGUUCUCGUAUAUAGGGCGUCCCGCAACAACCACAGGGCACUGAUUAUUGUGGAUACUACGUUUGCGAGUACAUUCACAGGAUUAUCAAUGAGAAAUCCCGUACUUCCAGAAAUCUAGAGGUACGUAACCGGAUCUUCACAACUUUAUUUAUGUUGCCAUCAAUUAUGUUAGUUUUGUUCAUAACUUAAUUGUUUUCAUCUACUUCUUUAUUUAUGUUGCCAUCGAUUAAUUGAACUAAUUGUCAUGAACAUAGUCUAAUGGUCUUUGCGAAUUACGAUGUAGCUUGCGCUAUAGCUCUACUGUUUUUAUAUGUUCCUAGAGAAAAUUUAGUUGAAAGUUGAUAGUAGCAAACUUUGCAGACUAAGUCUGUAAAACCGAGGAUUGUCCUCAUUGCUGCACAGAAGGCUUAUGUCCUUAAUGCACCACUCGGUGUGCUGCACCUCGAGCGUCGUCUGUGGAUGCUAUGAACAUCCGACAUACACGUUUCUGAUGACUACACGAUAGUUCAGUACAAAAAUACUUAAUGGCUUAGAAGCAAGGCGCCGAAAACGUUGUAAAACGUCACGGAACAUAAGUGAUGUUCUAAAGAGAUGAAAUUGUGAUUUCAUGCUUGUGCCCUUGUUAAGAGGUACGAGACCUCCGACAAGAUUCUUUGUCCGCAAAGUAAAGGAGAAAGGCUCAAUCGUUGAGCAUGUGCUCAAAUUGUCUGAGUACGACAAUCGCUUGAAUCAAGUGGGAGUUAAUCUUCCAGAUGAGAUAGUGAUAGUUCUCCAAAGUCACUGCCACCAAGCUGUAAGAGCUUUGUGAUGAACUAUAACAUAUCAAGGAUACAUACAAUGAUCCUUGAGCGAUUCGCGAUGUUUGACACUGCGAAAGUAGAAAUCAAGAAGGAGCAUCAAUAGUUGAUGGUUUGUAAAACCACUAAGUUUCAAGAAAGGCAAGGGCUAGAAGGGAUACUUCGUGAAACGGCAAAACAGUUGCUGCACUAAUGAAGAGACCCAAGAUUAAACCCAAACCCAAGACUAAGUGCUUCUGUAAUGAGGGGAACAGUCACUGAGGCGGAGCAACUCUAGAUAGUUGGUAGAUAAGAAGGCUGGCAAAAGUCGAAAGAAGUGUAUUUGAUAUACAUGAUGUUGAUGUGUACUUUACUAGUACUCCUAGUAGCAUGAGGGUAUUGGAUACCGGUUCGGUUGCUAAGUGAUUAGUAACACGAAAUGUAAGCUACGACAUAAACGGAGACUAGCUAAAUGCGAGAUGACUAGCUAAAAACGGAACACGGACACACGGAAUCGGAAACACGGAAUCGGAAAGACGUAAACGGAAAUACGGAACCGGAAACACGUAAACGAAAACGCUGAAAAUACGGAACACGGAAACACCGAAAUACGGAAUUGGAAACCCUGAAAAGAAAAAGGAAAAAAAAGAAAAAAAAAAGCAUUAGGACCGGUUGGUGUUACCAACCGGUCCUAAAGGCCCUCCGCCUGCGCGCACUCUUCGGCGUCCACGUGGAGGCCUUUAGCACCGGUUUGUAAGAGACCGGUUCUAAAGGGGGGGGCAUUUAGUCCCGGAUACGUAGCACCGGAUGUGUAUCCGGGUCCAAAGGCCCUUACCAACCGGUUCUAAUACCCCUUUCUCCACUAGUGAAAGAGAUAUCUACGAGGCACGACACGUGCCUCUGGCCAUCUUCGUAUUGCUGCGUUCGCGUGCGUGUGUUCUGGUCCCGGUGUUUGCGUGAGCACCGGUGAGAUAUCGAGUACUACAGCUAGUUCGUAUAUGUUGAACCGAGUUGCACGUACAUGACUAGUCGAGCUGCAGGGUGAUCGUGUGUUCGAUCCUCGGGGCGAAAAGCCAACAAGGCCAGCAUUGUUCCGAGCCUGAUUGGACAGACGCUGAGGAGACCAGAGGCGGUCGUGAAAGGAAGAUAGGUGGAGAAAGAAGCAGUGGACCAUCAGGUAUUGCAGGAGAGCUGAGAGGGACCGGUGGAGAAGAGGAGCAUUUGCCACCGGGGGUGGCUGUGGAGCGUCAUGGUGGUGGCAGGGGAACUACGGUAGACACUGGGUGAAAUAUCUACAACUGGGAGGCGGCGGUCGAUAUUAGCCAGGACGGCGACGGUAGUGAUGCAGACAGCUGAGUCGUGCGACAGAAAGGGAAUCGAGAUGAGUGGUUCGUGCGCGUGAGUGAGAGAGUGGUGGUGGUGUGGGACUCACCUAACCGAGCUGGGCUGGUGAACUUUGGGUAAAUAACCAAUUUUCCCUAUCAGAAUAGAAUAGCUAGGGGUUAAAAUGAUCAUUCUUUGCUAUGUUUUAGUCGACUAAGACUUAACGAGGUCUCAAUCGAUGCUAUAUCCGUAAGAUCUUACAUAGAGAUUCGUACAAAAAAAUUGUCUUAGUUGUUUUUCUUGUUUUCUCUUUCAUGUUAUGUCACUUGAGUGGGACUUGAUUAAAUAUCAGUCGACUGAGACCAAGCGCCAUUCUAAAAAGAUCAAAGAGAUUACCCCUGUCGCCGGUCGCCAUCCCCUACCUCCCGCCUUUUCUGGGUUGGACUUGGUCAUGGUCUGUCCACACCACACCCUGUUCCCUCGUCUCCAUGCCGUCAGCCUCAUCCUUGUCGCGCGGCAUUGUCUGCUUCAAAACCGAUCUCUGGAUCUUGACCCCAAGACCUCCCUGUCCCUCUACUCUUCUCUUCAGCUUGCUGCCGCCCGCCGUUGUCUCAGAUCCUCUGCCAGUUGCUGUCCCAUCGUGUCGGUGGUUUGACAACGGGAAGCCUCCGUCCAGCCGUACGUCCUAGUAGGCCCCGAUCUCGUCCUCAAGAAGUCAUUUGCUUCGUCGACCGUGAUCUACGAGGGGUGGAUGGUCUCCGCACGAUCGGGCGCUCCUUCAUCCACAUGCGCUAAUCUGUGCUCAAGACCAGGGGUGGAGCUGGGCCCAGGCACAUAGGGACUAGGACAGGGGCAUGGAAUUUAUACUAGGCUAUUGAAUAUGUAUGUUUUUCUGCAAGCCCAGGGAGUAGACCAAUAAAAUGAAGGAGGCCUAGAGCGUCAUGGGCUAUUUCACCUCAUGAAACACAUGCAUGCAAGAGGAGACCCCCAGUUUCGUGGCGACUAUUUCUCGCCUUACCCUCUGUCCACACCACACCUUGUUCCCCCCAUCUCCAUGCCACCAGCCUCAUCCUCGUCACGGGGCCUUGUCUACCUCGCCAACCGAUCUUUGGAUCUAUGUGACCUUAGCUCCAAACGUCCCUCUCCUCUUAUCUUUCGCUUACUACCGCUCGAUGUUGUCUCAGAUCCUCUGCGUGCGGCCGCCCCACCAUGCUGGUGCCCCAAUGACGUGAAGCCUUCGUCCAGCCAUACAACCUGGUAGGCCUUGACAUCCCUCGUGGGUGCGUUGGUUUUCCUCCAAGCUUAAAGGAUGAUGUAGCACAGCGACGGCAAGUAUUUUCCUCAGAUAAGAAACCAAGGUAUCAAUCUAGUAGGAAGAUCCACAAGACUAUGUAAGCAACACCUGCACACAAAUGACAAAUUCUCGCAACCUAACGCGUAGAGGGGUUGUCAGUCCCUCGUGGGUAAAGUAAAGAUAGAUUUAUAGAUGCAAAUAUGAGUGAUAGAAAAUAGAUCGCAAAAAGCUAUUUUUGCAAAAAAAAAAUGAUAAUAUAGAUCUGAAAACAAAAGGGCAAAUAAAGUAUAAAAGUAAACAGCAAAGUAGAGGUUGCAAAUAGAUGUUGUGAAGUUGACCCGGGGGGCAUAGGUUUAACCAGUGACUUUCUCUCGAGAAAAAUAGCAAGUGGUGGGUAGACAAAUUACUGUUGGUCAAUUGAUAGAAAACCAAAUAAUUAUGACGAUAUUCAUGACAAUGAUCAUGUAUAUAGGCGUCACGUCCAAAAUAAGUAGUUCGACUUCUGCAUGCAUCUACUUGUAUUACUCCAUACAUCGACCGCUAUCCAGCAUGCAUCUAGUGUAUUGAGUUCAUGGAGAAACAAAGUAAUGGCUUAAGAACGAUGACAUGAUGUAGACAAGAUAUAUUCAUGUAGGAAUAGUCCGCAUUUUUUUAUCCUUAAUGGCAACGAUACAUGCGUGACAUCACUAUCAGGAAACAGGGCUUUAGUCCUGGUUGGUAAGUGCCUUUAGUCCCGGUUCACCAACCGGGAGUAAUAACUUGGGACUAAAGCCCCCCCCCCCUUUAGUCGCGGUUUGCAAUGACCCGGGACUAAUUCCCUUCCACGUGACUGGCAGAGCAUGCCGGAGGUGGGGACCUUUAGUCCCGGUUGGUAACACCAACCGGGAUUAAAGACUUCGGGGAUUUGGGAUUUUGGUGUUUAUUGUUUAUUUUUGCUUUUCAUUUUCUGUUUUCCAUUUAAUUCUUUUUCAUUUCAAACAUAUCUUAUGCUACUACAUACCAUAUACGUUAUGCAUAUAUCAUAGGAUUUCUCGUAGGACCAAUUAUAUAUCAUAGAAUUUUUCGUACGACUAUAUAUAUAUGGAUAUACAAUUUCUCCUAUAACUUGCAGAUCAUUACGUGCAUGCAUUAAUUGGUGUAGUGGUAUUCUCCGUCGGGAUCUAUGACCUGCUCAAGCAAAAAUCCUGCAAUUUCCUCUUGAAGAUGCGUUCCUUUGGUAGGAGCCUAUCCCGCAUCCCCUUCAACUUUAAAGAAAGAGACUAAUAUGAAUAUAUUAGUUGUGUAUAUCUAUAUUAGACCAUGAUAAAAAAUUGUGAAUAGUGUUUACAUACCCAAAGAGUUCUUGCAUGUGGGUGUCGUUCGGUCAUAAAGCGGAUGUUCUCGCAAACAUAGUAUGCACAUAGAUUAGUCCCCUGUUCCUGCAGCAUGCACACUUUACGAGAAUAGAAUCCAGUCAGAUAAUAAUCAAGCAUUAUAAUGGUAUUGAAACUAGAACUAAAUAGAUGUGCGGACGUAGCUAGUACUGCUUAAUUACCUUGGGUCGUACCAUGUUAGCUUUAAUUUCCAUUCACCGCUAACCUCCUCGAUGAACCGUGUCCGAACUCUGUCAAGCGUCAACUUCAGGUCCAUGUACUCUUUAGGAUCUUUUUUCAGUCAGUCUAUUACUUCAACUUUUGCCUCGUCAACCUUAAUGAUUAGUAGGAUCCAACGGAAACUGCGUUGUAUAAGCGGACAUGCAUAAUUCAUCAAGUACUACGUACACAUAAAAUCGAGUAAGCAAAAAAGAAUUUAUGGUACAAGACAGUAACACUCACCUAACGUUGUAAAGAAAUACUAUUUCUGAUUGGGUAUUUAGUACCUCCAAAAACCUGUACAAGUUCUCCUUUAUUUCAUCUUUAUGCUUUAUUAACAUCUGAUCAAUAAUGAUAUUUGGAUCAAUGAAGCCAAUGCCAAAGACUUCAUCUCUUUGCAUAACACCACACAACAGAAUAUAAUGAGGAUAAUUAGAGGCAAAUAAAUGAAAUAAAUGGGGUAAUAGUUGUGUGUAUUUAGAGAAAUUUUCGUUUGAUCUUUUAUUAGUAGUAUAGAAAUAUUUAUUAAGCGAUAAAGAAGACUAUAGUUUUACAUUGAGACCCUAUUUUAGAGUUUGGCAUAGGGCCCUUGAUUUUGCCGGCCCGGCCCUGCAUCUAAGAUCCCAUGAAAAAAACAUAUACAAGUCAAAAUAUAUUAAAAUAUAUUACACACAUUAUCACCAAUAAAUCAAACUUUUGCUGCAGCAAUUCGGUAGGCUGGGGUAUUAUAUGUGGCCCCUAGCCUUGCUGCGAAAUAACAGGUGGUGUCCGCGAGCUCUAUUGUCUUGAAGUUGAGCUUGUUUUGUAAUUUACAUUUAAUUAACAAUUGCCCCGUUUAAUCUCUACCAUGUUGAGUUCAAGUCAGGAAGUAAGCGCUCGUUCAGUCAUUUGUCUAGCUUCACUUGUACAACCAUUCAAAAAAUAGAUCUUCGGCAUUGUGGCCGGCUGUGCCUUGGGUGAUAUGCCCACGCACACGUAAGCAAUAAAGCUUUGCUUUCCCUAAAAAAAAAGUCAUGAGCUAAGCACUCGUUCAGUCAUCAUUUGUCUAGCUUGACUUGUACUACUACACUUCAAAAAUAGACGAUCUGCUUCUGCCAUACGCAGCAGUUAUUGAAUUGAAGCACAGCGAUGGUCAUAAACUGUUAACUGGGUUCUUUCCCUUAAACCAGGAAAAAAUAUAUGAUUUUAGUGUGUGGUAGAUGGGUAGCUAAUGCAUCCACCAAGUUUCCAUUACUUAAGCAUACCGCCGCCUCCUACCUUAGUUCAGUUUAUUCGCUGUAUACUUGUCAUAGCUUUCGUCGGACUAGCUAGCUACUUGCACCCAUCAACUAGGCUAUAGAUACAAAUGGAAAUCGGCAGCUACGAGCAAAGGCACACGACACGCUACUUGGAAUGGAACGCAUCAGAGAACACAUCAGGUGUACGGACCAGGCAUUCAGUAGUGUGAGUGAUGUAGGCUGGUGUAGGCGGAAAAGAGGCCAGCGAGCCAAGAUGAGAAAAAGGACAUGGCUACAAGUUGCAACCCAUCAAUGCUUCGAGGCGGCCGCUGCAGCACAAAAGCUCACCAGUGCCUUGUGUAUGAAAAUGGAAUUUUUGUGGCUGUCCUUUUGGCCGUCCGAGGGCUUCGAUUUUGUCCACUGAAUCUCUUUAGUCCCUGUUAUCCCCCUUAUAGAAUCUAAAAAAAAAACUCCCUCGUGUGUGUCAGUGUCCCUGACAUCUCGGGCCCACAGGCCAGUGGCACUCAGCCGAGCCACGCAAGGUAGCAGCGGCCGCGCAGGCCCAACCCCAAAGUGUCCGGGCCCGACUGGGUCCAGUGAAGCCCGAGGCCUCCACUACUUAUUGAAGACACAGCGCACCGUCCCAACCAUGUUUUGCUAUACCAACAAAAAGUAGACUGUCUUUCUUAACACAAAAGUAGAUGGUUUUCUCAUAGAUGAAGUUGUUACGAUAUAUAUAUAUGUGUGUGUGUCUUGCCUCAUUGUAAAAUACGUACUAUUUUACUAGAGUUGAGCAAAGCAUGUGAAGUGUUUUAGCAACAUCUGAAUAUUGCACAUGGCUUUACUAAUUAUGCAAGAUAGGAGAGGGAGCAGAGGCUUAUUCUUUCAUGCAAGAAUAUAAUCGUGCUGGUUGGAUUAUAUUCAUGCCUUGUUUAGGCACAUGGGACAGACCACAGUGCUUCUAUUUUUCAUAUUUGUGAACUACUAAAACUUGCAAAAAGCUUCCAGCACAUAUACACGGGGACGAUAUCAAUUGGAGACAUGGAGAUGGAGCAGAGCUAUUCUCUUGCAAGUAGUGUUUUGGUAAUAAGUAGUACAAAAUCGCGGAAGAUCGCGCUGCUAUCGCCCGAGAUCGCUCCAUUCCUUCGUUGGCCAUUGUGGGAAAAUUCUUCUGCCGGUAAACCGUUUUGCCUGCGAUUUUAGUCUAUGGGUAUGUUUAAUCGUUGUAUUUCUUUUCAAUUAGCAUGGCGACAUACUCCCCUCGGCAAUGGCACUGAAAUGUUUUUAAUCAAUGUUCUGUUAUAGUUAUUUCCAGACAAUAAAUGAAUCUGUUGAGUACUAUUUUACUAGAGUAAAUGUUACAGUGCCUUCGUGAUUUCUCAGAACUAGAGUUCAGCAAAGUGGAAUGCAGCUGCAGUGCAAGAACCUGUUGGCUAUGUCUAAUACAGUCCUCAAACUCAGAAAAUGCGCUAGAACCGUCGUUGUUCUCGGUCUAUAGGUCCACAUACUGUCCUAACUACGAUUCACCGCCAUAUUGGGAUGACGUUGCGCUGAACUGAGUCUGCAGCGUCAUUUCCCCACCACCAUGCAAUGAAGACUCAGGCCGGGCCCGAACGCCUGCCCUGAACCAUCGCGGUCCCAGUAACAUGGAGGUGGCCUGCCCUGAACCAUCGCGGUCUAUGUGGAAGGUUCGGAUCCUGCGUGGGGAGCCGAAUACCAUCGCCUUGGUAGUCGAGUCAAGGCGAAUCGCCGAAUCACCAAUUCUGUGGGAUACCGAAGAUUACGGUAAGAUCGGAUCUGGAUGUUCGUUUAGAGUACUUGUAUAGGCACCGCCCCAUGUAAACCCAUUUGCUACUGUGUAACCCUUGCCGCCUCUAUGUAUAUAAAGAGGAAAAUGGGUGUCGAACGGAAAAACACAUCUUCCACCUCAUUCUACCUCCAUCCUUUAGCUGUGAGAUCGAGAUCUACCUCGAAAACACCCGAGCACACUACAGAUAAUCCCAUACACCCACAACAGGAGUACGAUUGUAAUGGACAUUGUACGUCCACGGCCAAAACCUAUAUAAAUCUCUGUCUCCAGUGUGCUACCAUCCUGAUCUCCAAGCGUUACCCUCCAAAUAAAAUAUACAGUUGUCAAAUACCUCGACAGUUGGCACGCCAGGUAGGGGCUGGGAUGGCCAACGUCAUCAUCGCUGACAAAAACACUCCGGAAGCAAAGAUAUUCAUUGAAGACCCGCGGGGCGACUUCACUGUGGCUCCAUCCUCCCUUGGAUCUCCUCGACAAUCGGAAGAUGCUCAAAAAUCAGAUUCCCGGCACGAGGCUCGCGGAACGAUUUGGAUCUGGGGCAAGUCAGGGAGGCUUCUCGUUGGCACUCUUGACCCCCCCCCCCCCACACACACUCCAUAGAGCAUGGAUUGGAUGAUGAACGAAGCACCGUUGGGAGCUUCCUCUUCGAUAACGAUACAGCAAUUAAAGUGACCCGGACCAUGAAUGGCGGGGAACCAACCCGCUGCUAGUCACCAUCCCCGGAUGCAGACACGGUGGAUCGACCCACUGCUGACCUUGCCAACGCGACUAACUUCACCGGCCUAACCAAAGGGCAAGCAAACGAGCUCGCACCUGAGAUCGCAACCGGCGCUCACGCGAUGCAGCUCUCACGACGGGUACUGGAGAAAGAUCAGGCAAAAUUUCAUGAGAUAUGAAGGUCAUUCUCGGAAAAGGUUGCACCAGGAUUAUACAGUUAGCCGUUAGUGAGUGAACUUUCUCAUGAUUUAUAAUGCUUAUGUUAAGUGGUGCAACGUCCGAACCUGAAUAAACGAAAUACCCGUCAGUUUAGCUAAAGAUGCACAUAUACAGGAAGAUCAUCACCUUUUCCCAGAUUGUGCCGUAAUUUGUAUCAUUCAAUAUGCAUGUGAGAUAUUUCAAUUGUUGAGGCCAAUGCAAAAUGACUUCUCUCAUGCAUUGUGCAUCUAUGAUCAAUCUGUGCAUAGUUAUCUCGUGUCCCCACAUUCGUGUUGAAACAUCAAUUGGAUGAAAGCAAAGAAGAAGCACAAGAGGGUGAUACGCGUGUGGCACAUUAAAGUUAUGAUGAGUAAUUGCUCCUAACUUCUAUCAAUAGCGAAUAUGGAAAAGGUUUUUUGACUGUACUUGCAGUUUAGAGUUUACCAUGCUCUACGCACCUCAUUUUGUUCAUACUCAUGCUUAUGUGGGUAUUACCAUUCAUUGAUGCAUAGACGAAACCUUCUAUAUAAACCCAUGAGUGAUUCAUUUGCUACUUGCUUGCAUGUUGAGAUAGGUAGCUGGUACCAAUUAAUUUUCUGCUUAGUUGUUAUAUUCCAUAUUUUUAUUUGUUUGUACCUACAUUCCCUAAGUUGAUGUAAGAAGUUGGAGGAAACCAAAAUGUAAGCCAGCGGGAUUCACCAACUAGCACAUAACCAACUCAGUGACAUUCUCCACUGGGCGUCUCUGGCCUAGGGAGAUCCUCAAAACAAAUAGAGGGAGAUCCUGAACCCAACCAACAACAUUACUCCGGGUCUCUAUGCUCUCUUGAAGAAGGAUCCUAAGAUAGUAGCACUAGGAGAGGUAUAGUGAUGGAAGGCUGACCGGUAGCAUUAACUACUGGUUAAUCAAGAACUCCUGGGGCAGCUGGUGGAGGGACGGGGGUUACAUUCGCCUCAAGCGUGGAUAUGCAAAAGAUGGAGGGUUAUGCGGCAUUCUAAUGGAUCCGCCGUACCCGGUGUAUCAUGUAAUGCUUGAGUAUUAGUAGUCCCUAGUGGAUCCUAUCAACUAUAUAUGGGGGUUAAAUCUCCUAGCUAAUUUGUUGUCAUGGGAGAUAUAAUUUCAUUUUCUUUCAUAUUAUAUACUAUUUAUUAUUAUUCCGCCGCAUAUAUAGUAGAGCAUGCAUUUGUAAAGCAUACGUGUGCGCAAACCAGAAGAAUCGGCAAUUUAACAUGGAAACAAAACUUAAAACAUUGAGAAUGACAGAACUUCAUAGAUGCCACACAUGAUAUAUAUGAUGUGCACCACUAGGUCAGCUUGCCACUAAGUGUCCUAUAUUAAGUUUAGAAACCACAGUAGUUAAGCUAGAUCAAGUAUUUUGGUUCUUAGCGCAUUCAAACAGUAGAACAAAUUAUCCAGACACAAGUGUCCAAUGUACCAUCUAUCAACCAAGUCAUGCCACUCAAUAUCAAAACAAUAUUAUAGUAGAUUUAAUUGUCACGGGAAGUUCAUCCUAAUAGAACAUAUAUGAGUUGCAGGAGAUAGCUAGGUGACCAACACCAUCAGACGUCAAUUGGGAUCAUCGGCUAAGAGGUGUGGCACAAAAACAAAUAAAACAAUUGUGGGAACAGAAGAACUUUCCUGGAGAUUGAGCCCGAGACAGGAAUCAUAGAGGAAUUAAACUACAGAGUCGAAGCCAGAGUUUCAGCCACGUUACUGCCAUCUUACCAGUGCCAAGUUCGACACUGGUUAGAGUGAGCACCCAAUGCGCAAGAUAGAGGAUGAAACUGUGUAUAUUCAUUCAUCCGCACUGAGUGCAUUAUAUACUUACAUGGGAUAAGGUUGGUUACAACAGAAACAAGAGAGAGGGAGAGGAUCACGACGUGGAAGCCAUCGUGGGCGCGCAUGCAGUCGUACGUGCUAUCUCUCCCUAGCGAGUCGGAGGGGGCUGCCUUGGCCCUGACGCUGGGUCAGUGUGCUGUGGUAAAACGGUCUUCCAACCACCCCCCCCCCCCGCCCCUGCAGUCAAAACGCGGUGCUCACCGACGUUGAGACUGGUCCGGAAGUCGUUGAACACAGAAGUAGGCAAUCCUUUGGUGAAGAUGUCCGCGAAUCGGGAUGUCGUCGGGACGUGGAGGACGCGCACCUCGCCCAAGGAGACGCGCUCACGGACGAAGUGAAGGUCAAUCUCGAUGUGCUUGGUGCGUUGGUGCUGGACGGGGUUGUUGGACAUGUACAUGGCGCUGACGUUGUCGCAGUAGACGACGGUGGCGCACGGUGGUGGGCAACGAAGUUCGCCGAGGAGUUGGCGGAGCCAACUCGACUCAGCGACGGCAUUGGACCGAGACACGGUGUUCUGGCGCUUCGAAGACCAGCUGACGAGGUUGGCGCCAAGAAAAACGGCGAAGCCCGAGGUGGACUUGCGCGUGUCGGGGCAGCCGGCCCAGUCGGCAUCCGAGUACGUCGUGAGGUCGCCGGAGGUGGAGCGAUGAAAGUGGAGGCCCAGGUGAGCGGUGCCACGAAUGUAGCGGAGGACGCGCUUCACCAGCUGGUAGUGACUGUCGCGAGGGUCAUGCAUGAAGAGGCAGCAUUGUUGUACGGCAUAGGAGAUGUCGGGUCUGGUGAGGGUGAGGUACUGGAGGGCCCCGGCCAAGCUCCGGUAGAGUGAUGGGUCGUGAAAGGCAGGACCAUCGGUGGCGGAGAGCUUGGCGGUGGUGUCGAUGGGUGUAGACACAGGUUUGCAGUUAAGCAUGCCUGCACGGUCAAGGAUCUCGAGUGCAUACUGCUCUUGAGAGAGGUGGAGAGGAGAUGGCGACGUGGGAGGUGGCGCCGGUGUCCAUGAACCAGUCGGAGCUGGUCGACGGGGGCUGCAUCUGGAGGUUAGCGAAGUGCGUCAUCAGCGCCUGAUGUUCAUCCCAUGUCGGUGCAGUGGGUGGCUGACCCGCCGCCACGGGGUAGGCCUGGUGUGGAGCGGGAGGGCGAGGCCCUAGUACACCAGCCGAGUUGGCUGGCACCCACGGGGAGCGCCACUGCUGUGGCGUGGGAGCAGGGGAACCCCACGGGGCGAAGUAGCCCAGCCACGGCUGCUGGGCGCCGGUGCCACGCCCACCGGCGGAGCCAGAGGCGGCGCCGGGAGAGUCCUGGCCACGACCACGGCCACAGCCGCGCCCGCCACGCUGGCAAUCCCCAUGAAGGGGCGCCUUGCCCUUGUCCUGCGGGGAUGACGGCGGAGCAUCGGUGGAGGACGAGCCGCCCGAGGAGGAACCGCCCACGGGGCCAAUCGUGAGGGGGCAGGCGCCAGCGGCGCGUUAGCGCUCGAGGACGCCGAUCUCUUCCAGCAGGAGACGGGAGCGAGCCUGCACGAAGGACGGAAACGGCUGCUGCAUGGGAAGAAGAGUGGCCAUGACAUGAAACCGCCGGCUGAGACCGCGGACGAGCUGGAGGGUGAGGGAGCGGUGGGAGACGGGCUCGUCCACGUCAGCCAUGGCGUUGGCCAGUUGCUGCAGACGACGGCAGUACUGGGCCACCAACAUGUCCCCCUGCACGGUUGCGCGGAACUCGGCGCCGAUGUGUAUGGCACGACCGGCGGCGUUGUCGCAAAAGAAGACCUCCAGCUGGCUCCAGAGGUGGUACGUCGUGCUCUCCGGCAAUUGGAUGAUGUCGUAGAGCUCGUCGGAGAUGGUGCCGUAGAUCCAGAGAGCGAUCGUGAUGUCGUCGUUGCGCCAGCCUGGGUCUUCGUGUAGGGGAUCGGCCUCCUCGAGGACGUGCUCCUCGACGUGGAACUUGCAGAGGACGAACCAGAAGAGGUGGCGCCACUUGGAGUAAUUGUUGUCGUCCAGGCUGAGCUUGAACGGGAUGUAGGAGGAGAUAUUGGUGUGGUGCAUGGCGGGAUCAGGGGCGGGCUGGGCUUGUGGGGGUGGAGGGGCGAGGACGAGAGCGUCGCCGGGGAUGCAGGCAAUGCGGAGCGGUGGUACGGCGGGAGCAGCACCGCGAUGGAGAACGCGGGCGUUGGGAGAGGCGGGCAGCGGCACGAAGGGGUCGGCGGCCGGUGCGGGCUGGGGACCGGGGCGACGGGCGGCAGGAUGGAGGGAGCGUCAGCGUCACCGGAGGAGCGAGUGCGGCGGAGCGGACGUCAGAAGCUCAUGGCGGAAGCGGAGAAGGGAGGAACGAGCGACGUCAGCCUCUGAUACCAAGAUAGAGGAUGAAACUGUGUAUAUUCAUUCAUCCGCACUAAGUGCAUUAUAUACGUACAUGGGAUAAGGUUGGUUACAACAGAAACGAGAGAGAGGGAGAGGAUCACGACGUGGAAGCCGUCACGGGCGCGCAUGCAGUUGUACGUGCUAUGUCUCCCGAGCGAGUCGGAGGGGGCUGCCUUGGCCCUGACGCUGGGUCAGUGUGCUAUGGUAAAACGGUCUUCCAACAGCGCAGGGGCGAUACGGGGGCAGUCAGCCCUACAGCCGCACGAGCGUUGCGGGUUGCGAGCAUAGUUGUUGAUACUAUUCUAACUUAUCUAUAUUUUUUUAUUAUUCCAUGCUAUUAUAUUAUAAUUUUAGGAUACUUUUUGAGUAUUAAUUUAUCAAUUUAUAUUAUUUUUAAGCAUUAAACUAUUGACCCAGUGUUGAGUGUCAGUUGCUAUUUUCUACGUGUUUUUGCCUUUUCAUGUUUAUAGUACCAAAUGAAGACAAAUUGCCCUGAAACUUUUUUAUGACUUUUUCUGGACCAAAAGAACACCUGAAAGCUUCAUGACGAGACCGGAGGCCACACGAGGGAGGCACAAGCCAAUAGGGGCACCGAAGAGGGUCGGCGCGCCCUGAUGGCUUGUCCCUCCCGGUUGUCCAUCCUACCCCUGUUCUCUGGCCUAUAAAUUCACAUAUAUUUCAAAAACCCUGGAGGACAUACCAAAACACUUUUUCUGCCGCCGCAAGUCUCUGUUCCGCUGCGAAUCCAUCUGGAGCUCUGUUUCAAAGUCCGUCGGAGCGGGGAUCGAUCACAUAGGGCCUCUUCAUCAACCUUGUUGCCCUAAUGGGGAUAUGUGAGUAGUUCACCACAGACCUACGAGUCCGUAGUUACUACCUAGAUGGCUAUCUCUCUCUCUCUUGAUCUUCAAUAAAAUUAUCAUCACAUCUUUGCUUUGAUCUAUCCGAUGUAAUUCUUCUGUGCGGUGCGUUCAUUGGGAUUCUAUGAAUUGGAGUCUUCUAUGAAUUUUAUUUAUGAUUCUUAUUUGCAUGAUCAUUAUAGCUUGGUAAAUAUCUUCCAUCUAUUGAUUUUCUUUGUCAAGUCAAUUGAUCUUUCUUCAGCGAGAGGGGUGCGUUGUAUUGGGUUCAAUCUGGAGGUGCUCUAUAUCCCAGUGACAGAAAGGUACAAAACACGUCUUUGUAUUUCUGCCACUACAUCAUGUCAUUGUUAUCAAAGCAUUACUCUGUUUUACUCAACACUCUAGAUGCAUGGUGGAUAGCGGUUGAUUGAUUGAGUAAUAGUAAUAGAUGACGGCAGGAGUCUGCCUAUUUGCUUAUGGACGUGAUGCCUAUAUAUAAAUGAUCAUUGCCAUGAAUUUCACAUAACUAUGCGCUUUUCUACCAAUUGCCCAACAACAAUUUAUUUAUCACCGUAUGCCUAUUACAUGAGAGAUGCCACUAGGAAAAAGUAUGGCCCCCUGGUCUAUCCAGCUAUAAGUUUACAAUGCUUUCAAUACCUUGCUGCCAUUUAUUAUCUUUUAUUUUAUUUUGCAAUUUACAAUUCACAACUAUUAUCUACACAUUUCACUUUCUUGCAAAUAACCAGUCCAAGGGGAUAGAGAACCCUCUUGCCCGUGUUGGGUGCAAGUGCUUUGCUCAUUUGUGUGUAGUUGCUGAAGACAGAAGCUGACUGAUAUUCCUAUUGGUUCGAUAAACCUUGGUGCCUAACUGAGGGACAUACUUACCCAUAUUGUGUUGUAAUUAUCUGUUCCUCUUCACGGAAAACCCAACGCAGAUCAUAAGUAUCAGUUGCAAGCCGAAUUCGACCAACGUUUGAGAAGACCGAAGGCGGACGCGUGGGGAAGAUAGAUGGCGGAAGAAAUGGUGGACCACCAGGGACUGCGGGAGUGUCGAGGGGAAUUGGUGGAAUAAGAGGAGCACCUGCGAUCGGGGUGGCUCCGGAGUGGCAUGGUGCUGGCAGGGAAACUACGACACACACUGGGUCAGAGAUCCACAGUGAGUGGCGGCGGUCGGUGUUAGACACGACAUCGACGGCGGCGAUAUAGGCAGUGGAGUUGUGCGAGAGAAAGGGAAUCAAGAAUAUUGGUUCGUGCACGUGAGUGUGAGAGUGGUGGGGGUGUGGGACCCACCUAACCGACCUGGGGUGGUGAAAUUUUGGGUAAAUAACUAAUUUUCCCUACGAGAAUAGAGUAGUUGGGGGUUAAAAGAUCUGUCUUGAUAAGUUUGAGUCGACUGAGACUUCACGCAGUCUUAGUCGAUGCUAUAUCCGUGAGAACUUAUGAGGUUCGUGCAAAAUUUUCUUUUCAGUUUUUUAUUUUUUUCCCUUACAUGUUAUGUGACUUGAAUCAGGCUUGGGUUAAAUAUCAGUCGACUAAGACCUAGCCAUACCCUAAAAAGAUCAAAUAGAUUCCCCUACCGUCGGUUAUCGUCCCCUACCUCCCGCAUUGCCGGGUUGGACUUGGUCACGCUCUCUCCACACCACACCCCGUUCCACCCCAUCUCCGAGCUGUCGGCCUCACCCUCGCCGUGCGGCCAUGUCUGCUUAGCCAACCGAUCUCUGGAUAUGUGUGACCUUGGCCCCAAGAUCUCCCCAUCCCUCUCCUCCUCUCUUUCGCUUGUUGUAGCCCGCCGCUAUCUCGGAUCCUCUGCAUGUGGGCGUGUCGUCGCGCCGGUGGUCCGACGUCGUGAAGCCUUCGUCUAGUCGUAUGUCCUAGUAGGCCCCGAUCUCGUCCUCAAGAUAGCAUCUUCUUCGUCGACUAUGGUCUACGUGAGGUGGAUGGUCGCCGCAUGAUCGGACGCUCCUUCAUCCACAUGCGCUACUUUGUGCUGAAGACUAGAGGAAGUGCUGGCGCCGGGCACACAGGGACCAAGCCCGGGGUGUGGAAUUUAUAAUAGGCUAUUAAAUAUGUUUUUUCUGCAGGCCCAGGGUGCAGACCAGCAAAAUGAAGGAGACCCAGACCGUAAUGGGCUAUCUCACCUCAUGAAAUGGACGCAGGCACGAGGAGACCUCUCCAACUCCGGUGCGACUAUUUCUUGCCUUACGCGUGCCAACAACGACCUCUCACGUCGUGUAAACGGUGUUGGGUCGGCCCAUUGUAUUGCACGGAGAUUGAAAAAUUGAGAAGAAAUGGAGCGUCCCCAGGAGUCGAACAACCCUGGUCACGCGGGACAACAAGAGCAUUGCUAACCAUCAAGUUAUUGGUUAGUAGCAGGAUCACAGCAACUAGAGGUGGGAUAUUUCAAUUGUUGAGGCCAAUGCAAAAUGAUUUUUCUCAUGCAUUGUGCAUCAGUGAUCUAUCUGUGCAUACUUAUCUUGUGUCCCCACAUUCAUGUUGAAACAUGAAUUGGAUAAAAGCAAAGAAGAAGCACAAGAGGGUGAUACGCAUGUGGCACACUAAAGUUAUGAUGACUAAUUGCUCAUAACAUUUAUCAGUGGCGUAUGUGGAAAACGUUUUAUUAUGUACUUGCAUUUUAGAGUUUAUCAUGCUCUACGCACCUCGUUUUUUUCAUGCUCAUGCUUAUGUGUGUAUUACCAUUCAUUGAUGCACAUAUGAAACCUUCUAUAUAAACACACGAGCGAUUUCAUUUGCUACUUGGUUACAUGUUAAGAUAGGCAGCUAGUACCAACUAUUUUUUUGCUUAGUUCCGGGUGCUCGUUUCCUCCUUCUCAUUUUUUUUAUUCUGCUUAGUUAUUGUAUUCUAUGUUUUUCUUUGUUUGUACUAGUACAUUCCCAAUGACAUGUUGGAGGAAACCAAUGUAUUGCUGGUUGGAUACGGGACAGAGGAGAGAUACAGUGAUGGAAGACUGACCGAUAGCAUUAACUAAUGGCUAAUCAAGAAUUCCCACGGCAGCUUGUGGUGGGACGCAGUGGCGUAGCCAGGGGGUGGACUUGUGGUGGGACGCAGCGGCGUAGCCAGGGGGUGUACAGGGUGGUCCAUGGAUCAUCCUAAAAUUCCACCAUAGUCAAUAUAUAGGGUAAAAAAAGAUAUAUAUUUUUUACAAUACAUAAAAUUACAUGGAAUUUUUAUUUUUGAACCAUCCUGGCUCUCCGAGCUAGCUACGAUACAUUGGCCUCAAGCAGGGAUAUGAAAAAGAUGGAUGCAUGAUUGUGUGGCAUUCUAAUGGAUCCGCUGUACCCGGCGGAUCCUGUAAUGCUUGAGUAUUAAUAGUUCCUAGUGGAUCCUAUCAACUAUAUACAGGGUAAAUCUCCUAGCUAAUUUGUUGUCAUGUGAGAUAUAAUUUCAUUUUCUUUCAUAUUAUAUAUUAUUUGUUAUUAUUCUGCCCCGUAUAUAGUAGAGCAUGCAUUCGUAAAGCAUACGUUUGCGCAAACUAGAAGAACUAUCAAUUUAACAUGGAACGAAACUGAAAACAUUGAGAAUGAAAAAGCUUCAUAGAUGCCACACAAGAUAUAUAUGAUGUACACCAAUAAGUCAGCUUGCCACCAAGUGUGCUAUAUUACGUUUAGAAAUCCACAGUAGUUAAGCAAGACUAGUCGUCAACCCGUGCUUUCGCACGAGAUAGUGUAUUUAGUACAUUAACUUUCUAAGAAAAAAGUAAACAAACAUUAGAGUUAACCCAUUUUAAUUUUGCAUUGUUUGCUUGUACUUAAUAAUUCUAUUGUGGCGGCGUACAUAAAUUCUCAAAAAAGGCACGUAUUAGUUUUCUCCAUCUCAUUUUGCUUGUACACAUAUCAAUUGAUUUAGAGGUAUUGUUAAAAUAAGCCAUCCAAUUUAGGAACAUUUUGUUAAUUUAUGCCACUUCUUAUAUUUAAUAAAACAAUAAUGAAUAAGUUCAUAUAAAAUACCAAUUUAACUAUACAUUGCAAAAAACAUAUUGUACAUCAUCUGGAAAUCAGUUGAUUUAGGGGUAUCCAAAUGAAUAUAUACCCAUUCAGCAUGUAGACAACAUCAAUCACCCUGCAAGCGUAAGCGUGAACAGGUGCACAGGCUCAAAAUUCUUAAAUACAGAUGCAACAGAAAACUUUAUUACAGUGUGUAGAAAAAAUAUAACUUUGAAUAGAUACAACAUAGGAAUGCUUUUUUUUAACUCAAUGUUACUACAGGUUGAAAAUACUUACUCAUAUUAGGCUCUCUUCAUGGUUGUAUAAAUGAAAAGGGAAUCUGACAAACAUAACCAAUGCGUAAGUAGAGGCCAUGGUGAAAGUGUGUCAUACAAUAAUACACACUCAAUAAUUAGUCAUAUUUAUCACCUACUUAUUUUAAAAUUUCUACCACGCCGUAGGUUAAAACAGAAGGAAGAGAACAUGGUAAGAAACCAUAACAUAAUACCACAAAUCCAUUGAAAAGUAAGACCAUCAAGCAUCCUUGAGACCUCAAUGCCCUUCCCUACACAACCUUCAAUAGAGCAUGCAAUUCGUAAAGGUUUAUCCUAGUUGUCAAUAUUUUCUGAAGCACAACCGAAAAUUCCAAAACCGCUCAAGGAAGAGAGCGGUUUUGGCAAAGAGCUAGAACAAUACGUGCCUUCACACGUCUUGUUGUUGAUCUAAACUUAGUCCAAAUACCAUAAAAAAAAGUAAUACAACAGAUAGACACAGUACUGAACCUUCUUGGAUAAACGACUUCAACAUUUUAACCAUAUGUCUCCUUACCGUUCCAUGUAUCAUAAUGCCCCCAAACAAUUACAAUCCAGUUCAAAUAUGCUUAAGUUUUUCUAAUAACUACUAUUAACUUAUAUUAACAUGAUUAUGUUAAAAAAUCAUAUAUUUGUACUGACAAAACACCACUUCAUCAAGUAGUAUCAUGUGAAGGCUAAUAAGUUCGUCGCAAUUAAGCUUAAUGGUGUAGCCUAAUGACACUGAGCUAGAAUUUCCAUGAAUCUUUCUCAUGGCUAAUCGCACCGACCAUACCACAAACAAAUUUAAUAAUAUUUAAUAAGCGCUAAUUAUAUCAUGAAUCCGAUUUAUAACAGCUUAGACUAAAUGUGUACUUGUAUAGCUGGGGAAAAACAGAUUGGAACAAAUAGAUGAAUACGAUAGUAGUUUGUAAAAAGCUAUUGACAUGUAAAAAGCACAAACUUUUGAUGAUUAGUACUUAUUUACUCUCUGGUGAAGCUCACCUGAUGGGCAUAUUUGUGGCAUAAACCAAUCUCCAAGAGGUAUCCCAAUAUUAUACGUGAGAAUAUUGGGGACUGAUAUCCUCGAGAGCAUGACACCAUAAAAGAACAUGAUAUAUAAAAUCAGUGGUAGAAAAAAAACCCUGAAAGAACACCAGAUCCAUGCCUAAACUUACUUGCACCCAGUUAAGAGAAACAUGGAUUUGAUUUUCAUGUGAUGAAAGAGGAGGCAGUAGAGGUACGUGGAUUUAUUUUCCAUAUGGAGUGUGACAGAAAGAGAUCGAGAGGCAGUGGGUGCAUCCAUGUCGCACUUGAUGGGCAUAUUUGUGCUAUGACCCGAUCUCCAAGAUCAAUGUACGGGGGAGAAAGAGACAUGGUUUUCUUUCAUACGGGGAGAGAUAAUAGAAUCUAUACAUGUUGCCAGAUUGGCUUUUGUUUUUUUAACAUGGAGAGAAGAGAUGGUGGAGUAGCAGAUAAUCGUAUCUAUUUUGACUUCAUUUAUCUACUUAGGGUCCAGGACUACACGAAAAGGAUUGUUGGCCUUAUUACGAAUAAGGUUUUUUUUAAUCGUUGGCCUUACGUUUUUUUUCGAUUUGAGCAAAAUUUCAGCUAAAAAUUAUAUGGUUUAAUCUACACCGUAAUAACUUGGACCCACUCCAGAUUAACGGUUGUUAUUGUUUAAUUAACGUUGUAAUUUACUAGGAGUCUCUAAUUAGUAUAAGUAUAGAUCAGGUAUUCUGGUUCUUUGCACAUUCAAACAGUAGAACUAAUUACCCAGACAGAAGCCUUCAUUGUACAAGUUGUCAACCAAAUCAUGCCACUCGAUAUAAAAAAAAUAUAGUAGUUUAAUUGUCAUCGCAAGUUCAUCGUAUCAGAACAUGCACUAGUACAAAAACAGGCUUUCGUCCAGAGCAGGACGCCUUCGCCUUGGCGGCCGAGCCAAGGCAGUGGGCCACAGGUGCUAGGAGGUCCCAAUAUCAUGGAGGUGGCCUAGCCUGAACCAUCGAGGUCUAUGUGGUAAGUUCGGAUCCCUGGUUGGAAGUCGAAUACCAUCGCCUUGGUAGUCAAGUCAAGGCGAAUCGCAGAAUCACCAAUUAUGUGGGAUACCGAAGAUUACGGUAAGAUCGGAUCUGGAUGUUCGUUUAGAGUUGUUGUAUAAGCGCCGCCGCAGGUAAACCCAUUUUCUACUGUGUAACCCUUGCCGCCUCUCAGUAUAUAAAGAGGAAACGGAUGUCGAACGGAAAAACACAUCUUCCACCUCAUUCUACCUCCAUCCUUUAGAUGUGAGAUCGAGAUCUACCUCGAAAACACCUGAGCACACUACAGAUAAUCCCAUACACCCACAACAGGAGUACGGUUAUAAUGGACAUUGUACGUCCAGGGCCCAAACCUAUAUAAAUAAUCUUUGUCUCUAGUGUGCUACCGCCCCGAUCUCCAAGCGUUACCCCUCCGAAUAAAAUAUACAGUCAUCAAAUACCUUGACAGUUCGCGCGUCAGGUAGGGGUUCGCGUUCCGGAUAUAGGGUUGGGAUGGCCAACGUCAUCAUGGUAGACGAUAACACUCUGGAAGCGAAGAUAUUCAUUGAAGACCCGCGGGGUGAUUUCACUGUGGCUCCAUCAUCCCUUGAAUCUCCUCGACGGUCAGAAGAUGCUCCAAAAUCAGAUUCGUCGGUACGAGGCUCGUGGAACGAUUUGGAUCUGGGGAAAGUCAGGGUGGCUUCUCGUUGACACUCCUUCCCCCCCCCCCCCCACCACACACUCCAUAGAGCAUGGACCAGAUGAUGAACGAAGCACCGUUGGGAGCUUCCUCUUCAAUAACGAUACACCAAUUAAAGUGACCUGGACCUUGAAUGGCAGGGAACCAAUCCGCUGCCAGUCACCUUCCCUGGAUGCGGAUGCGGUGGAUCGACCCACUGCUGACCUUGCCAACGUAGUCGGCGAAACUAACUUCACCGGCCGAACCAAAGGGCAAGCAAAUGAGCUCGCAGCUCAGAUCGCAACCGGCCCUCAGGCGGUGCAGCUCUCACGACGGGUACUAGAGAAGGAUUAGGCAAAAUUUCAUGAGAUAUGAAGGUCUUUCUCGAAAAAGGUUGCACCAGGAUUAUACAACUAGCCGUUAGUGAGUGAACUUUCUCACGAUCUAUAAUGCUUAUGUUAAGUGGUGGAACGUCUGAACCUGAAUAAACGAAAUACGCGUCAAUGUAGCUAAAGAUGCACAUAUACGGGAAGAUCAUCACCUUUUCCCACAGUGUGUCGUAAUUUGUAUCAUUCAAUAUCCAUGUGAGAUAUUUCAAUUGUUGACGCCAAUGCAAAAUGACUUCUCUCAUGCAUUGUGCAUUUAUGAUCAAUCUGUGCAUAAUUAUCUCGUGUCCCCACAAUUGUGUUGAAACAUCAAUUGGAUGAAAGCAAAGAAUAAGCACAAGAGGGCGAUACGCAGGUGGCACAUUAAAGUUAUGAUGAGUAAUUGCUCAUAACUUCUAUCAAUAGCGUAUGUGGACACCUCAUUUUGUUCAUACUCAUGCUUAUGUGGGCAUUACCAUUCAUUGAUGCAUAGACGAAACCUUCUAUAUAAACCCAUGAGUGAUUCAUUUGCUACUUGAUUGCAUGUUAAGAUAGGUAGCUGGUACCAAUUAAUUUUCUGCUUAGUUGUUAUAUUCCAUAUUUUUAUUUGUUUGUACCUACAUUAUCUAUGUUGAUGUGAGAAGUUGGAGGAAACCAGAAUGUGAGCCAGCGGGAUUCUCCAGCUAGCACACAACCAACUCAGUGACGUUGUCCUCUGGGCCGUCUAUGGCCUAGGGAUAUCCUCAACACAAAUAGAGGAAGAACCUGAACCCAACCAACAACAUUACUCCGGGUCUCUAUGCUCUCUUGAAGAAGGAUCCUAAGAUAGUAGGCAUCAGUAGGAGAGGUGUAGUGAUGGAAGGCUGACCGGUAGCAUUAACUACCGGUUAAUCAAAAACUCCUCAGGCAGCUAGAGGAGGGACGGGGAUUACAUUCGCCUCAAGCGGGGAUAUGAAAAGAUGGAGGGUUAUGUGGCAUUCUAAUGGAUCCGUUGUACCCGGUGGAUCAUGUAAUGCUUGAGUAUUAUUAGUCUCUAUCUAGUGGAUCAUAUCAACAAUAUGUGUGGGUUAAAUAUCCUAGCUAAUUUGUUGUCAUGGGAGAUAUAAUUUCAUUUUCUUUCAUAUUACAUACUAUUUAUUAUUAUUCCGCCCCAUAUAUAGUAGAGCAUGCAUUUGUAAAGCAUACGUGUUCGCAAACCAGAAGAAUUGGCAAUUUAACAUGGAAACGAAACUGCAAACAUUGAGAAUGACAAAACUUCAUAGAUGCCACACAGGAUAUAUAUGAUGUGCACAAAUAGGUCAGCUUGCCACUAAGUGUCCUACAUUAAAUUUAGAAACCACAGUAGUUAAGCUCGAUCAAGUAUUUUGGUUGUUAGCACAUUCAAACAGUAGAACAAAUUAACCAGACACAAGUGUCCAAUGUGAGUUGCAGUAGAUAGCUAGGUGACCAACACCAUCAGACGUCAAUUGGUAUCAUUGGCUACGAGGUGUGGCACAGAAACAAAUAAAACAAUUGUGGGAACAGAAGAACUUACCUGGAGAUUGAGCCCGAGACAGGAAUCAUAGAAGAAGUAAACUAGGGAGUCGAAGCCAGGGUUUCAGCCACGUUACUGCCAUCCUACCGGCGCCAGGGUCGACAUUGGUUAGAGCAAACACCCAAUGCGCAGGGGCGAUACGUGGGCGGCCAGGCCUACCGCCGCACCAGCGUUGCAGGUUGCCAGCAUAGUAGCUGAUACUAUUCCAACGUAUCUAUAAUUUUUUACUAUUUUAUAUUUUUUGAGUAUUAAUUUGUAAAUUUAUAUUAUUUUUUAGCACUAACCUAUUGACCCAGUGCCCAGUGUCAGUUGUUAUUUUCUACGUGUUUUUGGCUUUUCAUGUUUAUAGUACAACCAAAUUGACACAAAACAUUUUUAUGACUUUUUCUAGACCAGAAGAAGACCUGGAAGCUUCAUGACGAGACCGGAGGCUACACGAUGGAGGCACAAGCCAACAGGGUGCACCGAGGAGGGUCAGCGUGUCCUGAUGGCUUGUCCCUCCCUCGUGUCCCUCCUACCCCGUUCCCUGGCCUAUAAAUUCAGAUAUAUUUCAAAAACCCUGGAGGGCAUACGGAAACACUUUUUCUGUCGUGGCAAGUGUCUGUUCGGCCGCGACCCCAUCUAGAGCUCCGUUUCGAAGUCCGCAGAGGGGGGGUCGAUCACAUAGGGCCUCUUCAUCAAACCUUGUUGCCCUAAUGGGGAUAUGUGAGUAGUUCACCAGAGACCUACGAGUCCAUAGUUAGUGUCUGGAUGACAAUCUCUCUCUCUUGAUCUUCAAUAAAAUGAUCAUCACAUCUUUGUUUUGAUCUAUACAAUGUAAUUCUUCUGUGCGGUGCGUUCAUUGGGAUUCUAUGAAUUGGAGUCUUCUAUGAAUUUUAUUUAUGAUUCUUAUUUGCAUGAUCA